rnacentral:lncRNA from 1 species
CGUAUAUAUUACCAACCUCUAGUAUUGCAUUUAUAUUCCCAUCAGGAGGAGGACAAGGUUCAUACUGUCGUGGUCCAGUGUUACUUGCACUAAAGUAUCCUGUAUUCUGCUGCUUUGAAUUUCCAGUGGGGAGAUCAGGUCCACUGCCAUCUUUUUUCAACCAGUUCCCUGAUUUUUCUGAUUUUUCUUCUCUGGAUCCUUUUCUGCGGGUUGGUGACACCUUCGGCGCUUUCUCUUCUGUAUCAACUGAGUGCUGGGUGUACAAUGAAUGGACCUUUUGACUAGUCAAGCCACCAAAGGAACUGUUACUUUCAUACCUCUCCCUGUCUGCUAAGCCAGAAGUCAACCCGCUUUCUUCUCGUCCGUUGUAUGAAAAACCUGAUGUAAAACUUGAGGGCUGUUUAUCAUAAUCAACAGUAUGAUUGAAGGAUGGAGUUUCUUUUUCCACAACCCUUCUACCCAUAUCUGGCACUUUGACCUCUUGUUGCUCAUAAACACCAUCAACAUCAGCAGAGACUGGCAGAGAUGAUGUAGAGGAAGCAUCCUUUUUAGUUGGUGGUAAUGAACUUACAGCCUGAUCCUUUUUUGCAUUUCCACUUUUAGAAAGACUUCUAACCCUGUCAUUUAAAUAAGAAUGCUUAUCAUUGAAGGGACAGGAGACCACUGCAACUAUAUUUCAGUUGAAGCAAUAGGAACACGCUUACCUAUCUGCAUAUCUCAAUGUAUUGAGUGUAUGUUCACAUGAGCCGGCAUUUGGGGAUAUGCAAGAGAUCAUAACUGUCCCAGAGUUGCCCACAAAAGAAUCACGGAGUACUUCUGUGAGCUUGCUCCCUCGGAAUGGUAUAUGGAUCUGGUCAUUGUCCAGAGCACGAAUGCACUCCUUGAGAGCCAAAAGGCUCUUGUUGAUUUCUGCACCUUCAAUCCUGCAAAAAACCAUAUGGAGCAUCAGGAAGUGCAAAACUGCCUUCCCAACAACAAUCCAAAGCCAUAGUGAUUGUUGAACUACCACAUCAGACAAGAAAACUUUUUGCAACGAGUAUAACAUAUCCAUCAUCAGUGGUCAUGAGGAUGGACAUCAGGCAAGAUGAUAAUGCCAAUCAAGUUUAUGCUGUUUUAUGUAGCAUAUGGAGAAUGAAUCCCAUCGGUACAAGACUGGCAUUGCUAGUUUAGGUGCCAGGAACCAGAAAAAAACGCACAAGUUUUAGAGAAGUCUUAAUGUGGAUCUCUUACUGAAUCUUUAAAUUACCCCCACAGCAAACAUAAUGCAAUGGAUCAAGAUACCAAAAAAAUAACAAGACCUGACUCUCCUAAAAAAAACCUAGAUAGUACGAGCUAAAAUCCAGCACCUUAAUUAGAAGAAAAUUAGCUCGCCUACCUCCAGCUCAAUGAAUUCUAAACAUGUGUAUGGGAUACUCAGCUGAUUGUUGGCCCCAAUUAACCAUGCAAUGCCAAAGAGGCAACCAGAUUGCAAAAGAUAGCAUUACCAGUCUUCAUCACAAAACCAAAAUCCAUUGAAUAGUUAAACACUGCCUGACAGAGGUGCAGGAAGAAUGGGAAGAUCUCUGAAAAAAUUCAUUCUCGGAAAUUUUGAAAUUUUAUUUGUCUUACAUAAUAAACUCGUUUACCUUAAAAUCCUGAAGGUUUCUUCAGAAAAUUAACUUUACCAAACAAAGUAACUGCUUCAGACAUAAUAAAUGAGUAAUUAGCAUCUCUACCAUAGAAAUUUGUAUUUUUCUGUCCCCAAAUUCUUUAGACAGACCAAGCUGGAAAGAGAAAAAAAUCUGGCGAAACCCGCCCUAUUGGCACACUAGUCAUGCAGCAAAAACAGGCCUUGAUGUUGUUGAUCAACAGAUCGUAUUUGAUUGACAUGAAAUGAUAAAUGGAUUCUUAAAAACUCAAGCAAUGGAGUAGAGUCAGUAAUUAACAAAAACCAGAGUAAUAAACUUGAAGUUAGAGCAAGAGAAGAGAUGAAGAGUAUGGUUCAGAUAAAGGGUACCUUGUUUGCCGGUCAUUGUCAGUGGUGUCUGCGCCUCGUUCACUGCCAGCAAGAUCAAUAAAUGAAAUUUUCCCAACUACUUUUCCACUUUUAGACUCAUUCACAUCAUUGUUCCUCCUGGAGUCCUUUACUUCGCUGUGCUUCUUAACGGCGAGUUGUAAAAUAGCAUGUGAUCUUGAAGAUUCUUCAUUGGCACCAGUAGAUCCUGUACUUCUGGCAGCAAUCCCCCUCUCAAUAUAUUCCUUGACAAUUUGUACAUCAGAAACUUCAAAUUCUUGCAGUCCAACAAUGCAAACUUGUUGCCUACCAUCUUCUCUCAUACAAAGUUUCCUAAUUGAGAAGAACAAUUGAAUUCAGCAUACGUGGUUGAACUCAUUAACCAUUCACACUUCAAGACUUUUAGACACAUGAAUGAACACAUACAUAAAAAUUAUUCUGAAGAAAACAUACAGAAAAGAUAAUGCCUGCUUGACAAGGGACAAUGCUGCUUCUAUGGUUACACUUCAAUUAACUCAAGUUACGAAGCUAGCCCAAAAUUUUUUUAAGAAAAAAAGUGAAGAAAUUACCGUCUAUAAAUGGAUGUUACAGAUUCAAAGUGCAGGUAAAAUUACAAAGCAAAUGGAUAUUAUAGAAUUAUUGUUAAAGAAAAAAAGUCCUUUUUAUUACUUCUUAUGCCACAACCGCACUGGAGAAAAUUAUACAAAUGUGACUUUUAAGUCACCAUAGCAAGCACCCACAGAACACAGUGACUGAGGAAUCAUAUCAGCCAAGGUUUCAAGUCAUAUUUAGCCCCAUUACAAACUGAAUCUAAUAGAUUUCCAAGUUCUGAAGACAGUUUUUUUAAGGAAAAAAAAUGUAAUAAACCAGUUUGAACAGGGAAACACUAACUUUCUUUCACUGAGAAGAUCGAAGAGUUUUCCACCAUAUAUUUCAAAAAAGCUAAGCCACAAUUUGAAUCUCUGAUUAUGAUAAACUGGCUGACGCAACAAUCUAACAAGGUCUUCAGCAGCUCUAAGAGGCAGGGGCUGCAUUGUGAAUGUCUUUCCACUACCUGAAAUAAAAGCAGCAUCAGGAUUUCAGCUGUGCAGAAGAGUUUGAACUGAACUUGACUUCAGAAAGAGGCAGCAUCUUUGAUACAAAAACUUCAAAGUCGAGAUAAGUAAUGAAUCAACACCCCCCUCCAUGGCUUCCACCACAGGGAAACCAAAACAAAUGUGAAGAAGGUGAAAACAAGUGAAAGCAAGAGAAGAGGUCAUCAAGCGGACUCUUACUGGCGGCGGCGGCGGUAAUCUUAGAGCAAGGAGGAGGGGAAGCAAGGACAUGCUCUUGCUGGUGAUGAUACUCACCGGAAACUGUCACAUUCCGCCAAAAAUCCAUGGCCAAGAAAGGGAAAUUAAUGUUUGAAACGAACAAGAAGCACAAGGAGAAAGUGAGAGAGAAAGUGAGGGGAAAGGAAAGAAAGAAAAAGGGAAAUGGCGCAGUGUCUCAACGAGAGUUAGCCCUUUUAUGGCCUGAGUUUUCUGUCGGCAUAUAAAGCUAAAGAAACAAUCAAAGUUACAAAGUUGGCAGUAGUUUUUUUAAAAAAAAAAAUUAACACAGUAAACUUAAAAUUUUAAAAGAAUAAUACUGCUCGAAAAAACAAUUGAUGAAAUAUUAUACUUUAAUUAUUUUUAGGUUUUAAAGAACUAAUGAAUGUAAAAAUAAAAAGAAAAAUUGUAAUUUUAGAAUAAAAACAAUUUGAUAAUUUUUUUUUAUAGCUUUAGUAGUAUCAUUCCUUCCCAACCACCAUACCUCUGAAAAUACAAUCAAUUUCAGAACUUUUUCAUAACUUGAUUACUUAUUACAUUUAAUAUCUGUCACCAAACAUUAUAUUAAAUGCAUGGUUUGGCUUGACAAUUCAUUUUUUAGCAAUUCUAAAAUAUAAAAUUAUUUUUUAUAUUAGUACAUCAAAAAAAUAUUAAUUUAAAAUAAAAAAAAUAAAAAACAUUUUCAAAACACAAUGUAAAACAAAAACAGAAUAUAUAUAUAUAUAUAUAUAUUAUACAUGCUCAAUGUUAUGUCAUAGUGAAGAAAGUAAAUAAAUGUAUACUAUAUAUAUAUAUGCUAAAAUACAUUCCUUUUAAAGUCUCUAAACAAGCAACAUAGUCUACACCCACUUACUAUCUUUGUUAUCGUAUUUGGAAAGGGUAGAUGGGAAAGUUUAAAUGAAUUUAAGAACCCAAAACAGCCAUUUUCUGUAUGAAUUCGUGCAAAGUUAUUGAAAAAACUUGUUUUUUUAUAACUAAAACAAUAUUUUUAAAAAAGAAAUUAGAGACUGAAUUACGCACUUCAUGAGCAAUUAAAGCUCAUAUUGCUAAUUACGCACUUCAUGAGCAAUUAAAGCUCAUAUUGCUAAUUACGCACUUCACGUGAAAAGUGAUCGAUUGAAUAACAUGGGCUGUUAUUGUCACCUAAGAAAAUUAAAUGACGAAGCUCAUAUUGUUAAUUCUCUUUCCUUUCUUUAAUUUCUUUCCUUUGCCAAACCACGAAAUUCUUUCCCAAGGAUUUUGCUUUUACAUUUUGCUUUUAGGUAAAAAGUUAGAGAUUAGUGUUUGUGUGCAAUUUCUUCCGGACAUGGCUGCCAAGUUUACUAUAAACAUCUUUUAUUAUUAUUUUUGAAAUUUUUUUAUUUUAUAAAAUAAAUCUAUUUAUAAAAUAGUUUUAGAAUGAACUUUUUUUAUUUUUAAAAUAUAAAAUAUAUAAAAAUAUAUCAUUACUAUCUUCAUAUAUUUUGUUCUGAGUCAAUAACAUAACACUAUAUUACCGUGAUAUAGCAACCCAUGGGGUCGGACAUUGUAAUUUUUAAGUUUCGUGUAUUGUACUAUCAAGAUUCCCAAACCAAUGGAACCCAAGAAUUGCGAGAAAUUUAUGGUUUGAGAGGGUUUAAAUUGAGAUAUCAUUGGGAUUCAUUACUCUGUAAUUUGCCACUAUCAACAUGCAUGAGUCUUGUUUGAUGUAGUGGGUAUAAUAGUAAUUGUUUUUUAAAGUAUUUUUAUUUAAAAAUAUAUUAAAAUAAUAUUUUUUUUAUUUUUUAAAAUUAUUUUUGAUAUCAAUAAAUUUAAAUAAUUUAAAAAUAUUAAAUAAUUUUAAUCUAAAAUAAAAAACAUUUAAAUUUUUUAAAAAAAUAUCUUUGAAACCAAACGGAUUCAUCCUCAUUGCCAUUUUCUUUUAAUGGACAUGUGACUGCUACAAGAAGAUGGGUUCGCUUUGAUGAACGCCAGGUAACGUCAUGUCCAAAAACUACAUUAGGGUGACACAACACGCGUGAGGCCCUGAUAUUCAAUGGGAUGACAGUUGACAGAUUGCGUGAGGCCCGACAAUAUUCAAUGGGAUGACAGUUGACAGAUUAUAUAUAUAUAUAUACAUAUAUAUAUAUAUAUAUAUUGAUACCCGCGCGAUGCCGCAGGUCAUUUUUUUGCAUAAAAAAUAUUAAAUAAAAUAAAAAUUUAAAAAUAUUGGGUUUUUCUGCAAAGUUAUAUCCAAGAAUCUUGGGUUUAGCUACAACGCCUGACCUAAAAGUAAUAUUUAUAAUAUUAAUAAUAAAAUUAAACUUGUAUGACCCAAGUUUAAGUGAGUCUGGCUGUAACACCGGACCCAAGAAUACUGGAUGUGGGUCUGGCUAUAAGGUCGUGUCAUAAAAGUAUGAUAAUUAAAUAGAUUAAUUAAAAAAACAAAGAACAAAAAUUAACAGGAAGGAAAAAACUAAUGAAGAAAAGGAAAGAAAAUUGAAUUAAUUGGGUCAACCUUUUAAACCAGGUUAUCCCGUAAAACCUGGGAUUUGCGUUAUGAAAGUUUGAUAACUAAAUAGAAAAAAAAAUGACAGGUUUACCUAGAAUUAACCGGGUUAACCCAUCAAACCAAGUUAACCCGUCAAGCCCAGGAUACGUGUCAUGAAAGUAUGAAAGUCUGAUAAUUAAAUAGAAAGAAAAUUAACUUUAACAAACUAAACUAAAUGAAAAAAAUAACUCGUCAAAUCAGGUUAACCCAUCAAACCCGAGAUUCGUAUCAUGAAAAUCUGAUAACUAAAUAAAAAAAAUUAACAUUAACAAACUAAAUCAAAAAAAAAUUCAUAAAAAAAUUAAAAAGAAAAAACAAAAGGAAAAAACAAUUAUAUAAUAUAAUACAAUAUAAUUAUAAUUAUAAUUAUAAUACAAUAUAAUUAUAAUGAAAAAACGUGGGGAAAUUUUCAAAAAAAAAAAGUGUGGAAAGCUAAAGCUAAAGCUAAAUUCUCAACCAACUCAAUAUUGAAAAAAAUAAAUUUAACAAAGAUAAUUUUUUGAAAAAAACAUGUGGGGAAAACACUGUAGCCAAACAAAAAUUAUGUAAGGGAAACACUGUAGUAAUCCAUAGUGUUUUUUUUUUAAAAAAAAAAACUACAAAGCUAAUCUCUCAACCAGCUUAAUAUAUAAAAAAACCGACAAAGGCUAUCUUAAAAAAAACGAAGAAGUCAAUUUUGGGUAAAAGAAAUGAAAAAAAAUGUACAAAAAAGGAAACAAAAGCCGAAAAAAACACGUGGAGAAAGCUACAGUGUUUUAAAGAAAAAGACAAAAAAUAAUAAUAAUAAUAAUAAUAAAAUAUGUAAAAAAUGACAAUUUUGGAAAAAAAAAAACUACAAAGCUAGAUUAUCAGCCAGCUCAAUAUUGAAGAAAUAAAUUCAAUAAAGAUAAUUUUUUAAAAAAAUAUAUUGGGGAAUUGUUUUUAAAAAAAAAAAACUACAAAGCUAAAUUCUCAACCAACUUAAUAUAAAAAAAAUAAAAUUUACAAAGACCAUUUUGAAAAAAAAUAAAAAUAAAGAAAUCAUUAAAAAAAAGAAAACAAUGUAUGAGAAUAUUAUAGCAAUCCAUAAUGUUUUAAAGAAGAAAACUACAUAGUUAAAUUUUCAACCAGCUCAAUAUUUAAAAAAAAUUAGCAAAGAUAAUUUUGAAACAAAAAAAUUAAGAAAAAAAACGAAACAAAAAAAAGAAGAAGAAAUCAAUUUUGGGUAAAAAAAAAAAACCAUAAAAAAACAUGUUAAAAAAAAAAAACAAAAGCAAAAAACAAAACCGAAAAAAAAAAAAAAACUGCUGCUACAGUGAAAAACCUACGCGUUUUAGAGUUCUUAUUAAUAUAUAUUUUAUAACAAUAACUAAAACUGUUUAAUAUUAAAUAUUUUUUAUUUAAUUAUUAAACUUUUAUGAUAUAGAUUUUGAGUUUGACAGGUUAAUCCAGAUUUUUUUUCUGGUUUUUCUUUUCAAAUAAUUUUUUUGAGUGCAGUCCACAGUGAAACGCUGAGCUGUCUUUUUUUUUUUUGCUUUUUGCUUUUUGUUUUGUUUUUAAAGUGGUUUUCUUUUCUUCUUUUUUUUUUGCCUUUUUCUUGGUUUUUUUAAGCUGUUUUUUUUUUGUUUUNNNNNNNNNNNNNNNNNNNNNNNNNNNNNNNNNNNNNNNNNNNNNNNNNNNNNNNNNNNNNNNNNNNNNNNNNNNNNNNNNNNNNNNNNNNNNNNNNNNNCUAUUUAGUUAUCAAACUUUCAUGACACGGGUUCCGGGUUUGACGGGUUAACCCAGCUAAUUCUAGGUUGACCCGUAAAUUUUUUUUUUCCUAUUCAGUUAUCAAACUUUGAUGACAUGAAUCCCAGAGUUGACGGGUUAACCCAGUUAAUUCAUAUUUUUUUUUCUUCAUUAGUUUUUUUCUUCUGUAGGCUUUUCUUUCUUUGUUUUUUUUUUAAAUUAAUAUUUUUUUUGUUUAGUAUUUUUGCUUUUUGCUUUUUUUUUCUUUUUAAUUAUUAUUUUUUUAAAAUUUAUUUUGUUAAUAUUAAGUUUUUUUCAAUUUAGUUAUCAAACUUUCAUGACACGGAUCUCAGGUUUGACGGAUUAACCUGGUUUGACGGGUUAACUUAGUUAAUUCAGAUUUUUUUCCUUUUCUUCAUUAUUUUUUUUUUCCUGUAGGUUUUUUUCCUUUGUUUUUUUCUUUUUAAUUAAUCUUUUUUUUUUCACUUUAGUUUAUUAAUGUUAAUUUUUUUCUAUUUAGUUAUCACACUCUCAUGACACGAAUCCCAGGUUUAACGGGUUAACCUGAUUUGGUGGGCUAACCCAGUUGAUUGAGAUUUUUUUCUUUUUCUUUAUUAGUUUUUUUCUUUCAAUUUCUUCUUUAAAUAUUGUAAUUAACUAUAACUAAAAGACAUCAAUUUUUUUUCUUCCAAUUUCAUGACACGAGUCCACAGUGAAAUGCUGAUCUGUCUCUUUUUUUAUUUUUUAUUUUAUUUUAUUUUUUGUUUUAAGCUGAGAUGUCUGUUUUUCCCCCCUUUUUUUCGUUUCUUGAGCUGUCUUUUUGUUUUGUUUUGUUUUUUUAGCUGUUUUGUUUUUCUUCUUUUUUUCCCAUUUUUUAUGCCUUUCGGGUUUUAUUUUUCUUCUUUCUUUUUUUUUCUUUUAAUAAAUUUUUUUUGUUUAAUUUAGUUUUUUAAUGUUAAUUUUUUUUAAUUUAGUUAUCAGACUUUCAUUACACGGAUCCCAGGUUUAACAGGUUAACUUGGUUUGACGAGUUAACUCGGAUUUUUUUUUUUGCUUUUUUUCUUUUUAAUUAAUUUUUUUCGUUUACCUUAGUUUGUUAAUGUUAAAUUUUUUUUCUGUUUAGUUAUCAGACUUUCAUGACACAAAUCUCAGGUUUGAUGGAUUCAUCUAUGACGGGUUAAACUAGUUGAUUCAAAUUUUUUUUUCUUUUUUUAAAGUAGUUUUUUUCUUUCAAUUUCAUCUUUUAAUAUCGAUUUGAUUAAGAAUUAAAAUUUAUGAUUUGUUUUGUUUACUGUUCAUUAGAUUAUUGUGAUCUCAUAAGGAGAUUUUACUGUACCCCUCCUUGCAAUGCACUAUUCACCGGAAUAAUGCUUUGCUUUAUUGUUUUUUUUUCAAUUAAUCUUUUUUUUUAAUUUCAUUCUGUAAUAUGAAAUUUUUUCCUUUUUAAUUAUCAUACUUUUAUAACAAGACCUUGCAACCAGACUCAUAUCCAAGGCUCCGGGUUUGAUGUUGCAACCAAACUCACUUAAACUUGGGUCAUGCAAGUUUAAUAUUAUUAUUAAUAUUAUAAAUAUAACUUUUGGGUCAAGAGUAGCAGACAUACCCAAUACUCUUAGGUAUAACUUUGUAGAAAAACGCUCUUAGAUUUUAACUUUUUUUGAUAUUUUUUAUACAAAAAAAAUUUACUCGCGACGCAACGCGAGCCACGUUUCUAGUAUACACACACACACAAAUGAUCUAGGAACCAAAUACCUUUUGUAAAGGAAUGCUCAAAAUUAUAAGGAUGCCAUUUAGAAAUCCAAUUGUUUGAAGGCAAAGCAGACACUAUUUUAAUAAUUGGAGGGUAUAUUCAUGUUCUUUUAAAAUUUUAAAAUUUACCAAAAUUUCUCAUUUUAGGUUACGAAAGAGGCUUUAGACACAUAACAGAGCUAAGCCCAUAUUUCUUCUUCUUUCUUUUACAUCAAAUUUGAAAAUAAUAUUAGGAUUUAGGUGGCCCUCAUCAAUACUCUUUCUAUAUUUGGUGUCACGCGGUGCAGAUUUAUUGAUGGGUUCUUCUUCCUACCGUUUGAUCAAAUUAUGUUUGAUUUCAACCCUUGACUGCUUAGCUUUGAAAAUACCUAAAAAUAAUGUGUUAUCAACUUUUCGAACUAUACUGCAUAUUUUAUUUUCAUAUUCUUAUAAAUGUUAUUAUGAUUAAUUAUCCAUGAAAACUUAAAAACCAUGGACUAACAUUUCCAAUGGAAUGGGUUUUUUCGGUUCGGUGCGAAGAGUUCCUCUACUGCUAUUCUCACUCUUGAGAGUAUGGAAAGAUUGAUUACUCGCUGGUUUUUGUUGCAAAAUAUUACAGUUGAAAGAAGUCCUCGACCUACUUUUGGUCGGGAUGAUCGCAUGGUAAAAGCAAUUAUUUUUAACAAUAAUAUAUUAAAAUAAUAUAAUUUUAAAAUUUAUUUUUAAUAAUAACAUAUCAAAAUAAUUUAAAAAAUUAAAAAUUAAAUUUUUAAAAACUCCAAUUAAAAUACGAGACUAAACACUCUUUCAUUAUAUUUUUAGUGUAUUAAUAAAUUCACAGUCAAAUUUUUUUAUUAAUUUAAAUAAACAAAAGAUUGUUUAAAAAAUAUAAUUACAUUUUAAUAUAUUAAAACUUCAUAAAUUUAUUAAAAUUUCUCACUACACGUGAAAAAAUAUAUUGUAGGAAGAAAUAUAUAUAUAUAGGCUAUUUUUUAUGGGAAAAUAAAAACAAUGUAAACUUGACUUGAUUACUUAACAAUUUUGUUGGCUAAAAAAAUGAUAUGAUUUAGAAUUUAUUGAUAUAUUAGAUACCUAUUGGGGGGGGGGGGUUAUUUAUGAGAUUUUCUUAAUUUUUUUUCAAUUCAUGUUAUAGUCUUUGUUAGAAAAAUAUCUUUUUAAAUGAAUUUCUAUUAAAAAUUGUUGUAUUGAUAUUGAUAAAUAUAUUUUUAAAAUCGCGUGUUUGGUAAAAUUGGACUAAACUCUAAAUUCACCUAUCCAGAGGCAAAGGCUUGGACAGAUAAAAAUUCAAAUGAUUUUUUCUUAUAAAUUAUAAUAGUUGGGUGGCUCGCGUUACACCACGAUUUUUUCUUUAUGAGAUUUUCUUAAUUUUUUUUGAAUUCAUGUUAUAGUCUUUGUUAGAAAAAUAUCUUUUUAAAUGAAUUUCUAUUAAAAAUUAUUGUAUUGAUAUUGAAAAAUAUAUUUUUAAAAUCGUGUGCUUGGUAAAAUUGGACUAAACUCUAAAUUCACCUAUCCAGAGGCAAAGGCUUGGACAGCUAAAAAUUAAAAUGAUUUUUUCUUAUAAAUUAUUCUAGUUGGGUGGCUCGCGUUACACCACGAGCUUAUCUUUUAUUUUCAUAAAACAUUGGGUCCUGACGAUGGCAGGACCCAAGGCUAUUUGGGUUCUGCACAUGCAGGACCCAAGUUUAUUUUGGGCCCUGCACAGUCAAUGACCUAAAGUUAUCUUGAGUUCUACAGCAUAUAGGGCCCAACUAUCCUUGGGUCUUGGCGCGCCACAUGCGGGUUGGGGGUGUAGCCAGCUUCCAGGCAGACAGCCCAAGCGCCACAUGUGCACUAGGGAGUGCCCCCCCAAAGGUAGGAGCCCAAGCACCACGUAAACGCAGGGGUGUGCCUAACACUUAGACAGAGCCCAAGCGCCACGUAGACGCAGGGGUGUGCCAGCCCUCAGGCAGGAGUCAAGCACCACGUGUCCCCACGUGAUUUUUCUUCGAUAGUAAUAAUAAAUUUUUAAAAUUUAUUAAUGAUGAUAAUAAUAAUACUAAUAGUAAUUUUUAAUUUUAUCUUUCAAAUCAAAUCUUUAGUUGUUUUCAACAUUAAGAAUAAUUUUUUUCUAAUUUAGUAAUUAUUUUAUUAAUAAUAUUAAUUAUUAUAAAAAUAAUAAUAUUUAUACCACAAAAAAGUAAUAUUUUUAAUAUUAAUAUUUUUUAUUAUAGUAAAAAUAAUAAUAUUCAUAACACAAAUAAUACUAUUUUUAAUUCUAAGACUAUUUAGAACAUAAAUAAUAAUAUUUUUUAUAUUAAAACUUUAAAUUAUUAUAAAAUAAUAAUAUUGACAACGGAAAUUAUAAUAUUUUUUAUAUUAACACUUAGAAUUAUUGAAUAUUUUUAAUAAUACUACGCCGUGGGCUCACUCUUUAUUUUUAUAAAAAAAUUCCAUAAAAAUUUAUUAAUUAUUUUAUUAAUAAUGUUAAUAAUAAUAAUAUUGCUAAAACAAAUAAUAAUAUCUAGAAUCUUAGGAUCCAUGAACAUUGAGUUUUGAUGAAGAACCUAAUUCUUACGCUAGACCCAUUGAUCAUGGAUCCUGACGACCAACUCAUUCCCCUUGAGUCCGGAGCCAUGACCCAAGCACCACUUGUCCCCAACCCAAAGACAGAGCCUAAACGCCACGUGUGCACUAGGGAAUGCUUGCGCUGGGAAGUGCCCAACCCAAAGGCAAAGCCCAAGCACCACGUGUGUGUUGUGGAGUGCCCACCCUAAAGGCAGAGCCCAAGCGUCGUGUGUGCGUUGGGAUGUGCCCAGCUCCCAGGCAAGCAGCCCAAUUGCCAUAUAGGCGCAGGGGAGUGCAUAACACCCAUACAACCUGGUGCUUGGGUCCUGCAGGCUACAACCUCCCCACAUGCCCUUACCAACAAUGCAGUCCACAGUGAAAGCACUCACAGUCUACAAUACUCGCGCUAUAGAGCAUAAUAGUGCAAUCCACAGUAAACAAUAUUCCGCACUACAGUGAAACAUUGAUCAGUUUUAAUUAUAGUUAUUUACAGGUUAAACUGGUUCGGGUUAAUACAAAAUGAAAUUACUUUAUUUUUUUUUCAAAACUGGUUCGGGUUAAUACAAAAUGAAAUUACUUUAUUUUUUUUUCAAAACAAAGGGAAAAAAAUAGAUUUUGAAUAUUAAACUUGUCAAGUCAAUUGAUUUAUCUUUGCAUUGAAUUUUAUUUGAAACUAAGGGAUGAUGGAGGUAAUUUUCAAGUUAACUCGCUACACUAAACUGGAUUUAAUAAAUGUGAUUGUCAUCCCAUCCUAAACAGAAAAGGUAACGGUGUCAGUAAAAGCUUGAACUAAGAAAAAUAAAGUCUUUUUAUUUCUUUAUUUUGUUGCAAUCAAUUUUUGAUCCAUAAAUUUUUAGAAAAAAUCCAAAAAUAGUAAAACAAUUAACAAAAAUCUAAAAAAUAUAUUUUUUAAUAUAUUUGCAUCGUUUUUAACAUUUUUAACAUCGGCUCAAAAGAAUUUAAAAUUUCAAAGAUCUUUGGAAUGCGUUCGACUUUGAACAUGUUAUUUUUAAAAUCAAUAAUUUUCCUCAUUCGAGUUGAUAUUGAUAAGAAAAAUUUUAAAAAAUAACAAAAAUCAAAUUUACAAAAAAACAAUUUAGAGGAAUCAAGUUUGAAAACCUAGCAAUAUUUUUUCCUAUAAACAAGAGUUUUCAACACAUUCUCCAGGGGGUGAAUUUUUAAAAAAAAAACAUAAAAAAAAUCAAUGUUUUAAAACCCGGAUCGGCCUGGCGGGCCGACCCGGGCCUGGGACCGGCGGGUCGACCCGGGACCCGGCCGACCCGGGCCUGGGACCGGUCCGGGUGGAGGCAAAAACCCGCUUGGGAAUUGGCCCGGGGAAACCUGGUCAAACCCGGGUGUGACCCGGUCAAUUUUUUUCCUGCCGCUGCCGCUGCCUCUUCUCUUCCUUCGACCUCCGCGUCCCGGCCUAUUGCACCUGUUGCCUAAGGAGCAAAACCCGAGUUGGAGGAGUUCCAUUGAAAUUCACACUCUUCACCUUCUUCUCACCAGCAUUCACUAUAACCCCAGCUCUCCUAUCAGUCUUCUUCACCAUCAAUGGCGUCGUAAUCCCUUGCUCAUGUUUCCCCAAUCCUUGCCCUUCCUUCCACCCCAUCUUCGCCAUCAUCCUCUGCGCCGCAGUCAUUUGUCCACCAGCACCAACUCCCAACCCUACCGUCCUUGAUGUCCUAAUACUAAACCCAUCCCCAUUCCUGGGUGGCGAAGAACUCCUUGGAACACCUCCACUCAUGGUAGCACGCCUUCUCCACGCUUCCUCCCCAGAAAUAUUCACAUCCCUGUCCCUAUCCUUCUCCCUUUUCCUCUCCCUCUCCUCCUCCUCCUCUUGCCUCCUCCUCUCAAUCUCCCUCAACCUCUCCGCUUCCAUCGCCUUCCUUUUUUACUCCCUCCUAUAAUCUUCAUAAUCAUUCGGCCUGGCCGAAUCAUACUCCUCAACAACCACCAAAUUCACCCCUACCAGUUCCAGUUGCGGAGCCACCUCAUCGGGUAGCACAGUCGCUGCCGCCACGAACAGAGAAACUAAAGAUUUGGAAGCAGAGAUUUGGGGUUUAGGUUUGUUAGGGUUUUUUAAAAUAGUUAGUGGUGAUGUGAGUAGACGAAAUUAAUGUGUUGAUUCAAUAAAAGUGAAUGUGGUGUUAAUUUUGUUGCAUUGUAACUAGUUUUUUUUUUUGGGUUGACCCGGUCACUUGACCGGGUCGAUGACCGGAUCGGGUUUCAAAACUAUGAAAAAAACCCUAAACCUAAACCUAAUCCUAUCUCUAACCAAACAGCCGCCACUCUCCCCGGCUUUGAUUUUUCUCUCCCACGCCGCAACUCUUCCUCUCUUUUGGCAAAGACAAACUAGAGCUCCACCAGGAACCCCACAUAUUCCCCCCGGGGCCAUCUCACCAUCUCUCUCCCAGUCGCAACUCACUCUGCUCCUUCCCUCAUCUCACAAAAACAGCUAGACCCAGCUCCUCCAAAACAACAGCCCCACAGCCAUCACUAGAUUCCCCCUCACAGAACCACAACCUCUUAAUCUCCCUGCACACAACCCUUUUCCUUAUCCCCACAGCCGUCCCUCCUCUCUCUCUUAUGAUGCGGGACAACAAACAAAAGAAUUAAAGCCGGGAAAAGAAAGAAGCCUAGAAGAAGAAGAAAGCCAAAGAAGAGAAGAGAGAAGAGUAGGGAGAUGCAAAAUCUGCAAUUUUCAUUAAUCAUCAAUAAAAAUGACCAUGUCUCAAGAUGAUAGAACAUAUAAAUAGUAAAUCUUAGAACAUCCCACUGGGCUCGGCCCAUCAAAUUAAACUGUUUAACAUAAAUAAUAAAAUAACAAUGAGCAGGCUCAAAUGGGCUACAUAAAUAAAAUUACAAUGAAAUAGGCCUAAAUGGGCUUAGUCCCCCAACCAAAGCGUGACGGGCUGGGCCAUCCUACGUCGCCUCUGUCCAUAUACUCGUGUAGUUUGUGGUGUGGGUCUGGUGUCCCCACCAUCUCUCCCGGGGUUAGAGAAACUUGACCCUGUCGAGUGUAAUACUGGCCGACUCUGAUAGUACUCCCAAAGAUCUGGGUCAAGCUGCUGUAAAGUAUCUCUAGUAAUCCAAGUGCAAUCUGAGUCAGGUCGACCCACCCAACGAACUAGAAACCGUUGAACCUCACCAUUCCUGUUAAAAACAACUUGUUCAUCCAGAAUAACAUCAAUAUUAUCCUUUUGUGCUGAUGUUAAGGUGAAAGGGAUAGAGGUUUCAAUAGGUUCAUUAGGAGGGGAGUUAAGUGGUAGCUCAAAUGGAUCAUCUGGGAUAGGAAGUGGUUUGUGGUAGGUAACUAGAUCCUCAAUAUUAAAUGUAGAGCUAAUGCCAAAAUCAUGUGGUAAAUCAAGAACAUAAGCAUUUGGACCAACUCGUUGUAGCACUUUGAAAGGCCCGGCACUGCGCGCAUGUAAUUUUCGAUUGGCUCCCGGAGGAAACCGCUCGGGUCUAACCCGUAUCAUAACAUAGUCUCCCACAUUAAACUCAUUAUGUCGUCUAUGUAAAUCAGCUUGAAGUUUAUAAUGCGCAUUACUUGCUUGAAUUUGUUUAGUGAUCUCAAUAUGCAAAUCCUGAAUUCUACGUGCAAAAGACUCGGCUGACUCAGACACUCUAGCAUGAAGGGACAUAGGAAGAAGGUCUAAAGGUUUCCUAGGCUUGUAACCAUGUACAACUUCAAAGGGACUCAUGCCUAUUGACCUAUUGAUAGAGCUAUUAUAGGCAAACUGGGCCGUAGGAAGAAUCAGAUCCCAAUUCCGAUUAUGAUCACUCAUUAGACACCUUAAAAGGUUGCCCAAACUCCUGUUAACCACCUCGGUUUGACCAUCAGUUUGGGGGUGGUAAGUAGUAGAAAACUUCAAUUUGGUGCCCACCAUAUGCCAAAGGGUUUUCCGGAAAUAGCUUGUGAAUCUAACAUCCCUAUCCGACACUAUGGUUUGAGGGAGACCAUACAAUUUGACAAUCUCGUCAAAAUAGAGUUUGGCAACUUUGGAGGCAUCUGCGGUCUUAGUACAAGGAAUAAAAUGGGCCAUCUUAGAGAAGCGGUCGACAACCACGAAAAUAGAAUCAUGUUUCUUUGCAGUACGUGGAAGCCCAAGCACAAAAUCCAUGCUCACAUCUUGCCAAGGGCAAGUAGGAACGGGCAAUAGGGUGUAAAGACCAGUAUUUUGUUUUCUAUGCUUAGCUAGUUGGCAAGUUCGACAUUGACCUACCAAUUUGGCGACAUCUCUCUUCAAGCUAGACCAAAAAAACUGGCGUUCCACUUCUUUGAUGGUCUUAUUCCGUCCAAAAUGUCCUGAGAGACCUCCAGCAUGAAUCUCCCAUAUCAAAAAGUCACGCACAGAUGUUUUCGGGAUACAAAGCUUAUUAUCUCGAAAUAAGUACCCACCUUGGAGGUGAUAACCAUUUAUAGCACGGUGACUCUCAUCCUUCAAUGUCAAGUAUAUUUCUCCAAACUCUGAGCAAGAUUCAUACUCCUCUUUGAGUCUCUCAAAUCCUGUGACUUCAACGCUCAUUACGGAUAACAGCGUUACCCGAUGACUCAAAGCAUCCGCAGGCUUAUUCUCUAUUCCAGAUUUAUGUUUCAAAACAAAUGAGUAUGCCUGCAAAUACUCAACCCAAUGACCAUGCCUAUGAUUAAGCUUCUUUUGGGAGUUAAGGUAGCGAAGGGCCUCAUGGUCGGAGUAAAGAACAAACUCCUGUGGUAGCAAGUAAUGGCGCCAAUAACGCAAGGCCUGAACCACCACAUAAAACUCCUUAUCAUAAGUUGAGUACUUUUGUUUUGCCUCAUUAAGUUUCUCACUAAAGUAGGCUACAGGGUGACGUUCCUGACUAAGUACUCCACCUAUACCGACUCCCGAAGCAUCACAUUCUACUUCAAACACUUUAGUAAAAUCAGGUAGCCGCAUUACUGGGGCCUCCGUCAUUUUCUUCUUAACCUCCUCAAAUGCCUUAUUAGCUCCUUUACUCCACUUCAACUCACCUUGUUUCAAACAAUCUGUAAUAGGCGACAUGAUGGUGCUAAAUCCCUUAAUAAAACAACGAUAGAAAGUCUCAAGUCCAUGAAAACUACGAACCUCAUGAAUAGUCUUAGGCUCAGGCCAAUCUACUAUCGCUUGGACCUUCUGGGGGUCAGCAGAGACUCCUUUCCAUGACACUAUAAAUCCUAAAAAGACCAUUUGAUCUGUAAAGAAAGAACACUUUUUGACAUUUGCAAACAAACUUGCCUUUCUUAGGGUGGUACAAACUUGGAUAAGAUGAUCGAAAUGUUCUUCCUUGGUUUUGCUAUAAAUAAGAAUAUCAUCAAAGUAUACCACCAAGAACUUUCCCAUAAAUGGCCAAAGUACUUGUGUCAUUACUCUCAUAAAAGUGCUGGGUGCAUUGGAAAGGCCAAAAGGCAUGACUAACCAUUCAUAUAAACCAUCUUUAGUCUUAAAUGCCGUUUUUCAUUCAUCGCCCGGACGGAUCCUAAUCUGAUGAUACCCACUCUUCAAGUCAAUCUUAGAGAAGAUCUGGGCUCCUGCCAUCAUAUCUAACAUGUCAUCCAAUCGAGGAAUUGGAAAACGAUACUUGAUUGUAAUCCUAUUGAUGGCUCGACUGUCAACACACAUUCUCCACGAUCCAUCUUUCUUGGGUGUUAACAAUGCAGGUACCGCACAAGGGCUCAAACUCUCUCGUAUAAAUCCUUUUUGUAACAACUCACCUAUUUGCCUUUGCAAUUCAGCAUGUUCACUCGGGUUCAUCCUAUAGUGAGGCAAGUUCGGUAGUGUGGCCCCAGGGACAAAAUCUAUGGCAUGUUGAACAUCACGCAUAGGGGGUAAAACAUCAGGUAGUUCAGAAGGGAAAACAUCUAGAAACUCUUUCAACACUUCUCUUACCUCUUCAGGGGGCUCUUCUAAAAAGUCUUCUACAAUCUUUUUAGCCACUACAGCAAACACAACAGCCUCCUCACAAAUCUCCUUAUCAAACUCCCUAGGACUUAUUAUGUUAAGCCCUCCUUCUCUCACUUUAUUCUUCUUCUGACUAUUAUCAUUAGACCUUGGAGGUAACCCAAUAAGUUGGAUUUUUUUACCUUGAAAAGUGAAUGAACAAGAAUUUGAUCGUCCAAAGAUUGUAACAUCCAAAUCAUACAACCAAGGCCUACCUAAAAUGACGUGCCCUACGUCCAUGAGGAUGACAUCACACCAAAUUUCAUCAUGAUAGUCAAAAAUCUUAAUGGGAAAAAGACAUCUCUCUUUGACCGCUAUAGCUGUAUCAUUGACCCAAGACACACUAUAGGGUUUAGGGUGUGGAACAGACUUUAAGCCCAAGCGGGAUACACUACUCAAGGAAACUGCAUUGAUACAACUACCACUGUCUAUGAUGAUCUUACACCCUUUAUCUCCACAUUUGAUGUAAGUGUAAAAAAUAGCAGUCCUUCUCCAAUCCUCAGUUCCUUUAGGUUGUGUUAAAGCACAUCUAACCACACCCAACCUAGUUGUCUUGAUUUGAGUGGAUAUAGACCUAACACAACCUAGCAAGUUAGACUCAUCAUCCUCGUCAUUUAGAUCUUGAAAAUCAUCGGGAUUGGGCUCAUAUAUCUUAUCAUCACAAUUAUCUUCUUCGCCCAUAUCCUCUUGCCCCUUGAUGAACAAAGUCUUAUUAGGGCAGCUAGAGGAGAUAUGACCAAAACCCUGACACUUAAAACACUGAAUUCUGGAAGUUUUAGGUGCUUCAUGAAAAAUACCCUUACCCUUGUCUUCUCUAGGUAUUUGGGAAAUCAAAGGAUUGGGCUUACGAGGUGGGGCACCUAAUAUGGAGUUAUUACUACCAGGUUGAGACCUAGAAGGGGUAUUACGAGUGUCCUGACGUCUUGUCCACUGGCUUUUUGUGAACCAAGUCAUAAUUUUGUACUAAGGUAUAAGCUUCAUCAAGGGUGGAAACACCCCUAAGCACGAUCUCUCUCCUAAGGUCAUCAUUUAAGCCUUUUUCGAAAUCUACUUAGGGUCAUCACUUCAUCCUCCCUAACUGCACACCUCAUCCUAUACUCAUCAAAUUGUGCCACAUAGUCAUUAACAGACUUGCCUCCUUGCCUCAAGUUAUUCCACUGGUCCAAAAGAUUUCCUCUAUGAGAAUGCGGCAAAUACUUUUCUUUUAACUUAGUCUUCAUUUCAACCCAGUCAGUAAUAGGGGGUUGACCUCUCCUAUUCAAAGACUCUUCUACACUUUCCCAAUAGAGCUGAGCGGUCCCACUAAGUUUCAUCUUUGCAAAUCUUACCUUUCUAUUCUCAGACAGAUUAUACCAGCUAAAGAAUUGAUCCAUGUCACGAAUCCAUCUAUCAAAAAUCCACGGGUCAAGUUGACCCUCAAAAGUUGGGGCUUCCACCUUGAUAUGCCUCAUGACUCGCUCAUCAGGAUCAUCAUAGUCUUGAUGGCCCUGAUUGCGGUUGUAUUGACGGUUCCUAGGAUGAGCUGGUCUUUGACGAUAAUCAUUGGAACGCUCACUAUCAUGAGGGUCAUCAAAGUCAUUGUGGCCCUGGUGUUGGUUAUGGUGGCGGUUCCUACGAGGAACUGGUCUUUGAGGAUUCCUAUGGUUGUCACUAGAAUGCUCACUCUCACUAGACGGUCUUAUUUGCAAAGUUUCUAUGGACUCCACCCUCCCAGAAAGGUUGUUCAUUUGAUUGGACAAGUUGCUCAUUUCCGUUCGCAUAAGUUGUAAUUGUUCUUGAAUAUCUCUAAGAACAUUACUAGAGUUUGAGUCCAUGGUAGCUGUGACUUCUAGAUUGUGUACUAGACGACCACUACGUAAAUGCAUGCAAAACUAAUCCUGAAAUUGAGAUCACCAAGUAACAUUUGCAAGUAGAACGCAAAAUAAAAUUAUAGCUAGUAACAUAGAAAAUUAAAAAUAAAAUAAAAUUUAAUAAAAUAAAAAUAAAAUUAGAAUAAAGAAAAUAUUUUUUUUAAUUUUUUUUUUAUUUAACUCGGAGACUAAGUAAUGACAGAUUAAACCAGGAAAAUGCGCAAACAAGCAGUGUAAGUCCUCUAAAUGCACACAAAUAAUCCCAACACAAUGUUUCAGUUUUCCCACUAAUUUACCAAAGCUCCAUACUUAAUCAAGAGGAUCAGAUCUUCAAUGCUAAACAAGCUCAAAACUAAGGUAAUUUAAUUUAGUUAUGGGCAAGCACAAAAAAUAAUAUUAAUGCUAAAUCUUGGUUAACAAGUGUUAAAAAAAACAUACCAGGAAUGAUGAUUUUCAAUGGGUAAAAAUUCUGACCGUAUGAUAUGGCAGCGAAGGAUUACGUGGCAGCUGACGUGGUAGGAUAUACUGAUGGGACAUAUGAUGUGGCAAGGAAAGCUGACGUGGCAGAGAUAAUGACGUGGCAGCGACGUGGCAAGAUCUGCUGACGUGUCAUGUGACACUGAUGCUGACGUGGUGCUGACGUGUCUAGGUUAAUUAUAUUCUCAGCUGUGGUUUUCUUUCUUUCUUCCUUGCUUCUUUAGCUUCUGUGACCCGUUGCCGCCGCUGUCGGCGAUGGCUCGCUCCGUGUUCUCGCUUGGGGCCAGCGGCGCGUGGGGAAGAGGUGGUGGUGUCCGGUGUGGCUGCUGGGCGGGGCUGCUGCCGAAGGUGAGGGCGCUGUGGGUGGUGGGUCGCCGCUGGUGCUGUUGCUGGGGUGCGAUUGAUGGCGCUGCUGGUUAGCAACGCUGGAACCGACGACAGAGAGCUGCGGCGCUGCAGGUUUGUUGAAGGCAAUAACUCGGCGUGGUCUGCGAUCGAUGGCUGUGGUCGGCGUUGAUGUGGAGUGGCCGAUUGUUCUGUGGAACUGAUGUGCAGGUCUUCUUGGUGGCGGGCUGCCGCUGAUGCUUGCCUGGGGCGCCGAAGACAGUGACGAUGAGCUGAUCUCGGUUUUUUUUUUUUUUACAGUAGGGUUUCACAUAAACGCAUAGAUCGUUUAAUUGUAAGAACAAUUAAAAACCAGGCUCUGAUACCAAAUUUGAUGCGGGACAGCAAACAAAAGAAUUAAAGCCGGGAAAAGAAAGAAGUCUAGAAGAAGAAGAAAGCCAAAGAAGAGAAGAGAGAAGAGUAGGGAGAUGCAAAAUCUGCAAUUUUCAUUAAUCAUCAAUAAAAAUGACCAUGUCUCAAGAUGAUAGAACAUAUAAAUAGUAAAUCUUAGAACAUCCCACUGGGCUCGGCCCAUCAAAUUAAACUGUUUAACAUAAAUAAUAAAAUAACAAUGAGCAGGCCCAAAUGGGCUACAUAAAUAAAAUUACAAUGAAAUAGGCCCAAAUGGGCUUAGUCCCCCAACCAAAGCGUGACGGGCUGGGCCAUCCUACGUCGCCUUUGUCCAUAUACUCGUGUAGUUUGUGGUGUGGGUCUGGUGUCCCCACCAUCUUAGCCAUCAGCAGACCUCACAUCCCCCUCUCCAAGCCACAGCCGCCACAUCUUCUUCUCCCUCACCAGAUAAGCCAAAAGCAGCGUCUUCUUCUCCUCUGGUGUAACCGGCCAACGAACAAAGCCCAUCACAGCAGUAGCCGGGCUCUUCCCUCACAGACCAAACCAUCUCUCCUCUCCAUUCAGCCUCUAAUAGCAGCGACCAAAACAACAGCCCGAAGCCGGCCACUGCCAGAUCUGUCCGCCAUCUUUCUCCAGCUCCUCCCCCACAGACGUCGUCCCGUUCCUCAGCUGCCAGAUCCGCCACUUGAAGAAGAAGGAAAGAACAACAAACCAGACCCGAGAACGGAUAUGGACAAAAAGAAAACUUAAAAUCAACUGUUGUUUGUGCAUUGUUUCCCUUGUUGCAGGUGACGGUAGUCCUCACCGAUAGCGUAGGAAGAAAGAGAAGAAGAAGGCAUCCCCGAUCCACCGGUUUGCUGUCUUUAUCGGCGGCGGCGCGUUGCUGUUCCCGUGCCCAGAAACCUUUCAACUGUGUUUUGGAGUCCAUUUUGUAUUUUUUUUAGAUGUUGAAACAUGUAUUUAAAUUAUUGACAGCAUUUUAUAUUUUUGUUACAUUGUGAUCUUGUAAUUGUGGGUGUGAUAAAAUAUAGUCAAAAAGUGAUGUGUGUUAUUGUAUUUUUUUUUAUGUAUGUUUACGAAUAAAAAAAACUAAAAAGAUAAAAAGAAUGAAAAAGAAAAAAAAUUAAAUGUUUUAAUUUGCAUCGAAUUUGAUUCAUAUUUCAAAAAAAUAACAAAAGAAUAUUUUUCUUUUGGUAUUUAGGAUUAUAAUUUUAUAUGUAAGAUGUAUUCUUGAUAUUAAAUAGAAAAGUUUGUUUUGUUUUUAUUGAUGUUAGCACAAUUAGGUUUUUGUAUCCGAUAAGAUAAGGAUCUGCUUACUGAGGAGAAUUUUCUUCUUUUUUUUAAAAAAAUCAUUGGCAAGACAACUUUCAAAACCUUUUAACACAUCAAAUUCACGAAGUAGCUUACCUCAGGUAGGGUGCGUUAGGAGUGUUAAUACCUUUCUUAACCAUAACUAGUAUCUUACCCGUGAAUCUUUGACAAGACUAGUACACUCGGGUUUCCUAGUAAUUCUUCAAUGAAAUACUAGAUGGCGACUUCCAAGAACCAAAGAACAAAUCAAGUGAACAUAAUAAAAAAUCAUCAGCCAAUACUGCGCGGUCACGUGCAACAAAUUUAAUCAAGUUAAUUGUCCCUUCAAUAAUCAUAUAUGGUAGGGUUUUUACUUUCCUCUUACUAGUUGAUAUUGGUUGGUGUGAGACAAUAAAUUCAUUACUACAUAUAGCCAGAAGCUACAAGUUAAUGGUCUCAGGCUAGUCAAUGAACAAGACAAAUUUUUGUAUUUCUCCUACUGGAAUCCAUGGAAAGAUCAAUAUUUUUUUAUAUAUAUCUAUAUAAGUACAAUUAUGUGUUAAGUACUAGAGAUAGUAGGGGAGAAAUGGACAUGCACGUGGUUCUGAUUAUCCACCCAGAUUUUUCCAUUUGGGACAAGUAGGGAAGUCAUGCCUUUUGUGUUAAUUAGUCUAUUUUAGAGUUAGAAGUAAAAAAAAUAUAAUAGGGUAUAAAAUUUGGGUAAAAAAAUUCAGGUCCCAUAAAUAAAUUUUUUUUGGGUAAUUUACAUAAUUAAUUAUAAUAGAUAUCUAAAUAUAUAAUUAACAAUUUAGUCCUCGAGUUAUUAGAUGCCCUAACAUGCAACAUGUCACACCCGAAUAUUGUGGCGACCGAUUAAAAAUUUCAAUGGAGAAGGAAUGGAUAUCUGACAUUUCGUUCUUUAGGGAAGUUUCUAGUUUAAGGAGUCGUCACUUAGUAUUAUGGUCACUAGAAACCCUAACUAGUCAACAGAGAUUCUAUGGUACAUGAUUGGUUAUACGAAAGUGAAGAUGUUAUCACCUCAUAAGCGUCCCAUCUAAGACAAGCUACAUUGUUGGUUUUGUCUAAAAUUGCUAAGAAUUUGUUCUCCCUUUUUUUUUAUUCUUCCUAUCAUGUUCUUGACUCUAGCGUUAGUGAACAAUUCCUACGAAUAUUUUCAACUCUGAUGUUGGUAAAUAUUGCACAAACCCAAAAAAAUGCGAUAUUCCUGACUUUGCUAUCAAUGACUAAUUUCACAAAGAAUUGAAUUUGAAGAAGAAUUUUCCAAUGCCAUCUUUUGUUGUUUACCCUUUUAUUAUUAUUUGUCCUUUUUAGAUCGAAAUAAAAGAGAUGUUGCACAACAGAUUUUGCAUUUAACAGUAAUGGUUCACAUAUUGGGCACAUAGCAGAAUAAAUACAAAAUGCAAAGAAAAAAAUAAAACAAAGUGAGAGGGGCCGCAAAUAAAUCAACGAAGAUCCCCAAAUAUUUUCAGAAUUUUUUGAUAUAAAAAGGGGCUUGUUUGGCCAGAUAUCAAAAUAUGAGGGGAAUAAUGUAAUGCCCGAUACUUUUAUAUGUAUUUAUAGUUACUUUCCUAUUAUAUGGUACGUAAAAAUAUGAUAAUUUUUUAAUACAAUUUUCAUAUAAAAAAUCUACUGAAAUUUCAGCAGAGUCUCCUAUAUACCUGGAGGUCCCAAGUUAUCAACAUAUAAUCUGUUUACACUUCUAAUAUUCCAUAUCUCAUAACUUAAUCACGACUCAAUCAUCCUGGGUUUCAAUCUCACAAAUAUCAUCAUCAUCACAACCACAAUAUUUACAAUAAAUAUUGAACAACAAAUAUCAUUAUAGUUGAAUAAAUGAGAUAAACACGCAUACAUGGAACAUGAUUAUAUAUAUUUCAAAGUUAAGUUCAUCUAUUCAAGUUUAAACAUUAAUUAUACAAAUUAAGUUACAUAAAUGUUUUAAUAUUACAAAAUAAAAGGAUAUAUUCCCUAAAACUAUAUAACAAAAAGUGAACAAAAACUAAGAUCUACUCCUGUCAUGCACGCGAUGCCCUUUUUAUUGUGAACAUGGAUUGUUGUCAAUCUCAUUAUUGUGCACUAUUUAUGAGAAUUUUCUUCUUAAAUCUUCCAACAGUGAAAAUUUAUAGGUAUGCGUAAUCUAUUUAGCAUUAUCUAUUGUGAAUUUGUAAAAAUCAAUUUUUGAAAAUGAUUUUUUUGUUGUGGUUGUGGGUUUAUUAAAAUUAUUAGCUUAGGAUCAUAACAAAAAAAUAAAAAAUAAAAACUUCAAUGGAAUUGCUGACGAAAUGAAAUUCCAUUGGCAUUUAAAUUGGAAAUUCUAUCGGCAUUUAAAUUAGAAAUUCCAUGAGAAUGUUCGUACCCAUUUUUAAACUUUUGGUAAAACUUAUAGAAUAUGUAGGAACUUUUCAACGAAAUCACUAACAUGAUAUUUUGUUGGAAAAAUAAAAGGUCAUGUAAUCAACGAUGAUUUCCACCUUUUAAAUUUUUUAUUAUUAUGUCAGUAAUUUCCAACUAUAUGGAUUUUUCGACAAAAAAUUGGUGGUAAAAGCUUAUUUUUAGGCAAGAAUAUUCCAUUAAUGACUUUAUCAAUAUUGAAAAUAAAAAACCCAACUAGUUAGUUUUUUAUUGUAAUAUUUCGUAGCCAUUUCCAUCAUUAAUUUUCAAUACAGAUAGAAUCUUCCCUAUAUGCCAACAUAAUAUUCCAUUGGCGUUUUCUAUUUUUUUUUUUAUAGUGAUCAUGAAGUUAAAAGGUCAGAAGAUGUUUUAUUGAAGAAAAUGUUUUUUUUUUUUGCACUCCAUGAAAAAUAAAAAAAACAUCAUAUUAGUAUUAAUAUUGUAUUUUUUUUUCAAAUUAAUGAAAUAAAUAAUUUUAAUCAACAUAUCUAACAUUUCAUAUCGAUUUUUUUUAAAAAUGGAUACCCUGUAUUUUAUCAUGCUAUGCCAGCAUGUAAUAUUUACAAUUGAGGUCUAAAAAAAUGGAAACACCUAAGCAUUUUUUACAAAUUCAAAACACCGAAACAAUGAAAAUGGAAGAAAAGCUCUGCAAGUCCAAAGGAGGGCUAUUAACAUGUACAUUGGCAAAGAAAAUAAAAAUCAAGCAUACUGAUCUAGUUGAGAGAAGGAACUUCUAAAAAGAAAGUGGCCAUGGUCGAGUUAAGAAACUAAUGAAUGCUCUUUUGGCUAUAAUCACGUCUGUCUUACUUUAAGAGCAAUUUGGUAAAGAAAGCUACUCCGAACUUAGCCUAAAGAUGGGCAUAAUUUCACGUUUGGAGGGUUAUUCUCUUUAUGUUUUCAAGUCUCGUUUUCCACCAAACUGUUGUUGUCCUUCUUAAAAGCCUAUAUCGUGAUGAAACCCUUGCGCAACUUUACCUGUAAAAGAGGUACUUGAAGGCGACAAAUGACCUAGACCAAGACAGCUUUCCUGCCCUUAUUUAAGCAAAGAGACACUGCCUACUCUGUAAAUUACACAUGCUAAAUGUUAAGUCAUAGUGAAGAAGGUAAAAAAAUGUAUACUGUAUAUGUUCAUUUUCCUGUGUGCUAAUAUGUAUCCCUUUUAAGUCUCUAAACAAGCCGCAUAUCCCACACCCACUUGGUACCUUGAUUGUCAUAUUUGGGAAAGUUUAAAUGAAUUUAAGAACCCAAACAACCAUUUCUUCGAUGAUGAUGGGUGGAUUGGAAGGUCAAAUACAUGUAUACAUGUAGAGGUUAAAAUGAUCAUCACGUAUAUGGUUUCUCUAUAAUCUUUCUUCGUUCUAGCUCUAGUUUUUUAAUCUAUCUAGGAUAGAAAAAAACAUUUUAGAAUAUAAUUUUUAUUUAAUUAUAUAAUAUUAUAAUUAUAAAUUUAUAGGAAAUAUUACAAAAAAAAUAUGUUUUUUCGUCAUAAUUAUCUUUUCUAAUUUAUUUUAAAAAAUGUAUUUUUCCAUCAUAAUUAUAUUUUUUAAUUUGUUUAAUUUUUUUUAACAACAAAUAAUUUUUUUAUGAAUAGCAUAGUUCAUUGAAUAAAAAUAAUAACAAUAAAAAAAAUAUUUGCAAAAAGGAGAAGAUGUAUAUUUUUAACCAAAAACAAUAUAAUUUUCUUAUUCAUGAACUUCUUUAUUAUUUUAAAAAAGCAUGCUUUUUUUGUGUGAAAUAUUGUUUUUUAAGUAAAAGUUCAUUAUAACCGUGAAAGUAAGUUUAAAUUAAAAAAAUUUAAAUCAAAUAUAUUUGUAUGAAAUUGCAAGGAAAAAAAGAAUAUUCAAUCUAUGAAAAUUAUAUAAAAAAAAUUAAUAAUUUGUUUUUUUUUGUAUUGGCCUAGAAGGGUGGGUAAGCAUGUCCCUAAAUGUACGUGGAAGGCCAUACUUGCAAACUUAGAACAUGCUUGAUAAUGUGGUAGUGGUUGCUUUUCAAAUAAGUUUUUGUGCCAAAAUGCAUGUCAAUGAUGUUUUUUUAUUUUUUUUUAAAAUUAUUUUUGAUAUCAGCACAUCAAAAAGAUCAAAAACAUAUAAACCAUAUUAAAUUUUAACAAAAAAUUUUUUUUUUGAAUUUUUUGAGAACGCGGUGUCCAAACGGUUUCUAGCUUUCUUCUUUUUUUUUUUUUAAAUAGAUGGCCAGCAAAUAGGGAUCUGAGUUUUUAAAACUAAAAAAACCCAUUUUUUUACCUUUAACAACCUAAGAAACAUGCUAAGGACCCAAACAGCCAUUUCUGAACUUGGCUAUAUUUCCUUUCGUCUCUCUAGUUCACAAGAGGAAACACCAAGGCUAUUAGGUGCAGGAAUUGCUAUGCGUGUUAAGGUUAUCACAUGAGCACCCACAUGGUACAUGGGUAAUGACUGAUAUAUGAGAGGAAGAUAAAUAAUUACACAUUAUAUAUAUAUAUAUAUAUAUAUAUAUAUAUAUAUAUAUAUAUAUAUAUAUAUAUAUAUUGGUGGAUGGAUAUAUUGGAAUGCCAUCUAUUGAGGUUAAAAUGAUCAUCACGUGUAUGUUCCCUCUACAAUCUUUCUUCAUUGAUAAAUGUAUUUUUCAACAUAAUUAUCUUGUCUAAUUCUUUUAAUUUUUUUUGAAAAAAAAAUAAUUUUUUUACUUGCAGCGUAGUUCUUUAAAUAAAAGUAACAACAAUCAGGAAAAAAAAACAUAUGCAAAAACUAUAAUUAAUUUAAACUAAAAAAGAGAAGAUGUAUAUUUCUAAUCUAAAAAAUAUAAUUUUCUUAUUCAUAAACUUCUUUUUUGUUUUAACAAAAACAUGCUUUUUUGUGUGAAUAUUGUUUUUAAGUAAAACUCAUUAUGAUCAUGAAAGUAAGUUUUGAUAAAAAAAAAUUAAAAUUAUAUAUAUUUGUUUGCAAUUGAAGGUAAGGAAAAAAAAUAAUUAAUCUAAGAAAAUUAUAUAUAAAAUUUUAAUGAUUUUUUUCGUAUGGGCCUAAAAAGAUGGGUAAGCAUGUCUAGCCCAAUUCAAAGAAGCCUAGAUGUACGUGGAUGAAACAUCAUUUGUCCUAUUAAAAAACAGGAAAAAAGAUGGUGUGUGUAAACUCCUAAAAAAAUGUGUAAAGCUAGAAAUGACUCCACCAUUGCUGUCAAUUUUUGAAUCGGCAGCGAUAUAAUUUUUGGUUGCCGAUUUCUGAAUCGACAGUGACACUAAAAAACUCAAUAAAAAAAAUAUUGAGGAACUAGCCUAUCCUAGGAGGGGAUUAUAGAGGAUAUAACCAUCCCUAGAAUAAGUCAAGAAGGGGAUAAGAAACAUGCUGGGAUCAAAACAGAAAGUGUAAUUGGUGCGAAUGACAAGAAUUAUGCUUGUGUUUGAUGAAAUUAUGUGAUAAUAUGUUAGAAUGAUGUUAUAUGCAGAAUUAUGUCAUCUUUGAACCUUGAAGAGUAUGCUAAAGCUGGAAAAAAAAAAAACAGAAACAUGUUAUGUUGAUGUCCAAUUCCAUUGCGUGAUUGAUGAAAUUGCAUGUUUAUGAGAAUGAAAAUUUUAACUGCAGUAGAAACGAGACUCCCUCCAGUAAUGUUUUGGUUCAUUGAUGUGUUGAAUGGGUAUUUGUGAUUAUGAAUCGAGAAAGUGAGCAUGUAAUUGUAAAUUAUAUUGGUACACAACCAUAAUGCAAUUGUGAAUGCAUGAGUAUAUGUAGUAGCUAUGCUAGAUGCCGAUGUUGGAAUGAAUGAAUUGAGAAAACCUUGCUAAAUGAACUUGUGUUGAUGUUCCAUUGUUUGAUGAUAAAUGAUGAGUGGAGUGGGAUUUGGGGAGUCCUAGGCCCACCUCAGGCGAGAAGCAUGAGUAGAGGGAAGCCUAGUGUAAGGCUUACGCUUGACCAAAAGGAAGUAAUGAAACCAGAAACGAUUCCAUCACUGCCACCGAUUUCUGAAUCGACAACGACAAGGGUUGCGUUGAUGAUUUCUGAGUCGGCAACGACUUGAUUUUUAUCAACAAUUUCUGCGGCAGCUGAAUUGUGUUGUCUGCAGCAAAUUUGUAACAACCUCAAAACAAUUUCAAUCAAUAUAUAUUUGUUUAACUCUUACAUAAAGGGCAAAUGGAGCAAUUUUUUUUUUUUUGUUAAAUUCACCAAAAUUUCUAACGAAAUUUCGGCAGAGUCUCCCCUAUACCGGGAGAUCCCAAGUUAUCGACAAUUUAUCCUGCACACAAUUAUAAUCACAUCCCACCCAUAAUCACAUCCAUGAUUGGUACAUUCAAUCAUUUUAUUCAUUCGAGAAUAUACUUAGGACAAAUCUUCAUUCUCAAUCUCCAUCUCAUAUCACAUGCAUAAAUUAUUAAUUAAGAGGACCAUCCAAGCACUGAAAUUUCAUAUAUAUAAGCACAACACAAUUUAGCGUUCUGAACAUAAACUAUUACGCUAUAAUUUUUCCAAGUAUAGAUUAAUACAUUAAUAUUGCAAAACAUAAUAAUAUAAGGAGUAUACUAUUCUAUUCAGGUUACAUGUUUGUUGCAUAACAAAAUUACAUGAAAAUCUCUAAGUUCCUAACUUAUACAAAAGGGAUAAGGAACCUAAAUUCUACUCCUGACGUGAAUGGGAGGGACCUGCAAAACAUAAAUUUUCCAUAUAAUUAAAAAUAACUAAAAUACAAACAAUUCACGGAAGAAAUUUAUACAACACAUCUACCUACUUAAGUCAUAUGCAAUUUCAAUACACCACCACCAUCCCUUUUGAGGAUUAUCCAGUUUAUUUCCUUUAACUACUUCUCCCCACAUUAGGAAGACUAUACCGGCACUAACGACCUCCAUUAGUGUCUUUAGUUUUCCAUCCUGGGGUCAACUAAUCAGAUUCAUGAAAAUGCCGACGCUAACACGACCGUUGGUGUCAUUAAAUAUAUAUAUAUAUAUAUAUAUAUAUAUAUAUAUUAUUUUUUUUUGAACCAAAAUAGUUAAUCACUGUUCUAUGCUACUUUGGGAGGUCCUCGGGUAUGCCGAUGUCAAGGAUUCUUGACAUCAUUAGCUUUCACCUCGGAAAGCUAAUCAAGUCUAUAAGUUUUGCCGAUAUCGACGACACCCGCCGAUAUCAUUAACUAUUCUGAAUUCGAAUAGUUAAUCAAGUUUACAAAUUUUGCCGAUAUCGACGUCACCCGCCGAUAUCAUUAACUAUUCUGAAUUCGAAUAGUUAAUCAAGUUUGUAAAUUUUGCCGAUAUCGACGUCACCCGUCGAUAUCAUUAACUAUUCUGAACCUGAAUAGUUAAUCAAGUUUUUAUAUUUCUCCUCCUACGUACCGGUAAUGCCGAUGUUAACCAGCUUGGUUAACAUCAUUAGCCUCCCAUAUCAGGGACAGGCUAAUCAAAUUCGAGAAACAAUCAUUAUUAAAAUUCGUUGUUACUGUUCAUCUCCUCUAAAAGGACCUAUAAUUUAAAUUUAGUCCUCAUUUCUAUUUUCCCACCAUUUUACCUUUUCUUUUCCCCUUUCUUUUCCUCAUCAAUAUGCACCAAAUUUUUAUAGUUCAACAGUUAGUUAAAAUAAUUAUUAACAAGAGGAGAUAUAGGUACCGAGUACCUACCUGCUGUAGACGCUCGACUUGCGUUCCCCUGUUGUUGUUGUACUCCUCCCGCGGUUCCUCCUGAAACCACAAACACCCAUCAUUAUUCCAUAUUAGUCCACGUAUCACAACACAACAACAACAAUGGGAAUAAUAUUCAUUUCUCUUUUACCAAUCUUUUCUUUCUCACUUACAUUCCUCAUUAUUAUCCUUUCACAUUUUCGGCUCAUUUGUAGUCCAAGUGGACAUCAUAAAUUCAAUUUUGAUUACCGUUUAUUCUUUUUGAAGAUCAAGACACACUUUGUGAAGGGCGAGAAAACAAAUUCUACCCUUAAUACGGCUAAAUUUUGCCGUUUUAUCGACUUGGCCGAAACUGCCAACAGGGGUGGCAGCUUGACCUCUCCUCAGAUUUUCAUUUGUAUCCGGAGUUCUAGGACUCCAAAUUAGGCGAGGUCAGAUUCGUUGGAAAGCUAACACUUCCGGCUACAACUUCUAUGAAUUGACCCUCCCUAGAUUCUAUCAUCUUCAGGUCCAAAUUCUCUCAGGAACCAGGGCAACAAAUCUGCCCUGUUUUGUCAAUGGAGAAGGUACCUACAAUUUUUAUUUCCAAUCCUUUUUUUCCCCAUCAAUUUCAGCCAAUUUCAGCCAUGUUUUCACCUUACCUGGAACGUAGGUUCCUCUCCCUUAUAAGUUACAAUUUGUAACUACACUAUAGCAACACACCUAAUUAAUUAACAGGGGAGUCAUACGUUCUCCUCUGUUUUUUUUUCUUCCCCUCCAGUGGCCGGUCCUUUAAAAUCAGUUCCUUCUCUUUUUUUUUUUUAUAUAUAUUUAUAUAUAUACACACUCAAUCACCACAUUUCCUUAUCAUUCACCUCCUGAAACCUGUUUCAAUUUUGCAAUAAGGAAAACAACGCAACUAUCACAAUUUCCUUUCUUUCCUAACAAUCUCAUGGCUGGCCACUAUUUCCCCAUGGUCUUUGGUUUUUUGUUGAAAUCUUCUUUGCAUAAUUCCAUCCUUUUUAGGCAACCUAUGCUGCUCAACUCAUUUAGUUCCAAUUAAUUCCACAUUUCCCCAAAUUUUACUCAAAGACCCUAAUUUUUCAAACUUCAAAUUAAUGCACAAUUCUUGCAUGAAUUUAAUUUGGCUUUCCCAAUUGGUUUAGAACUUCAUACCUGGAGGAAAUUUAGGUUUGAUUUCUGAUUUGAUUAAAGUUUCCUAACCCCUUUCUUCUCUACAAGCAGCCGGCCUCCCACUCCCUCUUCUCUUAGAAAUUCUAUCACUUUUUCUUCUUGCAAAUCUCCUGCCCCGGUUUGUCUCCCCACGUAGAAAAUCUAAGGUUUGUGUAGGUAUAGAAAUUUAGGUGUUUUCUCUUAAGCUUGGUGAAGGAAAAUCUGAAAAAUUUCCCUCCCCUUUUCUUUUUGUUACCUCCCCCGAUCAUGAAUGAGAGAAGGGAUGGGUAUUUAUAGUCCCAUCUCUUCUUAAUUCAUUUUGGUCCCAUCUUUCUCCCUUUUUCUUAUUUUAGCACCUUCUAUUUUAUAUAUAUAUAUAACAACAUUUUUUUUUAAUUAUUAUAAACUCCCCCCCCCCCCACUUUUUUUUUUUUUUUGCAUACUUUAUUCUCAGGCUUCACAUUCUCCCCCCCCUAAUAAAAAUUUUGUCCCCGAAAUUUAAACUGCUUACCUGACUCAAAGAAUAGGUGGGGGUAUUUUUCCUUAAUCUCUGAUUCUCUCUCCCACGUUUCUUCCUCAAUUUGUGAGUUUCUCCACAGCACUCUGACUAGUGGUACUCUCUUAUUCCUCAAUGUUUUUUCACUCCGAUCCAUGAUCUUGACUGGCCUGGUCUCGAGUGUCAAAUCUUCUUUUACUUCCAUAGGAACUAGAGGUAACACUCGGGAAGGAUCCACUUCCGCCUUCCGCAAUAGUGAUACAUGGAAUACAUUGUGAAUCUUCUCUAGGUGUGCCGGUAGUUUUAGGCGGUAAGCAACCGGCCCUAUCCUAGCUAUCACCUCAAAUGGGCCAAUGUACCUCGGAGCAAGCUUUCCUUUCAUUCCAAACCGAAUGAUGCCCUUCCACGGUGCCACCUUUAAGAAUACUCUAUCCCCUAUUUAGAAUUCUAAAGGUCUCCUCCGGUUAUCUGAAUAACUCUUCUGUCUAUCUUGGGCUUCCUUCAUUCUUUGCCUGAUCACUCUUACUUUAUCAGUUGUUAUUUGUACCAUUUCAGGACCCAAGAGUUUCCUUUCUCCAAUUUCAUCCCAGCAUAUCGGAGUGCGACAUUUUCUCCCAUAAAGGGCUUCAUAUGGGGCCAUCCCAAUAGAAGCUUGGUAACUAUUAUUAUACGUGAACUCUACCAAUGGUAACAAGUCUUCCCAGUUUCCCCCAAACUCUAGCACGCAUGACCUUAAAAGGUCUUCAAGUGUUUGGAUAGUUCUUUCAGAUUGGCCAUCUGUCUGGGGGUGGAAUGUCGUGCUCAGGUUCACCUCGGUUCCCAAAGCUCGUUGUAAGCAUGACCAUAACCUCGAGGUGAAUCUUGGGUCUCGGUCUGACACAAUUGAUAAGGGCACUCCAUGUAGUCUAACCACUUCAUUCACGUAUAAUUUGACCAACUUGUCUACGGGGUCCGUCAUUUUCGUGGGCAAGAACAGAGCUGACUUCGUUAGUCGAUCUACCACUACCCAUAUAGCAUCAUUGCCCCUUUUUCCCUUUGGAAAUCCGGUUACAAAGUCCAUGGCUAUAUUUUCCCACUUCCAUUCCGGAAUUGGUAGUGGUUGUAAUUCCCCUGCCGGCCUUUGGUGUUCUAUCUUCACUUGUUGACAUAUCCCACAUCUUGACACGUAUUUUGCUAUCUCCUUCUUCAUAUUUGGCCACCAGUAAUACUCUUUGAGGUCCCUAUACAUCUUGGUGCUCCCGGGAUGGGUUGCAAACCGAGAUUCAUGAGCUUCCUUCAAUAUUUCACCCUUUAAGGCCUUAUUCUCAUGUACGUAAACUCGUUUUCCCAUUGCCACCAACCCUCCCGGUACGACCUGAAAGGAUAACUCUUUGCCUUGCUUGAUUUUUUCUUUGAUUUCUCCUAUACCCUUAUCUGCCAAUUGAGCUUCUAGAACUUUAUCUCGUAGUACUGAUCUGAUCUUUAUAUGAGCCAGUAGUGACCCUUCAGGACCCACGCUUAACUGCAAUCCCAUCUUUUUUAAUUCCAUCAAAUUCUCUUGUUCUGUAAUUUCUAUAUCACCCACCACUGCUGUCCCUUUCCGACUCAAGGCGUCCGCCACUACAUUGGCUUUGCCAGGAUGGUAGUCAAUUACGCAGUCGUAGUCUUUUAUCAAUUCCACCCACCUCCUCUGUCGCAUGUUUAACUCCUUUUGCGACAUUAAAUACUUCAAACUCUUAUGGUCGGUGAAAAUCUGGACUUGUGUUCCAUACAAAUAAUGUCUCCAUACUCUUAAGGCAAAUACCACUGCUGCAAGUUCCAAGUCAUGGACCGGGUAGUUCACUUCAUGUGGCUUUAACUGUCUGGAAGCAUAGGCGAUCACCUUCCCAUGUUGCAUUAGUACACAUCCUAAACCCCUCCUUGAGGCAUCACUGUAAACCAUGAACCCUUCUGUUCCGGAAGGAAGGACCAAAACGGGGGCUGAUGUAAGCCUUCUUUUCAACUCCUGAAAACUCUCCUCGCAUUCCUUUGACCAAUUAAACCUUACUUCUUUACGAGUCAACUUGGUCAGAGGCGAUGCUAUUGUAGAAAACCCUUCGAUAAACCUUCUAUAAUACCUGCAAGGCCUAAGAAGCUUCGGAUUUCGGUCACAGUCGUGGGCUUCUCCCACUUUAGAACUGCCUCCACUUUCCCUGGGUCUACACAUAUUCCCCCCGCUGAAAUAACAUGUCCCAAAAAUAUCACCUCUUUGAGCCAGAACUCACAUUUAUCCAGUUUUGCAUACAAUUUAUUUUCUCUCAAUAUCUCCAACACCUUCCUCAAGUGCUUCUCGUGUUCCAAAUAAGAGCUUGAAUAUACCAGUAUAUCAUCAAUAAACACCACCACACAUUUAUCUAAAUAAAACCGAAACACUCGAUUCAUCAGGUCCAUAAAUACCGCCGGGGCAUUAGUUAACCCAAAAGGCAUCACUAAGAAUUCAUAAUGGCCAUAGCGGGUUCUAAAGGCAGUCUUCUGUAUGUCCUGUUCUCUGAUUCUUAGUUGAUGAUACCCCGAUCUCAGAUCUAUCUUCGAGAAUACUCUCGCACCCUUCAACUGAUCAAACAGGUCAUCUAUCCGUGGUAGCGGAUACUUGUUCUUUACCGUCACUUUGUUCAGCUGACGAUAGUCAAUACAUAACCUGAACGUACCAUCCUUUUUCUUUACAAAUAACACUGGGGCUCCCCAAGGUGAAUUGCUCGGUCGUAUGAACCCUUUGUCCAGCAACUCCUGAAGUUGGAUCUUCAGUUCAGCUAGUUCUAUAGGGGCCAUUCUAUAAGGGGUUUGUGCUAUAGGGUUGACUCCUGGAAGAGUCUCAAUGGAAACCUCAAUCUCUCUGAUUGGAGGUAGUCCUGGUAAUUCUUCCGGAAACACAUCUGGAAAUUCUUUUACAACUGGGAUAUUUGUUAAUUCUAUGCUCCCCUUCUUUAAUUCUCUCACAUGAGACAACCAAGCAGGGCAUCCUUUUCUAAUCAGUUUUCCGGCCGUCAUGACCGAGAUUAUGGAGUUUGGAAUCACCCUCCUUUCCCCCGUGAAUACUACUCUUUUACCACUCACAUCUUGGAGGCUUACGGUCUUUGUGAAACAAUCUACUUGUGCCCUAUAUCUACUCAACCAAUCCAUUCCCAAAAUCAAAUCAAAAUCAUAUAAUUCUAAAGGCAUGAGGUUUACCCUUAGUUGUACCCCCUCAAUGUAUAGUAUCACUCCCUUGUAAACCUCAUCAAUGUUUAUAUUUUUCCCCAAAGGUGUACUAACUACCAUCCCGACCUUCAAUCUACUUGGUAACACAUUUAAAUUACUGAUAAUUCGAUGGGCCACAAAAGAAUGACUGGCCCCAGGAUCAAUUAAAGCAUAAACUUGUAUUAAACCCAAUUGUAGUGUACCUGCUACGACAUCUGGCAUUGCCCCCACAUCUUCUUGAGUCAUAUGGUAUAUCCUGCCUCGAGUUCUUUCCUCCUGGAAUCUGGGUCGACUUUUAUUGGCACUUGUCCCUGACUGAGUAGGUCGUACCGGGCGAUCAACUGUCACUGACUGUUGUUGGCUUUGGGUAGUUAUCCCCUGUCCAUGUACUCCCUCCGUGGCUCUAUGCGGACAUUCUUUCUUUUUAUGACCCGUUUCCCCACAAUGGAAACAACCCCUUUCCAAAUACUGGCAGUCCCUCCAUCGGUGUCCUUCCCCUCUACAAAUAUAGCAUCUUCCUGGUGUGGCUGAACAAUCCCCGGGGUGUUUCUGGUUACAUCUCAUGCAUAACGGGUAGACAGGUCUCCUCUGCUCCAUGGACCCCCCUAUAACACUUGUCCCCUGACGAGUCUGACCUCCUAUGGAUCCCCCAGCAUUAACGUGUCUAGCACCUCCCGAACUCCCACCAUGAAUAAAACUCCCCUUUUUUUUCAGGAGUGGCACGAACGAUGACCCGCUCCUUCCUUUCUUCAAAGGAGGAUUCCUUCCCAUAGGAGGUAUGAAAUCCCUUCUUUUGAGUCCCGUAGUCUGACUCUGCUCACUUGUUAACCUUGGGGUGUCAUUCAUUACUCUUUCCAUGCCCUGAGCAGCUCGCACUAACUCCCGGACCGACUGAAACUGCAUAGCCACCAAAAUUAAUUUCAGCUCUUGCCUGAGCCCUUCCCGAAACCGUUCUACCCGAUGAUGCUCAGUGGGAAGAUAGGUGGUGGCAAAAAUAGAUAAGUCCUGAAACCUCCUCUCAUACUCCAGGACGGUCAUAUUCCCCUGUUUCAGAUCCAGGAACUCCUGUUCUUUCUCUUUUCGGUGCUGCCAGGAGUAGUACCGCUCCUCAAAUUCUUCUCGAAAGUGUUUCCACCUUAAUUCUUCUCUUGCCCUUCUUUCUCUAAUAGUCUCCCACCAGGAGUGGGCACUCUCCGUUAACAACUGGGUCACACAGUCUACUCGAGUUUCCUCUGGCACUUGCAUCUGAUCUAUGACCCUUUCUACCUUCCUCAGCCAAUGUCCUGCUACUUCGGCGUCUUCUUCCCCUGAAUAGGUCGUGCAACCCAUUUCCCGCAUGCCCUUCACCCAAUGAACCAGGGUCACUACUCUUUCUACCCGAGGAGUGGAAUUGGAUGCACCUGCGGCCAUCCCUGUUGCUAUUGCCUUGACCAAUUGCUCCAGAAAUGUGGGGUCCGAAUAUGGAUUCGGGGUGACCGUCGGUGCCACUAGUGGUGGCCUGUCUUCUGGUCCUUGACCACCUGCUGCUCCAGGCAGUAACACUUCUUCCCGAUGAGAGACAGGGUCAUCCUGAUGCCCCCCUGAUUCUCCCCUCUCUGAAUGGACCGACGCUGCAGGUUGGUGGGAGGCCGUGUCCAUCAGUGGUUCCCCUUCAUUUUCAUUCCCGUAUAGUGAGCCAUACUCUCUCCCAUGCAUAGGGGACGGGUCUGCUCUUGCUUCUUGUCGGGUGCGAGCCAUCCUGCAACAUGUUUCCAAAUUCACAUCAGUGUUUCAAUCCCUGAAACUUCAACCAGUGGCUCUGAUACCAACUGUAACAACCUCAAAACAAUUUCAAUCAAUAUAUAUUUGUUUAACUCUUACAUAAAGGGCAAAUGGAGCAAAUUUUUUUUUUUUUUUGUUAAAUUCACCAAAAUUUCUAACGAAAUUUCGGCAGAGUCUCCCCUAUACCGGGAGAUCCCAAGUUAUCGACAAUUUAUCCUGAACACAAUUAUAAUCACAUCCCACCCAUAAUCACAUCCAUGAUUGGUACAUUCAAUCAUUUUAUUCAUUCGAGAAUAUACUUAGGACAAAUCUUCAUUCUCAAUCUCCAUCUCAUAUCACAUGCAUAAAUUAUUAAUUAAGAGGACCAUCCAAGCACUGAAAUUUCAUAUAUAUAAGCACAACACAAUUUAGCGUUCUGAACAUAAGCUAUUACGCUAUAAUUUUUCCAAGUAUAGAUUAAUACAUUAAUAUUGCAAAACAUAAUAAUAUAAGGAGUAUACUAUUCUAUUCAGGUUACAUGUUUGCUGCAUAACAAAAUUACAUGAAAAUCUCUAAGUUCCUAACUUAUACAAAAGGGAUAAGGAACCUAAAUUCUACUCCUGACGUGAAUGGGAGGGACCUGCAAAACAUAAAUUUUCCAUAUAAUUAAAAAUAACUAAAAUACAAACAAUUCACGGAAGAAAUUUAUACAACACAUCUACCUACUUAAGUCAUAUGCAAUUUCAAUACACCACCACCAUCCCUUUUGAGGAUUAUCCAGUUUAUUUCCUUUAACUACUUCUCCCCACAUUAGGAAGACUAUACCGGCACUAACGACCUCCAUUAGUGUCUUUAGUUUUCCAUCCUGGGGUCAACUAAUCAGAUUCAUGAAAAUGCCGACGCUAACACGACCGUUGGUGUCAUUAAAUAUAUAUAUAUAUAUAUAUAUAUAUAUAUAUAUUAUCACUGUUCUAUGCUACUUUGGGAGGUCCUCGGGUAUGCCGAUGUCAAGGAUUCUUGACAUCAUUAGCUUUCACCUCGGCAUCAUUAGCUUUCACCUCGGAAAGCUAAUCAAGUCUAUAAGUUUUGCCGAUAUCGACGACACCCGCCGAUAUCAUUAACUAUUCUGAAUUCGAAUAGUUAAUCAAGUUUACAAAUUUUGCCGAUAUCGACGUCACCCGCCGAUAUCAUUAACUAUUCUGAAUUCGAAUAGUUAAUCAAGUUUGUAAAUUUUGCCGAUAUCGACGUCACCCGUGAAUAGUUANNNNNNNNNNNNNNNNNNNNNNNNNNNNNNNNNNNNNNNNNNNNNNNNNNNNNNNNNNNNNNNNNNNNNNNNNNNNNNNNNNNNNNNNNNNNNNNNNNNNGUAAUCCCGAUGUUAGCAGCUUGGUUACAUCAUUAGCCUCCCAUAUCAGGGACAGGCUAAUCAAAUUCGAGAAACAAUCAUUAUUAAAAUUCGUUGUUACUGUUCAUCUCCUCUAAAAGGACCUAUAAUUUAAAUUUAGUCCUCAUUUCUAUUUUCCCACCAUUUCACCUUUUCUUUUCCCCUUUCUUUUCCUCAUCAAUAUGCACCAAAUUUUUAUAGUUCAAUAGUUAGUUAAAAUAAUUAUUAACAAGAGGAGAUAUAGGUACCGAGUACCUACCUGCUGUAGACGCUCGACUUGCGUUCCCCUGUUGUUGUUGUACUCCUCCCGCGGUUCCUCCUGAAACCACAAACACCCAUCAUUAUUCCAUAUUAGUCCACAUAUCACAACACAACAACAACAAUGGGAAUAAUAUUCAUUUCUCUUUUACCAAUCUUUUCUUUCUCACUUACAUUCCUCAUUAUUAUCCUUUCACAUUUUCGGCUCAUUUGUAGUCCAAGUGGACAUCAUAAAUUCAAUUUUGAUUACCGUUUAUUCUUUUUGAAGAUCAAGACACACUUUGUGAAGGGCGAGAAAACAAAUUAUACCCUUAAUACGGCUAAAUUUUGCCGUUUUAUCGACUUGGCCGAAACUGCCAACAGGGGUGGCAGCUUGACCUCUCCUCAGAUUUUCAUUUGUAUCCGGAGUUCUAGGACUCCAAAUUAGGCGAGGUCAGAUUCGUUGGAAAGCUAACACUUCCGGCUACAACUUCUAUGAAUUGACCCUCCCUAGAUUCUAUCAUCUUCAGGUCCAAAUUCUCUCAGGAACCAGGGCAACAAAUCUGCCCUGUUUUGUCAAUGGAGAAGGUACCUACAAUUUUUAUUUCCAAUCCUUUUUUUCCCCAUCAAUUUCAGCCAAUUUCAGCCAUGUUUUCACCUUACCUGGAACGUAGGUUCCUCUCCCUUAUAAGUUACAAUUUGUAACUACACUAUAGCAACACACCUAAUUAAUUAACAGGGGAGUCAUACGUUCUCCUCUGUUUUUUUUUUCUUCCCCUCCAGUGGCCGGUCCUUUAAAAUCUCUUUUUUUUUUCUUUUUUUUUAUAUAUUUAUAUAUAUACACACUCAAUCACCACAUUUCCUUAUCAUUCACCUCCUGAAACCUGUUUCAAUUUUGCAAUAAGGAAAACAACGCAACUAUCACAAUUUCCUUUCUUUCCUAACAAUCUCAUGGCUGGCCACUAUUUCCCCAUGGUCUUUGGUUUUUUGUUGAAAUCUUCUUUGCAUAAUUCCAUCCUUUUUAGGCAACCUAUGCUGCUCAACUCAUUUAGUUCCAAUUAAUUCCACAUUUCCCCAAAUUUUACUCAAAGACCCUAAUUUUUCAAACUUCAAAUUAAUGCACAAUUCUUGCAUGAAUUUAAUUUGGCUUUCCCAAUUGGUUUAGAACUUCAUACCUGGAGGAAAUUUAGGUUUGAUUUCUGAUUUGAUUAAAGUUUCCUAACCCCUUUCUUCUCUACAAGCAGCCGGCCUCCCACUCCCUCUUCUCUUAGAAAUUCUAUCACUUUUUCUUCUUGCAAAUCUCCUGCCCCGGUUUGUCUCCCCACGUAGAAAAUCUAAGGUUUGUGUAGGUAUAGAAAUUUAGGUGUUUUCUCUUAAGCUUGGUGAAGGAAAAUCUGAAAAAUUUCCCUCCCCUUUUAUUUUUGUUACCUCCCCCGGUCAUGAAUGAGAGAAGGGAUGGGUAUUUAUAGUCCCAUCUCUUCUUAAUUCAUUUUGGUCCCAUCUUUCUCCCUUUUUCUUAUUUUAGCCCCUUCUAUUUUAUAUAUAUAUAUAACAACAUUUUUUUUUUAAUUAUUAUAAACUCCCCCCCCCCCACUUUUUUUUUUUUUUUGCAUACUUUAUUCUCAGGCUUCACAAAAUUAGCUUUUGCUGCUGAAAUUGUGUUAGCUGCAGCAAAUCAGUGUUCACUGUCGAAAUUGUGUUAUCUAUAGUGAAUCAGCUUUCGCUGCUAACGUUAAAAGUAAUGGUAUUUCACCUUCACUGAAGCUCCCACUUAUCCUACACCUUUCAAGUCAUUUCACAAAGUUAGACUAGAGUUAUUAUGCUACGAUGAAUGUUAAGCUACUAUGGAAUGUUUGAAUGAGUAUUAUGAAGGAUCUACUAUUGUGAUAUAGUGAAUGUUAAACUGUCAUGGAGUGCUUGUAUGAGUAUUACAAAGGACUGAUUAUUGUGCAAUAAUCUAAUCUACGAUGGAUUGUUUGUAUGAGUAUUACGAAGGAUCUAUCAGUGUUAUAUAGAAUGAUAAAUUGUUACAAAAUGGUUGUAUUAAUAAUUCAGAGGAUCUAUUGUGGUGUUAUAUGAAUGUUAAACUAUUAUAAAAUGUUUGAAUGAAUAUUACAAAUGAUCUAUUAUUAUGAUGUAAUGAAUGUUAAACUAUUAUAGAUUGUUUGAAUGAGCAAUAUGAAAAUAUAUUAUUAUGUUAUAGUGAUUACAUAAACCAUCUAUGAAAUGUUUGACUAAAUUGGUUAUUAGCUUCGGCUAAUGACAUCCAAGAUGGAUGGUCGGGUUGUGAUUGAUGAUUAACUUCGACUAAUAAUAUCUGAGAUGAAUGGUUAGGUCAAUUGAUGACUAGCUGCGGCUAAUGGCACCGAGACAUAUGAUCGAGUUGUGAUUAAUGAUUAGCUUUGGCUAAUGGCAUCUUAGAGGGAUGGCCGAGUUGUGUUUGAUUAUUAACUUCAGCUAAUAGCAUCCGAGAUGGAUGGUUGAGUUGUGUUUAAUGAUUAGCUUCGAUUAAUGACAUCUGAGAUGAAUGGUCGGGUUGUGAUAGAUGAUUAACUUCGGCUAAUAGCAUCCUCGGUUGAUGAUCAGGUUGAGUUUGAGAGUUAAUUUCGAUUAACAACAUCCAAGAUGGAUGAUUGAGUUCGAGUAUUGUAAUUAGUCUCGAUAAUAGACAAUAAUAAGGGCGAUAUUACGCAAGUAUGAGAAAAAUAAAAGAAGUAUACUCUUUUAGGCCAUGAAUGAAAAGCAAACGUUAAUAUUGCUUUAAUUAUCUAUUACUAUGUUUUAAAUUGCUUAUAAUACUUGAAAUUAUCUUAUGCUGUAAUAAGGAUAUCACACUAACAAGGUGCGUAAGGAAAUCCGUUCCACGACCACACAUUUUGAAAAAAAACUAUAUAUUCACAUGAUAGGGGUGUUACGUAUUUUGUAAGAACAAACACACGAGGUGAAUAGUUACCAUUUAAUAUUUUUGAAAUGACUUGUAUUGAUAAAUUGUAACGGAACACAGAUGAAAUUGGUUAACUAAGAAACCUAUAAGUGUAAUAGGUGCUGAAGUUAACCAACAAAAGAAGGAAGUGAGUCAUAUACUUCCCAAAAGUACAGCACAUAACAAUCGGGCUGCAACAGCAAGCAAGCAGUACACAGCAGACUAGAUGAAAACCAACAGACAGAAACCUGGGAUGAAAGGAGCACCAUAACAGCUCAUAUUCAUCUAAUCAUCAACCGUUGAACCCAGCAGCAAGUACCAUGUUCAAAGCAAAAGAGACCAUAAUAAGACCAUAUCAGGCAGCAGCUUAGGUUCACCAUUAUACUUGUCCUGCUGAGAGAGAAUGGAGUUGAAGUCACCCAUGAUAAUCCAAGGCAUUGCAGGAGCCAUUGCCGCAAAUCAUUCCAUAGACCUCGUCUAGCUGUAAUGGUGUUAAGACCAUAAACAAAGGUGGCGACAAACUCAAGGUGGCUGACUAAACACCUGAUAGAAACAUGGAGUCCUUGUUCUGAGACAGCAAGAAGCUCAAUAUCAACAGUGGCAGGAUUCCAAAACACAACAAUUCUUGCAUAGCGUGCAACAUCCAAAUUGGAGAGGAACUUCCAAUUUUUCAACCGAAACCUGUGCAUAAAUUGAAGCUUGUAUAAGGCAAACUUAGUUUCUAAAAAACAACAGACAUCAAUACCAUUUUUCUUCAUGAGGUUAGCAACCUCAUGUUGUUUCAGGGGGCUGUUCAGCCCUCUGAUAUUCCAGCAAUAGAUAUGCAUUACAGAGUAGGUGUGGUAGGAUAUUUCCUACCACUACCAGAUGCUCUAGUGGAAAGUCUUCUUGUCUCAUUACUGGUUGCCACCCCUACUGAAGAUCCAUCAAAAACCCGUGCCUUAGGCGUGGCCACAGACCCGCCAGCUAUUUCUUUGCCUUUGGAAUUCUGAGUGCUAGCACGAGGGCCACCACCUGCAGAUAGCCCCCUACUGCGAGGCAUGUAUUGUCGUUUGCUCUUUUCCCAUUCUUCAGCCAUUGCCUCGGCCUCAGCAUGCAUUGGGUCCAAGCUCUGCACCCCAGCUGCCUUUCUCCCAAUGUUCUCCAUAGCCGGCACCUCAGCAUCAGGAUCAAAGCUGGCGUGAACAUCAUCACAGCUGGCAGCUUCACCACCCUUAGCUCCUUUAUUAGUCACCCCAAUAGAAGUAGUGGUCUUAAUACAACCUGCAGUGAGUUCAGCCUCAGCUUGCAUGGGGUCCAGAACCUGCAUUGCAUUUACAAUAGCCUGUCCCACUCUAGCAUGGACUCUACUACGUCUAGAAGUCACAUUAGGGGCAUCAUCCUUUGCUCCCUGUUUACUCAACCCAUCAGCAGUAGAGGCCUUAGAACAUGCCUCAGUAGUGUGCCCAAGAAUUUUGCAAAACUUACAAAAUUUAGGCAUAGUUUCAUAGACCACCGGUUGGACCAAUGUAGCUCCAUUAAGCAACAGAAUAUUGAUUGAAGAAGGCAGCACAACUAAUAAAUCCAGCUCAAUUAAAACUCUAGCAAAGAAUAACCUAGACAUUGAAGCAGUUAAUUUGUCACUUUGAAUAGGUUUACCAAGCAUACUAGCAAUCUUGGACAAACACUUUGUAGACCAGCAUUCCAAAGGGAGGUUUGGGAAUUUCACCCAAAUCGGAACCUUAGUCAUUUCAUCAGGUGCAAAAUCAAAAUAUUCGGGCAUAGGCUUCAACAUCAAGGGCCUGUCAUAAACUAAGUAAGGGCCGUUACUGAGGACUUCAAGUUUGUCAUUAACAUUGUUAAACCGAUAUACCAGCCAGCCUGACUCAUGGAUUGUUAGACUAGCUUCACAGCACCAUGUAUUUGCAAUAAUGUUAUUGCAAGCCUUAAAUCCAGGAAAUUUACCAGCUACGUAUCCAACAAUACAAGAUUUCCAUACAUCAUAAUUGCUAUCGAAGUCCUCAUCCAGAAGAGUGCAAGUUUUACCAGCAUUUAAUCCAGAAAAAUGAACUAACUUUAGGCAGUCAGCACAACUACGAUUGGAAGUAAAUAAAUCACGCCGCUUCCCUAUAGCAUGCUCAAGAGGUUUUAUGGUACCUGAGUGUGCAUGAAGACCACCCUCCAAGGUUGAUGGCUCUUUAUGGAGUACGCCCGUACCUGAGAUUUCUUUGCCACAGGGAGGGUUUGAAGUCGGCGCACUCUGGCCAGAGUUUGAAGUGGGGGAGAGGAAGAAUUUUGAACCAGAUCCAAAACCAUCCUCCAAGGCAGGGUAGUCAACCUGGUCAGCAUCGCAAGCUUCACCAUCAGAGCAAUCUUCGAUGGCGACAUGAUCUUCAGCAGUAGUACUAGCAGCCCCGCAAGCACCAGAACCAUCUUCAGCGUAAAUUAAGUAUUUACCAGGACCGGACCCACCAGCUAAGGCUUUAAUAGAAGGAUUUUCUUCAAAACGGGUAGAUCUGGUAGGGCCACAUGAAGCAGGAGGCGCUUCCAAAGCCAGAACUAUUUUAUUGUGCAGAUCUGUUUGGGAUGUCUCCUGCUUCCGUGAAAGGGUACCGCGUGAGUUGAGAGACAAAGAUUUCUUUUUGCUUUUGGCCAUGGAGAGGAGGAGAACGUGUAGACGUAAAGAUGGGGAAAGAGCUACAGUAGCAUAGCAAAUUCAAAUUUCAAACGGCGCCAUCGUGAGGGAAGUGAUUUCCAGGAGGAAAGGAGAGCUUCUCUCUCUAGCUUUUCUCUUUUUUUAAUAAAAGUAACUAGACUGGAAUCCCAUCGAGUUUAUAUACAGUAAAGUACAAUCACGAGAGAAAGAAAUCAGAAAAAAAAGUGAUAAAGAUUAGAUAAACAAAUUUAAAUAAAAAUAUUUUUAAAAAAAUAUUUUUAAAAAAAUUUAAAUAUUUUUUAUUUUUUUAUUAACUUUAAAUUAAUAUGUUUUUAGUGUUUUUAAAUUAUUUUAUUUAAUGUGUUAAUGUUAAAAAUAAUUUUUAAAAAAUAAAAAAAUAUCAUUGAUAUGCAUUUUGGCAUGAAAAGUUAUUUGAAAAGCAACCGCAACCACACUACUAAACAAGUUCUAGUAACACGAUGUUUUUAAAAAUUUUAAAUUAUUUAUUUAUUUAAAAUUAAUAUUAUUUUAGUAUUUUUGAAUUGUUUUAAUGCGUUAAUAUUAAAAAUAAUUUUUAAAAAUAAAAAAAAAUUAUUUUAAUAUAUUUUUAAAUAAAAAUAUUUUAAAAAAUUACACUUUCAAACACACACUUAGCCUAUCCAUUAUUUAAAAAAAAAAAAACCACCAGCCCAUAAUAAAAUAACAGCAACAAGAAUUUACAAAUAGCAACCAAGAGGAACGAAAAUCCCACACAAAGAGGAAGGACUAUAUCUUGAAAAACAGAAAUGGUUAACCAGGGAACCUAGAGAGUAGUAGGUGCUGUAGUUAACCAUCCUUCAAAAUUAAUCAGCAGAUUAGCAGAAAAAACAGCACGAGCAUAGCAGAUCGGAGAGCAUCAUGACCCCACAUCAUGGACUUGCCAGGCAAAGGAGAAACAACGUCCCCUACUCAAGCUGCAUUGGAAGGAUAGGAGUAACCAAAAGUAGAACCAGCAAAUGCCUCCAGCCAGCAAUAGCAGCAAGCAACAAAACUCAGCCAAAGAAAGAGCCAAAGCCAUUUGUCCAGGAGCCAAACCAGCAGCAGUUGCCCAAGACCAAGAAACCAGAACCAAGAUAGUCUGGAUACCAGCAGUAACAGGGGGGAGAUUAGGCAUAACAGGCAAACAACAAGAGAUGGAACUUAUGGCAGGAACAGCAAGGCCAGAAAGGUGGCAUCCAAGAGCAUCAAAGAGGUCGAGGAGGACCAGAGGAGAAAAAAAAACAACACACAUGAACUUCGUAUGACUAAAUCUGCAUCAGCAAAAGCAUGAAAACAACAGUACCAAAUGGCAGCAUGACAGGCAUCCAAGUCCUUUUCAGUCAACCAACAUUGAUAAUAAAGUGGUUGUUCUCGUGGAAAUGCAAGAUCAUGUAAAAUAACACUUGAAAUUUGCGAAAGAUAGGUUCUACCAGAGUACGAGUGUUAUCGAAGAUUCUUUUGUUUUUUCUUCCCAUAUCAAAUAAACCGUGAUGCUUUGAGAAACCCUUCGCAUCCUGGCUUCAAUGUUCUUCUGCCUUGAGUUUGAUCCUCUGGUUGCACUGUUCAGGGUAGUCAUGCUCCUGUUUAUCCGUAGCAAGAUUUUAUCUUCCUCCACAAGAGAGAUGUCCAGUUGCAGGCGAAAAAUAGAUGACUUUGUUUUCCUCAUGAUCUCGGCAGAACACACAGCAAGUUUCAUCAAUAAAACGUAGCCAACCAUAAAAUGAAACUGUGCCUUGGUAAGCACCAGUCACUACUAAAAACUAUAGCUCCGUUACAAAUAAUACUAAAAUCCAUUACUAAAACAAUUUAGCAGAUUUGUCGUUGCUGAUUUUUUAGCAACGGAUUUAUCCGUUGCUGAUUUCGCAGCAACGGAAAUUCCGUUACUUACAAUUAGCAACGGAUAAUCCGAUGCUAAAAACCAGCAACGGAUUUUCCGUUGCAUAUAUUAGCAACGGAUAAUCCGUUGCUAUUUUUGUGAAUCAGCAACGGAUUGUUCGUUGCUGAUUGGUGAAUUAUUUACAAUCAGCAACGGAAAAUCCGUUGCUGAGUAUAUUAUUUUUAAUAAAUUAAUUUUUAUUUAUUUAUUAAAAUGGCUUUUAAUUUAUUUAAUUAAUUAUUUAUGGAUAUUUUAAAAGUUGUAGAAUAUAUAUAACCAACAUAAAUUAAUAUUAAAAAUAAUUGCAUCACUAAUACAAAAUGGAAUAAAAAUAAUAUUUAUAUUAUAAAAAUUUAGUUAAACUUACAUUAACACAAUUAAGUCGAAAUACAAAAAAAAAAACAACAAAAGAUACAAUCAUGGUACUGGUUGCGAAGACGAACCAUGAUAUUGUGGAUCGACACAAGAUUGAUCAGGAUAUAGUGGUCGAGGUGUAGGUCGAUAAAUUGGUUGAGAUGUGGGACCCAUAGGUGUCAUUAUCUGGGGAGCCAUAGGUGGCGACAUUGAUGGGGUCAAAGGUGGUGGCAUACCUGGCCAAUAUUUGAUGUCCCACCAUGGUAUCCAAGAUUAUUCACAAGAUAUUCUUUCAUGGAAUCCAUCUGCCGUUUCAUUUCAAGAAUAAAAUCAUCUUUUUUCUUUAUCUCCUCUUCUUUAUUCUUUAUCUCCUUUUGCAAUGCUCGAUACGAUGAACUGGGAUAUGAUGACUCCACCGAGUAGGAAUGUGAUGAAGAGCUUGUACUAACUAUAGAUUUUGGCAUACGAGGUGCACCAUAUACCCUAGCCUUUGAAACUCCUCCUGAAGCCACACACCAAGCUGCUCCAUCAAAUGAAGGAUGAUUUUCCCGAUUAGUUCCAUACUUUGAAAUCAUCUCCAUUUUAUAAUUUUCCUACAAAUAAAAUACAUGCAACAAUAAAUUCAUUUGAAUGUUAAAUAAUACUUAAGUUAUAUUAAGAAAUAAUCAAAUAAAAAUAAAUACAACCACUUUUUUAGACUUAUUGUCGACGAAGCUACCAGACUGCUUAGUACUUUGAUGCAAAGCUGAAAAGACAUCAUCCCAUGGAGGUUCUUUUCCACCAGCUUCCUCUUGCUUUCAAGAUUAAUAAAUAUUAUAAAACAUAAAUAUACAAAUUUUAAUUCAUUAUCUUAAGCAUAUAAAAAAAAAUCAUUACCAUGUUAGCUCGAUAUGAUGCAAAUGACACUGUUCCUCCAGAAUGAGUGCUUAUUUUGCCAUCUGUUUUGGUUAAUCGAUUCCUCCUAGCAGAUUCAGACCUCCUUUGAAAUUCAGGGGUGGACCAAACAUCUUUAAUCAUUUGAUUCCAGUCAUCAUUGUUUAUCCAAGCAGGACCUUUAUCAAGGCAAUCUAUAAUAUUUGUAGUGUUUUCUUUUGACAUGGCUUUCUUGCGAGCUCGUGUCAAUUGUUGAUUCAAAGCUAUCCUAGCCUUAUCUUCCCAAAUAUUACGAACAAUCGACUCAUCUUCCUCAGGAAAGGAAUAUUUUUUCUACCAAAUAAUAUAUAUACCAAGUAAAAAGAGUGCACAAAAUUUCAAAGUAUAUAAAUAAUUAUUCAUAUUGUGUUAUCUUGUUCAGAAUUUGCAAGAUGAUGUAAUAACUAAAGAAAUUAAAUGAUAUUAAAGAAUAAACAAGAAAUAAGAACAAAUUAUAACACAAAUCAGUCCCUGCUAUUCAGUUAAUAAUUUAUGGUUACAAAUAACAAGACAAUUACCAGCACACUUCUAUAGCUAUUCAGUUGAUAAUUUUCAUAAUACUACAUUAAAGUGAUCAAAAUUGAAAAGAAUAUGGCAAUUAGUGUUGGUUCUUACCUUAAACUCUUUAAAGAGUUCAUCCCUGCACAUUGAAUCUACUUUUUCCCAAGAGUGCCAUGCUCCCUUAAAAUUGGACCUCAAAAUAUCUCUGAUUGCACGUCCACACGAUGCGUUAUUGAACCUGAAAAUAAAUAAUAACAAACUUAUAUUAAACAAAUAAUUACACAAUAAUAAGUAAUUUUUUUCAUACCUGAAAAUAUAACCUUAAUAAGUUAGUUUUUAAAAGUUUGAACUUACUCUGUUGUUCCAUACAAACAAAGCUCUUUUUUUUUUGUAAUUGGAUCUAUUGGUAUGUCAAAACCCUUCCUUUUAACACUUUGAUCAUAAUUGUAUGGAGAAGAUGUUGAACCGUGGUUUGAUGGAAGACCAUCUUCAUCCUCAUCACAUACACCUCUCUCAUUACUACCGUCUCCCUCAUCUUCAUCUCUAAUGUUCACAUCACCAUCAUCACCAUCAACUCUCUCAUAACUCCUAUAUGAAUUAUGUCCAGCAUAAACAAGUUGGUUAUCUCGAGAGAAACCUCCUUGAGUUUGAAGCAAAUCUUGGAAGCGAAAGCCCUCACAAUAUUGAUAUGCUUCAACCCUCCCAUAAUCAUGUUAAGGAGGAUGUGUACUCCCCAAAGUAGGUAUGUAAUCCUCAUUUGCGUUCUGAUACACAGGUUGAUGAAAUGUGAAUCCUUUGUUAUUAUGCCUUGAUGUAGUUUGAAAUGAUUUGGAUGAAGUGGACCUGUCACUCCUUGAAGUGGACCCGUCACUCCUAUAAUCUAAUAUGGAUCCUCGUCGAGGCAUGCUAAAAACCAGAAAAAAUAUAUACAUUAUCAUAUGAAUAUAUAUAGCAUAACAAUAAAUUAGCUCAUAGUUAAACUAUCAGGAACAAAAAAUUCACAGAUAUUUUCCCAAGACUGCCAUAACUAGAAUGAAAACAAACAAUAUAUGAGAUGUAUUUUUGUAAGUGCAGCUUCAUUACAAACAAUAUCCAGUUUAUGAUGUUCAAAAUCAGUAUGGAUUGUCCACUUAAUAGCCAUCACUUCGAAAAAUAUUAUACAUCAAAUAAAAUAAUUACUGUAACAAAAACAAAUAUAUAACUAACAUCAAGACCAUUUCAUUAAGCAUUCCUUGCAAUAAUAAAAAUCAGUCAUGAAGUUUAAAUUAUCAAAAGCCAAUUAACACAAACAAUAAUAAAAAUAAAAAUCCAAAUAAUUAAUUAAGCAGAAAUCAAAAUUAUGAGUAUGCUUACCUUAAUGUUUUUUCCUAUAAAUAAAAACAUCGAGUAGGAAGAACCCUUUCAUUCAUGCUUCAGCAUCUAUCAGCAAGAAGACAAAUCACAAAAUAAACUAUAACAUCAGAAUCACAAUUUAAAGAUUGAUACUUGAAAGGUUAGAAAUGGUUUCAAAGGUCAAUGAAAAUGAUAUAUGUAAUGUGAUCCAUAACACACACUUGAAUGAAAUAAUAAAGAAAAAACAUUGAAAGCCUAAACAUUGUCAAGUAAUAUGAGGAAAUAAUAUGAAAUCAUCCAUACAUAUAAUAAAGAUAAUUCAUUACAUAUACUACAAAAUAUAAUUAACUUGUGCUACUCAUUAUUAUCAUCACUCCUAACCAUGUCAUCAUCAUCACACAAAACCAUGUUGUCGUCAUCAUCACCACCACCACCACAACAAUCAUCACCAUCACCAUCACCAUCACCAUCACCAUCAACUUCUUCUUCAUCUUCAUCUUCAUCUUCAUCUUCGUUUCCCCAAUUUAUGUCAAGUUGAAGCAAUUCAUGUUGACCGAUUUCUUCAUAAUAAGAUGAUUCAACAAGUAUAUUUGGAUCAUUAAGUGUUUGAGUAGGAAGGACACGACAUGGUUGAGAAAUCUCAUCUGAUUGAUCAACAUCAAAUGAUCUCACAUUGUUGGCAUCUUUAAUAAAUUCACCCAUGUCAACAUUAUAACGACUUCUAGCAGUUGUCUUAAUAAUCGUCCACCAUUCAGAGGAUUUAUUACCAAGUGGAUAUGUAUAGUAGACUUAUUGACAUUGUUGUGCUAACACAAAAUCUUCAUUUUCGUGUAGUCGAGAUGUAUGCUUGAUUUCAACCAAACCAUUUGAACGAUGCACUCUAAUCCCUCGUUUUGUAUCAUACCAAUUACAUUUAAACAUAAAUAACUUGCACUUACUCCCCAAGUAUUUUAGCCGAACAACUUCUUUAAGCAUUCCAUAAUAAUCACGUUCAUUAUCAUCAUAGCAACUUCCUUUCACACAAACUCCACUAUUCAUUGUCUUUUUAAAACGACCAUAACGUUCAGUAUGAAAUUUAAAACCAUUCACAUAAUACCCAUUAUAACAUUUCACUGAAGUUGAAGGGCCCAUAGCAAGUCCAAAGAGUUGAUUUUCAAUUCCGUUAGAUUGGUAUUCCACCUAGCAUAAUAGUUAACUUCAUAAGAAAUAGUGAUUUAAAAGAGAUUAGUAAUAUUUUUAAAGUAACUAAUUGACAUAAAAUAUAAAUUAAUUUUAUUAAAAUACUUACAUUAUUUUUUAACAAAUUUGGAAAGAUCUCUUCGCAUAAUUUUUCAAUUUCAACAUCCCUCUCAUGUGGUUGUUGUGACUUUAGCUCUUGACGACAUUGCCUAAAAUUUUAAAAUGUUAAAGUUAAUAAUAAAUUAUUAAAAAUUUAAGUACAAAAUAAUAUUUCAUCUUACUCUAAAUAAGGCUUCAGUUCUUGACAAUUGAAUAUCACAUAGUUAUGCGCAAUUUGCAUUUCAUCAUGUGACAACUGUCUUCUAUAAAAUCUUUGGGAUAAUUUUUUCCUGGAUAGGAAAAAAUAGAGAGACAUCCAUCUAGACUUUUAAGGCUACCAUCAUCAUUCCGUGGAACUCGAUUCCAAGUUGUUUGCACGUCAUCACCAAAAUAAUGAGAUGCAAAAUUGGUAAUUUCAUCAAUCAAGUAUGCUUCACAUAUGGAACCCUCAACUUUAGCUUUAUUGGUCACUUUCUUCUUCAAAUAAAACAUAUACCUAUAUCAUUUAUGUCAAUUAGUUUAUUUUUUAAAAUAAAAAGGGAAUAAAAUUAACAUAGUAUGAAAACAUACCGUUCAAAUGGAUACAUCCAUCGAUAUUGAACUGGUCCACCAACUUUUGCCUCGUAAAGUAGAUGUAUCGUCAAGUGUUCCAUUGAGUCAAAGAAGGAUGGAGGAAAAAUCCUUUCAAGUUUGCAAAUUAUUUCAAUUAUAUUCAUCUGCAUUAACUCCAUGUGUUGGGCAUUUAAAUUUGUUGAACAAAUAUCUCGAAAAAAUACGGACAGUUCAGUUAAUGCCUCCCACAGUGGCCUAGGUAAGUAAGGUCGGAAAGCGGUUGGAAGAAGUCUUUGAAUGAAGACAUGACAAUCAUGACUCUUCAUCCCCGAAACCUUACAUUGUGCCUCUUUCACACAUCGUGAAAUGCUUGAAGCAUAACCAUCAGGAAAUGAUAAUUCCUUCAUCCAUGACAAAACUUCUUGUUGUUGUUUCUUGUGUAGACAAUAAGUGCCUUUAGGUUUGUAAACCCGACCACUCGUAUCUUGUUGCAAAUGUAAAUUUGGCUUCUUACAAUACAAUUGAAUAUCCAACCUAGCCUUUAAAUUGUCCUUGCUUCUAUUAGGACAAUCCAUUACUGUAUAAAAAAUAUUGUCAAAGACAUUUUUCUCAAUAUGCAUGACAUCAAGAUUAUGACGAAUCAAAUUUGUAUGCCAAUAUGGAAGCUCCCAGAAAAUACUCUUCUUCACCCAAUUGUGUUUAACACCAAAGCUAGGAAUUUUAUCAUUACAUGAUGAACCUCCAUUACGUCCCUCAGUAUACUUGGACACUUCGUUUAACAUUUCCAAACCAGAUGGACGAGGUAAAGGAGGGAGCCUUUCAAUUACUCCUUUCAAAAACUUAUCAGAUUGACAUCUAUAUGGGUGGUUUAUGGGUAGAAAUCGUCGAUGACAAUAAAAAAAUGUAGUUUUCCCUCCAUUUUUUAAUCUAAAAGCCUUGCUAUGCUCCAUACAAUAAGGACAAGACAGAUUUCCAUGAGUACUCCACCCCGAUAACAUGCCAUAUGCUGGAAAAUCACUCAUGGUCCACAUCAAAGCUGCCCUUAAUUGGAAAUUUUCCUUUCUUUAUACAUCAUAUGUUUCAACACCAACAGACCACAAAUUUUUUAACUCAUCAAUCAAAGGUCUUAGGAAAACAUCAAGCUUUUUCCCCGGAUUCUUUGGCCCAGAAAUCAUCAUUGUCAAAAACAUGAAUGGUCUAGUCAUGCACUUCCACGGAGGCAAAUUAUAAACAGUCACAAUUACUGGCCAACAAGAGUAUGUAUUUGAAGACAUGUCAAAUGGACAAAACCCAUCAGUGCAUAACCCUAACCGAAUAUUUCUCGGAUCUGAUGCAAAGCUUAAGUGGACACGAUUAAACUCCUUUCAUGCCUUCCCAUCAGAUGGGUGUACCAUAACCCUAUUAUCUGACUUAUGAAAAUGAUGCCAUGUCAUAUCUUUGGCAUGAUAUGGAGACAUGAACAGUCUCUGAAGCCUUGGUGUCAAGGGAAAGUAUCGGAGUUGCUUCUCUGCCUUAUUAGAACCUUUACUAGUUGGAUUUCUAGGUUUGUAUUGUGAACUUCCACAAAAAUCAUAAUUUAUUUUCAUUACAUCUACCCCAUAGUAUAGCAUACAGUAAUUAGGACACACAUCAUAUUUAUCAUAACCAAGUCCAAUUGGCCGCAUAAAUUUCUUGGCAUCAUAAAAAUUGGAUACUAAAUUUUCAUCAUUAGGCAUGCAACUUUUUGUAAAAUCAAUAAACUUGUUGAAGGCAAUCUGAGUCAAAUUUAAAGUUGACUUCAUAGUAAGCAAUUGUACACAAACAAAUAAUUUGGAUUGCUUGGUACACCCAUCCCACCAAGGCUCCUCCGCAGCUUUCAAAAGCUUAAAAAAAUUAGUUGCCUCCGGAUUUGGAAGUUCCUCUGUUACCACAGGACUAGACACAUUAUCAUUAGAGUAUGCAUCACCAACCCCCAUUGCAUCCAUAACCAGAUUCCUAUAUGGAUUUUCUAGACAAACAUAAUUCACAACAUGACUAAUUCCAACCGAUGAAGGUCCAGCCAAUAUUGGUUCUGCGACAUAAGGCUCUCCAUGUACAGUCCAAUUUUCAUAACAAGGUAAAAAACCUUUUGUCAAUAGAUGCUUACAAACAUCAUCUUCCUUUAAAAACUUUUGAUUUUUGCACCUCAUACAAGGACAUAUAAUUUUUCCCCCGGAUAUAUUUUUAUCAAUUGAAAAGGCAAAAUUGAUAAAUCUUCUAACACCUGUAAUGUAUACAGGACGAAGGCGACCAUCCAUAAGACGACGAUACAUCCACGAUCGAUCAUCCAUGUUAAUCUAAUUAACAUGAUAACACUAAUAAGCAUUUUUAGAAAUAAACAUACUUCUUUAACUACUAGUACUUAAACAAUCAUUUAAAAUAAAAUAUGUACCACAUAAACAAACUUUAAUUAUUUGUCCAGCUCACACAUCUAUAUAGCCAAGAAAUUAUUACUUUUAGAGUUCAUGGGUCAUGUUCUUAAGAUUUAUUGGGCUGCUAUUUAAGGUCACUGCUGUUCCAGUUGGCAAUUUUAUUUAAUAACCUUAAAACUCUACAACAAUUCUAACAUAAGACAUUAGUAAUUGACAGAUUUUGUUGGCAGUCUACUGAAACAGUAGAGUUAUGCUUCAUGUAAGAGGGAAACUUUUUAUGCUAUAUGUAAUUAGUAUUUUAUAAACAUUUUCUUUUAGGGUAAGCUAGAAGAUGGACAAGAAAUUGCUGUGAAGAGGCUGUCAAGGAGUUCUAGACAAGGAUUAAAUGAGUUAAAAAAUGAGGUGAUACUAAUUAACAAGCUUCAACAUAAAAAUCUUGUAAAGCUUUCUAAUUGAAUUCAUUUUCACAUAUAUUUUAAGCAUUAAAAUUGAAUUCAAUUACAUGAUUUAAUAAUUUAUUUGAAAUAUAAGAAUUCUAAUAGGUUAUUAAUUUAAUCCAAAUUUAAACAAUAUUGUUAUUUAUCCAUUUCCUUUUUAAUUAUUAGAGUAAACUAUUAUUUUAAUUUAAUUUCAUUUCAUUUCAGAUUUUUUUAAUAUAUAAACACUAUAAUAUUAUAUUUUAAUUAGAGAAUUAUGAUUUUAACAUGGUGAUUUUACUCAAUAGCUUGUUUUGCCGCUAAAAAAAAUGCAGUAUAAGUUUCAAAAAGCGUUAAUUAUUUGUUUUUGGACAACCCAUUAAUCAGCCUUAAAAAUAAUUAAAGUUGGUUUAAACAUGAAAGGGCUUUUUUUGAACUACCCAUCCAAAGUUCUAAACUGCCUUGUAAUUGAUUUAUAUUGUCUAACCAAAUAAUUGAUAUGGGAUUUGGGCCUCUAAAUGCCUUCAUUGUUUUGAAAUUAGAUAAAGAAGACCGAGGCUUAUUCUUAUUCUUCUUAAGAGGAAAAAUUCCAAAAACAUGAAUUAACUUACCUUUUCAUGAUAUAUCUUAUUAAAGGACAAAGCUAUUGAAUGCCCUUGAGGUAUUCAUUUUAAAUACAUUUAUUUGUUAUUAGAGACCACAUCACCAAUUAAUACUGUGCUGUUUCCUGAACUUCAGGAAGCAAUAUGUAAAAGCAGAAAGAAAAAAGACAAUACCAUGCCCAGAAAAUUAAGUUAAUUGAAUAUAAUCCCAACAUCAUGUUCACAUAAACCUCCAAAACUAGGAUCUACAAGGAAAAUAAAUUUAAAUAUGCAUUAUCUUAUCCCGAUGAAAAGCAGAGUUCCAAUUAAUUGAAGAGAUUAGAAUAGGCAUGCCCAGCAGACAAAUUAAGCAUAAUAUAAUUAAGCAACCAUCUAAAAAUAGAGAAAAAUAGACUUACCUAAGCCCCAAUAAUCAAUGGCCCAAGGUGGAGAUUUCCUUAUUGCAACCCAAUCAGACUUAGCCAACUCUAUUGGUUUAUAUUGUGAUCCAAAAGGCAUUCAUAUUGCUGGAAAAAUAAAAAACAUAAACAGUAUGUUAAACCCAUCAGCUAUAUCCAUUGCUAGUUUUUAAAACAAAUCUAAGUUAAACUAUGAAAAACAGAAAGAAUAUCCAAGUUAAACUGUUAAUUUUUUAUAUUUUUAUGGCACUUGUCUUCUCAUAACAAUUUUUUUUCUUCUAAGAUCUAACCUGAAAAUUUUCAAUCCUAAACAAGAUUACAAAUGCAUUUUGAAAUUUCAAAAUAACUAACAUUUAAUUUAUAACAAGGAACUAUCUUAUGGUUUUCAAAAACAUAAUGACUAACUUAUAAAAUCAUAAAAAAUGCAUAGAUUAAAUUAUAAUUUACUCUAAUUAUUAUCUCUUAAAACCUAUAACUUAAUAGGAAUCUGUAUGGUUAGGACAUAAUUUGUCUACAAAACCGAGCCUUUGCAUAAAAGGAAAUUCCAAUGAGAUGCUUUUAGUUCAAAUAGUAGAACAACAAGGUACAAAAAGCAUAUCAGAAAUAACUUAGCUGUAAAUAAACCUAGCUAACCAAAAGUCAGAUCAAUAGGAAGGCAGUAUAGGACCAAGAAUUCACAGCAAGGAACUACUGACUUCACAGCAACAAUCAAAAUAAAUUUGUAGUUAAUUGAUAUAUUAUUUAGUCAUCUCCAGGUUUCAUUUUGGUCUCAUAAUUUCCAUCCAAAAAGAAACUUAAUAUCAGAUUUAAUGAAAGAAAAUCAUUCAAUUAAUUUUUUUAUAUACAAACUAGCAUUGAAUAAGGAAAGAAAAAAAACAGUCCUAUGCCAUGAAAAGUUAAUUGAAUAUAACCAGCAUCAUGUUCACAUGAACAUCCAAAACUAGAAUCUACAAGGAAAAUAAAUUUAAAUAUGCAUUAUCAAAACCCCCACUUUAUUUAUUUAUUUUUUUUGAUACAAGAGAAUCACUACAAACCACUUAAUCCCGUCUUUGGUAGCUACUGUAAUAUCUAAAUUUUGUUUGCUAAAAACAGGAACUCCAUCAACCCUCCUGCUCCCAUCGCUGUGUGGAAUAGUCUUGAGAAGUUGGUGUGCUGCCUUGACCUGUGAGAGCAGAAAUCAGAUAAAAACAGAAUUAUAAAUCUAUCACAAUAAAUACAACUUUGUUAAUACCAUGUGGUCUGAACAAAUGGUACCUGCUUUUAAUUUGGAACAAACUGAAAUAGUUGAGGUUUCUCCUGCAAAACACAAAGCAAAAUAAAAGGUGGAUUAUUCCAGAAAAUGAGAUGAUAUUAGAAAUAUGAAUAGGAUCGCAAAAUAAAAAAAAAAACAAAAGAACCAUACCGUCAGAGCUACUUCUUGAUCUUCUUUCUUGGAAAUCUUAUAUGCAACUCCCCACUAUGACCUCGCUGGAUAAAAACAAAAAAAAACCCUCAUAUCAUUUGAUGAUUAUUUUUUUAUCCACAACACAGAAAGAAACAUAAUUGAAAACAAAAUGUUAAAUGGCAAUGGGCAAACUCAACUCUCACUGGUUUAUUAGAAAGAGAGUCAACAAUUUUGUUCAUCUUAUUGCGUAGCUAGCCUUUGAAAGCAAAUAGAAUUGCAAAACCACUAGAAAAAUGUUGAAAAAACUCACACAGACUUCCCCAUUAGCAGGUUCUAAAGUCACAUUCCUUCCUGGAUACUCUGUUGUGCCUCUAUGGUCAGUGCUGCCUAUUACCAGAACAAAAAAAUCCACCAAUACAUUUCACUAACAAAUACUCCCUCCAAUAUAUUUGUAUGUAUGAGUAAGAGAAAGAAACCUUAGUAAAAUACACGGCGAUAUCCUUUGAUGAAGCCAACGACACGAUCAUCGUAGUUAAAGCCUGCUUUCCAUAUUAGAGACCCAUAUACAAAUACCCAUAACGACCCAUUUUUCCAUGUUUCUCCUGCAUAACACAAAGCAAAAUAAAAAGUGGAUUAUUCCAGAAAAUGAGAUGAUAUUAGAAAUAUGAAUAGGAUCGCAAAAUUUGAAUUUUGUCAAGGAAAAUAAGUACGUAUAAGUUUUGCAACUAAAUCUAAUAAUUGCAUAUUUUGAAAAAAUAACUACAUGAAUCAGCAACCACCACAUCCUAGUAAUUUGGAUUGGCUGUGACUAAAAUGCAACACUAAAACUCUACAAGCAUGCUCAAUCAAAUCACAGCAAGAAAAAAAGAAACACUUGGACUGCUACAGAAGCAGAGCAUCACAGGUUAACCAGUUGCUAGACUCUCUAGAUUUGAACAGCAUCCAUACGCUGCUGUAACACUUAAAAUUUAUAGAAGUAGAGCAUCACAAGUUAAAAAGUUGAAGCAGAAGGAUAACAAGUUAUAACAUCAUGAAACACCUCUGUGAAAGUGAAGAAAUUGAACUGACACAUAAUUUCCAUCAAUCACUCUCUUCCAGACACAUGAAUUACCAGCAUAAUUGGUCCAGUUGCCUAAAAUCACUCAAUUUGUGAACCGUAACCCUAAAAAUUAAAUUGGGGGUUUUCAUAAAUUUUCAAUUAAACAUGCAUAAUUAGGUUAUAGAUCAUGGUAAAAACAUUUCAUAAACCCUUAUAUUAUCGAAUUAAUAGCAUAAAACCAUUAUUCAAAGUAUCGAUAAAAAAAAAUAGUACAUGUGUUCUUGAGUUAUAGGUGAACGGGAUGCAUCUACACGACAGAAUAACACCUGAGAUUGAAAAAGUUCGGUUAAAACAUUUUAGUGUAAGUUAAAUUUCAACAUAGAAAAAUAUAAAUCAUAAAUUAAUUACCUGAAUUAUUGAAGAAAAUAGUGCAAAACCCAACCCGUUUACAAAGAGAAGGGGUAAAUCAGGAUGUUCGUUGGUGAUUAUGAUGGGUCUGGUGCGAUGUUGCCAUGGUCUGUGUUUUUGGUGGUUUACAGAGAAAGAUUUAAACUGUUAAGAUGAAGGAGAAGAAGAUGAAGAAAAAAAAUUAGGGAUGUUGAAGACGAAUGAGAAGAAGAUGAAAAGUUUGGGACAAAGGAAAAUCAAAUCGAUGAAGAGAGGGUGAUUUUUCUACAACUAUGCAUGUUAUUAGGGACGAAGAAGAUGGGAAGUUAAUUAAUUUUCAGCUGCUGGUUUUGUUGUUUUUUGUUUUCGUUUCUAAGCGUGUGGGGGUGGGGGGGAGUCCUGCAGGUGUACGUAGAAAGCAAUGGAUAGAAAUUCAACGGUUGAGAUGUUAUCUUAUCAAAAGUAAUCAACGGUUUCUAUGAUUUUAGUUUUAUAUUAAGAUUUAAAUAAUUAUUUUUUCAAUUAGCAACGGAUUAUCCGUUGCAAACUUUACGAUGUCUUUAGCAACGGAUUUUCCGUUGCUAAAGUCUGUUGCUAAUAUUAAAAAAAUAAUAUAUGUUUAAUCCAUUGCAAAUUAGUUACUGAAUUUAGCAAUGGAUAAUUCCGUUGCUAAAUUCAGAUGCUAAUAGCCCCUGUUUUUAGUAGUGAGUGUUCCCAAACUAUGUUCUCCCAGGACAAAGAGAUACCUUUAAAUAUGAGGUAUUCAUAAACAUGAGCAGGGAAAGGCCCACUACUGAUUUCCCAACUUCUCAUCAUCAUGGAAACUGCUUCUGUAUGCCCUCCACAAUCCCCUAGAAGCUGAUUUCUUAUAAUAAGAAUAGAUUUCCACAACAAUGAUGAGGUUCUUUGAAGAGGAGCAUUCCAUAUAAUGUGAUGUUGCAGGUAGUAAUGAUACACCCAUCUAAUCCAAGUAGAAUCAGAUCUGAGGUGUAUGCUCCAUAGUUGUUAGGCAAUAAAACAGUUGAUUCUAGCUUUGAUGUCAAAAAAGCCCAAACCACUCUCAUGUUAGGGCAAACAAAUAUUUUUCCAAGCUACUAAAACAGACUUGCUUCUCUCUUUCUGUUUUCUUUUAUUAAAAUGUAAGUAUGUAUUAAGACUAGCUUUGAUGUCAAAAAAGCCCAAACCACUCUCAUGUUAGGGCAAACAAACAUUUUUUCAAGCUACUAAAACAGACUUGCUUCUCUCUUUUCGUUUUUCUUUUAUUAAAAUGUAAGUAUGUAUUAAGAUUAAAGUAACCAUACUGGAAAACUAAUAAUUCCAAAUAUACAACCUAAGUGAACAGGUUCCUAGCUAACAAAAAUUACAACAUGACCAGCAUCAACAAGGCCAACCUAAACAUUGAAAACCAACUGGCCGCGCAGGGCCAAAGGGGACAACAACAACAUUGGUUAUCCUAGAAACCUAAUUAAGGAGAAGGUGUCCAACCUAACUGUCGCACCCUCGCGGCGGAGCGCGGCGUCGCGGCGACCAUCGAUUGAUUUCGGGGUCUUUUUGUGUAAAGGAGUCGCCACCUAGUAUUAUGGUCACUAGGAAACCUAACUGGUCUUUCAGAGAUUCUAAGGCAAGGGACUGGUUGUGUAAAGGGAAGGUAUUAGCACCCCUAGUACGCCAUACCUAAGGUAAGCUGCUUAGUAUUUGGUUUGUCUUAUAAUUGCUAUGGUGUUGAUGUUUUCUAAUCCCAUCAGUUUUCUAGGUUUUGAUUCAAACUAAAUUUAUUAGGAUAGAAACCCAAGGAAGUUCCAUGUGCUUUAAAAGCUCAUUUUCCCCUUAGUUUUUCAAGGGUUUGCGACUCGUAAAUCGCAAGGAGGAGGGGCAAAAAUUUAGAAAUCUAGGGUGCUUUAAAAACCUAUUUUUUUGUCUUAGUGUUUUAACUCUCACAGCUCGUAAAUCUUGGAAAAACAAAAUUUGAAAUGUCCUCGAUUAUAAUCAAGGCUUCUUUCAAGGAUGUGUGCGGAUUUAUUACUCCCAAUAAUAUUUUGGAUAUUCGUCCUUUAAGGAUUUCUUUAUCCAAACAUUAGCGGUGAAUAAUAGAUGAAUUCCCCCCAAAAUAAGAUUUUUAUAUUUUUUGGAAUAUUGGCCAAUACCCUUUGGAGUUUUACAAACAUGUUGUAAAAUCCAGAAAUGCAAGAAAAACAAUUUUUGGUGUUUAAGAAAUCUAUGCGAAAACACAUUUUCGAAACUUCCAAUGUUUUUUGUAUAUAAAAAAAAAGAGCGUUCAAAACAUGUUAGGGUAUUGGCCGUAUGCAACACGCAAGAAAAUAUUUUUUAUUUGAUCGAAACAUAAGCAUCACGGUAAUCACAAAUAAAGACAACAAGUCAUCACAUAUAUUUCAAAAAAAAUCAUAAGCCUUAAACAUUUCAGUUAAAAUAAAGCAGGAGAAAAAAAUAAAAAGAGAAAAGCGCUCUAAAGCCAAAACUCAUCAAAUAGAAUUUGAUCCAUCAAAUCACUCAGAGCUUAAACAUAGCAUGAUCUAUUAUUUUCGACAGAAAAAAAAAAAACAAAAGAGUCCAUAUCACGUAAAAAAAAAACAACCCUUUGAACCCAAUCCUAUAGCAAAACCCCUGACUCCUUUUUCUGUCUGUGUUAAAAACCCAAACUGCGCCUAAAAGCCAACUAUUCCUAUGCAACAUUCUAACAGAGAGCACUCGGACAAAGAAAUGAAGGAAUAAUGAAGACCCUUAAAGUUUAAAAUUCCUCUCAAUAAGAGAGCAAAACAAACGCAGCUCUAACGUAUAUAAAAAAUCUUAACUCAAAGACACGGGAGGGACAGUGGGCAAGCAUGCAAAUUUGUAGCUAAGAUAGAAAACGAAGGUGCAAAACCAGAAGACAAAACAAUUUUUAAACAUCAAAAACAAGUACCUGCAGGUCUCACUGAAAUGUCUUAUUGCAGCAGUGAAAUGCUUUACUGCAGCAGCUAAAUAUAAACCAAAUGAACGUUGCUGUCAAGGCUUAGCAGCAAAGCUCCCUCUCCGUCUUGUCUUUUUUUCCUCCUCUUUCCUCACAGUAACUCAAGAAUGCAAGAAAGAAACUCUCUCUGUUUUUCUGCUUUUUUUUUCUACUGCCUCUCUCUUGCGUUUUUCUUGUCUUUCUUUUCCUAUCCUCUCUCCCGUUCUCUCUUUUUCUCUUAUUUUUCUGCUCCCUUUUUUUUGCUAUUUUUCUGCUCUCUUUUUGCCGCCCCUUGCUAGGUCAUUAAAGGGGUUUAUAUAUAGUCUAGAAUAUCUCUAUUUAGGAAAGAUUUAAUGCAUUAAUUCUAGGACGUAAAUCCCUACUGAUUUGCAGUAAAAAAAACUCAAAAGGAAGCUGCAAUAUUCUGAUUUUGUGCUGGUGCUUUACGUCUGAUUUCUUUCCAGUUUUAGAGGAGGGUGUGGCUAUUUUCUUUCCUUCCAUAGGGCCAGCUGCUCCCUUUCAAAUGAGGCAAGAAAAAACGUGGUUGCAGCUCCAAAAUUCAGGCAUGAUGAUAAAGGAAAAACAGUAGGAAUUUGCAGCGAAAAAAAGGAAAGAAAUCAGAUGGAGGGUGCAGCUGCAAAGUCUCAUUUUCCUUAUUCGGUGUGGAAAAAAUCCUGUCAUUUAUGAUGAUCCAGCCCCCUCUCCAGCUUUCAAUAUCCUUCUUCAAUUCAAUCCCUCAUUUUAACAAUUUUUGAUUCAGUCCUUGGUCCAAAAAAAAUCCUUCGAAUCAGCCCCACGAACUUGGGCUAUAUCCUUCCCGCGGCAGAAUUUUCUGUCCUCACGUUAGAUAUUCAAAUGGGAAUAUCUUGAGCUUCUGAUAUCGAAAUCAAGUGAUUCAAAAGCCCAAAUUCAUCUACACAUCUAGGACUAAAACUUUAAUGAAGAAGUCGAAGUGAGAUAAAAUCUUUUUACAGAACAGAAACUGGCAGUAAUCUAGUUGGUCAAAAGGAAUCUCCGGGUCUAACUCAAAAACUGACGAAUGCCGAGAAUCCUGAUAUGACUGAGAGUAUGAACUAAGAACGAAAAUCACAAAAACUAGGCCAAAAAUAGAGUUUCUUUAGUGCAGACUCGGGUCAAUAUCCUUCUCGCGGCAGAAUUCUCUGCCUUCACGUUAGAUAUUCAAACGGGAACAUCUUAGGCCUCUGAUAUCGAAAUCAAGUGAUUCAAAAGCCCAAAUUCAUCUAUGCGUCUAGGACUACAACUUUGAUGAAGGAGUCGAAGUGAGAUAAAAUCUUUUUACAGAACAGAAACUGGCAGUAAUCUAGUUGGUCAAAAGGAAUCUCCGGGUCUAACUCAAAAACUGACGAAUGCCGAGAAUCCUGAUAUGACUGAGAGUAUGAACUAAGAACGAAAAUCACAAAACUAGGCCAAAAAUAGAGUUUCUUUAGUGCAGACUCGGGUCAAUAUCCUUCUCGCGGCAGAAUUCUCUGCCUUCACGUUAGAUAUUCAAAUGGGAACAUCUUGAGCCUCUAAUAUUGAAAUCAAGUGAUUCAAAAGCUCAAAUUCAUCUACGCGUCUAGGACUACAACUUUGAUGAAGGAGUCGAAGUGAGAUAAAAUCUUUUUACAGAACAGAAACUGGUAGUAAUCUAGUUGGUCAAAAAGGUUCUUGAUCUGACAAUACUGAGCAUCCAAAUCUAAAUGAGAAUCUGCUCUAAGAACAAUGAUCCCUAGGACCUAAUAAAGGUGUACGUCAAUUUUUCAAUAUGUAAUGAGUGACAGGAUAUACCUAGGAUGGUCAGAUAUCGUACGAAACUGAGUCAGAAUCAGAGCCUAAGUUGGAACCAAAAAAAAUUGCGACAGCAGCAGAACUAUUUUUUUAGUGCAAAUUCUGAGGGAUUUAUUCAACCUUAAAGACCAGAUAAAAAAUAACGAAUUUAGCAUUAUGAAGACUCCUGAUCAAACUAAGAAAACCUGAUGAUUUUGGUAGUAAAGGGGAAGGAUAAAAAGAGCAGAAAACAACUCAAACAAGGUUUCAAAAUAUUUCUUUAUAUGCCUUUGUCAAUCUUUUGGUGAAUAUGAGCUAAACUCCUACACUCUGUUCAAAAGAGGUAUACACUGUCUUCAGCACGUGGGGUCCAAAAUUGAGUAACAACACUAACCAGCGCACAAAAAAGAAACAAGAUAAUUCAUUCAAAUAGCAGAGAGAAACCACCAGACAGACUGUCCGAAGACGAGAAACAAAAACAAGCAGACCUAGUACACACCGCAAUGGACCAACCAAAUAACAGCACACAUGCCAUUGCAAUAGUCAUACAGGCCAAAAAAUGUUGUAGAGAAAACCACCCGAAGCUAUUAAAACCACUCGAGGUUUCCAGGAAUAGCAAACCAGAGGGCACUUGGAAUAAUACCAUAAGUGGAACCAGCAAAAUGGGACACUGCAUCUCCUUUCAGUCUGCAACAUUAUAAGCCAAGUGAUUGCUGUCAUGAAAAUACAAAACUGUAUAGAAUAGGAUUUGGAAUUUGCGAAAUAUGAAAUCAAUAGAUUUUCCAGCAUCAUCAAACACUCUUCGGUUCCUUUCUUCCAGAUCAAGUACACAAUCAGAGCGAGGCCAACUCUUCUCAUUCUCAAUUGCAGCCCUUUCUUGUUAUUAUUAAGAGCUCGAAUUGCACUAGUCAGGCUUGCUAUGUUCCUAGUAAGCCGUAGCCAGAACUUAACUUUUCUCCAUAGUGUGGAGGUUCAGACACAAGCAAAGAAAAGGUGGCUAUGAGCUCCUCUUCUUGCUGACAGAAAGUGCAUUGAGUGUCUGAUGAGAUGAAGCAUAAUCUAUCCUUUGUUUUCAGCUUUCCAAGCACAGCUAACCAUAGAAUGAAGUUGUGCCUAGGCAAUGACCAAAGCUCCCAUACCACACUCUCCUAAUGGAUAAUUGGUCUUUUAAAUAUGAAGUAUUCAUGUGCAUUAGUAGAGAAAUUUCCCUUACCAUUGUGCCAGUUUUGGAACAUGUUAACUACUUCAGCAAUUCCUCCACAGUCAUGAAGCAACUGAUCUUUCAAGAGAAAAAUGGCUUUCUAGAGGGGGGAUGAAUUUCUCUGAACCCUGGAAUUCCAUAUUGAAUAGUGAGGGAGGUAUAAAUGAUGGACCCAACAGAUCCAAAGGGAGUCAAUUUUAACAUGUAUGUUCCAGAGCUUCUUAAUUUGCCAAGAAACAUUUGUUUCUAGCUGUAAUGUCUAGAAGACCUAAGCCCCCUUCAUUCAUAAGCAUCAUACAUUUUUUCAGGCCACAAAUACUGACUUAUUACUUAAUGAGUUCCAACUCCAUAGAAAAUUCUGACAUAAGGAGGUGAUUUUACUGAUAACAAUACUUGGUAUAAGAAAGAUGUUGAUCCAUAAUUGAACCAUACCAUGCAUAACCGAUUUAAUCAACACUAGUCUUCCAGCAUAGGACAAUUGCUUCCCCAAACAGCUAUGAAUACAUGACUCCAGCUUGAAAAGGAGAGGAUGGUAUUGACUAGCCAACAACCGAUGGGGACUCAGCGAUACACCAAGGUAUUUAAAGGAAAAGGUUCCUUCUGUGAAACCUGUUUGAAGUAAUAUAACUUGGUGUCGUCCCCAACUCCACCAAAGAAAAUGGAAGAUUUACCUAUUAUAGCUAACCAUAACCCAAAAUUGUGCCUCGACAGUGACCAUUGUUUCCAGACCACUUUGUCCCAGCAAACCGACACACUUUUAAAUCUGAAAAAAUCAUAAGCAGUUGUGGUGUACAGUCCAGGAUGUUGGUGGGAGAAACCACUGGUGGUGGCUUUGAAACACUCAGAGGGGAUAAAACACACGGUUUUAUUUCAACAAUAAAAGGCUUACUAAGAUUAAACAAAAGCUCAAUACACACUCCCUCUCUCUUUCUCUCUAGUGUUUCUUUCAUCUCUUUCCACACAGAAUAGCAUCCACUUAGCUACCUAUUUAUACACGAAUUCAAAACAAGAUAAUUCAACCUUCAAGUGUGAAGGCGGCUGGCGGCAUACAGCUGGUGGCUGGCGGCUGGGCGGUUGCAAGUGGUGGCUGGGCGGUGACAGUUGGUGGCUGCAAGUGGUGGUUGCCUUCCUUGACCUUCUAGAUUGAGUUUAAUGCAACAAAUCCCCCCUUUAAACUCAAUCGAGGGAUGUCAUGCCAAGCAUGAACUUCAAUCUGAUAAAUAUUUCUCCCUUCAAUGGCUUUGUAAAGAUAUCUGCAAUUUGAUCAUUUGUGUUGCAGGAUAUCAAUUCAACUUCUUUGUUCUUCACAUGUUCUCGGAUGAAGUGAUGACGUGUAUCAAUGUGUUUACUUCGUUCAUGAUACACCGGGUUUUUUGCUAAUGCAAUCGCUGAUCGAUUAUCAAUAUAAAUCUCUGUGGGAUCUUCUUGAGGAAAUCCCAAAUGCUUCAGCAUAUUUCUUAACCAUAUUAAAUGGCAUACAACUGAGUUGGCAGCAACAUACUCAGCUUCACAGCUUGAUAACGUUACUAUCGAUUGCUUCUUGGAUGACCAUGUGAAAGAUGUAUCUCCCAUGAAAAAGACAAAUCCCGUUGUGCUUUUCCUUUCAUCCAGAUCUCUACCCCAAUCACUAUCCGAGUAGCCAACAAGAUUGAAGUUUGUACUUGAGGUAUAAAACAUACCUUCAUUUAUUGUUCAUUUGAUGUAGCGAAGAAUUCUCUUGGCUGCAUUCAAGUGAGACUGGUCUGGUGUCUCCAUGUAUCUGCUGAUAAGACCAACUCCGUAGAGUAUAUCCGGUCUGGUACAUGUCAAGUACCUUAAGCUUCCUACUAAGCUUUUGAAGUAAGUUGGAUCAACAUUUCCAACUUUACUCUUCCUCAAUUCUACUCCAUUCUCAACUGGAGUUGAUACCGGAUUGCAGCUUUCCAUCUUGAAUCUUUCAAGAAUGUCUUUGGCAUAACUGCUUUGGGACACAAAAAUUCCUUCUUCUUUCUGCACCACUUCUAAGCCAAGAAAGUGUGCCAUCAGACCAAUGUCUGUCAUCUCAAACUCCUGUACCAUGCUUUUCUUGAAGGCUUCAAACAUGGUAGGGUUGUUGCCAGUGAAUAGCAAAUCAUCAACAUAUAGGCACACAAAUAAUAUGCUGCCAUCUGCUUCUUUCUUCACAUAUAUUGCGUGUUCAUAUGGACAUUUUUCAAAUCCAUUAUCUUGAAAAUACAUGUCAAUUCUGGUAUUCCAAGCACGCGGAGCUUGCUUCAAACCGUAGAGGGCUUUCUUCAACUUGUAUACUUUGCCUUCAUUUUCAGCUUCAAUGUAUCCAAGUGGUUGUUCAACAUAGAUCUCUUCUUCUAGGAAGCCAUUUAGAAAUGCUGACUUCACAUCGAGUUGAUAGAUCUUCCAUCUAUGUUGUGCAGCUAGUGAGAUCAUCAGUCUGAUUGUCUCUAGUCGGGCUACUGGAGCAAAUACUUCUCCAUAGUCAAUGCCUUCUCUCUGUUUGUAGCCUUUUACUACUAAUCUUGCUUUGUAUCUUUGCACUUCUCCUUUUGCAUUCUUCUUUGUCUUAUAGACCCAUUUGACACCUAUUGCUUUCUUGUUUUCUGGUAGAUUAGUCAGCUUCCAGGUGUCAUUCUUCUCAAUGGCAUGUAUUUCUUCAUCCAUUGCUUCUAUCCACUUCUCUUCUGUCACAGCUUCGUUGAAGCUAAGUGGGUCAUUAUCUGCAAAGAAACAAAAUAGAGUUGUAUCUUCCAUGACUUGCGUGGCAUCGUACAACUCGUCUAGAUUUCUCAUCCUUCUUGGUCUUUCUAAUGAUAAUGCUGAUGAUGGUGUUGAUGAUGAUUUUGGUGUGUUUCUCCUGUUGAAUACAGGAAAUCUGUGUAUCGGACUUUGUGGCUCUGCUGGUAAUAUUGGACCUUCUACAAGUACUGGUGGUACUUCCACUUCAUCUUCAAGGAUCAAAUCAGUGCUGAUCCAUUUGACUGCUUCUUGAUCAUCAUUCCAUUGCCAAGAUUUAUCUUCUUCAAAGAUAACAUCUCUACUCAUAAUUACUUCUUUGUGAUGGGAUUAUACAGCUUGUAUCCCAUCCUUCUAUCACCAUAUCCGACAAAGAUGCAUUUCUCGCUUUUAUCAUCGAGUUUGGUUCUUCUUGCAUCUGGGAUCUUUGCAUAUACCACACAACCAAAGACUCGAAGAUGAGUAACACUUGGUUUGUGACCACUCCAUGCACUACCAGAAAAUUGAUAAAUACAAACGGAAAUACCGACGGAAUAUUUUCGUCGGUAAAUUUCCGAGGGAUUUUACCGACGGAAAUAUUCCCUCGGUAUAUACCGACGGAAUUACCGUGGGAAAAAAAAUUAAAAUAAAGCAAAAAAAAAAGAUGACGUGUCUUUUUUACCAACGAAAUUACUGACGGAAAUACCGACGGAAAAUUCCGUCGGUAAAAUCCCUCGGUAAUUCCGUCGGUAAACUGUGAACACUGUUCAUCAUGUCAAUUACAAAGGGAAUCACCGACGGAAUUUUCCGUCGGUAUUUUCCAAAGAGUGUUAUUUGGCGGUUUUCUGAAAAAAUUCAAUUAAUUUAAAAUUUUCAUUUAAAUAUUACAGAUGGAAUCACCGACGGAUUGAAAAACCGUCGGUAAUUGUUGGCGGUUUCUGAAAAAAUUUUAUGAAAUUGAAAAUUUAAAUUAAAUAUUACCGAUGGAAUUACCGACGGAAUAAUUAAAAAAUAUUAAUAUUCAAUUAUCCGUCGGUAAAUCCGUCGGUAACGCGCCCCAAUAAAAAGCCUGAAUCCCCUUAUUUCACAAGAGACAGAAUCAUUUCUUCUCCUUAUUAUUCUUCUUCUUCUUGUUCUUCUACUUCUUCUACUUCUUCUUCUUCUUCUUCUUCUUCUUCACUAUAUGUAAAAAACAUCAAUAUAUAUUUCUUUCUCUUCUUUUCUCUCCUCAUCUCCUUCUCUUUUCCUCCAUGCUUGGGUAUGUCUUCUUCUUCUUCUUUCUUCUUUUAUCCUCUUAGUUUUUUUUUUUAAUUAAUAUGCUUAACAAAAAUUUUUCUUUCUCCUUAGCUUCACUUGCAACUACAUUAAGGUAAGAUUUUUCUUUUUUCUUCUUUUUUCAUGAUUUUUUUCACUAUAUUUGUUUUUUAUUUUAUUUUUAAUUGUUUUUGUUCUUAAUAAUUGUAUAAAUGUUGUUGUGAGAUUUUUUUUCAUAUGAGAUCAAUUUUUAGUUGAUUUAUUUAUAGGAUUUUUAAAUUUUUAGCAAUUGCAACUUUAUUUUUUUCAUAUGAAUUUUUUUAGUUGAAUUUAUUUUUUUGUUUUAUUUAUUUGUUGCAAAUUUUUUUGAGUUGAUUUUCUUAUUCUUUUUUCCAAGCAUUUUUUAGUAUAUAUUAUACAGUGUUAAUUUAUGCUAAUUUAAUUAUUUUAUAAUUUUAUAAAAUGAAUUUUUUUAAAUUUUUUUUUAAAUAAUUACCGACGGAAAUUCCAUCGGUAAAUCCGUCGGUAAUAAAAAAAUAUUAUUACCGAGGGAUAUACCGACGAAAUGGAGCGGAUAAAUUUAUUUUUUUAUUACCAACGGAUUUACCGACGGAAAAAAAAUUACCGACGAAAGAUUCACCGACGGAGCAUUUCCGUCGGUGAUUCCAUCGGUAAAUUAAUUACCGACGGAAUAUGUGUCUUACACCGACAGAAAAAUUCCGUCGGUAAAAUUGUUAAAUCUUGUAGUGAUGCUUCUUGUGGAGUGACAGCUUGCAAACUUUUGGUUGGGCAGCGAUUCAGUAGAUACACUGCACAUGAUACAGCUUCAGCCCAGUAUUGUUUGGGCAGCUUCUUUGCUUUGAGUAGACUUCUCGCCAUGUCAAGAAUCGUUCGAUUCUUUCUUUCAGCUACACCAUUCAGCUGUGGUGUAUAAGCUGGUGUUGUCUGAUGUCUGAUGCCUUGUUGUGUACAAAAGGCUUCAAAGUCAUUUGCUGUAUAUUCUCCACCUUGAUCAGAUCUCACGGUUCUGAUCUUAUAGCCACUUUGCUUCUCAACAAUUGCUUUAAAAUCUUUAAAACAAUUGAACACUUCUGACUUCUUCUUCAGAAAGUAUAUCCAUGUCUUUCUGCUAAAAUCAUCAAUGAAAGUAAGGAAGUACCUAUUGUCCAGUCGACAUAGGCUUUAUGGGACCACACACAUCUGUGUGCACUAACUCUAGUGGCCUCUUUGCUUUCCAGUUGACUUCUUUGGCAAAACUGGAUCUGUGAUGUUUGCUGAGGACACAACUCUCACAGACUUCAUCUGGAUGAUCAAUGUGGGGCAUACCUUUGACCAUCUUCUUGCUUGCUAGCAUCUUCAGACUUGUGAAAUUCAGAUGUCCAAGCCUCAGGUGCCAAAGCCACUCUUCACUGUUGGUGAUGGCACUCAAACACUUUGCUGCAUCAUAUUGGAUGUUUAAAGGAAACAUCCUAUUCUUGGACAUUUUCACAUAGGCAAUUAAUCUCCCAUUGUAGUCUAUAACUGUCAGAUGACAAUUCUUCAUGAAAAGUGUAUAACCUUUCUCUAGAAGUUGACCUAUGCUCACCAAGUUCUGCUUUAUGGCUGGGACAUAGUAGACAUCGGCGAUGUAGCUAUGAUCGCCAUUCUUCAACUUGAUUGGGAUGUUGCCUUUACCUUUGAAUGGAACUUUUGAUGUAUCUCCAAAGGUGACUAGACCUUGUAUGGUCUCAUCUAGAUCGCCAAAUAGAUCUCGUUGGCCACAUAUGUGAUUGCUGGCUCCAGAAUCAAGAUACCAAAUAUUCUCUUGAUUCUUGUCAAGUCCUUGUUGGACAAAUAAUGCAGCUGCUCCUCUGCUGUUGGCAUCCUCCUCUGCAUAUUUUGCAUGCUCACGUACCUCUAAUGGAGCUUUCCCUUGACAUUUAGUGCUAUAGUGCCCAAAUUGUUUGCAAUUAUAACACUGGAUAUUCCUCUUGUCACGGUUAUUGUAACCGCCUCCUCUUCCUCUAGGAGUGAAUGAUUGUUGUCCUCGGCCUCCUCUGGUGGUAUUUCUGCCACCUCUUCCUCUGAAACCUGUAUUCCAAGAUCCUCUUCCUUGGAAUUGCUGAAAUCCUCCUCGUCUUUGUGGACUUCUUCCUUGAAUGGUAUAUCCACUUGUUGAAGUCUCCCCUUACUCAUAUCUGUCUUUGAGAGACAACUUUGCUUGUAAGGCAUGCUCAAUUGCCUUAUCUCCAUUUCUUUUCACAAUCUUUUGCUCAUGAGCUUGUAAAGAACUCAUAAGCUCAUCCACCAUCAACUUGUCCACUUCUUUGGACUCUUCAAUAGCGACAACAACAAAAUCAAAUUUUGGAUCUAGGGAUCUCAAAAUUUUCUCAGUAAUCCGAGCAUCUGUGAGGGCUUCUCCAUUUCUUCUCAUCUGAUUGACUAUCACCAUAAUUCUUGUGUGAUAGUCAGAAAUAGAUUCUGAGGUCUUCAUUUGCAAUAAUUCAAACUCACCUCGUAAAGAUUAGAGACAAAUCUUCUUGAUUCUAUCAGCACCUUUGUAUUUUUGUUGGAGAGCCUCCCAUAUUGCUUUUGAUGUUUCUACGGAAACAAUGAUCUCAAAUAUUGCUUCAUCAAGACCUUGAUAGAUGAUGGUCUUUGCUUUGUUGUCUUUCUUUCUAUUGGCUUUGAGGACUUGCUUUUCUGCCUCUUGUAGAGUAUCUUCUACUUCUUUGGACUCUGGUUCAUCAUAACCAUAUUGCACAAUCUCUAUACACUCUUGUGAACCAAGAAAUGCCUUCAAUCUGAUACACCAACUAUCAUAGUUGUCUUUGGUUAACUUCGGGAUGAGUGUUUGUGCAUUUUCUGUAGUCAUUUUACUCUUUGAAUGACUAUAUCACCUUCUGGGAGUUGAAUUUUGAAAAACGGACAUCGUAGAUGGAUCCGGAAUGCUAAAAAUAGUAGGGAAUCGGUCUGACUUGGAUAAAAAUGGGUCAGAAAUGGGCUGAACCGGUCUGAAAACUGAUUCUGGACGUCGGGCGAUUCGCUGGGGUUGAACCGGGAAUAUUCUGGGGAAUAUUCUUCAGCGCGGCUGGCGGCGCAGCUUACGGCGCGACUUUGGAGGCGGCUUAGGUGGCUCGGCUUGGCUUGAUAUGGUGCGCGUGGACUCCAGUCGUCGUCUACCUCUGGGCGCGUCGGAUGCGCGUGGUCUACAGUAGCAGAAUCUUCAGGUGGCGCGUGUGGGCUACCUCUUACUCCGAUGAAGCUGAUUCUUGCACCAGUGAGUUUGUAUGGAUGAACUCUACACCUUGGAAUGAUCAAAAUGUGUUUUUGACAACUUUGAAAAUUCGGAUAUAUCCCAAAAACGCUUCUGUUUUCCGACGAACGGGGCUCUGAUACCAAUUGUUGGUGGGAGAAACCACUGGUGGUGGCUUUGAAACACUCAGAGAGGAUAAAACACACAGUUUUAUUUCAACAAUAAAAGGCUUACUAUGAUUAAACAAAAGCUCAAUACACACUCCCUCUCUCUUUCUCUCUAGUGUUUCUUUCUUCUCUUUCCACACAGAAUAGCAUCCACUUAGCUACCUAUUUAUACACGAAUUCAAAACAAGAUAAUUCAACCUUCAAGUGUGAAGGCGGCUGGCGGCAUACAGCUGGUGGCUGGCGGCUGGGCGGUUGCAAGUGGUGGCUGGGCGGUGACAGAUGGUGGCUGCAAGUGGUGGUUGCCUUCCUUGACCUUCUAGAUUGAGUUUAAUGCAACACAGGAGAGGAAUCCUAGCUGUGCAGCAAAGAGAUGACUUGGGAGAGACCUCCACACUCUUGAGAGAUAUAAUCAAUUUCCACAACGGCGAAGAGGAUUUCUGAGUCGCAGCAUCCCAAAUGGAAGAUUGAGGCAAAUAAUAGUGGUGAACCCAUUAGAUCCAAAGAGAAUCAGAUUUGGAAUGAACAUUCCAAAAUUGCUUAGCCAAGAAACUUCUAUUUCUAGCCUUAAUGUCAAACAACCCCAAACCUCAUUCCUUUUUAGGCAGACAAACCGUUUUCCAAGCAACAAGAGCUGGUUGUUGCCACAAGAUAUUGCCACUCCAAAGGAAGUUUCUACACAGACAUGUAAUUUGAUGGAUAACAAUAAAGGGCAAAGGAAUGAUGUUGAUCCAAAAUUGGACCAUCCCAUGAAUAACCGACUGAAGGAGUUCUAGUCUCCCAGCAUAGGAAAGAAGCUUCCCCAUCCAGCCUUGUAUAGCCGAUUCCAGCUUAUGAAGUAAAGGAGAAAAUUGACUAGCCAUGAGCCUGUGAGAGCUCAAGGGAACACCAAGGUAUCUGAAAGGAAAAGAGCCUUCCAAAAACCCAGAAUCCUGCAAGAUUAGAAGCUUGGACAUCUAAUCAACACCUGAUCCAAAAUAAAUAGAGAAUUUAUCUGCAUUGAUAUGAAGACCUGACAUCCUCCCAAAAAGCUGUAGUUGCUGGAGGAAAAUAUUCACCGAGGAUCUAUCCCCACGGCAGAGGAGAAGGACAUCAUUGGCAAAAGCCAAGUGGAGAAUACCAUGGACACUACACUUGGGGUGAUGGUGAAACUCAAGCCUUUGAGAGGCAAUCUUUAGCAUUCUAGAAAGAUACUCCAUACAUGUAAAACAAAUCAUACAAAAAAAAAAGGAUUUAUAAUAAUUUAAAUUUUAUAAUACAAAAAUAAUAUAACUACAAAAAAUAAUAAUGAUAAUAAUUAUGGUGAUAAAAUUUAAUAGUUUUGGAGAACAAACACUACAAGAUUUCACAGUUUCAUCGACGGAAAUAUUCCGUCGGUAUGUAAUUAAGAUUUCAUUGGUAAUUUAUUUACCGACGUCAUUACCGACGGAAUAUAUCUGUCGGCUUUUCUUUCGUUAGUAAUACCAUAGUCCGUCGCUAUAUCGGUCGGAAAAAUAAAAAAAACAUUUGCCGAUGGUUUUACAGACGGAAAUUGCGCGCCAAAAAAAAAAGUUUCCCGCUUGAUAUAUACCGACGGAUUUAUCCCGUCGGUGAUAGUGUGACAUACCGACAGAUUUAUACCUUCGGUAAAUUUGUCGGUGAGUGUUUGGAAUACCGACCGAAAAUAUCCGUUUGUAAAUUUGUCGGUAAUUGUGGCAGGCACUGUAAAAUACCGACGGAUUAAGUUCGUCGGUAAAGUUGUCGGUGAGGCUGUAAUACCGACCGAAUAUAUCCGUUUGUAAAGUCGUCAGUGACGGUGGCAGCUACUGUCAAAUGCAACCAAUGAUUUUAAGGUCGUCUGCAUAUCUUAAAGAGAAAUAGCAGUGGUCCUGCCAUGGGGGUCCAUUAUAUAUAUAUAUAUAUAUAUAUAUAUAUAUAUAUAUAUAUAUAUAUAUAUAAAAGCAGAUAUAAGCAGAGUAUUCAGUACGUGGCGUUGUUAUACCUAAGAAUGAUCUAAAAGAUUGGGUCACAGGUUUCCAGCCUAUAUACUGAUUUUAUAAAAGAACAAGAACAAAGAAAAGAGGAAUAUAAACAGAUUUCUGAUGCGAAUGAACAAGGCAAGACCAACAAUGUCAGGAUCCUUGAUCAAAACACAGAGCAUACUUAAAUAUAACAAGAAUAAAAAAGAAUGAGAACAGAUAUAACAAGAAUGUAAAUAAAAAUAAGAUUGGCUUACUUAAAUUUGUAACGAAAAUUAAUACAGGAGAUAUUGGUUACAGAGGAGAAUGGAGAUGGGUUACAGAUAUGAGUUACAGGGGAGAGUAAAAUUUUCUGGGAAAAAAUUAUUCUGUCUCUUAAGGAUUUUGAAGUGGCCUUUUAUAGACGAAUUGGCAUGGAAGGGGCCAAACUGUCCUGAUGAAAAAGCUCUUCAGCACCCAUGUGAACCCAUGUGGUAUUGUCUGUCUUGAUUGGAUGACGACAAAAUAGAAAUUGUCCAUGUUUUUGGUGAAGCUUCAUUUGUUGUCGUCUUGCCACCGACACUUGAUUUGUUGGUUUGUAAUAGCAGGUAACAUUUGUAGAAAAAGGCCUAAAACAGAUGGGCCUAAAGUCAAAAGGACUCAAAACAUAUGAGUCUAAAAAGAAAUGGGCUCUAAACAGAUGAGCCUAAUAAAAGCCUGAAAUACUCUUCUUCUUUUUUAACGUCGCGUGAUAGAUGGCAGGAUACCAAAACAGUCAUCUUCAUUAUCAUUGCCAAGGGAAAUGGCAGGAGAUGUCGAGCCAGAUGAGCUGGAUUGGGACAAGACCGUUUUCGGGUCUUGGCUUUGUAUAAUUCCUUGUACUAUUUGUAGGUAUUCUUCCUUAGUUCUAGCAGAGGCAAGGAGAGCUGCCGUUUGAGCCUUUCGGGCUAAAAACUUUGAUUGAGGAUGAGGAUCAGUGAUGGGAGCUGUUGUUUGAUGUUUUUGUAACCAUUCCGUAACAGCUAAUUUUGAACUUUUGGACUCAGCUGCAAAGGAAUCCCACCACUUGAUUUUGAACUUGCGAACAAGUACUGGAUGUCCGUUUUGUAGAUUAUAAUCAUAGAACCAUGAACAUACCCAUGGAACAAAAAAUUUUGUACAGAAGAUAAGGAGGGAAGAAAACUUUCUUUUAGAAGGAGCUGGUUGGAAAUUAUUUUUGAAAUGUAGAUAACCAUUUUCAACUAAAUGAUGUUCUUUAAGGUAGUCAACAUGACAACCAUAAAAGUCCCACCAUUGAAGGAACCAGAGGGGGAGAUUUGUAGUAUUCAUGGUAUUGUGGAAGUAGAAAAGCCAAGAAUGGCUAUGAUUUUGAUUUUGCAUGAGGAAAGCAUUAAACCAUGCCUGUUGGUAAUCCCAAUAUGUGUAGGUAGUAUUGAAGUCUUGGAGGCUUGUUCGGUAGUGCAUGAGGAAGGAGAGAGGUUGAUGCAAGGGUUGCCCCCAAUCUUUAGGGUGGAUGACUUUGUGAAUAAUGCAUGUAGAGUAUGCCGGUUUAGUGUGAUCAGAAUGUAGUUUGAAGUGUUUGAAUUUGACAGAAUCAGUGAUUUCAAGGAUGGUUGCAUAAUAGGAUUGUGGUUGAGCUAGAUUCCAAGGUUUGUAGUACCAUUUUGGAGGGAAAAUUUUUGAAGCAGCAAUGGAAGGGUUUUCAUGGUAAAAUCCUUCUUCCAUAGUUAAAAUAUUUUAGAAAGCAGUUUUGAAAAUAUAUUUGGAUUUGAUUUUUGGAAAACUGGUUUGUUGUAAGGAAAGGAGGGGUUUUGAAGAUGAAAUGCCUCCUUGGGGUUUUGAAAGUGAUUUGGAAAUACUACCUAUUUGAGAUACGAAAUCACCAGAGGCUUGUUGGGACACUUUUUGCAAUGCCAGGAGUAAUUCUGGCGAUUUGGAUAUAGUGUCAACCCAAUGUUGAACUGCGUCUGUUUAUACCUGUGGUGGUUUUGUAGUUUUUUCGUCUUCAAUAACUGCCUCAUACCAAGAUUUGAUAGGCUUGGCAGCUAGGAUAGCUGAAGACAUGAGUUUUGUAGAAGGCUUGGGGCUCUCUGGUUUUGUAGGUUGUGUUUGAGGGGCUUUUCCCUUGUCUUUGGCUUUUGCUUUUGCUUUAGGAGGCAUCAGGACCUGUUUUGAAGGAAUUCUCGGGUUAGGAAAUCAGGGAUGGAAUUUGAUUAUCCUUUAAUGUAAACAAUAUCGAAAUAAAAAAUACUUAAAAUGGCUUGCCAUCGGGCAAAAAUCUGUUUGGAAGCAAGAUUUUGGACAUCUUUUUGGAGAACUUCUUUUGCAGAUUUGCAGUCCACACGUAAGAGAAAUUUUUGAUUUAAUAAAUCACUUUGAAAUUUUGUAAUACAUAGAACAAUUGAAAGGAUCUCCUUUUUUGUAGUAGAGUAAUUUUUCUGGCAGUCAUUCCAGUGGGCAGAUGUGUACUGGAGUAUUUGUUCUUUGUUAUCUUGUAGCUGUUUAAGAAUCCCACCAUACCCUAGGUCAGAGGCGUCAGUCUCUACAAUCUUAGGAGCUAAAGGGUUAGCUAAAUGAAGGAGAGGAAUAGUUUGGACCUGUUUCUUAAUCUGUUUGACCAGGUUGGUAUGGAGGUCAGACCAAGGAAUGAGGUUGGUUUUUAACCUAUCAUGUAAGGGUUUGGAUAGACGACUAAUAUUGGGAUAGUAGUCCAAAACAUAAUUAAGACUACCUAAAAAUCUUUGCAAUUGGGUUUUAUCAGUGAUUUUGUCAGGAAACUUAUUUGUAAAGUUUAAAGAUCUCUUUAUUGGUGUUACGGUACCUUGGCAGAUGUAAUGACCUAGGAAACGGACACGGUUUGAAAAAGAGAAAUUUUUGUUUUAGAAACAACUAAACCAUUUUGUUUAACAGUAUGGAAGAAGGUAUGUAGAUGCUUGAAAUGUUGUUCUAUGGAAUGUGAAAAAAUGAGCACGUCAUCAAUGUAAACAAUGCAGAAUUUUGAAUGUGCAUUGAAUAUGUCAUUCAUGAUGCGUUGAAAUUCGAAGGGUGCAUUUUUUAAGCCAAAGGGCAUUACAUUCCAUUCAUAUUGGCCAAAAGGAACUGUAAAAGCAGUUUUGUAUCUAUCUUUGGGAUCAAUCUGGAUUUGCCAAAAUCCAGAUUUCAUGUCAAACUUAGAAAAUAUGAAUGCGGAGUGCAAUUUUUGUAAUAAAUCUUUUUUAUUGGGGAUUGGAUACCUGGUCCAUUUUAAAGCAGAAUUUAGAGGUUUGUAGUUGAUCACAAGUCUUGGUGUGCCCCUUUCGAUUUCAUAAUUUUUAUUGACAUAAAAGGUCGCACACGACUAGGGUGAUCGAGACUUUUGGAUAAGACCUUUAGACUCGAGAUCGCGGAUUUCAAGUCUGCAAUGCUGUUCUAAAUCAGCAUUCAUUUGUAUAGGUCUUGCUUUUGUAGGUAUGAGUUUUUCUGAAAAUGUAUCUUCAUAAGAAAGAUCAACGAUGUGUUGUUUUCGCUUCCAGAAAACAUUAGGUAAGUCUGAACAUAUCUGUUGUUCAAUCUUAUUUUGGAAAUCAAUGAUUUUCUUUUGUAAAUCAGAACUUUGUAAUUGUUUGUUGAUACGACAAAAAAAACAUGGCUUUGUAAAUCAUGUAGAUGGAAUUGUUUCCCAUGAAUCAGUGCAUUGAUAUGAUAGGUAUGUAUGGAACAUGCUUUAAUCAAAUUUAAAUUUCUAGUCUUAGAUUUCUCUAAGAAUGGAAAAACAAGUUUGGUGUUAUUGAUUUUGGAAGUAAUACAAUUAUGAUGUGCUUGAUAUGGAGUAAUCAUGUCAAUAAAUGGAGUGCCAAGAAUGAUGGUAUGAUUGAUGUCUUUUGUAACAACAAAAAAUGUUUUAAGAGAAAUGCCUUUGUUGAAAACGGAGGCUUGGGUUUUUCCUGCAAUAUGUAAUUUGGAAUUAUUAGCAGCAGAGAGUUUUUCAGAGGUAUUUUGUAAAAAUCUUUUUGGAACCACGCCUUCUUUGAUGCAGUUUAAAUCUGCACCUGUGUCAAAUAAGGCAAUAGUGUCAAGCUUGAAAUCUUCUGAGAAAACAAGAUUAAUUCUAAUUAAAUAUUUCUUGGAAGAUAUUUAGGUUAGUACGUUUAAGAAAUCAUCUGGAAUAUGCUCAAUAUUUGUAAGUGUAUGUGGUAAUGCAUGAGAUUCAAUGGUUUGAUCUUCUGUAUCAGACUCAGUAUCAGACUGACUUUCAAUUUUGGACAGAAGGUGUUGUAGUAUGGCAGAGUCUUUCUGUUGGGCCUGUUUGAGGGUUUGCAAUUCGGAUUUAAGGGUUUUUAUUUCAGAAUGUAAUUCUGGAAUGGUGACUGUGGUUUUGGAUUUCUUUUUGCCAAGGAUCUUUGUAAGGUCAUAGGCAUUGGUGCUGGUAGAAGGUAAUAUGGAGCGGUUAGACGGGGGUUGCUCCGGUUGGCUAAAGUCUUUCAAUAAUUUAUCCAAAUAGGUUUUUUGGAGUUGAGGAUCAUCAAGUCGUUUGAUAGCCUUAAGAAUGAAUUCCCAAUCUUGGGUCAAGACGUUGAUUUGUUUGGAAUUUGUAGAGGCAUCUGAAGUAGCACUGGUGGUUGCUAUUUCAUCGAUUUGAAAUUCUUCUUCAGAAGUGUCUGAAGGAGAGUGGUCAGUGUCUGUAGCCUUAAUGUAGAGAUUUUGUAUUUGGUUGAUGGUAUCUUCAUCUAUUUGGAGUUCAUGAAGUUUAGUGUUGACCUUGCAGAAACGGGAUGUAUGUCUUUUCUGGUUACAUUUAUAACAGGUAAUGUUUUUGGGGUCAAAUUUUGUUUUGGGUUUCGACUGGAAAGGUUUGUGGGGCUUGGUAAAUUUGUAGGGCUUUUUGUAGUAAGUUUGAUCUGGUUUAUAAUAGAAUUGUUGUCGGUUUUUAUGUACUGAUCGUCUAUAAGGAGGUCUCUGGCUUGAAUAUUUUUUGGGUUGUGAACAGUUUCCACUGCAUGAGGGGUUUUUGGUAGAAAGGUCGAACUGGUGACAGAAACUACCAAGUUCUUGUCUGGUACAUUUCAUUUCCCACUUUAGGUGCUUCUGAAGUUUAAGAUCCUGACAGAUCUUCAGACCUUCUUUUUGAGUAAAGCUUACAAGUUCACCAUAUGUGAGCUGGUCAUAUGGUAUGGUUUUUGUUGUAAAGGUAUUUUUGAUUUUGUUUCUAACCUUUUCUCCUAAGAGAAUAGGUAGUCCUGCAAGGAAUUUUUCUUUCCAAAAGGGUUGGUUUGAAUCCUCCCUAAGCAUGACACGGGUAAGGAAGGUGUUUUUGUACCAUUGAAAGUCACUUAGCUUCUUACAUCUAAGGUUGGAAAGGAGUUCAACAUUUUUGUCUUUCAAAUGGGAAGGGUCUCCAACAAAAUGUAAGGAAAUUGUAAGAAUAAGGGUUGACACAGCGUCUUGGAUAAUGUUUCCGGAUGGGUCAAGGAUGGGUGUUUGGUCCUCAUAUGUUUGGAAGGAGUUUAGGAUAUGUAGGUGAUCGGUUUCAGUGAGAUGGUAAUCCCACCAUCCUUUUAACUGGCCAGAGAAACCAACAAUAAGGAGCUCAGCAAUAGCUUUAUCUGGGGUUCCUGUCUGGGUUUUGUAGGCAUUGGCUGCCAUAGUCAUUUGUUGGAGGGUGUUGAGGAUAUUAUAUUCGGACAUUCCAUCUAUAUUCCAUUCAUAGAGGGAAGAGGCAUUAUAUUUGUGUUGAGUAAGGAUAGUUGGUCCAAUAGUUAUGGAAAUGUCUGGGGCAAUGGUUGUUUUGGGAGUUUGCCAGGUAAGUCUGUUUAGGGUAAGAGGUUGGUUUGGAGAAGUACCUUCAUCAGAAGAUUCCCCGGGGCCAUUUUGUAAAGUGUUGAGUUGAUUUGUGGAGGUAGAAGGGUUGGUUAUUUGUGGUGUGUCUGGGACAGUUAAAGACGAACUGUCAAGGUGUUGUAGAUGUGUUUUAAUAGCUCUAAGAAAAUCUGUUUGGUUUUCUUGGAUUUGUGUUUGGCUGGUUUUUGUAAUUUGGUAAGGUUUGAAGACUGGGUUUUUUAGUUUUAAGUCAGUUGAGGUUUUAAUGCCAACUAAACUUGUAGUAGUUCUUCGUAUUUGUUUCUCUAGUCUUGUAAGCUGCUUUCCCAAGGUUUUAAGGUUGGUGUUUGUAAAGUUGUUUUGGUUAAUGAUGUGUUUUGUAUUGGAAAGGGUGUCAUCAGUGGAUAAUUUGUAAGGAGCUGCCUCGACAGCCUGGUUAUUGUGGGUUAUCUGGAUAUUUCUCAAAGGUGGAUGUUCAGAUUCAACUGUAGGUCCACUGGUGAGGUUCCAUACAGGGGUUUUUGACCUUGAUGUGACCGAGCAUGCAUGUUUAAUGGAUGCAAAAGGAUAUGGAAUGUGAUGUUCAAAUGCAUAAUAUAAUUCGAACCAAUCAAAAAAUAGAAUCUGUAUUUUGUAUAACUCAAUGAAAUUAAAAAAUUGUUUUUGUAUUUCACUUCUGUGUUCGAGAAAGUUUUGAAAAAACCAAAUUCGUUUUGUAGAGUUACAGGUCGAAUAAAAAUCCUUUUUGAAGAGAGUUUUGUCAAGAACAAAAUGUUUCUCUGAAGUCAAAACAUUCAGCUCGUUUUGGAUAUUUUCAGUAAUAGCUGAAAAGGUUGGUGAAGUUGGAAGAGAUGGAGGAGAUGGUUGCUCAAGGUUUGUAUAGACAAGUUUUGGUAUAUUUGUAGUAUAGUCUGCAUUUUGAAAACUAGGAGAAGGGAUAUCGGAUGUAGAUUUUCUUGGAAGGUUUUCGUGAUAAAGGAUAUUGAUAACAGAAGGGAUUUUGGAUGAUGACUGCGCGUGUUUUUGUUAGUGAAUAUUUACAGGCUUCAUUCGCCUGCUGGUCCCAUGGUUAUCACAGCUCAUUUUCAUUAGCCAAAAUUGUUAGUGCAACUGCCAUCAGAAAUGGCAGUGGUCCAGCCAUGGUGUAUCCUGGUUUACCAAAAAAAAUAUAUCGUGGGAGUGGGACUAGAAUUGAUUUCAGUGAUGAUGACUGCGAUAUUUACAGGCUUCAUUUGUCUUUUUUCUUAAUAAUUUCAAAACAUAAAAUUACUUGUCCUAAACAAAAUGAAAUGCAUGCCAAAAUAAAAGUGAGAUGCGAGGAUAAAAUGUUAAAGAAAUAAAUUUUUUAUUUUGUUAUUUUUUGAAUUUUUUAUUUUAUAAAAUCAUAGAAAAACUGAAAAUAAAUAGAUAAAAAAGACCCAAAAAAUGAAAAGAUAAGACCCACGUGAACGUAAAAUCAAUGGAUGCAUAUGUGAAUGAGAAAUGGUAGUGGUCCUGCCAUGGUGUGUUCUUGUUCACGAAAAAAUUAUCGUUAGAUCAAUCGAAUGAAAGUGCCGGAAGCUUUCUUUUAGGUUAUGUUUAUGUGUUUAAAAUUUGAAACUCAAUAAAUAAAUAAAUAAAGAGAAAAAGGAAGGGAGCGGGAAGAAGAUAGAGAAGGAAAGACUAAUUAUUAAUAGCAAAUUGUAUAGCAAGCUAUCUCAAUAUUUGGAGACGAGUGGAGACAAAGGCGAAAAGCAUCUUGAUAUCAUGAUGUUUGUGUUGGUGCCCAUUGGUAUUAUCCCUUGCUGGAAUCGUAGUGGGCUUGCUCAAUAUUUUCUUUAUAUUUCUCCGUUUUCGAUUUGAGUAAUAUUACACAAACAAACAAAUCAUACAAAAAUUCUAUACAAAUUGAUAUGUCAGUUCAUUUUCGGCAAGUUUAAUCAACUAAUUACAUUCAUGAUUAAUUUUCGUUCAAGUUUAAUUAUGCUAAUCGUAGAAGAUUAGCUUCGACUAAUGACAUCCUAGAUAGAUGGCAGAGUUGCAUUGAUGAUUAGCUUCAGCUAAUAGCAUCCUAGACGGAUGGUCGGGUUGCGUUGGUGGCUAAUGGCAUCCUAGACGGAUGGUUGAGUUGCGUUAAUGAUUAGCUUCGACUAAUGGCAUCUCAGAUGGAUGACUGGGUUGCGCGGAUGAUUAGUCUUGGUUAAUGGCAUCCUAGUGGGAUGGUCGGGUUAAAUAUGACGACUAGCUUUGGCUAAUGGCAUCCUAGAUGGAUGGCAGAGUUGAUUAUGAUGAUUGGCUUCGGCUAACCGUAUUUGUAAGAGAUGAUGAGUUGGUUUUUGUGAUUAGUCUUGGUUAAUGGCAUCCUAGUGGGAUGGUCGGGUUAAAUAUGACGACUAGCUUUGGCUAAUGACAUCCUAGAUGGAUGGCAGAGUUGAUUAUGAUGAUUGGCUUCGGCUAACCGUAUCGGUAAGAGAUGAUGGGUUGGUUUUUGUGAUUAGUUUUGGUUAAUGACAUUUGAGACAAAUGACCGAGUUUGGACGUUGCAAUUAGCUAUGGCUAAAAGCAUCUAAGAUGGACGAUGUAACGGCCUAGCUUUUUCAAAGCCAAAAUCGAUGAAUUUUUUUUUUACAAGUCAUUAGGUUCUGAAUGUUUUUCACCAUAUCAUUCUGCAUAUUUAUAACUGCAUUUCAUUUAUUAACAAGGCAUAAUCCACGUAGGAUAACGUAAAUCAACAUUCUCAUAAGAUGAAUUCUCAAUACACAUGCCUAUAAUUUUAUAUUUUCAUACUCAUAGGUUUACAUUACAACAUAUUGACAUACUUAUAAAUUCACAUCCCUGUUCUAGUCUCGUUAUCAUCACAAGUUCAUACAAGAGUGUCGAACGACAAGUUACACAACUAGUACUUUCGUUACCCUAACCUCAUGUAAUUUCACAACAUAAUAUCCUCAUAAGAAGAAUACCACAUACGUAUAUUCAUACAUAUCAUAUCUACAUGUUCGCACAUACACAUCCGUGUUCCAUUUCAAUUUUUACGUUACAAGUCUUUACAAAAGGGGUCGGACAACUACUUGAGCGAUUAAUACAUCUGUUCAUACAGAACUUAUAUUACCCAUAACAUGCAAAUAUAUGGUUCUUUCCAAAAUGUAUGAGCCGCAAAGCGGAUUUCCUUACGCACCAUGUUGGUAUGAUGUCCCUGUUACAACACAAGGUAAUUUCAAGCAUUAUAGGCAAUUUAAAAACAUAAUAAAGCAUUAUUAACGUCACAUUUCAUUCAUGGAUCUAAAGAGCAUAAUUAUUUCAUUUCUCCUUACUUAUGUAAAUACCACCCUUAAUAAUUCGUCAAUUAUCGAGGCUAAUUACAAUACUCAAACCCGAUUAUCCAUCUCGAUUACCGUUAACCGAACUAACGUUAUUCUCUGUUUAAAGCAUAAAAAUCAUAGUUCUUUCAUAUACUUGGUAUAUAUAAAACAUAGUACCCAUAAGCGCAUCAAUUCUUGAAACUAACUCAUAACUCCAAAAUCCGGCAAUCCUCUUAGGAUGCCAUUAGCCGAAGCUAAUUAUUUGUUAGUCCCGUUCAUCCACUUAGGAUGCUAUUAGCCGAAGCUAAUCAUUUGUGCAUCCCAAUCAUCCACUUAGGAUGCCAUUAGCCGAAGCUAAACAUUUGUCAGUCUCGGUCAUCCACUUAGGAUGCCAUUAGCCGAGCUAAUUAUUUGUCAAUCCUGGUCAUCCACUUAGGAUGCAUUGGCCGAAGCUAAUCAUUUCUCAGUCCCGGUCAUCCACUUAGGAUGCCAUUAGCCAAAGCUAAUCAUUUAUCAAUAAAACGUUCCAGAGCUGGUUUUAUGAAAUCACUAUAACAUGAUAAUAUAUCAUUUGAAAUGCUCAUUCAAAUGAUUCAUAACAAUUUGACACUCACUAUAACAUAAUAGUAAACCUUUCGUAAUACUCAUACAAACGUUUUGUAAUAGUUUAAUACUCAAUAAACACGAUAAUAGAUACUCUAUAAUAUACAAAAAAAACAUUCCAUAACUGUUUAGCAUUCAGUAGAACACAACAAUAGACCCUGCAUAUUACUCAUCCAACCAUUCAUGACAGUUAAUGUUCAAUACAAUACAACAAUAGAUCCCUCAUAAUAAUCAUAGAAAAAUUCCUAACAAUGUAGCACUAGGUAUAGCACAAUAAUAGAUCCUUCGCAAUACUCAUAUAAACAUUCGUGACAAAUAACCUUCAACAUAAUACAACGACAAAUCCUUUGUAAUACUCUUACAACCAUUCGUGACAAUUAACAUUCAAUAUAAUACAACGAUAGAUCAUUCGUAAUACGUAUACAACUAAUCGUGACAAUUAACAUUCAGUAUAAUACAACGGUAGAUCCUUCAUAAUAAAUUCACUUUAGAAACUAACGUUACGCUAGAAGGGGGGUGGAAAUCACCUACUUGUUCCACCCGCAGGGUGUCCUUCUCCUGACAAAUGUGUGAUCCUAGAUGCACCACCUAAAACAUAAAUGACCACAAUUCAAUACAUUCGUAUUCAGUAAUCACACACAACUCAUCACUUUACAUGCUCAAGCAUACACAAGUUCUUGUUCCAUUGUUUCACAUAUUACAAUCACAGAAAACAAUCAUCUUAAUCACCAGGCCAUUUUAGAUAAUUAAAUCUGCUGCAGAAUUUAGUUAGCCAAAACUGGUUCGCUAGUGACCUAGAAUCGUUAGCGAAAACUGAUUCGCGGCUGACAAUAGAAAUUCAACAGCGAACACUGAUUCGUUGCAGACAACACCAUUUUGAUAGGAAACUCUAAUUCGCUACAGAUAACAUAAUUUUGGCAGCGAAUAGUGAUUCGUUGUAGACAACACAAUUUCAACAUCAAACACUGAUUCGCUGCAGACAACACAAUUUCGGCAGCAAACUUUGAUUCGCUGUAGACAACACAAUUUCGACAACGAACACUGAUUCAUUGCAAACAACACAAUUUUGAAAAUGAACACUACUUCGCUGCAGACAAUACAAUUUUGACAGUGAACUCUGAUUCGCUGGAGACAACACCAUUUUGGUAGCGAAUACUGAUUCCCUGCAGACAACAUACUUUCGGUAGCGAACACUGCUUCGCUACAGGGAACACAAUUUUGAAAGUGAAAACUGAUUCGUUAUAGCCAACACAAUUCGACACCGAAAACUGCUUCGCUACAGACAACACCAUUUCGACAGCGAAUGUUGAUUCACUGCGGACAACAUAAUUUUUGUAGCGAACGCUCAUUCGUUGCCGACAACACCAUUUCGACAGCGAAUGUUGAUUUGCUGCGGACAACACAAUUUAGGCAGCGAACGCUCAUUCGCUACAGAUAACAUAAUUUUUGCACUGAAUGCUAAUUUGUUGCGGACAACACAAUUCGACAGCAAAAACUGAUUCACUGUAGGCAACACCAUUUGGCAGCAAAACCUGAUUCGCAGCAGCUAACAUAAUUUUGUUAGUGAACACUGCUUCGCUACAGAAAACACGAUUUCGACUGCGAACUCUGAUUCGCUGCAGACAACACCAUUUUAACAGCGAACACUGCUUCAUUGCAGCGAACACUACUUCAUUGCAGCAAACUCAACUUUGACAGCGAACACUACUUCGUUGCAGACAACACAAUUUCGAUAGCGAACACUGAUUCGCUGGAGACAACACCAUUUCGGCAGCGAACACAAUUUUGACAGCGAAAACUAAUUCACUGCAGCCAACACAAUUCAGCACCGAAAACUGCUUCGCUGCAGACAACACCAUUUCGGCAGCGAAUGUUAAUUCACUGUGGACAACACAAUUUUUGCAGCAAACGCUCAUUCGUUGCCGACAACACCAUUUCGGCAGCGAAUGUUGAUUCGUUGUGGACAACACAAUUUAGGCAGCGAACGCUCACUCGCUACAGACAACACAAUUUUUGUAGUGAAUGUUAAUUCGUUGUGGACAACACAAUUCAACAACGAAAACUUAUUCACUGAAGGCAACACCAUUUGGCAACAAAACCUGAUUCGCUGCAGCCAACAUAAUUUCAGCAGCGAACACUUCUUCGCUACAGACAACACAAUUUCGACAGCGAACUCUGAUUCGCUGCAGAGAACACCAUUUCGGCAGCAAACACUGAUUCGCUACAGACAAUACUAUUCAAUUGCAAAAACUGAUUUGCUGCAGGCAACACCAUUCAGCAGCGAAAACUCAUUCGCUGCAGACAACACAAUUUAGUAGCGAAAACUUAUUCGCUGCAGGCAACACCGUUGCAGACCACAUAAUUUCGGCAGCGAAAACUGAUUCGCUGUAGGCAACACUGCUGCAGACCAUACAAUUUCGGUAGUGAAUGCUAAUUUUUCACAGUGAACGCUAAUUUGCUGCAGACAACACAAUUCGGCAUCGAAAACUGAUUCGCUGCAGGCGACACCAUUCGGAAGCGAAACCAGAUUCACUGCAGCCACCACCAUUCGACACCGAAAACUAAUUCACUACAGAAAACACAAUUCAGCAAAACCGAUUCGCUGUCGACACCAUAAUUCGUUCUUUGGAUCCAGCAGAAUCAUACAAUUUUAGCAUGAACACACAUGUAAAUUCAAUUCCAACACAUUCUUUGUCGUUAGAUUCCUGUUUCAGUUGUAGCAUGCUUUCAAGGUUACAAACACAUAUUUUUUGCACUUAACAUCCACCAGCAUGCUGAAUUCAUGACAUUAACACAUAUAUAAUUUUGUUUUUGUUUCACAUAAUUAAGCAACUCUAACAAGAUCAUCAUCUUUGCAUUUUAUCCCUUUAAUCUAUGUUAUUUCCAGCCCUCACCAUGGCCGCCCACCUCUCUAAGUUUUUUUUUGCAUUCAAAAUUGUACAUUUCCUCUGUUAAAUGUUCUGGAAUUAGGUUCAUACCUUAUGAAUUUAACAAGUUCAAUGCAGGUUGGGGUGGCCUGCUCUUCCUCUCCUUUUUGGUUUUCUUCCUUCCCUCUCUUGCUGUCCAGCUGACCUCUAGGCUCCUCUUUCUCUUAGGUUUUGGGCUGCUGGCCGCUCAUUUGUGGAAGAGGAAAGGUCACCCUCCCUCUCUCCUUGCAUUUAUACCCCCUCUUAAAUGAGAGGGGGCUGUUUGGGUGUUGGAUAUCUUUGGUUCUUAUCCCUCUUUUGAGUUAUCCUAGGCUGGUUCCUAUUCCAAUUCUUCCCUAGGGUAGGCCAAUCCAACACUAAUUUUUGUUGAGUUUUACAGUGUUGCUAUCGAUUCAGAAAUCAGCAGAAAAAUUAUGUCACUGUCGAUUCAGAAAUCGAUAGCAGAAACCAUGUCACUGUCGAUCCAGAAAUUGGUAGCAGAAAUUAUGUCGCUACCAAUCCAGAAAUCAACAGCACAAACUGUGUCACUGAUUGAUGAUUAGCUUCGGCUAAUGGCAUCCUAGAAGGAUGAUCGAGCUGUGUUUGAUGGUUAACUUUAGCUAAUGGCAUCCAAAAUGGAUAACUGGACUAUGUUUGAUUAUUUGCUUCGGCUAAUGGCAUACGAAAUGGACGAUCGGGCUAUGAUUAAUUAUUAGCUUUGGUUAAUGGCAUCCGAGAAGGAUGACCGGGUUGUGAUUGAUGAUUAGCUUCGGCUAAUGACAUCCUAGAAGGAUGAUCGAGCUAUAUUUGAUGAUUAGUUUUGGCUAAUGGCAUCCUAGAUGGAUGGCCGAGGUGAUUAUGAUGAUUGGCUUCGGCUAAUGGUAUCCGUAAAAGAUGACGCGUUUGAUUUUGUGAUUAAUUUUAGCUAAUGGCAUCCGAGACAAAUGACUGAGUCUAGAUGUUGUGAUCAGUUACAACAAAAAGCAUCCAAGGUGGAUGACCAGGUUAAAGUCAGGUAAUUAACCCUGUCCGAUGAUUAAACUUCAGCUCCUCCACUUCUAUGGAGAGGUUGGGGCAUAUGAGUGAGAAUAAUACAUUUAGCGCAAUAAUAAUGAUUAUACAAUGCACAUGAGAAGUAAAUGAAAUAAUGUACUUAUCUUCAGUUGAUAACGAAAUGUAACGAUAACGUCCUUCUAGUUGUUUAUUAUUACGUUUAGAUUAUUUACAAUUCAUGUAUCCAUGUUGUUUUGUAACAGGGACAUCACGUAAUCAAGGUACGUCGGAAAGUCGUUCCACGGGUUCACAUUCUUUGAAAGGUGCUACGUAAUAAUUUGUUUCAGGUGUUAUGUGUUUGAUAAGAACGAGCGAACUAGUUGAAUAUUUGUCAUUCGACACUUUUGUAAAGAGUUGUAUCGAAAAUUAUAAUGGAAUAUGAAUGCGAAAGAAUGAUCUUGUAAACAUGAUGUGGUGAAUGGAUGCAUAUGAUAUUCUCUUUAAUGAGAAUGAUGUAUUAUGAAAUCCCAAGGGUAUUGCACUGCACUAAGAGAUGAAUUCUGCUACGAUAAACCCUAAACACCAUUGCGAGAAUGUGUAUUGUCACUUUUUAUGGGAUGUUGAUUUACUUUACCUUAUGUGAGUUGUGCCUUGUUAAUGAAUGAAAUGUAUUGAUAAAUUCACAGAAUGAUAUUGUGAAAAGCAUCGAGAACCCAACGACUUACAAAAACAAAUUCCACCAAUUUUGGCUAUGAAAAAGUCGGGUCAUUACAGUAGACUCCACUGCUGGUGGUGCCCUUCCAUUAAUUCCUUUAAGUUUCAUCCUUGCGACCAUUCUCGCCCAUAACCCAAAAACUUGAUUUCUCUUAAGGUGCUAGCGGAGUCCUAAAAGCAACAUCUGUCUAUCCCUAGUAGACAUCAAUUGUGGUUGAGACUAGGACAAUAUCCAAUCGUCUUUGAGCCUCCCAACUUUCAUUCUUAAUUAAUAAAAACAUCAUUGGCAAAAGGCUUUCAUAGUUGAUUAUCUUUCAUAAAUCCAAGAAUUUCACCUUUGACUAUGAAAUAUGAAUGCCCCCUACUGUCCCUCUUAAUUAUUACUCCGAUCUUGAAGGCCAACACAAUAGGAUCGAAAUCCUAUGAUCUUGUACAAUGCUAAUAUAUCCAGAGCGUAGGCUUGCUUUAAACACUCUAAUUUCUUCAAAGUUACAACACCGGAGGCAUGACCCAAGCAGUUAAGCCCAGGAGUGCAUCACUGAUCAAAGGGAUGAGACGACUACACCAUAGGUGGACUAGUAGACCUAACCUAAAGUCCAACUAUGAGCUUUUUAACUGUAACAAGUUAAAUAUGCUAUUAGAGCUGGAAUUACCAUGGCUAUUGGCACUAGACUUGCCCUCCAAUGGAUCCUCGUUAACGAUUUAGAUUGCACUUAUUCCAAUUACCACACUCAAUGAGCCCGGUAUUGUUAUUUAUUGUCACUAUCUCAUCGUGUCACGAUUGGAUAAUUUGCGCGCCUACUGCCUUCCUGUAUUGUGGGCCUCUAUACUAUCAUCGAAAGUUGAUAGGACAGAAACUUGAAUCAUGUAUUGCUGGCACGAAGGCCGUGUGAUCUGUCAAGUUAUCAUGAAUCAUCAGAGCAACGAGUAGAGCCCGUGCCGAGUUUUUAUCUAAUAAAUGCAUCCCUUUUAGAAAUCAGGCUUUGUUGCACAUAUUAGCUCUAGAAUUACUAAGGUUAUUCGAGUAGCAAAUACCAUAAAAUAGACUAUAACUGAUUUAAUGAGCCAUUUGGAGUUUACAACCUGAAUUAGUUAUACUUAUAUGUGCAUGGCUUAAUCUUUGAGACAAGCGAUGGAUGCAGUAAACGCAAGCUGAUGACUCGUGCUUGCUAGGAAUUCCUCAUUUAAGACCAACAGUUGCAAUGAUCUGUCCCCAUCGCAAUGCAAUUUCAAAGAUUACUCGAGCCUGUCAGCCAAAGCUAUAGACUCAUUGAAUACAUCAAUGUAGUGAGCAUGCGGCCCAGAACAUCUGACAGCAUCACAGACCUGUUAUUGCUUUAAACUUCCUUAGCCUAGAAGGCCAUAGUCCCUCUAAGAAGCUGGUCGCGAAUGUAUUCAAAGCAUAUACUUGCUUUGAUCACUCUAAUUUCUUCAAAGUAACAGCACCAGAGGCAUGACUCGGCUAGUUGCGCAUUGUUGGUAGAAGGGAUGACGCAACCAGUUCACACCAUAGAUGGACUGGUCAACCCAACCCAAAGUCCAACAAAAAGUUUUUUUAACUACAACAACUUAAACAUAAGUUAAUAGAGCUAGAAUUACCGCGACUACUAGCAUUAGACUUACCAUCCAAUGAAUUCUCGUUAAGGGAUUUAGAAUGUAUUCAUUCCAAUUACCAGACUCAAUGAGCCCAAUAUUGUUACUUAUUGUCAUUACCUCCCCGUGUCAAGAGUGGGUAAUUUGUGCGCCUACUGCCUUCCUUGGAUGUGGUAGUCGUUUCUUAGGCUUCCUCUCUAGAAUCGAACCCUAAUUCUCCGUCAUUCGUUGCCACCAUGAUAAAUCUCUAUACUACCAUCGAAAGUUGACAAGGUAGAAAUUUAAAUGAUGCAUCGCCGACACGAAGGCCGUGUGAUCCGUCUAGUUAUCAUGAAUCAUUAGAGCAACAUGCAGAUCUCGCGUCGGCCUUUUAUCUAAUAAAUGCAUCCCUUCUAGAAGUUGGGGUUUGUUACACGUAUUAGCUAUAAAAUUACUAUGAUUAUCCGAGUAGCAAGUUCCAUCAAACAAACUAUAAUUGAUUUAAUGAACCAUUAACAAUUUCACAAUUUAAAUUAGUUUAUACUUACACAUCGCUUAAUCUUUGAAACAAACGUAUGAAUGAUUUCCUGGGUAGGCAACACAAGAACCAAGCCACAACACAAGGCACCCAAGGCGUUUGGGAAGCAACUGAAGAGGACCGUUGUGUGGCAGUUCGAUGCACCAAAGCACUAAGCCUGCCAAACAUGAGCAGCCCAGCCGCUGUUCAAGAAUCACCACAUACAAAAGACAACGAACCUGCCUCGCGAACCCCAACCCGAUGGUCAAAGGGAAACACCGGGCCAAGUUCGUGCCUGCAUUACUAGAUGCGAGCAAAGAGCUUACGAGGAACGAGGAAUGACCGAAUGGGACAAAGAGCAAGGCAUUCCGCUGAGUAAUGGGACAAGAACCAGCAGCAUAGCACCACGCUCACAAGGGCCUCACACCAUUCCAAGGGAUGUCGAGGCCCGCCGGAGCAAUGCCACGGCGAACGCCAAGCCCGCACAUCACCCAAGCAACCCCCUGUAUGCCAAGGAAUGGGGUUUGGUCCCCUUCGAAUCGCCUACAAAAAUCUUCCACCAGAGCCCAAAGAUUGGUGAGGAGAGCCAACGUCGCUGGAAAAAUUGUCAUCCGUCGCCGGAAAGACAACCGGAACCAUUGGGGCAUGGGAGGCCCUUGGGAGGCCCACCCCUAGCCAGUCAAGGGGUACCACCUAUAAUAGACAAAAGUAGUUUAUUAACUCUAGCAGGAGGAAACAUCACUAUGUCCAGGUGGCACACUCCCUUUAAAAAAUUCAAUUUUUAGAAUUUUGAGCUGAAAAAAUAACAAAAACCCAAAGUAUUUAUAGAAAAAUUUAGAAAAACAUUUAGGCACUGGAAGCUUUUUUUUUUUUUUUCCGAUGUUUAAAGCUGAGAAAAUCAUGAAAAAUAGAAAAUCAAACCAAACUUUGUGGAAAACUCUCAAAAAAUCAUAUCAAUAUAUCUAUGUGGUAAUUGGGUGGUUUGUAAAGUUUUUGCAUGGUGGAAUUGAAAACGCAACACCUACAGGCCCGAGCCUGCGCUGGCUGGCAAAUCUGCGUGCCUAACCUACCUUCUAGCAACGCGUAGGAGCGGAGGCAACCAAGUGUGCAAAGACAAGCUAACCACCACAGGCACGCUGGCAGCCAGAGGGGCGCAGGCCAGCCCCGCAGGCUAGCCUCAGUUGGCGCACAGCGGCAGGCCAGCACCAACGGUGGCGUGCAAGCCCGCUGUCACGGUCCAAACUUGUCCAAGGCCGAUGGCUAAUCCUUGGCCAAUUUGUCCCAUGAAUCCAACCCAUGUUUGCAUAUCUUGAGAUAUUAUAAAUCCUCGGGAGGGAGGAAUGAUUGAUUGCCCAAGAGGAUAUUGGCUAAUCUCUCAUUUGCUUGUCUUGAGAUAUUAUAAAUCCUCGCAGUACUUUUGCCAAGGAGAUUGCCACAUACGGAGGAGUGUUGAACAAAGAACAUGGAAUUGAUUUUGAGCCUACAGAUGAUAAUGAUGAUGAUGCAGACAUAGCGAAUGAUAUCUUGACAUGUGUCAACUCAUGUCAGUUGAAAUGGGCAUUCCAUCAUUAAACUGGCUACUAUGAAUAAAUACGGUUUGUACAGUGCAAGAAAAAAAAAUGUAGGAGCCGAAAAUGAUCGAUUAUUCUCAUAAACCACAUGGAAAUCCGAUAUACAUGAAGUGUGAAUAAAAAGAAAAACAAAUCACUAGUUGGAGUCCGGUAAAUUUUAAAUCAUUGAAGAUUUAUAUAAUUAUUAAAUUUAAAAUUAGUAAAAUUAAUCGAGAUUUUUGCAUACUAGUUCGAAUACCCAUAUUAAUUUAAAAAAAAACAAAUAAAAUUAUUUACUUAGAAAAAACUUAUAAAUACCAACCAGAGAAUAAAGGAUGUCUAGAAACUAAAAACAGUACAUUUCAUGGAUCUUCUGAAGCUUUAAUUUCCAGGUAGAGGAUGGUGUGGAAUUGGAAUUAAGCAGAGAUCAUUCUUCCUUGUUACUACUGCUCCAAAAACCUCGGACAUGUCCAGGUCUUCUGGUUUCGGUCCCUUGGGGAGAUUCCAAUCAAAAUGGAAUAGCAAUUGUGCUAGUGGAAGCUCCACAUUAACCGUACCAAACAAGAUUCCAGGGCACAUCUUUCUUCCAGCACCAAAUGGGAGGAGUUCGAAGUCGGUUCCCUUGUAUUCAAUUGAAUUAUCAAGGAACCUCUCUGGAUAAAAUCUCUCAGGUUCAUUCCAAUAAGUUGGGUCCCUUCCGAUCGCACUUACGUUCACAAUGACUUUGGAUUUGAUAGGUAUGUCAUAACCAUUUAUCUUGCAAUCCUCUCUACUUUCUCUUGGAAGUAGCAGAGGAACUGGAGGGUGUAAUCUGAAAGUUUCUUUGAUGGCCAACUUUAAGUAGUUUAAUUCAUGAAGGCCUGCUUCAUCAACAGUUCCUUUAUCACCAAAUACUUGCCUCACCUCUUCUUGUGCCUUUUUCAUUACUCUUGGAUGUUUUACCAUUUCCGACAUUGCCCAUACUACCGUAGUAGACGAUGUGUCAGUGCCAGCAACGAACAGGUCCUGCAACACAAACACUAGGAUAAGUAACACCAGAUAAACUCGCUGAUUUUCCAAUGUCAGGUUAUAAUCUUCGUUUACUUGAAAUUAGAAAACAUACUAACCAGGAUGAUUGCUUUGAUGUUGUUGUCGGUCAAUGAAAAUUCAGUGUCUCCUUGGUCCUGAAUACCUAAAAGAACAUCGACAAGGUCAUGCUCUUCUUCAUCAGCGCCUGUUUUUGCGGCCAUCUCCUUCUUAGACCUAUGUUCAUUGAUGAUCUCUUGCAAGAUCUUAUCCAAUCGCGCAUGAAUCUUCUCGAGGGUAAGUCUCAUCCCACUGAUCACAGAGAGCAACUUAAUUGAAGGAUAUAAAUCAGCAAGGCUAUAACCUCCUGCUGCCUUAUUAGCUUCCUUGACAGCUGGUAUGAACACAUCCUCUCCCUUGCAUAUCUUACCAAAGGCUGCUCUUGAAGUGAUGCAAUAUGUAAGAGAACUUAUCAUUCUGCUGAAAUUGACAGGAGACCAUGCACUAGAAGAAAUAGAUCUAACAACCCUCCAUACCUCUUCUUCCCUGAUUGAUCUGAAAGAUCGCACACGUUUAGCACUUAGCAGUUCCAAUACGCACAAUUUUCGCAGCAUCCUCCAGUAAUCUCCAUAUGGUGCAAAUGCAAUAUCCAUGCAAUUAUAGCUUAGAAUUUUCGCCGCAAUCGGAGCUGGCCUUUGAGCAAAAAUGAGAUCAUGGGUCUUCAUCACUUCUUUAGCAGUUUCAGCUGAAGAGAUAAGAACAUGAGUAACUUCACCGAGUCGGAGGUGCAUAACAGGUCCAUAUUUCUUGGCCAUAUCUCGGAAGCGGUGAUGAGGUAAAGAGCCAACUAAAUUGUGCAUGUUUCCGAUUAGAGGUAGCUGUGAAGGAACUGGUGGCAGAUUCAGAUUUGAGUUUCUGACUUUUGAUUUCUUCCAUAUCCACAAUAUCACGUAGCUAAUGCUGGUGACCAGAAUGGUGACUAAAAUUGUAGAUGCAAAUUGGUGCUCCAUGGAUAGGAAGGAUUCAGGAAGAGAUUUUGACAGGGCAAUUGGGGGGGGGGGGGUGCUGUUGGGUUAUGAUUUCGUUCAGUUCUAAAGUAUUUGCAAAUUCUUGAUGGAAAAGACUCGUGAAUAUAAUACCGUGAAGACAAUGUGUUGGAAGUACAAGGUAGGAUUUUACUUAAAAAUAACGAGGAAUAUGAACAACAUCCUCAUCAAUAGGAUAAACAGUCGAGGAGGUGCCAAGGAGACUUUGAUAAAAGUGGACAAAUUUAGCACCAACUUCAUCUAUAGUGGUAGUUAGAAACCCGUUGCUACGCUGGAAAGCAGGAAUGAAGCUUUUUCUAUGUCUGUGACUCAUCAAAGCAUGAAAAAAACUUGUGUCUCUAUCACUAUCCUUUAGAAAAUUGCACUUAAGCUUCUGAGAAAAGAAAGCUUUCUCAGCAGAUUUGAGAUUAAAAAGACUAAUCUUCAGUUGAUUUACCCUGUGCAGGAGAGAAACAUCAUCUCUGGAAUCAUGCAAAAGGCGUUGUUGAUGCUCCAAGUCGGUCUCCAUUCUAGCCACUCUCUCUGAAAUGUGGCUGAAGUGUAACUUGUUUAGACUCUUCAGGGGGUGCUUAAGAGAUUUAAGUUUCCUCCACAAAACAAACAUGGGAGAACCUUCGACUGGGAGUUGCCAUCCAUCAGAAAUUAAGCCUGCAUACUGUGGGUGAUCAACCCACAUAUUGAAGAACUUAAAUGGACGACAACCUGGGGGAUAAUUGCCACCAAUGCGGAUAUGAGCUCCUGAGUGGCCAGAGAAAGCUCCCGGAGGUUGGAAAUGCACAUGGGUAAUGAGCUAAAGAUUGCUCCAUGAAGGAUUGGCUAGGACACGGUCAAUUUUAGUCCAAACAGUCCCAUUGGACCAAGUGUAGUGACAGCCAGUGUAAUUUAGAUCUGAAAGGCUAAGCUCUGAGCAACAUGCUUUGAAAUCUGAGACUUCAUAGGAGGAGACCGGUUAACCAUUAUACUUGUCAUCCUGAGAAAGAGUGGAAUUGAAAUAUACCAACACAAGCCAGGCACCAGUUGGAGCCCAAGAUUUAAUGCCAUCCCACAGAGUUCUACGGGCAAUAAUGGUAUUGUAACCGUAAACAAAUGAAGCAGCAAAAGUGAAAUGAGUAGACAAGCAUCGAAUGGAAACAUGAAUAAAUUGGGGAGAAGAAUCAAGCAGAUCAACAUGAACAGUAGAAGGAUUCCAUAACACAACAACUCUAGCAGUGCCAGUAGCUUCCACAUUUGAAACUAGCUUCCAGUGCUUCAACCGAGAUCUGUGCAUAAACUGAAGCUUGGAAGGAACCAGUUUUGUCUCCAGGAGACCACACACAUCAAAUUUAUGUUUUUGCAUGAGACGAACCAACUAAUGCUGCUUCAGAGGACUGUUAAGUCCUCUGACAUUCCAACUGAAUAAUAACACUACAUAAGAGGGGGUGGAGGGGGAACCCUACCACUCCUAGAUGCUCAAGAUGUACUCAUUCUCUGACUACGUAUAGUGGUUACACCAACAUGAACUACAUUAGGAACUUUCCUGCAUGGGACUGCUCCAACUGGUUCUUUCCCAUUAUGGAUGAUGGGGGGGUUACGAUCAGAGUUGCAAAUACCUUCUGAAGAUGAGAGAGCAGGUGCUUUACCUCUAGCGGGGAUGGUUGAAACCUGAUCAGCUGUGUGUGUGGUAUGCCAGGAGAUUUCCUUGCUUUCUUUCUUUUGACAAUUUCCCAUUCACCAGAGGCCACUGCAACUUUGGUGGUCAUGGGAUCAUAACUAUGUGAAGCCUCCCCAAUCUGGCCUUUAGCUUUUCCCAGGCUAGGCUCUGCAACAGGCCCCAGACGAUCAAAAACAUUACGGCUCUUAUUUGUAACUAUAGAUGGAUGGCUUUCCUUUUCCAAAGGUCUUGCCACCGCCGGGGCAGGAGGAGAGGUGCAAGUUCCCGUGUUGUGCCAAGGACUUUACACAACUUGCAGAAUCUAGGAAGUGUCCCAUAUAUCACCGGUUGAUUCAGAGUGGAACCAUUUGGUAAGUUAAUGACAAUAGAAGAUUUAAGAUUAGCAAGCAGAUCCAAUUCUACAAGAACUCUAGCAUAGGAAAUUCUCGACAUGUUAAAGGUGAGCUGGUCACUUUGUAUAGGCGUGCCUAAUUUGCUAGCAAUCUUAGAAAGGCAUCUAGGAGACCAGUAUUUUAACGGCAAAUUUGGAAAUUUAACCCAUACAGGAACACAGGGCAUCUCAUCCGUCCCAAAAUCAAAGUACUCUGGCAUAGCUUUGAUAAUAAGGGGCCGGCCAUAUAUCAAGUAAGGACCACUAGCAAGAACAACAAGUUUGUCAUCAACAUUUUUGAAUCUGUAAACUAACCAGCCAGAUUCAUGAAUAGCCAAAGAGGCUUCACACUUCCAAGAACUGGAGAUAAUAUUGCUCAAAGCCUUAAAACCAGGCGACUUGCUAGCAACAUAGUCCACAAUACAGAGUUGCCAUACAUCAUAAUUAUUGUCUAAAUCAUCAGGAGACAAGUCACAGGGUAAAUCAUUGCAAGAAGAAGAGAAAUGCGGUAAUUUAGGACCUGUGAUAGUGUUGCGGUUGUAUGCAAAUAGGUCUCGCCAUUUCUCAACAGGUGCAGGAGAAUGAGAAGUACCUGAAUGAGAAGCCUCUACAGGUGAGGAGACUACAGUUGGAAGGUUGUGGUCCGCAACGGCGAGACCUGGGCUGUUGGGUUGGAGAACAGGCACAGGAGAGGGUCCCUUCUUCGUUGAAGUAGCCGCUGGUACUACUGAUUGUCCAGAACCACAUAAGGGUGAGACCCUUGAAACACUGUUAAGAGUUACAUCUAAGUUAUGGCCUGUAGAAAGUGGUACAGGGGAGCGAAAAAACUUGGAACUUCCUCCAGAUGCAGAGUAAUCCACUUCAUCUUCAUCAUAGGCAUCCUCAUCAGAGUAGUCCUCUACAAGCACAUGAUCAGGGGUAGAGGGAGAAGAGACAAUUUGUUGAGGAACAAACACUUCCUCAGCAAAAAUCAAAAAUUUGUCAGGGCUGGACCCACCGGCCACCGCUCUAGAAGGGGGGUGGGAACCGAAGGGGAGGGGAGAGGAGGAGGAGGAGGAGGAUGGGGAGGAAGGGGUGGUGCGGCCAGAGCAAGAACAUAGUUGUCGGGUAAAUCUACUUGGAGCUGUUGGUGAUUUUGAACAGGGGGUCGGCGUGUAGUUUGCUUGUUUUUGGCCAUGAAGAAAGUGUAAAGCAGAAGAUAAGCAUGGAGGGGGGGAAGCUACAAUAACCGGAAAUUCAAAUUUUUAGCUAGCGCCAUGAACAAAGGAAACUAUUCCCGUGGGGGAAGGAGAGCUUCUCUCUCUUGUUUCUCUCUCAAGGCUCCCUGAGAGCUCUCUUUUUUUUUUUUAUCAAAUGUAAGAAUUGUAUAGAUCAAAAAUACGUUGGAGACCAGCAAUACAAGAAAAAAGGAACAAAGUCCCUUGAACAAAGCAUAAGCAAGACAAGCUUGCUGAACAGAAAACAAAGGGAACAAACUCCCUUGUACAAACCAUAAGCAAGACAAGCCUGCUGAAUAGAAAAGCAAAGGGAACAGACUCCCUGGAACAAUCAAAGGGAACAGACUCCCUUGGACAAGCAUCAAAGCCAUAAGAAGGAUAGCAGGAGCUGAGACGAGGAGCAAACUGCACCAACAAACUCCAACUAUAACCGGCUAGGGGGGGAAAAUCCAGGAAUUGAGGGAGAUCAAAGUAUUGGGAAGAGAGCCUCACCCUCAUUGAUCCCCGCUAUAGGUAGACAGCAUCUGCUCCAGCUUCCAUCAACUAGUCGAGACCAAGCAAUUGGGGAGAGAGCCUCACCCUGGCUGAUCCCCACUGGCAGACAAAGAAGCAUCAACCUGGAGUCCUAAAAACCGGCAGCAUCAAAACCAAGACCAGCCCCAAGAGGGCCAACAUCACAAGCAAUCUGCAGAGGACCUGCAGGCCUGGACAAACAAAACAGCAAUCCUGGCUGGAAGUCAUCUCCAGCAGCCACGCAAACCAGCAGCAAAAGCAACAGAAACAGGGAACAUCCUGCAUAACGCAGCAACAACACAAAAGUGGUGAUCCAAGGUCAUGUCCAGUAGCCAGUCACAGACACAAACACAGGACCAAAGUAUUGCAAUUGCAGGCAUCAAAGCUCAACAACAAACCGGCUAUCCACAAAAGCAAACCAACAGCUCUAGUAGAGCAGCAUGCGAGAGGACCAAAUAGUUGGGGAGAGAGCCUUACCCAAUCGGAUCCCUGACCAACAAAUGGUAGCUCCAGUAUAACAACAUGCAAGGGGACUAAACAAGUAGGGAGAGAGCCUCACCCAAACAGAUCCCUUUACCAAGCAAUCAGGAGAAACUAUCCGCACAACAUCACCUGCAGACCAAUCCUACACCACGCUAUUGGCUAGCUCGCUUCCAGUAUCCCAAGCAGGUGGGAUCGAUAGCAAGGGGCGGAAAUCAACACCGGCACCAGUAAGCCCCAACCCUGCGAAAACUGUGCAUCCAGGAUCUGGGGGAGAUCAAAUCUUUGGGGAGAGAGCCUCACCCUCAUUGAUCCCCUCUACAGGCAGACAGCAGCAGGCCGACACAUCUGCUUCAGCUUCCAUCAACUAGACGAGAUCAAGCAAUUGGGGAGAGAGCCUCACCCUGACUAAUCCCCACUGACAGACAAAGAAGUGACAGCUACUGAAGGCCACUCCAUACAACAAACAACACCGGCACCAGCAAGCCCCAACCCUGCGAAAACUGUGCAUCCAGGAACUAGGGGAGAUCAAAUCAUUGGGGAGAGAGCCUCACCCUCAUUGAUCCCCUCUACAGGCAGACAACAGCAGGCCGACACAUCUACUUCAGCUUCCAUCAUCUAGACGAGAUCAAACAAUUGGGGAGAGAGCCUCACCCUGACUGAUCCCCAUUGACAGACAAAGAAGCCUCAGCCUGGAGUCCCAAAAACCGGCAGCAAUCCCAGGCAUCAACAAUUGCAACCAAAAUCAGGUAACCACAAAGCAGAACAGCUGCACUAGUACAGUAACAUGUAUGGGGACCUGACAAUUGGGGAGAGAGCCUCACCCAAACAGAUCCAUGUACCAGGCAAUCAUGAGAAGACCAUUCACACAUCAUCAUCAGUAGACCAACCCUGCACCACAACAUGGCUAGUGCGUUACUAGGACAGACUCCAUCCAACAUUCUCCACUGGGAUAGUAGAGCAGUGACAGAGAACACUACAUUAGUAGCCCAAUCAUGAGGGGAGAGAGCCUCACCCAAACUGUUGGGAUCCAUAGCAACGAUCAAGAGAAGCCAGUCGAAUCAGACUUGCAGAAGAACCAAAACGAAACAAGAGGCAUAGUGUGCGGACAAGGGGAGAGAACCUCAAGAAUGCCCCACAACAGGCAAAAAAAGCCUUUGCAGCAAACCAGUAGCGUCGCGACCCAACCAGCAAACACAGGUCUGCAAGCCAACACUAUAGCAGCACCCAUGCAAACCAUUUCAUCUCAAGGACAGAGUCCAGCAAAACAAGUUGCAAGGAGCAGCACCCAAGUCCAGCCAGCUUCAAGAAGCUCAGCAUACCAAGUUCAUCAACCACAAUCUGCAGAACCCACAACAAAGACCUGUAAACAGCAGGACAAGACCGGGGAGAGUGCUAGCAAAUAGUAACCAAGAUCAGCCCCAAGGGGGCCAACAUCACAGCAAUCUGCAGAGAACCUGCAGGUCUGGACAAAACGAAACCGCAAGCCAGGCUGGAAGUCGCGUAGCUCCAGCUCAAGCCAUGCAACUCUAGCAAUCAAACCCCAGCCCAAGCAAUAGCAGGACAUCCUCACUAAAAACAGCUGAAAGACCAGCACAACAUUGUAGCAAUGAAAUCCAACCAGCUUCAAAAAGGGUGACAUACUGCAAUCCAAGCUACUUGUAGCAGCAACAAAUAGAGCUAUAUCGUAGCAUAAAAAGCCCAUAUGGCACAAAACUGGAGCAAGCAGAAAAACCCCUGAGAGCUCUUUUUUUUUGGAUCAAAUGUAAGAAUAUUAUAGAUCAAAAAGACGCUGGAGACCAGCAGUACAUAAUUACAGACAGCAGCAGCCAAGGAGAACAGACUCCCUUGGCAAAACCCAAGCAAGCAGAUCUUGUUGAACAGAAGAGAAACAAGCUAGCUACACAAAAGGCUUGUGCUGGGGAACAUGCUCCCCAUAACAAGCAACCCGACCAUUAAACACAACAAUAUGCAGAAACUAGAAGGGAACAUACUCCCUAGAGAAACCAGAGCAAGCCUAACUUGCAAAACAAUUACAACACAGAAGGUGUGAGCAGGGGAACAGCUUCCCCAGGACAAGCACACCGAAAACAGAACAAGGGAACAUGCUCCCUUGAGCAAACAAAACUAACCAGGAGAGCAAGCAACCAGCAGGCCACAUCCGGUUACAAUCCAAACAGCAAGCAAACCAGGGAAAACACAAGGCAUCUCCCAGGAGAACAACUUGUAGCAAAAGCAGCAACAGGGAUAACAAACCGCAAGGAACCACUCCUAGCAGAACCAGCAGGGAUCUGUUGGGGUUCAGGGUAGCUAUCUAGAGAGGCCAUCCGAAUCAAACCUGCACUUGCAACUGGAAACAGCCCCGUAGACUAGGGAGCACACAAACCAAACCAUCAGCGCUAGAGUAGUGAGCAACAAUGCAACAACUCCAGCAAACCAAACUAACUCCGCAGCAAUCAGAAUUAGCACAAGAACCCAAAUACAGCCUCCACAAGGAAGUGGAGGGCAGCCAAAACAAAACCACUCCAGAAUAAUUUGAAGUAGCCAACUAAGUAGCACCAAGGUGCUAAAGACAGAAUAGUAAGGCAGCCCUACUCCAGCAGCAUAGAUAAAGUAAAAAACCCAGUUGCAACUUAAAGAGGCGUAGCAAACAACCUGCAUAUAGCAGCAACAAGACUAGCAAAAGCCAAUAUAAUUUCCAACAGCCAGCUACAAAAAGCAAGACUGCUCCACUGAGGGCCAAACAUGCACCCAAAACCCAGCACAUCCAAAAUCCAUAGACCCUCGUAGAAACCUAGAGGGCAGCAUCAGCAGAAAGCCACAUCCCGUUAGAUAACCAUAUCAACUCUAUAGUAGCAGCAAAGGAGCCACUAUACCAUGCUCCAUCAAGCUCCACUGUUGCAAGCACCUAUGGGGAAAGGCUGAGCUGCUAACGAUAAACAACCAGUGUUCUUUCCAUCAAGAGCUAAAUAGCAACACAACAAAGCUAACCAAUAGAACACCCUGCAAGAGAAGACUAGACAAACAGCCUGAACCCACAAAAUCCAGUAGAUUCAACACAUAGAUGGCUACCACUGAUAAUCACUCCCGCUGACACUUGCAAGCAGCGAGUGCCCAGAGCAAGCAAACAACACUAAUACGCUUCAAUAAGAUGAAAAAUAGCACAUCAGCUGCAUAAAGCAGCAACACACUGCAGGAUGAAAAACAUCCAGCAGGAAGAGACCCACUGAGUACACAACUGAUUACAACUGUAACUCAGUCAAUAGGCUGCGAGACAGAGCAACCACAACAAACAGAAGCACAAAAUCUAACUCCAUAAUAACAGCAGCAUCAAAACCCAAAAGCAUGAGGUUAAAGCCUCAUGUUGAUACAGAGGGUACAAAGCCCUCUAAAAUACUGGCAGAUAUGAACAUCAUAUAGUGGAAGGGGUAGGAGACAUCCUACCUCUGCCACAUACUCGGUCAGAGAAGUUCAUAAGUUUAAACCAAAAAACAGUGCAAAAGCAGCUUCGCCAUAUCCCUAGAACUGAGGGAGUACCUAAACAAGGAGAGCUUCCAGUUUCACUACCAUCAGCGCAGAUGCUGGGCGGUUUCAUGGCUGAGCAAGGUAUGGGUACCCUGUCAUCAAAUAGGCGAGAGACCCCGAUUCUGCAAGUAGAAGAUAGAGCCAAACCAGAGAAUACACCCUCAAAGAGGGGAAGAAGCGGUUCGCUUUCAAGGAGGAUGACACCUGACCCAUCAGGACCGUCAUCAACCAGAGAGCACGACUUAGAAGAAGCCCCAAUCUUAGCCCCAAAUCCGUUCUUGGGUGUUGAGAAAGAACGAAAAUUGAAAGAAACUGGAACAGUAGACGCUUUGGAGGCUGGAGGUAAUACCAAGUCCGUACCCGAUCUAAUUAGGUUAAACUGGAACCCCUCUUGAAUUAGCGUAAUCCAAGAGAAUGGUAGCUCAAAAUUCCGUGUCUCAUUGGCCACGUAGCAGGCCAUUAAGAAACAGUGAAUAAAGAAAUUCAAAAUUGGCUCAGGAGUUGCAGGACCGUAUAGCAAGGAGAAAUCUUCAAGAAAGAGAGCAUCUCUCUCUAGUUUCUCUCUCAAACUGCAACUCCAUCUCCCCUGAGAGCUCUUUCUUUUUUUGAUCAAAUGUAAGAAAUAUAUAGAUCAAAAAGAAAAAACAUCGCUGGAAACCAGCUAGUCAACUGUACAGGCAUAUACAAGAACAAGGAACAGGCUCCCUUGAAUCAAAAGGGGACCAACCCCCAGGAACAUAACUCCAAUCUAGAAACCAAACCAAGCUAACAAGCAAGGGCCAGAAAACUAGAAUAGACCCUGCAACAAAAAACUAGAACAAAAAGGGCUCCCAAUACCCGAGGGAGGCUAGGGGGACAAUCUCUCACAAACUAGAACAGAACAAAAUCCAGGAGCAAACCAGAAUCAUACCAGCAGCAAACCCAGCAUAAUUAAGAGCCGCCACCUGUAUCAUAUAGGGCCCACUAGAACACCUAUAAUUCAAAAGAUGGAAUAGCCAAUCCGAAAAGAGCAUGCCCAGCCGAAGACAAACGUAGAAUACUCAGGCAACCCCAUGCAAGACGAAGUAGAGUUUCCUCGAACCGGAGACCCCAUGCUAUCCCUUGCAAUCCCACGAAGAGUGCGAAGAAAGAAACAGCACCAGCCAAGGAGUCCAUUGCCUACAACAGCUCAACUAUGAAGAAACCUUCCAUGUUCCUACCGAAAUAGCUGCAUUGAAGACACAAACAACUAAUGUAUUCUUCCUCAUGAGGUUGGCAACCACAUGAUACUGCAGAGGGUUGUUGAACCCUCUGACAUACUCACAACAAAUGAGCAUCAAGAAGGGGGAGGGGGAGGCAAUCCCUCACCCCUGCCAUAGACACCACCCGUGCGCUGCUGAGCCUUUCUCUUUGGGGGCAUACCAGCUGUAUGAGACAUAGGAGGGCAUGGGGCACCUGGUACAACCACAGAUUUACCCUUGUCAGUCCUAAAGCCAGUUAAAUCAUUAGGAGCUGGAGCUGAUGUGGGAAGAGAACCAGAAACUGAAGGUGGGAGCUGAUGAUCCCUGUGAAGCAGAUGGGAAUGCCCUUGGGUUGGGCACGGUACAACAUGAGGUUGUCGUGAGGGUGAAACCUUAUGCCUAACCCUUUUGCUCUGAACAAGUUCCCAACCACCAGAGUUAGGAGCAGCAACUCCACUCUCAGAUACACACUCAGCCUCAACCUGCAUAGGAGGAGGAGCACAAUCGGUUGGCAAAUUUGCCUCUGAGUAAACAACUACAGGAGAGCCUUGUUGAGGUCCCAAACGGUUGAAAACAGAGUCCCUGUCUUUGGUACUGUUGAGAACAGGGGCAGUUUCAUGAGCCUGUUGUGGGCUUGGAACUUUAGAAGGCGGAGCUGUAGGGCAAGUUGAAGUAAGGUGGCCAAGGGUUUUACAGUGUUUGAAAAACCGUGGAAGAGUUUCAUAAAUAACUUGCUGAUGGAGUAAGCUGUCAUUUGGCAAAGUAUCUUCAAUGGAGUAACGCAAAUCAGAUAACAGGUUAACUUUCACCAACACCCUGGCAUAAGAGAGUCUUGACAUGGUAGAGGUAAGCAUGUCACUUUGAACAAGUUUACCAAGGACGCUGGCGAUUUUAGACAAACAUUUAAGAGACCAGCACUUGAGUGGGAGGUUGGGAAAUUUAACCCAAACUGGAAUAGUGUGCAUAGCAGAAGAAGAAAAAUCAAAGUAUUCUGGCAUUGCCCUGAGAAUGAAAGGCCUGCCAUAGACUAAAUAAGGACCCCCAGAUAAGACAUUUAAUUUGUCAGUAUCUUUAGCAAAUUUGAAAAUCAACCAACCAGAUUCAUGAAUUGUCAAGGAUGCCUCACAGUGCCAUGAGUUAACAAUAAGGUUCUGCAAUGCUUUAAAUCCAGGAGAACGUCCAGCUAUAUAGCCAACAAGACACAUCUUCCAAAAGUCACAUUUAGUGUCUAAAUCAUCAUUAACUAAAUGUGACUCACAGUGCCCUGAGAGCUCUUUUUUUAUAUAUCAAAUGUAAGAAUUUUAUAGAUAAAAAAUAGCAAGACAAACUUGCGAUACAAGCUGGAAACCAGCAGAACAUAGAGACUUGAAAAUCCAGGCAAAGGGAACAGACUCCCUUGAACAGACUGUAUCAAGAUAAGCUUACAGUAACAUUAAGGGAACAUGCUCCCUUGGACAAAUAUCAAAGCCAAACGGCAAUAAACAUACAGAAAGGAACAAACUAGCAGUUAAUGGUCUGCUAGGAGGACCAAAAACCAGCAGUGACAGGGAAACAAGGUUCCUUGCAAUGCAGCAGACGAUCCAGCUAGAGAGGAGGCCAACACACAACCGGCUCCAGCAAGCAAACCAUGAAAGCAUUAGUUUGGGGGUCCAAAAGUCGGCUGAAUCAGAGAGACGAUUCUCUUUCCAACCAAGCUGAUUGGUUGCAAUUGUAGGCGUCAUGACUUUGGACGCUCGACCAUGAACAAACGAACAUCCAGGCUGCAUGAACCUACUCAGCAGCUACGCCCAAAUCUAGCAAAGACCAACAACAACAACAUGCAGAGGCUAAGCAUAAACUAAAACCCUGCACAGAAACCAGAGAGAUAUCCAGAUGACAACACAGAGCAGCAGAACACAAUGUCACCACAACUGGGUGGUGCAGGGGAGUGGUGCCCUGAGAGCUCUUUUUUUUUUUUUAAUCAAAUGUAAGAAAUGUAUAGAUGAAAAAAGAGCAAGACAAGCUUGCAGUACAAGCUGGAAACCAGCAGAACAUUACAUGCACUAACAAAGGGAACAGACUCCCUUGAACAAACCAUAGCAAACACAAAAGGCGAGUGUAGGGGAACAUUCUCCCCAGCACAAGCCAACCCGAGAAAAGGGAUAAGACCCCAUAUACAAUAACAUGGACAACCCCCAUGCAGGGCAAAAGAGAAAUAAAAAACGCCUAAAGGAACAUGCUCCCACUAAAAGGGAAACCUUCAAUUGCCUAAGCAAUCAAAGAGGACAUCAGGCUGCAUAUCGCAGCAACAAUCAAAACUUCAGCAUAUCAAGCCCAACUGCAGCUACAAGGAGCACAACUUGCAUAUAGCAGCAACAACACCCACAAGAGGAUUCAAGGUCAUACAGCAUCACCUGCAGACCAUACGCCUUAGGCUAGCUCGCUUCCAGUAUCCCAGACAUGUAGGGAGAGAGCCUCACCCAUACUGUUGAGAUCCUAGAGAUGCCAGCCGAAUCAGACCAUGGAUAGAGUCCAGCAAAUCUCCAAUUGCCUAUGCAAUCAAAGAGAAUAUUAGGCGGCAUGAAGCAAUAACAAUCAAGCCUCAGAAUACAAACCUGCAUAAAGCAACAACAAAUCCCACGAGAGGAAUCAAGGUCAUGUCCAGCAGAACAAGCACACGACCUAACAAUAGCAUUUCAAUGACAUAGUCCAGCAACAAGCUGCAAGGAGCAACACCUAAUUCCAGCCAGCUUCAAGAAGCAUAGCAUACCAAGCUGCAUAUAGCAGCGACAAUCAUACUAACCAAGCAAGGACAGAGUCCCCAACUGCCCAUACAAGCGAAGAGAACCUCAGGCUGCAUAUAGCAGCAACAAACAAACUAGCUAUCCAGCUGCAAGGAGCAUGACAGAUGCGCAAUGCAACUAUACAAAGCCAGAAAAUGGAAGAAACUACCGCCAAGCUGACCAAGCAGUUGAGGAGAGAACCUCACCCAAUCAGAACUCCAUAACAGGAAAAGGAAUCCAUCAUCAAGCAGGACUCCACACAUAUCCAAAGCCACACCCACUACUGUACACGAGCAGAGCUUCAUGUUGUGAGCAGAACCGGCCAGAUGGGUAUCUACCAAAGAGUAUAAUGUUUGGCAAAGCAGACUAGACUGAAAACAAUCAGCAGUAGCAACAGGAUGAGAAACCAAACAGUGGCUUACCAACAUCCCAACAUAAUGCUCAUAGGUCCACUAAGCAUCUCUCUUAUCUCUGGAGGUAGACAUCAGUGUAGUUACAAAAUAGCAGUAGGCAAAUACAGACCAAACCAGAACUGGACACGAGGAUCCAGUACAAGAAAACUCCAUGCAAAGAAACAUAAAGAUAGCAUCCUCAGAAGAACAGCCACUCCAGCAACCCAACCAACAGAAAGGGAACCAGAGACAGAAAAAGAUCAACAGCCAGCAGCACAAUAGCUUCAGCAUACAAAAGGGGCUUCUUCCAUCAGGAGCCAUAAACAACUAGCCCCAAGACCUCAAAGCCCGAACUACAUGAGGGGAAGAGCCUCAUGGUGGUCAGAGGGCAUAGAGCCCUCUGAAAUAGCAUCAGAGAGGGACAAAACUAAAGAAAUGGGGCAUGGCCAUUCUUAAUUGGUGGAGCGAUUUGUCUGGUUAAUUCCGUUAACGAACGAGACCUCAGCCUGCUAAAUAGCUAUGCGGAGGUGACCCUCCACGGCCAGCUUCUUAGAGGGACUAUGGCCUUCCAGGCCAAGGAAGUUUGAGGCAAUAACAGGUUUGUGAUGCCCUUAGAUGUUCUGGGCCGCACGCGCGCUACACUGAUGUAUUCAACGAGUCUAUAGCCUUGGCCGACAGGCCCGGGUAAUCUUUGAAAUUUCAUCGUGAUGGGGAUAGAUCAUUGCAAUUGUUGGUCUUCAACGAGGAAUUCCUAGUAAGCGCGAGUCAUCAGCUCGCGUUGACUAUAUCCCUGCCCUUUGUACACACCGCCCGUCACUCCUACCGAUUGAAUGGUCCGGUGAAGUGUUCAGAUCACGGCGACGUGGGCGGUUCGCCGCCAGCGACGUCGCGAGAAGUCCACUGAACCUUAUCAUUUAGAGGAAGGAGAAGUUGUAACAAGGUUUCCAUAGGUGAACCUGUGGAAGGAUCAUUGUCGAAACCUGCCUAGCAGAACGACUCGUGAACCCGUGGCAUGACAAGCUAGGCUCGGGGGGCACCCGCCCCUCGCGUCCUCGCGGGCCGUGGAGGGACGCAUUUGCGCCCUGUGCGGCUUGUAAACGAACCCCGGCGCGAGAAGCGCCAAGGAAAUUGAGUACUAGGAGCGCGCCCUCGUAGCCUCGGUGUCGGGGGCGCGCCUUCUUUUGAUGAUAAUCUAAACGACUCUCGGCAACAGAUAUCUCGGCUCUCGCAUUGAUGAAGAACGUAGCGAAAUGCGAUACUUGGUGUGAAUUGCAGAAUCCCGUGAACAAUCAAGUCUUUGAACGCAAGUUGCGCCCGAGGACUCUUGGUCGAGGGCACAUUUGCCUGGGUGUCACGCAUCGUCGCCCCCACUCCCCUCGGCUCACGAGGGCGGGGGCGGAUACUGGUCUCCCACGCGCUCCCGCUCGCGGUUGGCCCAAAAUUGAGUCCUCGGCUCGCGGUCGUGCGCGCGCCUGUCGCCCCCGGGAUCUCCUGGACACUCAGGCAUCGACUUUCUAGGAUGCUCUCGUUGUGACCCCAGGUCAGGCGGGACUACCCGCUGAGUUUAAGCAUAUCAAUAAGCAGAGGAAAAGAAACUUACAAGGAUUCCCCUAGUAACGGUGAGCGAACCGGGAAAUGCCCAGCUUGAGAAUCUAGCGCCUGCGGCGUCCGAAUUGUAGUCUGGAGAAGCGUCCUCAGCGACGGACCAAGCCCAAGUCCCCUGGAAAAGGGCGCCGGAGAGGGCGAGAGCCCCGUCGUGGCUGGACCCUGCCGCACCAUGAGGCAUUGUCUGCGAGUCGGAUUGUUUGGGAAUGCAGCCCCAAUCGAGCGGUAAAUUCCAAAUACGGGCCAGAGACCGAUAGCAAACAAGUACCGCGAGGGAAAGAUGAAAAGGACUUUGAAAAGAGAGUCAAAGAGUGCCUGAAAUUGUCGGGAGGGAAGUGGAUGGGGGGCGUCCAUGCACCCCGGUCGGAUGUGGAACGGUUACGGCCGGUCCGCCGAUUGGCUCGGGGCGUGGACCGAUGCGGAUCGCGGUGGCGGCCCAAGCCCGGGCCUUUGAAACGCCCGCGGAGACGUCGUCAAGGAGUGCCCCGGCACAUGCGCGCUCCGGGCAUCGGCCUACGGGAUCCCUAUUCGUCUCGUCUUGAAACACGGACCAAGGAGUCUGACAUGUGUGCGAGUCAACAGGCGAGUAAACCCGUAAGGCGCAAGGAAGCUGAUGUAACCAUAUUAUUCGAUAGUUUCACCCACAUCUACCUAAUGUUUUGUCCAUGUUUUAUAUAUAAAAUGCCUUGAUAUUCUUUGUUUUAUGUUUUGAAGGCACUUUUGGAUGAAAGAUGCAAAAGGGAGUAAAUUGGAGGUAAUUGGCAGAUUUGACGUUCAGUCAAUGUUUUGUGCAGAGCGUGAGUUCUAGAGAUCGAAAUGAAGUGAUUCCAGUGGCACUAAAAAGCUAACAUCCAUACCUUUCUGGAAAUGUAAUGCAAGAAAAAAAAAAGAGAAAGAUCAUGGAAAUCACAUCCUGCAAAGUCAAAUCUCGCAUUCUGCCAGUGUUGACCUUUGGCCAUUCAAAAUUUAAUAUCUGGAGCUACAGAAGUCCAAUUAAUGCAAACUCAAUUUUCGUGGAUUCCUGACUUAAAUACCGAUCAACGCUCCCAAUUUCAGUCAAAACCGAUGUCAUAUGAGGGAGAUAUGAGUUUUCAAAGAUGAAAACUGAAUUCUGCCAGCAAACAGGUUUCGUGAAGAAACAAGUCCAAAUUACAUUCCGAAGCAUCUAAACCGACAUCCAAGUUUUUAUAUCAGCAAUUUAGCUCCUCUAAGUCAGAGCUUGAAGAUUUCAUGCAAGGCUAUUUCUCCUUUUAGGAAAAAUAGUUAUUGAAGUACUUAAAUGUAAACUGUCAACUCAAGGAAGGACUAUUUUGUAAAAUAGAGACUAGGGUUUCUUAGCAUAUAAAAAGAAAGAGCAGAAGGAGGCAGCAGCCAGCAGAAAAGAGGGAGAGCAGAAGGAGGCAGCAGCCAGCAGAGAAUAAACACAAAUUCUCUCCUCUACAAACCCAAAAAUCAUGCUCUCUUCAAUCUUUAGAAGUAGUUGUUCAAUAGUUAUGCAAGGCUAAGCUCUUUUCUUGGUUGCAAGGACGCAAAAACCUUCGGAUUUCAAGAACCGUAGAUUUAUUCUUCCUUUUAUUUUCAGUUUAUGUUAUGAAUGAAUAUGAUUGUUUUUCUAUGCAUAUUUCCUAUGAUUGUUAUUGAUGAUUGCUAGAGCGGACUCUAAGUUAUUGUUGUGAACAAUCUAUUGCUAAGUUUAAUAUCAAAACCGGAGUUGUGAUAUAUGGACUUGUGAAGCAACUAAGUUUGAUAAUUGUGGCGGAACUACGUUAUUGAACUUAGGGAGAACAUUUGAACAAAGUGACACAAGCUGCGGACAGCUUGUAUGUUAAUCUUGAUGAAAUUAUCUAGUUCUUAAAGCUGCCAUUAAAUUGAAUCAUUAGUGCGGACACUUUGAUUGUUUGUUGGUUAGGAUUAGUUAUACGGCGGAUCCGUUAAUUAAUCAACGUUAAGAAAAGAUAAAAUUUCAGAACAUAAACUGCAAUUUUCGUUUCAAGGAUCGAUUCUAAUUUCCGUUGGUGGAUGUGUGCUUGCGACCAAGGUUUGUUUUCUUGAUAGGUUUCGGUUUUAAUUGAUUUUGUUUGCUAGUUUAAUUGCUGCCAUAGUUUAGAUAAUCACAAACCAAAUCCCCCCAAUUACAUAACGUACAACAUAAAAAUCUGACUUGAAACUUCCUCGUGGGAUCGACCCCUUGCUUGCUCUAUACUAUCUUGUGUGUUGUGUUUGAAGCUAGGGUAAUUAAUUUGUGCGACCGCGACAUCGCAACAAAUUUUGGCGUCGCUAUCGAGGAAGUAAUUUUAGUUGAUUCUUGUGCUUGUACUGUUAUUUUUAUUUGCUGUGAUUCAAAAAAAAAAAAAAGAGAAACAGAAUUUUUGCUUGCGACGGUACUGUUCACUUGCGGCAGCGGUACUGUUCAAAACAGAGUUUUUGGUAGAAUUAGGUAUCGGUCUUUUUUUUCCUGAAGGGAAACGACGUUCUGAACAAGACUAGUGAUAAAUCACUAGCCCCACCCUAUUGAGGCCAAAUUCCGCUGUUUUCUAGUGUUUUUAGGCAGUUUUAGUUUUCUACCGUAGGAUUUUCGUACAAUUUGCAUUGUUUUCGAUCUCUUGUGUGGUUACUUUCUUUUGAGUUUUCUUAGCAAUUUAUGCAUGUGACCCGUUCUACUAAUCAAAUUCAAGUGCAGGUUGAUCUUGAAAUAGAAAGCACUUUACGCAGGUUAAGAAAGGAAGCUCGCCUCAACACCAUGGCGGUUGCACGACAACAAACACUUAAGGAGCUUGCUGCUCCUAAUGUGGAAAAUCAACCAUUGUGCAUAAACAUUGACAAUAAUGUAAACUUUGAGCUCAAAUCUGGUUUUAUACAUUUGUUACCAACAUUUAAUGGUCUUGCAGGAGAAGAUCCUCAUACUCAUCUCAAGGAGUUCCAUAUGGUUUGUGUUGGCAUGAAACCGAAUGGAGUUGAUGAAGAACAAGUUAAGUUGAAAGCUUUCCCUUUCUCUUUGAAGGGGGCAGCAAAGACAUGGCUUUUCUCUAUUCUCCCAGGAUCUAUUAGAACUUGGAAUGCUAUGAAGAAGAUUUUCCUUGAGAAGUAUUUCCUAGCAUCUCGAGUUGCCAACAUAAGGAAAGAAAUAUGUGGGAUUCGGCAAUCUCAUGGAGAGACACUCUCUGAAUAUUGGGAAAGAUUUGAGCAACUCUGCAUUCAAUGUCCUCAUCAUCAAAUACCCGAUCAGCUGCUCAUUCAAUAUUUCUAUAAAGGAUUGAUGCCUCCUGACCGUAGUAUCAUUGAUGCUGCAAGUGGAGGCGCAUUGGUGGAUAAGACACCUGAGGCUGCACGCCAAUUGAUCUCAAACAUGGCAGCCAACUCAAAACAAUUUGGCACUCGUGGAGACUUCUCCAACAAACGAGUAAAUGAGGUAAGUAUUUAUAACCUUGAAAAUAAAGUUAAUGAUCUUACUUUUCUUGUGCGUUCUUUGGCUUGUGGAAAUGUGCAGCAGGUGAAAGUAUGUAGCAUAUGCUCCUUACAAGGACAUGCUUCGGAUAUGUGCCCAACAAUGCAAGAAGACUACAUUGAACAAGCUCAUGCAAUUGAUGGAGCAUUCAACGGACAGCCCCAGCGUAAAUAUGAUCCCUUUUCCAACACGUACAAUCCCGGAUGGAGAGAUCAUCCCAACUUACGCUACAGCAACCCAUCCCAACAAGGCAAUCAAGGCCGACAGUUCCAUCCCCAUGGAUUUCAGCCCCAACAAAAUUAUCAAGCAAGACAACCCCCUCCAUUCACAAACUCCAAUGUUAUGGGGUCAUCAUCCAAUGAUGAUCUUCGUGAGAUGAUGAAAACUUUGGCUUCUAAUACUGUUACCUUGCAACAAAAUGUCAUGUCUUUUCAACAAGAAACAAGGUCAAGUAUUCACAACUUGGAAAAGCAAAUGGGGCAAGUAGCUUCAAGUGUAGGGAAAUUGGAAGCACAAAUGAAUGGAAAGUUGCCCUCCCAAGCAUUAAAUCCAAAAGAUAAUGUUAGUGCAAUCAUGCUACGAAGUGGGAAAGAACUUGAAGAGAAAAGGUUGAAACAAAUUAAGAUGGAGGAAGAAGAAGAGAUAGAAACUGAAUUGAGUACAAAGAAGGAACAUCCUCCUCCUCCACAACCUGAAAUAAAGACCAACACUCCAAAGAUAACUCCUCACUUAAUUAAUUCCAGUUUUAAAACAAUUCCACCCUUUCAUGUGAGUUCUUCUAGGUCAAAGAAAGAAGACAAAGAAAAAGAGAUUUUAGAGGUUUUUAAGAAAGUGAAACUCAACAUUCCUUUGCUUGAUGCUAUCAAGCAAAUUCCCAAGUAUGCAAAAUUCUUGAAGGAGAUGUGUACUACCAAGAGAGCUUUCAAACUGAAAGGUCAUGAAACGGUAAGUAUGGGUGAAGUUGUAUUUGCCGUUGUUCAAAAGAAUCUGCCUUUGAAACAAAAAGACCCAGGUGCGUUUACUAUCCCAUGUGUUAUUGGUAAUGCUAGUUUUAAAAGAGCUUUAUGCGAUUUAAGUGCAUCCAUUAGUGUUAUGCCCAAACAUGUUUAUGAUUCUCUUAGUCUUGAGCCUUUGAAUAAAACUAGCAUUGUAAUACAACUUGCGGAUCGUAGUUUUGUUUACCCACUUGGUGUGAUAGAAGAUGUCCUAGUCAAGAUUGAUAGUUUGGUUAUUCCAUGUGAUUUUUAUAUUCUUGAUAUGGAGCAUGAUUCUUGUGAUUCAUCAACCAGCACUCCUAUAUUGUUUGGGAGACCAUUCUUGAAAACUGCCAACGCAAAGAUUGAUUGUGGUAAGGAUACCUUGUCUAUGGAGGUAGGAGAUGAAAAAAUUGAAUUCAAUUUUCAUGAUGCAAUGAAAUAUCCUUAUAGCAAUGUUUAUUCUAUCACAUGCUAUGACCAAAUUUAUAAGUGUGUGCAGCAAGUUUGUGAUUUUGAUUGUGAAGACGGAUUAAGCAUAGCUUUGAGCUAUGGCUAUGAUUUCACCAAGAUAGAAGAGAUGGAGAGGCACGUGUGUGUUCCCCAAAACAUGCACGAAUCAGUAUUGGCCUUACAAGCUUUGCAAACCGUUCCCCAUGGUAAUGUCUUUGUUGAUUUAGUACUCUCACAUAAAAAGCUUUUGUCAUCUAUUUUACAGGCCCCCGAGUUAGAAUUAAAACCUUUGCCCGAUAAUUUGAAAUAUGUAUUCAUUGGCGACAACAAUACACUUCCCGUUAUCAUAGCAAAAGGUUUGACAAGUAUGCAAGAGGAAAAACUUGUGAAGUUGUUGUGUGAUCACAAGACGGCCAUUGGAUGGACUUUAGCUGACAUCAAGGGCAUUAGUCCCUCAAUGUGUAUGCAUCACAUACUAUUGGAGGACAACACAAAACCAACAAGGGAAAUGCAAAGGAGGUUGAACCCGCCUAUGAUGGAGGUAGUGAAAGCUGAAAUUUUGAAACUGUUAGAUGCAGGAGUCAUUUACCCCAUCACUGACAGUAAAUGGGUCGCGCCAAUCCAUGUGGUGCCCAAAAAGACCGGAAUCACGUUGGUGAAAAACAAAAAUGAUGAGCUCAUUCCUACUCGCAUCUCGAGUGGAUGGAGAAUGUGUGUUGAUUACAGAAAGCUCAAUCUUUCUACACGUAAAGAUCAUUUCCCAUUACCAUUCAUGGAUCAAAUGCUUGAACGCCUAGCAGGUAAGUCUUUUUAUUGCUUUCUUGAUGGAUAUAGUGGAUACAAUCAGAUUGUUAUUAAUCCUGAGGAUCAAGAAAAGACUACAUUUACAUGUCCAUUUGGUACAUAUGCAUAUAGGAGAAUGCCUUUUGGUCUCUGUAAUGCUCCUGCAACUUUUCAAAGAUGCAUGAUGAGUAUUUUUUCUGACUAUGUUGAAAGAAUAAUCGAGGUUUUUAUGGAUGAUUUCACGGUGUAUGGUGAUUCUUUUGAUAAAUGUCUAGAAAAUUUAUCUUUAAUCUUGAAAAGGUGCAUUGAAACUAACCUUGUCUUGAACUAUGAAAAGUGUUAUUUUAUGGUAGAACAAGAAUAGUUCUUGGGCAUGUUGUGUCUUCACGUGGAUUAGAGGUUGAUAAAGCUAAGAUAGAUGUUAUUUCAUCAUUGCCUUACCCCUCAUGCGUGAGGGAAGUUCGUUCUUUUCUAGGCCAUGCAGGUUUCUAUCGACGCUUUAUCAAAGAUUUCUCGAAGAUUACAGCACCCUUGUGCAAACUAUUAGCCAAAGAAGUGGAUUUUGUAUUUGAUCAAGCAUGUAAAGAUGCCCAUGAUGAGCUUAAGAGACGUGUCACAUCUGCCCCUAUCAUCCAACCACCAAAUUGGGAUGAACCUUUUGAGAUAAUGUGUGAUGCGAGUGACUAUGCGGUAGGAGCUGUGCUUGGGCAAAGAAUUGGGAAGAAUUUGCAUGUUAUCGCCUAUGCUUCUCGCAUGUUGGAUGGAGCACAAUGCAAUUACCAUACAACUGAAAAGGAACUUUUUGCAGUGGUGUUUGCUCUUGAAAAAUUCAGGUCAUAUCUACUUGGUACAAAAGUCAUUGUUUUUACUGACCAUGCAGCUCUUAGGUAUCUUUUGAAGAAAAAGGAGUCAAAACCAAGACUGAUUAGGUGGAUCUUGCUUUUACAAGAAUUUGAUCUUGAGAUCAAAGACAAAAAAGGUGCUGAAAACCAUGUGGCUGAUCACUUGAGCCGACUGAGGACCGAGGAUAUACAGAUCGAAACAAUAAGAGAGACAUUCCCCGAUGAGCAGUUGUAUAUGUUGCAUUCCUCUACAAGACCAUGGUAUGCUGAUUUGGUAAACUAUUUAGUCACCAAAGAAUUCCCUCCAGGUUUGUCUAAACCCCAAAAAGAUAAGUUACGAGCUGAUGCUAAAUAUUAUUUUUGGGACGAUCCUUACCUUUGGAAAUUUUGUGCGGAUCAAGUAGUUAGGAGGUGUGUACCACAAGAUGAAUUUCAUUCCAUUCUCACUUUUUGUCAUUCUCAUUCUUGUGGUGGGCAUUUUGGAGCAAAAAGAACAGCCCAUAAGGUACUUGAAAGUGGUUUCUAUUGGCCUUCUAUUUUUAAAGAUGCAUAUCACUUCUGCAAAUCAUGUGAAAAAUGCCAAAGAACAGGUAAUAUCACUCAUAAGAAUCAAAUGCCUUUAACAAAUAUUCUUGUAAGUGAAAUUUUUUAUGUUUGGGGUAUUGACUUUAUGGGUCCAUUUCCUUCUUCAUUUGGCAAUCUUUAUAUUCUUCUUGCUGUUGAUUAUGUGUCCAAAUGGAUUGAGGCGAAAGCCACACGAACUAACGAUGCUAAGGUUGUUUUAGAUUUUGUCAGGACUCAUAUAUUUGACAGGUUUGGAAUCCCUAAAGCUAUCAUUAGUGAUCGUGGCACUCAUUUCUGUAAUCGUUCCAUGGAAGCAUUGCUACGCAAAUAUCAUGUGACUCAUCGAACUUCCACAGCAUAUCAUCCUCAAACGAAUGGCCAAGCUGAAAUUUCAAAUCGAGAAAUGAAGUCCAUUUUGGAGAAAACAGUGCAACCUAACCGGCGAGAUUGGAGUCUACGUCUUGGAGAUGCACUCUGGGCUUAUCGGACUGCUUAUAAAUCACCUAUAGGAAUGUCACCUUAUAGAAUGAUUUAUGGGAAAGCAUGUCAUCUACCGGUGGAGCUGAACACAAAGCUUUUUGGGCCAUUAAACAAUGUAACAUGGAUUAUGAUGCUGCUGGGAUUACCAAAAAACUGCAACUGCAAGAGUUUGAAGAAAUUCGAAAUGAUGCUUACGAGAAUGCAAGGAUUUACAAAUAAAAGACUAAGAAUCUUCAUGACCGAAUGCUUACAAGAAAGGAGUUUCAUGUUGGAGACAAAGUCCUUCUUUAUCAUUCGCGUUUGAAACUUUUUCCUGGAAAAUUGCGCUCUCGUUGGAUUGGACCCUUUGUUGUUUCUAAUAUUUUUCCUUAUGGUGCAGUUGAAAUUACAAGUUUAGAAACCAACAAAAUACUCAAGGUCAAUGGGCAUCGUUUAAAACCUUUCUAUGAAGGUUGGAUGGCAGAACUCACCGCUUCUGUAGAGUUAGCUGAACCAAUCUAUGAAGAAUGAGCAUGCCACAUGUCAAGCCAAUGACAUAAAACAAAAGCGCUUACUGGGAGGCAACCCAGCAAAAAAAAAAUCAGAUUUGCUUUUUUUUUCCUUAUCUUUUAUUUUUUCGCAUUUUAAUUUAUUUUCUGUCAUUCUCUUCUGUUCCUUUGCUUUUAUUUCAACAUUGAGGACAAUGUUGUGUUUUAAGUGUGGGGGUAUUGGGAGAAUGUUGGUUUUCUAAUUUUGGUUUUCUUUGUUAUUUUUCAAAAAAAUAAAAUUAUGUUUGAUCUUUUGAACUCCCAUUGGUUUUUGAGAAUAUGAGUAUUAUGUAUGAGAAUUAGUUGAGAUAGAUGAAGAUAUAAAUCAAAUGAAGGAGUAUGCAUGUACAAUUUAAGGUUUAAUUGGUUUAGGGAUUGACUUUGAGAAUAUGCCAUGUUGACUUUAUAGUGUUAUAUCAAUGCAAGCUUUUGAGCCUUCAACAUUAUAUUCUUUGAUUGUGCAUUCUUUCAAUGAUAUGUAUCUCUAGAACUUGCUUCAUAUCUUGUUGAGAUUACAUUUGCAUUACAUAUAUACAUGAAGAUGAUAAAGGCAUUAGAAAUUUUAACCACUUGAGCCAAAAAGCCAACCUAAAACAUAUUAUCCUUAGUGAGCCCCUUUUGAGCUUGUUUAUCUUUUCUUUGCUUUAUCCAUGUAUAAGCCUUAACUUUUAUAUGUUUUCCUUUUCCCUUGGCCAAGGAUUAGUAGAGCAUAUACUUAUGAUAUCUCAUGGAAUUAUGAUUGGAAAUUAUGUGAAAAGAAAGAAGAAGUGAUGCUUGAUGAAAAGAUGGGCAAAGUUGCCAAAGGUAAAAAAAAAAAGAAAAAAAAAAGAAGAAAAAGAACAAAGAAAAAGAAAAAAGUGUUCCUUUAUGUUCUUAAGAUUUUAUGUUGAAAAAGCUUGAAAUCAAAAGAAGAUAAACAUUGGUGAUUAAAGAUGGAAAAUUUAUGUGCUUUGAUGAAAUAUCUUGUUUGAAAUAUUAUUUUUUAGAAUGCUCUACUUUCUUUGGUUUGAACCUUUUCUUUUACUCUCUUUUACCUCACCUUAACCUUAGCCCCAUUACAACCAGAAAAUAAGACCUUUUGAUUCAUGCAUUGUUUGUAAUAUGUUAGUAAUGGAGAUGAGAUUAAAGAGCAAGCUUAUGGUAGAACAUAUUCAUUGAUUGAAUUUGAGAGAUUUAAACAUAUAAGCCUUAAACACGUGAGUGUUGGAGCGUAUAUCAAUGAGAGGACCUAUCACUUUGGCAUGGCAUAGAUUUCAUUUAAAUCCCGACGAUUAAUUGAGUUUUGAAGUUUGCAUGUAAAUGAAUUCAUGAGAAUUAUACUAUUUAUCAUUCUGAUUGUAUUCUUGUUUAUAAUGCAUAUAUUCUUGGACAUUGAUGGGAGAUUAAGAGAUUGAUCAUAGUUAUUUUCAAUUUAAUUUUAUUUAUCCUUUCUCGAGGACGAGCAAGAGCUAAGUGUGGGGGUAUUUGAUGUAACCAUAUUAUUCGAUAGUUUCACCCACAUCUACCUAAUGUUUUGUCCAUGUUUUAUAUAUAAAAUGCCUUGAUAUUCUUUGUUUUAUGUUUUGAAGGCACUUUUGGAUGAAAGAUGCAAAAGGGAGUAAAUUGGAGGUAAUUGGCAGAUUUGACGUUCAGUCAAUGUUUUGUGCAGAGCGUGAGUUCUAGAGAUCGAAAUGAAGUGAUUCCAGUGGCACUAAAAAGCUAACAUCCAUACCUUUCUGGAAAUGUAAUGCAAGAAAAAAAAAAGAGAAAGAUCAUGGAAAUCACAUCCUGCAAAGUCAAAUCUCGCAUUCUGCCAGUGUUGACCUUUGGCCAUUCAAAAUUUAAUAUCUGGAGCUACAGAAGUCCAAUUAAUGCAAACUCAAUUUUCGUGGAUUCCUGACUUAAAUACCGAUCAACGCUCCCAAUUUCAGUCAAAACCGAUGUCAUAUGAGGGAGAUAUGAGUUUUCAAAGAUGAAAACUGAAUUCUGCCAGCAAACAGGUUUCGUGAAGAAACAAGUCCAAAUUACAUUCCGAAGCAUCUAAACCGACAUCCAAGUUUUUAUAUCAGCAAUUUAGCUCCUCUAAGUCAGAUCUUGAAGAUUUCAUGCAAGGCUAUUUCUCCUUUUAGGAAAAAUAGUUAUUGAAGUACUUAAAUGUAAACUGUCAACUCAAGGAAGGACUAUUUUGUAAAAUAGAGACUAGGGUUUCUUAGCAUAUAAAAAGAAAGAGCAGAAGGAGGCAGCAGCCAGCAGAAAAGAGGGAGAGCAGAAGGAGGCAGCAGCCAGCAGAGAAUAAACACAAAUUCUCUCCUCUACAAACCCAAAAAUCAUGCUCUCUUCAAUCUUUAGAAGUAGUUGUUCAAUAGUUAUGCAAGGCUAAGCUCUUUUCUUGGUUGCAAGGACGCAAAAACCUUCGGAUUUCAAGAACCGUAGAUUUAUUCUUCCUUUUAUUUUCAGUUUAUGUUAUGAAUGAAUAUGAUUGUUUUUCUAUGCAUAUUUCCUAUGAUUGUUAUUGAUGAUUGCUAGAGCGGACUCUAAGUUAUUGUUGUGAACAAUCUAUUGCUAAGUUUAAUAUCAAAACCAGAGUUGUGAUAUAUGGACUUGUGAAGCAACUAAGUUUGAUAAUUGUGGCGGAACUACGUUAUUGAACUUAGGGAGAACAUUUGAACAAAGUGACACAAGCUGCGGACAGCUUGUAUGUUAAUCUUGAUGAAAUUAUCUAGUUCUUAAAGCUGCCAUUAAAUUGAAUCAUUAGUGCGGACACUUUGAUUGUUUGUUGGUUAGGAUUAGUUAUACGGCGGAUCCGUUAAUUAAUCAACGUUAAGAAAAGAUAAAAUUUCAGAACAUAAACUGCAAUUUUCGUUUCAAGGAUCGAUUCUAAUUUCCGUUGGUGGAUGUGUGCUUGCGACCAAGGUUUGUUUUCUUGAUAGGUUUCGGUUUUAAUUGAUUUUGUUUGCUAGUUUAAUUGCUGCCAUAGUUUAGAUAAUCACAAACCAAAUCCCCCCAAUUACAUAACGUACAACAUAAAAAUCUGACUUGAAACUUCCUCGUGGGAUCGACCCCUUGCUUGCUCUAUACUAUCUUGUGUGUUGUGUUUGAAGCUAGGGUAAUUAAUUUGUGCGACCGCGACAUCGCAACAGAAGCUGACUGGCGGGAUCCCCUCAAGGGUUGCACCGCCAACCGACCUUGAUCUUCUGAGAAGGGUUCGAGUGAGAGCAUGCCUGUCGGGACCCGAAAGAUGGUGAACUAUGUCUGAGUGGGGCGAAGCCAGAGGAAACUCUAGUGGAGGCCCGCAGCGAUACUGACGUGCAAAUCGUUCGUCUGACUUGGGUAUAGGGGCAAAAGACUAAUCAAACCAUCUAGUAGCUGGUUCCCUCCAGCGGCACGGCGUCGCGGAGGCUGGGAUGCGAUCCGGCAGCGUUCCCGGGAUCUCGGGACUGGAUAGUCCAAGGCUUGAUGAAGAAGACUGCUGGUCUAGACAUUGGGGUGGUGGCAGCAAUGCCCACCAGUGGGAAAAAUCGGCAGCACAGGUUCAUCGGGGAAAAUCAGUAGCGCAUAUUGUUCGACGAACAUGGGCUGGACGCCGGACUGUCCAGGCCAGGCAGGAAAAUUCAUCAAGGGGAUACGCUGACGAAACAGUGUUGGUUUAGACACAGCGGGCAGUGUUGGAAUUGGCAGCGCCGACGAAAUCGGCAAAGUCGACAGAAUCGGCAGCAGGUGCUGGCAAUGAGUCUGGAUGAACUGUGUAAAACCCAGGGAAAAAUAAAGGUUGCAUAGAUUGCAAACGAACUACAUGAGAAAUAAAAGUGAAGAAAUUCAAGCAUAUGGUUAAAUAAAAACGGGAAUUCAGAAAUUUUUGGAUAUAAGUUUCUGGACGAAAUAUUUCGAGACAUUAUAAAUCAACACAAAAAUGUUGAGGGUUAGAUUAAAUUAAUGAAAAUAAACUAAACUAAAAGUUAUGGGGUGAAAUUAUAAGAAAUGAAAAGAGGUAUAACUUAAUUAUAAGAAGAAAAAAAGAUGUGGGGGCCUAAAUGCAAAUAAGAAAAAUUAUAGAGCAUAAAUACUCUUAUUCUCACCAAACAUCUGCAGCAAUCGUAAGGAAAGAAAAGAGGGAGUGUUUGUAUCCAUUCUUGCAAAAUCAAGAGAGAAACACCAAAAUUUCAAGAACCCAUCCAAGAUUAAGGGUUUAUAGAUGGAAUAAACACUUGUGGGUAAGGGAUUAACCAGAAAAAUUAAACAAGAAGAGAAGAUGGAGGGAUGGCUGUCAUUAGAUAAGAAAGGAGGGAGUUGAAAAUCUUCAACUGGUUGGAGAUCAAAACCUUAAUUCGUAUCGGGUAAGGUGUUCUAAACAUGAUCUUAUAAGUCAUUUCAAAUUCGAUAAUGAAUUGAUGCCUUGAUGUGAGUUAUAGAUUAGGGUUCUUAGACUUGAAUUGGGGGAAAAGUAUUUAUUGUUAAAAUUAAGUUAAUUCAUGGGUGGUAUGUGAUUGGGGAUGUGAAACCAUGAUAAUUUACCCAAUCCAAGUGUUUGUUGACGAGCGAUUUUGACUAUCUUAGAGGCAGAACUGAGUUCUCCUUAAAUCAUAGAAAUUGUAGCCUCAUGUCUUAGCUUUCCAACAACACUAAUUUCGCUUAAAUCGGAGAUCUAUAACUCCAGAUAUGGUUAAAAAUCUGAGGAGAGGUCAGACAGUAACAGUUCAAAAACGAGACAGUAACAGUUGGACAGUAACAGUCCAAGUGUUUGUUGACGAGCGAUUUUGACUAUCUUAGAGGCAGAACUGGGUUCUCCUUAAAUCAUAGAACUUGUAGCCUCAUGUCUUAGCUUUCCAACAACACUAAUUUCUCUCGAAUCGGGGUUCUAUAACUCCAGAUAUGGUUAAAAAUCUGAGGAGAGGUCAGACAGUAACAGUUCAAAAACGAGACAGUAACAGUUGGACAGUAACAUUCCAAGUGUUUGUUGACGAGCGAUUUUGACUAUCUUAGAGGCAGAACUGGGUUCUCCUUAAAUCAUAGAAGUUGUAGCCCCAUGUCUUAGCUUUCCAACGACACUAAUUUCUCUUGAAUCGGAGUUUUAUAACUCCAGAUAUGGUUAAAAAUCUAAGAAGAGGUCAGACAGUAACAGUUCAAAAACGAGACAGUAACAGUCCAAGUGUUUAUUGACGAGCGAUUUUGACUAUCUUAGAGGCAGAACUGGGUUCUUCUUAAAUCAUAGGACUUGUAGCCUCAUGUCUUAGCUUUCCAACGACACUAAUUUUUCUUAAAUCGGAGUUCCAUAACUCCAGAUAUGGUUAAAAAUAUGAGGAGAGGUCAGACAGUAACAGUUCAAAAACAAGACAGUAACAGUUGGACAGUAACAGUCCAAUUAUUUGUUGAUGAGCGAUUUUGACUAUCUUAGAGGCAGAAUUGGGUUCUUCUUAAAUCAUAGAACUUGUAGCCUCAUGUCUUAGCUUUCCAACGACACUAAUCUCGCUUGAAUCAGAGUUCUAUAACUCCAGAUAUAGUUAAAAAUCUGAGGAGAGGUCAGACAGUAACAGUUCAAAAACAAGACAGUAACAAUUAGACAGUGACAGUCCAAAUAUAAAGAAAGGAAUGAUAACUGGGGUUGGACAAAGAACGACAAUAAUAAUGGGUGAAAUGAGAAAAACGUAAAAUAUUAAGAAAUGACUGAAAGAAAGACUUACUGGUUGUUGAUAUGGUUACUAUAAAACAUAUCCUUGAAUGAGAAAAAUUUAUGAGAUAAACCUGUGAUUUGCAGGAGGGACCACAGGCGUGGUGCAACAGCAGCAGCUGGGGAGCACGAGUAGAGCUUCUAUUGCAGGUAGGUAAUCCGCACCUAUACUUUCUAGUUAAAUUCUAUGAUUUAAUAUGUUAUUGAUGUGAGAUGUGAAUUACCAAACGUUGGAUAUUAAGAGAAAUGAGGAAAGUUUGCAUAAUGAUGCCGAUAUUUUGGAUAGUAUUCUGAAUGUAUGUGUAUUCAGGGUGAACGGUUGUUGUGUGAAUUGCCAAGGGAUGAAAUUAUCGUUGACAAAGGAAAUAUGAGAAGUGUGAUUUGGGGCGUGAACUAGCAUACCUUUAGUGUAAGUUAGGAUCCCGGGUAAGGGGAUCACCAUGGAUUGACUAGCAUACAUUUAGUGUAUGUUAGGAUCCCGGGUAAGGGGAUCACCAUGCAUGGACUAGCAUACAUUUAGUGUAUGUUAGGAUCCUGGGUAAGGGGAUUACCAUGUAUUGACUAGCAUACAUUUAGUGUAUGUUAGGAUCCCGGGUAAGGGGAUCACCUUGCAUCGACUCCUACAUGGUGAUGAUGAUAAUAGUGAAAUUGGUAUCAGUAAUGUGUUAAACGGAAAUAAUCAUGGGUGGUCUUAUGAGAUCUUAAAUGGAGGUUGAUAAUGGAAGAGGAAAAGGUUUUUAGUAGUUGAAGGAGAAAGAGUUUCCAAUGAAAACCAAAAGGGAGGAGUGAAUAAAAUAUGAAUGCAUGUUUGCCUUUUUAAAUUGCUGGAUAUUUGUAUUGCUAUAUUAUUGUGAUAUUCAUAUUUCAAUAAUAUGUAUUUUGUUUUCAGGGUCAUCGCAUGCACGAUAGGAGUAAAUUCUAGCUUGGGUUCAAUUUUUGUAAUUUAGGUCCUAGGGAGUAUACCCUUGUAUUUGGUAAUAUUACAACGUUUAUAUAUACUCAAAUUGUAUAAUUGAUGUUUAAACUUGAAUAGAUGAAUUUAAGUCUGUAGUUUGUAUAACUAUGUUCCAUGUAUGCAUGUUUAUAUCUUUAUCCAUCCAUAAUGAUAAUUUUUGUACAAUGUAUAUUAUAAACAUUGUGGUUGAUAUGAAUGAUGAUGUUUGUGGGACUGAGACCUAGGAUGAUUGGGUUGAAUUGAGUUAGGAGAUGCGGUAUAUUAGAAGUAUAAACAGGUCGUAUGUCGAUAACUUGGGACCUCCCGGUAUAGGGGAGACUCCGUCGAAAUUUCAGUGGACUUUAAUACAACCACAAUGAAUAGAUAUAGAAAAAAAAAUUAAUCACUCUGUUUAUCAGUUAACAUGAGAACGUUGCUUUAUCCCGGAAAUGGGAAUGUUACAGACUGGAUAGUCAAAGGCUUGACGAGAAAGACUGCUGGUUUAGACACUGGGGCAGUGGCAGCCUGCGGGACAGUGUCGGCAGAUUCAGCAGCAGUGUCUGCUUCGACAGCGUUGGCUUAUUGGCGCGGUGGGCUGAUGCGAGUGGGGACUUGGGCAGCUGGCAGUGAAAGCAAGAGUUUUCCCGAGCCUGCCGGGAAAAACGCUCCUCGGGAUGGCCGAGUGAGAUGACUAUGGAGUGAUGCCUGGAGAUUAUGGUUAUACCUCGAAUAUUGAAACUCCUUUGUCGUUGUUCCGAACUGAGAUAAGUGGGCUAACUCGGAGUGGUCGUUGUUUCACACCUGAAGAACUAGAGAAGCAAAGAAAGGUUAAGGGCAGGAGGUGUUGGACCUCGAUAAAGAGCUUGAGGUAAAUAAACCUGUGACUGAGGAAGAAACAAAUAAGUUCCUGAAAUUGAUGAAGCAUAGUGAGUACUGUAUAGUGGAUCAGUUGAAGAAGACCCCAACCAAGAUCUCCAUCAUAUCAUUAAUACUCAGCUCCGAGCCGCAUCGUAAUGCUUUGCAAAAAGUACUGAAUGAGGCCUACGUACCCCAAGAUAUUGAACAAAAGACUAUAGAGCAUCUAGUAGGGAGGAUCCAUGUUGCCAAUUUCUUAUAUUUCAUGGAAGAUGAACUUGACGCUGAAGGAAAUGAACAUAACAAGCCCCUGUAUGUCACGGUCCGAUGCAAAGAUUGUCUCAUCGGUAAAGUUCUCAUCGAUAACGGCUCAGCCCUUAAUGUGUUACCAAGGCAUAUGCUGGAUGAAAUGUUGGUAGAUCCCUCACACAUGCAACCCAGUGUGAUGACGGCUAGAGCGUACGAUGGCUCGCCAAGGCAAGUGAUAGGGACAAUUGAGGUCGAAUUAGCUGUGGGUCCACAAGUCUUUCUAGUAACCCUUCAAGUGAUGGAUAUCCACCCUUCCUAUAGUAUGUUGUUAGGAAGGCCAUGGAUACAUUCUGCGGGAGCUAUCACCUCCUCGCUACAUCAAUGUUUGAAGUACAUUGCCAAUGGUGUUCUGGUUACUGUUAAGGCUGAGGAGACCAUAUCAAUGGUAAGAAAUGUGGCGGUCCCAUUCAUUGAAGUUGAAGAUUGUAAGGAUGGAAACCUUCAUGCAUUUGAGGUUGUGAAUACCGAGUGGGUGCCCGAGAACACUAUGGUGAGGAAGCCAAAAAUCUCGGAGGCCACCAAAAUGGCCGCUAAAAGCUUUUUGAAACACAAGAUUCCUUUCCCAUAUGACAUUGAGAAAGGAAGGCUUGAAUGGAUUGAUAUAAUCAAGCUGAAAGCUGCAGAACAGAGGUUUGGGCUUGGAUAUAAGCCCAAGAAGGAGGAUUACAAGUGAGUUGCUGGUGCAAGAAGGGAGAAGAGAAUGGCUAGGAUUGAAGGAAAGAAGCCUGACGAAGAAAGCUUAGCCAUCCCCCCAAUUAGGAUUUCGUUUCCGAAGGCCGCAUAUGUGAUGCAGCCUGAUAAGGGACAUGGAAACCUCCUUCAGAAGCUUUCUUCAAUGAACAUAAACACUCUGGAGGAAGAUCAAGUCGAGGACAUUGCCGAGAAGAUUGAAUCCGGAAGAAGGGAUGAAGAGCUGCCGCAAUUAACCAUCUACACUCUGGAAGAAGUCACCGUCAGGACUUUCAUUCGAAAGCUAGUCGAAGGAGAGAAGUUCCAGAAUUGGGAUACCCAAGAAGCUUCAUUGGUUUUCAAAAUGUAAUCAACAAUGAUUGUUGGAUUAUAAUUUUAUCUAUGUUGUUUGCCUUUUUCUGAUUUGUUUUGUUUUUAUUCAUUGACAAUCGAGGCUUAAGAUGUCAAUUGGAUUUUAUUUUUGUUUUUGAGCCAAUCUUUUCCUUUUAAUGGGAUCAUGCAUUUUCAAAAUUCAUCUUGAUGUCUUACUGUGCAUUUACACAUCACUUUCCACUUUCAGGAACCCUGAAAGCGGAUCCUCUACAACAACACCUGCACUUUACAUUGAGAAUGAAUGGCCAAACUUUAAAGAAUACAUGGUAGCUGUAGAAGAUGAGGAAUGAGAGGAGAAAAACAUAUGGGAAUUCACAAAAUUAAUAGAACAGCACGAACAAGCUUGGAGGCCCGCUAAAGAGGAACUUGAAACCAUAAAUGUAGGUAAUGAAGAAAUCAAGCAAGAGCUGAAAAUAGGGACUUUGAUCACCCCUGAAGAGAAAGAAGAGUUGACUGCACUACUCCGAGAUUACGUAGAUAUCUUUUCCUGGUCCUACGAGGAUAUGCCUGGUUUGGAUACGGAUAUCGUAGUACAUAGGAUACCACUGGUGGAAGGAUGCAAGCCGAUUAAGCAGAAGUUAAGGAGAACUCAUCCGGAGAUCUUAAUCAAAGCAAAGGCAGAAAUUGAAAAACAAUGGAAUGCUGGUUUUUUUGGAAGUAGUCAAGUAUCCACAAUGGGUGUCAAACAUAGUGGUGGUACCCAAAAAGGAAGGUAAAAUCAGAGUUUGUGUGGACUUUAGGGACUUAAACCGGGCUAGCCCUAAAGAUAAUUUCCCUUUACCACACAUAGAUAUGUUAGUUGAUAAUGUAGCACGCAGCUCCACAUAUUCCUUUAUGGAUGGGUUUUCGGGCUACAAUCAGAUAAAAAUGGCGCAAGAGGAUAAGGAGAAGACAAUCUUUGUAACACCAUGGGGAACCUUUUGCUACAAAGUCAUGCCAUUUGGUUUAAAGAAUGUUGGGGCCACCUACCAAAGGGCUAUGGUGACUUUGUUUCAUGACAUGAUGCACAAAGAGAUUGAAGUAUACAUGGAUGACAUGAUUGCUAAAUCUAGAGAGGGAGAGAAUCAUGUCCAAAUAUUGAAGAAAUUGUUUGAAAGGCUAUGGAAAUAUAAGUUGAGGCUUAACCCAGCGAAGUGUUCAUUUGGGGUGAAAUCCAGUAAGUUGUUGGGAUUUGUGGUGAGUGACAAAGGGAUAGAAGUGGAUCUCGACAAAGUAAAGGCUAUUCAAUCUAUGCCACCUCCCAAGACUGAGAAGGAUGUGAGAGGUUUCUUAGGAAGGUUGAAUUACAUUGCUCGGUUUAUAUCCCAAUUAAUCACGACUUGUGACCCGAUCUUUCAUUUGUUAAGGAAGAAGAACCCUGGAACAUGGAAUGAAGAGUGUGAAGAGGCUUUUGAGAAAAUCAAGCAAUACUUGCUGAAUCCACCCCUGCUUGUUCCUCCUGUACCAGAAAGGCCAUUGAUAUUGUACCUAACAGUAACCGAAACAGCAAUGGGAUGUGUGCUUGGGCAACACGAUGAAACCGGAAGGAAGGAAAGGGUUAUUUAUUACCUGAGCAAGAAGUUCACGGAAUGUGAGUCUAGGUAUACUAUGAUUGAGAAGCUAUGGUGCGCACUGACAUGGGUUGCAAAGAGAUUACGUCAGUAUAUGUUGUAUCACACUACGUGGUUAAUUUCCAAAUUAGACCCGUUGAGGUACAUUUGUGAAAAUCCCUAUCUAUCUAGCUGAAUUGCAAGAUGGCAAGUUCUAUUGGCUGAGUAUGACAUAGUAUAUAUGACAAGGAAAGCCGUGGAAAAGGAGUGUUAUUGCCGAUCACCUGGCUGACCAUGCUAUGGAAGAUUAUGAGUCAUUAAACUUUGACUUUCCCGAUGAAGAUGUGCUUGCAAUCGAGGAAGAGAAAUGAGAUUGGUGGAUUAUGUACUUUGAUGGUGCUGUAAAUGUACGUGGUAACGGAGCGGGUGCAGUGAUAAUCUCUCCUGAUAAGAAGCAGUAUCCAAUUUUAGUUAAGCUGCAGUUCGGGUGCACCAACAACACGGCUGAGUAUGAAGCUUGCAUUCUCAGUUUAGAGGCUGCAUUAGAGAUGAACAUCAGAAAGAUAAAUGUGUAUGGAAACUCAAUGCUGAUCAUUUGCCAAGUAAAAGGAGAAUGGCAAACCAAGGAAGAGAAGUUAAGGCCUUACCAAGAAUACCUUUCUAAACUGGCUAGAGAAUUUGAGGAAAUAGAGUUCACCCAUCUGGGAAGGGAAGGAAACCAGUUUGCAGAUGCUUUGGCCACACUAGCAUCUAUGGCCAAGAUAGACUUUGGGCACAAGGUACAGUUGGUACACAUCAAUAUCACAAAUAACCCAGCUCAUUGCUGCUCAGUCGAAAAAGAAGUGGAUGGAAACCCUUGGUACUAUGAUAUCAAGAAUUUCAUCCAAAACCAGACAUAUCCCAUGGAGGCAUCCAAAAUCGACAAGAAGACCUUGAGGAGGUUGGCAAUGGAUUUUUAUCUUGAUGGGGAGAUUUUGUAUAAGAAAUCAUCUGACGGGACUUUGUUGAGAUGUUUGGAUGAAUUUGAGGCAAAAAGCGCGUUACGGGAAGUCCAUGAAGGGAUUUGCUCAACCCAUGCUAAUGGACACGUGAUGGCUAGGAAGAUACAAAGAGUCGGAUACUUCUGGAUGACAUUAGAGAAGGAUUCCAUCGACUAUGUCUGAAAAUAUCAUAAGUGCCAAGUAUACAGUGACAAAAUCAACGCCCCUCCAGCUCCUCUGUUUAACUUGACAUCUCCAUGGCCCUUCGCGAUGUGGGGAAUUGAUGUGAGUGGACCUGUAAACCCAAAAGCCAGCAAUGGUCAUAGGUUAUUCUCGUGGCUAUGUGACACAAAAAGUGGUGAAGAAAUUUAUUGAGAGAGAUUUGAUAUGUCGGUAUGGUCCACCAGAAAAGAUUAUAACUGAUAAUGCCCAGAAUUUCAAUGGCAAGAUGAUAAUAGAACUCUGCGUUAAAUGGAAAAUUAAGCAUUCCAACUCUUCGCCAUAUAGACCAAAGAUGAAUGGUGCGGUAGAAGCUGCUAACAAGAAUGUCAAAAAGAUUAUUCAGAAGAUGGUAGUCACCUAUAAGGAUUGGCAUGAGAUGUGGGGAAUUGAUGUUUUGUAUUCUGGCUUUGCACCUUCGUGUUCCAUUUUUUUUCCAUAGAAUGAAUGCUUGUCUUAUGUUCCUUUCCAUGACUUUGAGCUUAGACGGUUAUUUUAUGUUAGAGUUUGUGAGUUCCUUGCUUUUUAUUGUUUUUUUUCCCUCUGGUUCAUGAGGAACCGUGGGGGGCUAUUAGGCUUUCAUUAUCAGCUCACUUUUAUUGUCAGGCGUUUUCCUUUUUUUUUUUAAGAUCUUGCAUGGGGUAGUUUGGCUCCUAAAUGAAGUUUUGUCUAGAGAAGAAACCGAAACACAAGGAAACCCCUUUGCACUUUAAGUAAUCCUUCGGCAGGUUUAAGGGAAGGGGUUGCGUUUUCCUCUCUGCUUUUUGUAUGACAACAUUUGCAUUUUACUGUUCAAGUGAAUUAUAAUUCACUUGAACACUAACUUGUUACUAAGUGAAUUAUAAUGCAUUUUCCCUCUUGAAUAGUGUCUUGGCGUGUGAAUGCAUCAUCCCUGUACAAGCAUGGUUUAUCAUUUAUAGCAUUGGAGUGUUUGUUUUAAAAAUAAGUGUGCAAUGGUUUAUCAUUUAUGCUUAAGCACUGGAGUGUUUGUUGUAAAAAAAUGUUUUCUUGUGUGUUGCAUACGGCCAAUACUCUAACAUGUUUUGAAAGUUUUUUUUAUAUAAAUAAACAAAUAUUUGAAGUUUCAAAAAUGUGUUUUCGCAUGGAUUUCUUAAACACAACAAAAAUUAUUUUCUUACAUUUCUGGAUUUUACAACAUGUUUGUAAAACUCUAAAGGGUAUUAGCCAAUAUUCCAAAAAAAAUAAAAAAUCUUAUUUUGGGGGGAAUUCAUCUAUUAUUCACCAUUAAUGUUUGGAUAAAGAAAUCCCAAAGGGAUGAAUAUCCAAAAUAUUAUUGGGAAUAACUUGUUAUUAUUCACUGUUAAUAGUUGGAUAAAGAAACCCUAAGUGGUAAAUAUCCAAAAUAAUUUUCUAGGAAUAAUAAUUCAUCACACAUCCUUAAAAGAAGCCUUGAUUAUAAUCGAGGACGUUUUAAUUUUUUUUUACUCCACAGUUUACGAGCCGUGAGAGUAUGAAACACUAAAGCAAAAAUAGGCUUUUAAAGCGCCCUGAAUUUUCUUAGAUUUCUAAAUUUUGUCCCUCCUCCUUGCGAUUUACGAGUCGCAAACUCUUGAAAUACUAAGGGAAAAAUGAGCUUUUAAAGCACAUGGAAUCUUCUUGGAUUUCUAUCUUAAUAAAUUUAGUUUGAAUCAAACCUAGGAAAACGGAUGGGAUUAGAAAACACCAACACCAUAGCAAUUAUAAGGCAAACCAAACACCAAGCAGCUUACCUUAGGCAGGGCGUACUAGAGGUGCUAAUACCUUCCCUUUACGCAACCAGUCUCUUGCCUUAGAAUCUCUGAAAGACCAGUUAGGGUUCCUAGUGACCAUAAUACUAGGUGGCGACUCCAAAGAACCAAUCAAGCAAAACAAACGAAAAAAUCGCCAUCAGACACCGCGCAGGGGACGUGUGACAAUAACAUUUGUGAGUUACAUGACAAUAGUCAUUUUAUACGUGAUAAGACUUUAACCCCAGUGUUAUCAACUUACUAUUAGCCUAAACUUCUAGAUUAAGUAUCAGACUUUGUGAAGAGAUGUAUCAUUUAUUAGGAAUCCAAAGAUGCUUUGACUAAUGUUGGGUUGUAUACUCCAUUUCAUGUUCUAGAUGCUCCUUAAUUGAAUGUUAGUAUUGAUUUUAUAUCAGGCUUAUCUCAUACCCACCAUGUUAUAGAUUCAAUCUUUAUAGUGGUGGAUAAGUUUCGGAAGAAGACCUAUUUUAUUGCAUCUUAAAAGACCAUGAAUGCUUACCAAAUAAUCCAUCUUUACUUUAGAGAGUUGGUUCACUUGUAUGGGGUUCUUAAGUCCAUUAUCUCAAUUGGAUAUGAAUUUUAUAAGCAAUUUCUAGAAGUGUUUGUUGGAAAAGCUUGGUACUCGGUUAAAUUUUUACAGUGUUUAUCACCCUCAAAUAUAGAUAAGCAAAAGUGGUUAACCGCAACCUAGGAAAUCUACUGCAAAGUUUGGUAGGAGACAAGUCUAAGCAAUGGGAUCUAGCUUUAUUAUAAAUGGAGUUCGCCUAUAAUAGAUCUAGAUAUUGGACUUCCUAGUUGACCCCAUUUGAUAUAUUGUGUGUGGACAUAAUCCUUCUGGUGUACUUAAGCUAGCACGUAUUAUUUUAUUAUAAUUGAGAAUUAGUAAUAUCCAAAUGAAGUUGUGAGUGGUAUAUCUAUUAGUUUCUAAGGAAGAAACUUAUUUUUUUUUAUUAUAAUUGCACGUACUUCACCAUUUGUUACUAUUAUGUCACAAAUUUUUGUAUGCCCUGCAUUGUAAAGGUAAUACAAUUUUAGUUUAUGAUUAUUCCUAUAUAAUCAAUUACUUAGUUGCUUUAUUAUUUAUAAUCUCAUUUAUUUUUUAUUGUAGAUAUUUUAAUUAUAAUUAUUUUUAUUGUUACUAUUGUGUUUGAAUAGAAAUAGCAACAAAUCUCAUCCACAUGGAAAAUACAUAAUCCAAAUUUUAUAUAAUUUCUUAUAGCAAUAUAUUCUUUAAAACUUGAUAUGGAUAUCCAAAUGAAGUUGUGAGUGGUAUAUCUAUUAUUUUCUAAAAAAGAAACUUAUUUUCUUUUAUUAUAAUUGCACGCACUUCACCAUUUGUUACUAUUAUGUCACAAAUUUUUGUAUGCCCUGCAUUGUAAAGGUAAUACAAUUUUAGUUUAUGAUUAUUCCUAUAUAAUCAAUUACUUAGUUGCUUUAUUAUUUAUAAUCUCAUUUAUUUUUUAUUGUAGAUAUUUUAAUUAUAAUUAUUUUUAUUGUUACUAUUGUGUUUGAAUAGAAAUAGCAACAAAUCUCAUCCACAUGGAAAAUACAUAAUUCAAAUUUUAUAUAAUUUCUUAUAGCAAUAUAUUCUUUAAAACUUGAUAUGGAUUUUUUUUAUUCAAGUGUAUUAAAUAUAGAAAAAUUAUAUCAUGAAAUAAAAUAAUAAAAGUUUUAAAAAUAUAUGAUAUAUUUAUUUUCUCGAUGCAUAUAAAUUAAUACACUUGCAUAAAAAAAAUCCAUAUCAAGUUUGCGAAGAGAGAGCUGUCGUAUCCUGUUAUACCCAUAUCAAAAUGUCCACGAUCAUGUAUAUUUAAUGAAUUCUGGCACCUUAAACUUCUUAGGAAUGACUACGUUAGGUACCAAAUACAUCUUGGCAGCUUUCACCAAGUCACACAAAUGGUUUCCCUCAACUGCUCUUACCCUCUCUUCUAGGGCAGCCCAUUUUUCCAGACCCUCUUCUUUUACCAUUUUGCCCUUUUGAGAUUCCUUCUCUGUAGAAUCAAUGGUAAACGGAAUUCUCGUGGGGUAUGCUGGUUGGAAAUGCAUGACUUGUUGAAAAUCAGAUGACAACCCAUUUGCCCCCAGAUUCUGUGGAUUGAAGGGAUUUACGAGCAUAGGUUCACGCUGAGCUAUAUAUGUUGCUUUUCCAGAUUUGUCUGUCAAGGCCUGUUCGAGUAGACUAGUAAGCCUUGCAACUUCUUCUUUAAGAUUGUCCACCUCUUUUUGGUGUUAGGCUUCCAACUGGGCUCUUUCUUCGUUUUCCAUUUGUCUUUUUCUCAAAUGAUUGUUAUAGGUGGGUUUCAAUGGGGAACCUAUAUUUCAACACGCUAAAUGUAAAUCAUGCAAUUUAUGCAAAAAUGUUGAUUAAAAAAAAAUGCAUAUGAAAUACAAACUUGCCCUUCACGGGGUGACAACCUAGUAGGAAGAUCCUAAUUGUUGAGUGCAUCAAUGGGUUGGUCAUUAUCUAGUUUCAAAAUGUCUCUCGCAUGCUCAGUGAUCGUCUUUGAAAGGUCGACAUGAGGCUUACAAGUAGUGUGAAGAUAGAGACCUUGAGUAAUAUCAGUUUGGCAUAUCAACCACUUCCAAGUAAACAAUCAAGCGAGAGUUGGAUGGUUUCACGAGUCUUACCCAAGCUAAAGUCAUUGGGGUACCGUUACUCCCCCACUUAUCCUAGGUUGUAAAGUGUGUGCUCAAAGUGAUGCAUGGCAACAUAAACAAGGAUGCAUGCUAAAGUAGUAAAUGCAGGAAAAAUAAACAAAUAAACACAACAAACAAAAUAACAAUAAUAAGACAAAAGACAAAGCUUAAUCCUAAGGUCCCUAGUGGAGUCGUCAUUCAGUUGUACCCGACAUCGCGGCGACCUUAAAAAUUCAUGGAAAAAGAACAGAUUUCUGGCAUCUUGUUCUUUUAGGAAAAAGGUCUUGUUUUAAGGAGUCGCCACCUAGUAUUAUGGUCACUAGAAACCCUAACUGGUCAACAGAGAUCCUAUGGUUCGGGACUGGUUACGCAAAAGGAAAUGUAUUAUCACCCCUUAAACGUUCUACCUGAGGCAGACUGCAUUGCUGCUUUUGUCUUAAAUUGCUAAACGUUUAUUAGUUUAUGUUAUGAUCAUUUGCUUAUAAUAUUCCUGACUCUGGAGCCAGUGAAUAUUCAACUACGGAUAAUUCCAACUCUGGCGUUGGUAAAUAUUACGUAGCUAUAAAAUAAAUUUAGAUCAAUAUUUUUUAUUCCUAACUCUACGCUAGUGAAUAAACAAAUAAAAUAAAUUUAUUUUAUUACGCAUUCACAUAUUUUUUAUUUUUUUAUGUAGCUAAAUAAAAACAAAAUACAAUUAAAUCAGUAUUUUUAUUCCUGACUCUGGCGUUAGUGAAUAAACCAAUAAAAUAAAUUUGUUUUUACACAUGCACAUAUUUUUUAUUUUUUUCUAUUUUUUUAUUUAUUUUUUAAUUUUUUUGGGUUGGGCUAGACCCAGCCCAUGGGGGCUGGGUUAGACCCAGCUAGCCCGGCCCGGCCACAGGCCCAAGCCAGUGGCCCGGGCUGGACAAAGCACGCGUGACGCGUGCAUGUCAAUGUGUGAAGGUAAUUUCAUUACCUUCGCCCAGUGCUCUUGCAAAUUUAAAGAAUGCAAAAUGAAGAAACGGGCGUACCUGCUUCUGGAGACCGAAGAUGCUUGCAACGCUGAUGGAUUCUCGCCUACUGCUUCCUUUUAUCUUCCUUCUGUGCUCACUUGUCUGCGUGUUCUUUUUGUUUUCUCAGCAGCUUUUGAAGCCGAGAAGAUGAUGAACACUACCAGAAAACCGGAGAAAAGCAACGGAAUUACCGACGGAAUUUUUCCGUCGGUAAUUUAUACCGACGGACAUAAUUCCGUCUCAAAAUCUGUCGGUAGAUACCGACGGAAUCAUUCCGUCGGUGAUACCGUCGGUUUCACCGACGGAAUAUACAUUUCGUCUGCAAAUACGCAACGGCAUGGUGACGUCAGGCAAUUUUACCGACGGAAAGUACCGAGGGAUUCAAACUGUGAUCACCGUACAGUGACGUGGCGCUGUCACCGACGGAUGAAUUCCGUCGGUGAUGCCGUCGGAAAAAACCAUUAUAUGCACCCAUCUGCCGACACUCUCAUCCUCUGUUUAUCCUUCUUCUUCUUUCCCAUCCCACCUCUCCCCUCCCAAACUCCUCCCAAACUGCAGCCAAACACCCAUCCCAAACUCUCCAUUAUUCUCAACACGAGCACUCAAGUUUCUUAUAUCUUGUACGUGGUCACAAUAUCCGUUUCUUGUAGAUUUUAUCAUUUUUUUGUAAGUAAAUCUAUCCUUUUUAGUUUUAAUAUUUAAUUGUGAAUUUUAUUGUUUUAGUAUAUGUAUUUUGUUAACGUUUGUACUUGUUUAAUUGUUAUUUGUCAAAGAAACUUGUAGUAUGAAUGUAUAAUUUUGUAGUUGUUAUAGGUUGUUUUAGAUUUUGUCAAAUUAUAUUUGUUUGUAAAUUUUUGAAAUUUUGUUUGAAUUACACCGAAUUAAAUGUGUCGUUGUGAUGAAAUAAGUGUCUUGUUUAAUUGUUAUCAAUUAUAUUUCGAAGUUGUGAUUAAUUCUGUAAAUUUAUAUAUGUAUAAAUUUGUAUGUAUAAAUUUGUAUGUAUGAACGUUGAUAGUUGAUAAUUGAUAAUGAAUAUUUAACAUAAGUGUUGUUUUAGUUUGUUGGAUAAUGUCGGGGAAAACCAAUAUUUUUGUUAUGUUUUAUAGAGGUUCAAUAGAAGUCAUGGAUGAUCGUUCAUGGAUGUAUCGGGACUCACCCCAAGGAUUGCGGAGGAUGGAUUAUUGUAACGGUGUCCAGGGUUUUAUUAAUUUCGCAACAUCUAUUCCGAGGAAUUUUACUGAUGGCGGUAUUAGGUGUCCAUGCAGGAAGUGUAAAAAUUUAAAGUUUCUGCAUCAAGAUGUUGUAACGAUGCAUCUUCUAACCAAAGGGUUCAUGGAAGAUUACAUGUGUUGGUAUGCUCACGGAGAACUAUUUGUUUCUGAUGAGAGCAUGGAAGAACAGGUGGUUGGGUCAACUUCUAGUGCUAGUAACAUGCAUGAAGUUGGAAAUGAGAACAGUAAUCCUUACAGGAAUAUGGUUAUGGAUGCAAUGAGAAUGAGUGAAGAUAAUGUUAGGGGAUGUCCAAUCGUAGAAGAAGAACCUAAUGCAGAUGCAGCAAGGUUUUUUGAUCUGUUGAGAGAUUCUGACGAACCAUUAUGGGAUGGCUGCACGAACCACAGUAAAUUAUCAGCCGUAGCACAGGUGUUCACCAUCAAGUCAGAUCACGGGUUGAGUGAGGCCGGUUAUGACAAGAUUAUUGAAUGGGCGAGAAGCAUUUUACCUGAAGGGAACAGGCUGAAAGAGAACUUCUAUGCUGCCAAGUCCAUGAUGAAACCCCUCAGUUUAAGAUACCAGAAAAUUGAUAUAUGCCCUAACUUCUGCAUGUUAUACUACCUUGAAAAUGCCGAGAUGAUCGAGUGCAUGACGUGCGGGCAUUCCCGUUACAAACCCAGAACUGGUAGAGGGAAGACUCUCGUGGCAUAUAAAAAACUUAGAUACUUCCCAAUCACACCUAGACUGCAGAGGUUAUUCAUGUCACCAAGGACUGCUGAGCACAUGACAUGGCACCAAUCACACCAUGCGGUUGAUGGAGUGAUGGUUCAUCCUUCUAACGGUGAAGCCUGGAAACACUUUAACAGUAUGCAUCCUCCCUUUUCAGCUGAAUCAAGGAACGUGCGUCUUGGGUUGUGUACAGACGGAUUCAAUCCAUUUGGGUCAUUUGCUGCUCCUUAUUCUUGUUGGCCGGUCAUACUGACGGUUUAUAACUUGCCACCAGGGAUGUGUAUGAGGCCGGAGUUCAUGUUUUUAUCUAUGGUCAUACCAGGUCCGAGCAGUCCGGGGCGGAAUAUAGAUGUUUGUCUUCGUCCGUUGAUUGAUGAGUUGACGCAGUUGUGGUCCUCUGGAGCUUUGACUUAUGACAUCUCGAGGAAACAAAAUUUUGUUAUGAGAGCGGCUUUGAUGUGGACUAUCAAUGAUUUCCCAGCUUAUGGAAUGGUUUCUAGUUGGAGCACGCAUGGAAAGCUAGCAUGUCCAUAUUGUAUGGAGAACAACAAGGCAUUCACGCUAACAAACGGGGGUAAAGCUUCUUUUUUUGACUGUCACCGUCGUUUCUUGCCACAUAACCACAGGUACAGAAAGAACAUAAAGGAUUUCUUUGUUGGCAGGGUUGAAAAUGAUGUUGCACCCCCGCGUCUUUCCGGUGAAGAAUUGUUUGAUGUUGUGUCAGAGUACGGUGAAAUUGUGUUUGGUCUCCAAUCAGGUAAGCAGAAGUUUCCUGGUUUUGGUUUGACCCAUAAUUGGGUGAAGCGAAGUAUAUUUUGGGAGCUUCCUUAUUGGAAGACCAAUCUUCUCCGCCAUAACCUUGACGUCAUGCACAUUGAAAAGAACGUGUUUGAGAACAUUUUCAACACCGUCAUGGAUGUGAAGGGGAAGACAAAGGACAACAUCAAGGCUAGAUUGGAUGUAGCGUUGUUCUGUAACCGUAAAAAUAUGGAGUUGGUUUGUGAUGGGUCACGGGUCGCAAAACCAAGAGCAAGCUUCGUGCUAGAGAAAAACGCACAACUACUAAUCUACAAAUGGCUUAAGAGUCUGCGUUUCCCCGAUGGACAUGCCUCGAACAUAUCAAGGCUGGUUAAUACGGAGGAAUGCAGAUUAUAUGGAAUGAAGAGUCAUGACUGCCAUGUGUUUAUGCAAACACUCAUCCCAUUAGCUUUUCGUGAUUUGUUGCCAAAGGGGAUAUGGGAUGCACUAACGGAGAUUAGUCAUUUCUUCAGAGAUAUAUGCUCCAGCAAGUUGAAUGUUGAUCACAUUGAGAGGCUUGAAAAGAAUAUUGUCGAGACAAUAUGCAAACUUGAGAUGAUAUUCCCUCCAUCAUUUUUUGACUCAAUGGAGCAUCUACCCGUACAUUUACCGUUUGAGGUAAAAGUUGGAGGACCGGUCCAGUACAGAUGGAUGUAUCCAUUCGAGAGGUUAGAUAUUAUAGUUGCUAUGACAUUUAUAAUUAAAUGUUUUUAUUUUUAUUUUAAUGUUUUUAAUUGAUAAUUUUUUAUUAAUAUAUAUAUAUAUGCAGGUACUUGUUCAAUCUUAAAAAAAAGGUUAAGAACAAGGCGCAUGUUGAGGCGUCAAUAUGUGAGGCGUAUAUUGUUGAGGAGAUCUCAACAUCUAUCUCAUACUAUUUCGAACCUCAUUUGAGAACGAGGAUAAACCGUGUUCCACGGCAUGAUGAUGGUGGUGAAGUGCAUUCAAGUGGGAACUUGUCAAUAUUCUCCAAUCCUGGACGACCCACACCUAAAAAUGCCGUGAGGGGAAGAUAUUUGUCUGAAAUAGAGUUCAGACAAGCACACAAUUAUGUCCUAUUUAACUGUGAUGAGCUGAGACCUUUUAUUAAGUAAGUAGAUGUUCGACUUAAACUUUGUCAAGAGUGUACUAUUUAUGUUUUGUGAUACCAUACACUCAUAUACUUUGGAACAACCUUGCAGGCAACAUCGACGAUAUUUACUGUCCAAUAACUCACAGCUGACCGAAUCCCAGAUCUUUCAAUUACAAGAUGAACAAUUUGCCACAUGGUUUAGAACACAUGUAAGUCCUAGCACAAACUCAUUAUCUCUUGCAAUGUAAUUAAUUGUAGUCAAUGUUACAUAAUAUCCGUUUAUUGAUUAUUUUUGUAUUUAAUUUACAAGCUAGGUUUAUCAAAUGGGAGGUAGUGCUGCUAUUUCACUGUCUUUACUAUGUCUGGGCCCUGAAAGAAAAGUCAAGUGCUAUAAUGGAUAUUUUGUCAAUGGAUAUGUCUUUCAUACUGAAGAAUACGGGCAUGGAAGAAAGACAUACAACAGCGGUGUUUGUAUUAAGGGAUCGACUUCUAGUGAGUUUGAAGUUGACUACUACGGUAGAUUGGAAGAGGUCAUCGAACUGCAAUAUCAUAGCGAGCAAAAUAGAGUGUUUUUAUUCAAAUGUUAUUGGUAUGACACAACUGACAGAGGAAUCAGAGUAGAUCCUCACUAUGGUCUCGUUGAAAUCAAUUCAAAAGCUAGACACCGCAACGUAAACGACGUCUUUGUUUUCGCAAAGCAAUGCCAACAAGUUUAUUACACAUACACCCAUUCCUUUAGAAAGGACCGAUCAAGAGUUGAUUGGUUAUCCGUUUUAAAAACAAAACCCAAGGGUCGUGUCGAGGUUGUUCAGGAUGAGAACGAAGACACAAGUGUGAUAGAUGAAGUCUUUCAAGCUAGUGAGUUGGUUGAACCAUACCGAGUUGCUCCGUCGAUUGACUUAGAAGAAAAUUCGAAUUUUCGCGUUUUCAACGAUAGUCUUGUUGAUGUUGACGCAGAGGAGUUGAAUGUUGUUCUGAGCUCCACUGGUGGAAAAAAGAAUGUUGUUGAAGAAGAUGAUAACGAAAUUGAAGAGUGCGAUGAAGCUGAUGAUAACAAUUCAAUGGAGGACGAAGAUGAAAAUUCCGACUAACUAAACAUGUUAUAAAGCCUUAUUUUUAUAAUGUAAUAAUUUGAAACAUGAAAUAUUUAUUCUUCUUUAAGGUUCAGCCGUUGUUAUUGUGUUGUGUGUGUUUUUUAGUUUGCAAUUCAAGAUUUUUUUAGAGGGUUACAUAUAAAACAUAAGAAAAAUUUACCUUUUCACCGACGGAUAUACCGACGGACUAUAACCCGUCGGUAUUUCACAGAGAGUUGCAAAAAAAUUACGGGAUUUUGCCACAUUCACCGACGGAUUUCCGACGGCAUUUCCGACGCUAAUACCGACGGAAUCUACAGCACGUCGUCAGAAGACGGUUGCAGCUAGUUCUUCUAGCAGCGAGGAGGACGUAUCCUUAGGUGCUGAUCACGGCGAGGAAUCUACGCCAACUUGUGAUGCUGCCUCUUCUAGCGCGGUUUCACAGCGCAGAAGCGGUGUGCCUUCACAGCGGGGUCAAUUCACCCGCAAGUACCAGGCACAAUGGAAGGAUGACCUCUCAAUGUAAGUUUGUUUAGGUUUUAGUUUUUUUUUUAUAUACUUAUAACAUAAUUUAUGAACAACUAAUUAAUAUUAAUUACUACUUUUAUUUAAUUUCAGGUUUACAAACAUUGAGGCUGCAAGGACUAUAACAUUGGUGUUUAAAUCGUCGAUGGAGAUUCCAUUGUUUCAAUGGAGCCAGGUUUCCAAACAUCCUGAGUGGAAACCUAAUAUCGAUGCAUGGUUUAAGCGAUUUCAGGUCGGUGUUAAUUUUUAAUUUCCAGCUUAUUUUUAAUAAAUGAUUUUUAUAAUUUUAUAUCUUGUACUAUUUUUAUUUUAUAUGAAUUAUUUAUAUACACAGAACAAAUUUGAGUGGGAUAGGGCGGACAACAAUGUUGUGAGGAGGGUAUGGGAGAAUCACGCGGCAACUAGGUAACAUCAAAAAUAAUAUUUAUUUUUGUUUUAUAAUUUAAUGUUUUAAAUUCUAAUUUGUUACUAUGGAAGUAGGUUGCGUGAUUUUUGGUAUGACACCCAAAAAAAUCAAAAAAACAUGCGAGGGAUAACGGUCUUGAAGGAUGGAAUGAGGUGGCGGUUUGGCAGGAAUUCAAACCGCCAUUCAUCUCGGGGGAAAUAUGGACGGCAUAUAUUGAGCACGUGACCUUAGAGCGGUUCUCACGGCGCUCACAGUCUGGCGCCGACAACCGGAACCGGCAAAUUUAUGGUUCGGUGACCACGCACACUGGCGGAUCCGUCCCAUUCAGCGCACAUGCAAAGCGGAUGGUAAGAUUAAUUUUAUUGAAAUAUAUCGUUAAUUAAUUUGUCGUUCCUUAUAAUAUAUUUAACUUUCAACCUAUUUUUCCUUACAGGCUGCGUCUCUUGGAUGUGAACCGAGUCCAAUGGAGCUGUUUCUAGAGACGCAUGUGCGGAGUCAAGACCGCCAAAAAGGGGUGCAGCAGUUCGUGGACAACCGUGCUCAGCACUUCGUGGUAUGUUCGUUCAUUCAUUUUAUUUUGUAAGUUAUUAUUUUCUUGAAUUGCAUCUUGAAUUGCAUUUGAUGAUUUUUUUACCGAUGGAAUUUUCAGGAGACCUAUAAUAGCCAGUUGAGGGAGAGAUAUGGGGACAAUCCGUCGACCCAUCCAGAUUUCGAUCCAGAUUUGUGGAUGGAGGCGGGAUCGUCUGGUGGACCCGAUAAAAACAGGGUCUACGGGCUCUCCAACACUACGGCUGACAACUUGUGUUUGACUCGUAGUGUCUCAACUGUUGGAAGCUCUCCAUCAGUAUCGAACACCCAGUCUGAGGAGUUCAUUGCGUUGAAACAACAAUAUCAACAACUCUCGACGAAUUAUGAUGAGCUUCGUCAAAUAGUCAUGGAGAUGAGAUCAAAGAUGGGUGACGAUACUUGUGCAGCUUCUUUUUGGCCGUUUGGUCCCGGGAACAACCAGCCUCCUCCUCCUCCGCCUCCUCCUCCAGCUCCGCCGCUAUUCUAGUUUAAUUUUUUUAAAAAAACACAUUAAAUUUGUAAUGAAUAUUAUUACUUUUACAUUUUUAAUGUUUAAUGCAUUUUUAUUUGUUUAUUAAGGUUUUUUACAAUUAAUAAAUUAUUUUUUUUAUAUAUUUCAAAUACCUACCGACGGAUAUACCGACGGAUAAUAUCCGUCGGUAUUUAACAGAGAGUUGCCGAACAAUUACCAUCCAUGCCAUCGGUACCGACGGCAUCACCGACGGAUAAUAUCCGUCGGUGAUUUACUUCCGACGGCAUUACCGACGGAUAAUAUCCGUCGGUAUUACACAGAGAGUUGCAACAAAAUUACAAGCCAUGCCAUAAUUACCGACGGAAAAUCCGUCGGUAAUGUUCCCGCGGGGAAUUUUUUUUGGCGCGCGCGUAUCCGUCGGUGGGUGGUUUUUUUUAUUUGCGACAGAAUUAGCGACGGAAAUGAGAUUUACCUACGACUGUUAUACCGACGGACGUGUUCCGUCGGUGAGUCCGUCGGUAUUAUUUUCACCGACGGAUUUCAUUUCUGUCACCGACGGAAUUAGUCCGUCGGUAACACUGGAUAAUGUUGUAGUGGAAGAGCUCGGCCUGCUGUGAAUAUGUUUUGAUUCUGGGUCUUUCUCUGUCUGCAGGGACGAAAGCAAUGGCAAAGCCAAUCCUCCUCUCUGUGUUGCUCCUUUACUUUUCCUUCUCUUUUCUGUGUUUUUUUUUCUGUUUGGCUCGUGCUCUCUGUUUUUGUUCCUCUCUGUUUUCUUCUCCCUUUUUCUGUGGCCUUCUCCGGCUUCUAUAAAGCCAGAGAAUGGCCUUUCUUCCCGUGUUCGUGCCUCACGAUCGUGAGGCACGAACGCCUCUGCUUCUUUGAGAAGAAACAGGGGCAGAAAAUUUGCUCUCCUCUGUCUUGUUCGUUUCCCUGUCCUUUUCCUGUUCUCCUCCCCGUUUUUUUUCUUCUUUUCUCUCCUCUCAGCCCCUCGGUUCUGCCCUUUUCUUUUCCCCAUGUGACCUUUCGUUCUCUGGAUUUUAUAGCCAGAGAACAAUGCCGUUUCAACCAUUGAUUGCAGGUGUAAUGGUGGCGAUUCUGUAAAUGUUUUGUGAGCCAGAAAACAAACCCUUUUCAAAGAAUUUACAGACAGCAGCUAGCUUGAAUCUGAACUGGACUGGAGAGAUCAAGUGUCAACCACGAGUCAUUAUCUUCCAAGGAAUAACAGUGUUAUGGUCUAUUUGUUUUUCUCCAACUCAGGAAAAUAAAACAAAUGCCAUCACUGCCUAUUCCAUGGAAGACAAUGGCUUGUAAUUAGCAUGUUCAUCAUAACCCUACAGCUCAACUUGUUCGCCAUGCAUGAGUCCAAUUCUCAGCAAGUCAUUUGCCCUAUUUAUGGAAGGAAAUCAAGCAAUAAAUCAACAAAAAGCAAUAUCAACAGAUCAUAGAAUAUAAAGCUAGUGUCUUUGGAAUAACUUUGGCUUCAAGUUUAGUGAUGGAAUCAUAGGUGCUGGUAUGUAGUAGAUUAAUUAGGAAAGAAUAUUGAUUUGAGCUUUGCAAAGUGUAGAUUGCACUUAGAUGUAGCCACAUACGUCAAGCCCCUUCAAAUAUAUGAAUGAAACUGCUUUCUAAUCGGAGUUUUUGCAGUGUUUUUUCAAAAUCUGUUGAUGAUAUGUGCUACCAAUAGUCUUUCAUGGUUAAAGACAAGCAGCAAAAUCUCUCAUGACAGCUUUUUUUCUCAUGCGUUGUUUGGAAUCUUUGGCUUCAGGAAUGACAUUAUUUUUAAUAACAUUGCCCCUAACCUUCAAAUCGUUUUCUCCAUUGUGCACCAAAGUAUUGCUUUAUGGUUGUGGCUUGAUUCUAGCUCUUUAAAGCUUAAUAUAGAGAAUAUUGUUCAGUAGGGAGGAGUUGGUUUCUUAUGAUUUUUUCGUUCUCUCCAUUUGUUGUGCUCCCCUGUUUCAUGCAAUAACUUUUGUGCUUUCCUUUUCUAUUUGUUCAUCUAAUGUAAGUUAGGCUAUUAUUUUUGUAGUUUUUUUUUAAUAAAACUUUCGACUAUUACCAAAAAAAAAAACAUACCUCAAGCCCACCAAUCCCAGAAGAAAAAUAACUUUUUUAAAAAAAUAUAUUAAUUUAUUUUGUUAUCUCUAAAGAAACUCCUUUCGUCAAGUCUACUGUUUAUUAAUUAUAAAUGUUCCGUGAUGUAGCCACUUUUUGCCACGAGAAUCAAAACAAGCUUGAAAGUGGAACAUAUAGCCUUCGUCCCCAUCAUGUAACAAACUUAGUUGUGGCAGUUCCUGCAAUCAAAGAUCUGGGGGGCAGCCUUCUUUUCCUUUCGACCUUGGUCCCAAAUGCAAUUGAAAGUGGAUAUAACUGAAAGGAAAAUCUUUGCCUUUGUUGCCGGAGAUAUGCUUGCUUUAACAGGAUUUAGAUUGUGCCCAUACCUUGUUGUUUUGGGCUUUUGAAGUUAUAUAUGGACUAGGGAUAGUCACAGUGCAUGUUUUUUAAUAUAUAAAAAAACAAAUAUGGAUUUAUUUAACUAGUGGAUCCCUAAUCAAGACAAUCUUUAAAAAUCACUAGUCCCGUUACCCGCGUUAUGCUAGCUAUAAUCCUGAUGAGAAGUCAAUUUAAGCAUAAAAAAAACAUAUGGGCAAUGUUAAAUUCUGAGUUUACGAUGGAAAUUUUGAAAUAUGUAUUAAGAUUUUAUUAUUAUAUUUAAUAAAAUUAAUCGAUCAUCAUAUACAUCAAAAUAUACUAAAAGGAGUUGUUAAAGAAAAACAAAGACUCACGCUAAAAGAUGAGUGCAAAUAAAAAAAUAUAAUCUCAUGACAUAACACCUUUAUUUAAUUAUCCGUCAAUAUUAUUUUUGUAAACUAAAAUUACAAAUUGAAUUAAAACGAGUUCCUUUUUAAGUAUCUAGUGUGUUGUUCAUUAGAUGACAAAACUUUCAAAUCCAAUCGGGUUGUAGAAUUAUGUUGGAGCUGGCUAGUGCAGUGAGAAUGGUCAUCACAUUUAGGCGGCACGUGCGACUUUCUCUGAGCUCCGAUGACGACUUUUCUUGGUGCUGAUGGAAUUGGCUUGGAAGCAGUUCUCUUCCAUGUCAGUGCAUGUUGGCAGCGUACCACGACCUGGAUCCAACUACUUUUUUUCUUUUUUUUCUCUCCCUCUCAAUUAUCGUGCUUAUCUUGAAAAAAAAAUAUUAUUAUUCCAUCAUAGUAGUUUAUUAGAGAGGCCACAAUGUUUUUUCUAUAAGAAUUAUUAUUAUUUUGUAGUUUUAAUUUAAUGUUACAUGGGUUUCAUCAUGGGUUUAGCAGUAUAAAAGUUUUCUUUUAGCUUAUUCCCUUUAGGUAAAAUGUUUCUCGCUCAUUCGACAACUCUAUCGUAACCGACUUCACUUAGCCCAUGUUCUAACUUCACGGUGAACACCUAUGCAACGACCAAUAAUUUAUUAUGAUUUGUGCACCCAUCCCAUAAUGGUUUGUCAGAGUCUUUUAAAAGAUAAAAAAAUCAGGUUGCGUCUGUAUUUUGUUCUUCAUCUAUAAUUAAAUAUUUACCUGAAUAACCCUGAUUCAUUCUCAUUACAUCCAUAAUCAUAUUUCUAUAAGAAUUACUAUUUUCAUCUACGACUCCAUGCACAUAGCUAGAACUAAACGUUGACCCAACCAUGUUUUCUAUCAUAUUCUCGUAAGGAACAUAUGAUUAUCCGUGUGCAAACCAACACAAGUAUUUUUUUUAUGAAAUCUUUUUGUAGAAGAUACAUUGUUAUUAUAUCUGGAUCGAGAAAGUUUUUUAUUUUUACACCUCUAACAUGGAUAUCUAAUAUCGCCUUCACUAAUUUUUCUCGGAUUAGAUAGUACGUAAUUAAUAAAACCCUCAAUCCCAUUACAAUAAUCCAUCUUGCGCAACCCUUUGGGUGAAACUCGAUCCAUCCAAAAACGAUUAUCCAUUACUUAUAUCAAACCUAUAUAGACUAUUGAUGAUAACAUGUAUUAAUUAAUUAUGUGAACUAAAUAAAUUAGUUAACACUGGUUUAACUCAAACUUAUUCAAUCUAUUUUAAUAGUACAAUUAAAUCAUUAUCAAUAUUUUAUAAAAAUCUAAAUUCCUCCACAUUUACCAAAAUUUUCAACUCAACAAUAAAAUUGACAAAAUAUAAAACGUACUCAUUAAACAAGGCAUUAUUUAUUUCAUUACAAAACACCUAGAUCACAAAGCUAAAAUCAAUUUCAACAAAUUACAAACAAAUAUAAUUUUUCAAAAUCUCAAACAAACUUUAACAUGCACAAAUUAUACAUUCAUACAACAAAUUUCUAUAUGAAAAAGUUAUAAAACAAAUAAACACACAAACAAACUACGUAUAAUACAUCAAGAUGCCAUAUAAAAAUUAACAUUUUAAAAUUGAGUUCAAACAAAAAAUUGAUAGUUUUGCUUACUUGAUGCUGGGAAUAUUAAAAAAAAAUAAACCAUAACAGAGAGUUGACAUAUUGAGUGUUGGGGUAAUUGAAUUUGUGGUGAUGAGAGUUUGAUUUGUCAUAAAAUGAGGGGGUGGGGGGGGGUUCUACUGCUAUUUAUAGAGAAAAAUAAAGGAAGAAGAAGAAAUAAAGGAGGAGGAGAUGGGGGUUGCUUAAGUCAUAAUUUAAAUAUUACCGACGACUAUACAUAUGAAUAUUAUCGAUGAGUUUUAUACAUUGGCAAAGAUUAAACUCGGUAUCUCCAGUGCGAUUGCACAGUUCACCAACGAUAGGAUUGACUCAGUCUUUCCAGUGUGAUUGCACAAUUCACCUAGGAAUGGAUCAACUUUGUCUCCCUAGUGCGAUUGCAUAAUUUACCUUAGAAGAAAUUGACAUGGUCUCCCUUUGUGCGAUUGCACACUCUCAAAAAUAUAGGAUUGACAAGACCUCAGCAACGAGAAUUAAUGCGAUCUCCAUAAGACAACAGCCCCUCAACUCUCUAAAGGAUUUGACUUCAUCUCCAUAGUGCAAUAACUCCAUUCUCCACAUGAUCCUUAAGGCAUUUCAAUGAUCCCUUAAGAAUAUAAAGAUAUACUUACAACCCAUAUUUAUUCUCAAUUCUAGGCACGAGGCAAAUCUUACUAAGGUUAGGCGAAAUUCAAAAUUUGAUUCUUGCCAAAAUUUAAUACAUAUUUUUUCAAGAAUGGGUGUUGGACCCAAUACAAAAUUUCAAUAAUUGUUUAAGGCCUUUGGACCCUAUAUGGAAGUUUUAGUAUAAGUAUUAGAUCAAUACAGAUUGUCUAGAUAAUUUCCUCCAAAUUAUUUUUUUGAGUAUGAACAUUUGGGCUAUACAAAUUUCAAAAAACAUUCCUAAAGGUCUUGGACCUUGGAAUUUUUUUACUGCAUACUUUAAAUUCAUAUAGACUACGCAAGUUAAUACAUAAAUGAAAAAUAAAAAUCAAAUUUAUAAAAUGAAUAGCAUUACAAGGAUAAACCUCACAGGGGAGGGGUUAUUUACAUAACUAAGGGCAGGUAUAUUUUCUUUUCAUCCACGUUUGGGACUAGACACAUAUUUGCUGCCAUUACUAGAUCAUAUAAGUCUACCCCUUAAAUGACUUUGAUUCUGGCUUCCAACGCCUCUAUCUUAUCUUGAUCAAUGCUAUCAGAUGACUUGGCCUUGUGGGGCUCGUUAGCAGAUGCCUCCAUGACUGUCGGGGUUGGUGCAGGUGUCGCUGACGGUAAAAAUGUUGGAUUUUGUUAUGGCUCUUGACCAUGUUCGCUCAUUCUUUCUUCAGACUGAACUAUAGUAGGAGCCUGAUUAAAGGUGACCGGUCAUUUAGAAGGACCUUCACCAGAGGUAUUUCUUAGUGUUUGCUCGAGUAAGCUAAUGUGGCGAGCCACCCUUGUUUUCAGAGACUCAAACUCUUCUUAAAAAUGGGCAUCACGAUGAGCACACUAUUCAUCUUACAUGCUUCUCGCUCUAAGUCGGGUGUUGUAGACUCAUAGGGGGGCUAUAUUUCAACUUGUUGUAUGUAUGCACGUUAUUUACGAUGAUUGGAUGUAUAUGUAAGAUGCAAAUGUAUGUACAGGUCUUGUAGAGAGUUCAUACUCUAAGGUUAGGUUUGGGCCAUUACAUGAUGGGUGACUUGCUAUCUGGUCUCAAAAGAGUCUCUUGUUGUCCCAGUGAUUGCCCUUGUAAAGGCAAUAUGGGGGCUCAACAGGUAAUGGGAUGACAUGUGCACCAAUUGUUGUCAGUCUAAGCACUCAGCAAAGAGUUGAGGUUUACACAAACUUAAACCUUGACUAAAAGUCAUAUUGUAAGCUGCUAGUCCCCCACUUAACCUAGAGUUUUCAAUGUAACUCGUACAAAAAUGUGAAUGAUGCAUGAAGCAAUUUUACAAUGCAAACAAACAUGUAUGAAAUUAAAGCGUAUGAGCAAAUGAGGAAAUACAUAUUAACAAUACCACACAAACCAAACAAUAAAACACGAUAAUCAGACAAAAACAAAGCUUAGUCCACAAAGUAUCCCCAGUGGAGUUGCUAUUCUAUCGCACGUGUGCGGCGUCGCGACAAUCAUCCACCCUCGGGGUAUUUGUAAGUCUAUCUGGAAAAUAUAGGGAGACAAUAAAUUCUUGUCUUUUAUCAGUGAAAAAUUGGAAUGGGAGUCGCCACAUAGUAUUUUGGUCACUAGGAACCCUAACUGGUCUCAGAGAUCGGGUACGAAGAUUGAUUGCGUAAAGGGAAGGUAUUAGCACCCCAACUACGCCCUAACUAAGGUAAGCUACAUUGUUUUGUUGUCUAAUAAAAUCUAAGGUCUUGUUGUGGUUUCUAAUUGUCGAUAUGUCUAUGGUUUAAGAAAAGUCCUCCUCUGUAAGGAGAUUCUUAUCUUAUCAGGUAAAAACCUAACUGUUUUAUGUCGUUAAAAGAAAAUACCUUUUUAAUAUUGGGAAUAUAUUUUACGUAUAAAUUCAUAAUCCCUGAUACUAAAACAACGCAAAAUAAAAUUUUUGUUGUUUUUGAAAUUUUGGCUAAUGUUCUCUUAACUUUAAUAAGCUGGUUAUUAAAGCCAAAAUGCAUACUAAAACAUUUUUGUUUGGUGUAUGAAAAACACAAUAUGAUUUGUUAGCUUUGAGACAAUUGGCCGUAUGCACAAAAAACAUUUUUUUCUUUUUUCAAAUUUUUUUUUGGUAUUUUGGAAGUUUUGACGAAAACUGAGUGUUAUAAUACCGGAUUUAUACUUUUUACGACGUAAAAUACAAACCAAUAUUAAGAAAAAAAAAGCAUAAAUAAAAAAGUGGGGAAAUCACAAAUAUUGAAAAAUAUUUUUUUCUUUUAAUUCUUUUUUUUUAAUGGGCCGGACCCAGCCCAAAUGCAUGGGCUGGGCCGAACCCAGCCCAACUACGUGGGCUAGGCUUAGCCCGGUCCGUGUGAACAGUGCUCACUAUUGUUCACAUGCUACGUGAAAAGUGGAGACUGGGGUGGCGAGACGAGGCAGGAGAAGAAAAAUAAAGGGAGAAGGGCUGACCUGCGGUGGCUGCUGUUGUUGGUGGAGCUGCUGGAGGCGACAGGCAGCGGCGCUGGUGGUUCGCGGUGGUUUUCCUUCUCUUCUUCCUCUCUGUUUUUUUAUUCUCUCUCUCUCCUCUGUUUUUUCGUUCUCUUCUCUGCUUCUUCUUCUUCUUCUUUUCGGUCUUCCCCCCUCUCCUAUCCUCUCUCUUCUCUUUUUUUCUCCUAGUCUCCCCUGUAUUUAUAGGCAAAAUAAAAGGGAGAGAGAGGUCGGGGCGACUACUGUGUUGCCGCCCCUCCACCGCCCGAGGGACACAUCUCCUCCCUUUUCUUCAACACGUGGAAAGCUUUAGGCAAGUGGGGAUCCUUGGAGAAGAAUGAUUGGUUAAACUCAUAAAGAAAAAUAUUCUAAUAAAAAUACUUGAUCAUUGAAGUUUAAUCACCCCUUUCAUCUUAUUUUGUGAUCGUGGCCUAAGAGGACUUCUUUAUCACGUGCUAUAAAGAGAAAAGCUCAUUGGCCCGAGUUACCCUAGUGAUUGGAUUAAAUUUUUUAUUUGAUUACAAGGAAAUAUAUUCAAGUUAUAAAAAAUUUAUUUGCUAGAAUUAUUAAAUCUGAUUUAAUGAGUUAAUUAUAAGAUCUUUUAAUUUUUUUUUAUUAACCCAUUUUGAACUUAACCUAUUGGAGAAUUGUUUUAUUAUUAUUUUCUUAAUUCAAGAUGGUUUUUUUAAAAAACAAUAUUGAAAUGACAAUAGACUUAACUUGCUAAAUUUAAUUCAGAUCAUAUCAUGUAUUUUAUUGGAUUUAUUAAUUUUAUUUAUUUAACUAUUUUUUAUGAAAUGUUAUAAUAAUAAAAAUAGAUUUUUAUAAAAUUGAGUGAAUAUUUAUUUUAUAUUAUGAUAAUUUUAUUGAAAUCAAACUAAAAUAAAUUAUGAAGAUCAAUUUAAAAUCAAUCACAUGUUGAUGAAACUGAAAAAAAAAAGACCAAAAAAGGCAAUCAUAAGAAAAAAAAUUGAAAUAUAAAAUUAAAAAAAUAAAAAUAAAAAGGGUCGAAUUAACAUGUCAACAUUGCUUAGCCUGAAUAUAAAAUUAACUUGCGUAAAAGUUGCUUUGAUGUGACCCAGUCGACUCAUAAACGUAACCCGAACGAUUAGUAAAAAGACAUGGUUUGACUUUAAAAAAAUUUCAAGAUGACGUUUUUCUUUUUAAUAUUGAGACAAUGAUAUAUUGGAUUGACUCAGGUUUCAUUGCUUAACCCGCUAAACAUGCGAUCUGAAUCAUGAACUCCACUGAUUUUAACAACUUUUUUUUAAUAAAAAAAACUAUUUUUUAAUUAAUAAUAUGAUAACAAAAAUAAACACUCACAAAAUUAAGUAUCAACCAAAUAUUAAGAUAUUUGUUUGAGAUUACAUAACUUUAUAAAAAAACAAACCGAAACAAAUUAUAAAUACCAAUUCAAAAUUAACAUAAUAUUCAAGUGUGAAACACACGGAUAAAAAAAUGAAUAACUUUUUAAAAAAAUUAGGUGUUACAGUGGUGGCUGAUUAAUCCAACAAUUGUCAAAUCGACAACAUCUCCUGGUGAUUUAGCGUAUCCCUGAUUGUCAUAACCCAAUUUUUGAACAAAGUAAUAAAAAUUAAAUAUAGUUGACAAAGGGGUUAAGAUAACACAAAAUUUGAGUUUGGGGAUGUAAUUAUAAAAUUUGAGAGUUAAUUGAUCAAUUUUGAAAGAAUUAAAAGUUAAAGAUUUAAUUAAGGGUCAAAUUGAACAAUCCGGGAAUUAAUGACUGUUUUGUAAACAGUGUUAUAAUUUAGGGAUUUAAUUGAAAUUAAUCCAAAGGGGCAAAAUUAAAAGGAAUUUUUAAUUGCUUAGAGGUCCAAUUGCCGAAUUUCCAAAGUUCAGGGGUCAAAAUGAAAAAGUCCAUUGCUGCUUGAAACGUCGUCGUUGCUGGUGGAACAGCCGUGUUCAUCUUCUGCAUCCCGAUUCAAUAGGCUGAAAAUUUGCGACGGAUUCGAUCCAAUCGAGGACCACGUCUCUCACCCACGAUCUCGUUCGUGGAAGAUAACAGUUCUGCAAAGGCAGGACUGGUUAGAGGCAAUCAGUUGGGGAGUCUAUAAAAGGGAGAAGAAAACCUAGAACUGAGGGGGGAGAAAAAUAAACCCAGAAACCAGAGGAGGAACAGAGAAAAAAAAAGCAGAGCAUAAACUAAAAAAAAAACAUACACGGAGAGAAGGAGAGAGGAAGAGAGUAGCAGAGACAGAGAGGAGAAUUAUCCCUGCAAUUAUCUUAGUCCCUGCAGAAAAAAAAAGGGCAACCCGGAAUCAGUAAAAAAAUUCAGAGAAAACAGACAUACCCAUUACUUUCUCAGCUUCUUCAUCUCAAGAAUUGAGAAAUCAAAAGAAGGGAAGACAGUGGGCACAACGGGUAGAGAGAGGAAAGCCGUCGAACGAGAGUGUCAGCCACCAGCAUUGCAGCCUUCUUCUUCAUCUCCAGAAGCAGGUGAGCUCAAUUCUCAUUUCAUUGUCUGUGUUCAAAUAAGCAUUUGAACAGUGCGAAGGUAAUUUAAUUACCUUCGCACUGUUGAUACACGCGUGAAAUUGCUUCACGCGUGCAUCAGUCAUCUGCCCAGCCGGUCACUGGCUUGGGCCAGUGACCAGGCCGGGUUGGCUGGGCUUAGCCCAGCCCAUAUGGGUUGAGCUGGUCCCAGCCCCAAAAAAAAAUAUAGGAAAAUAAAAAAUAGAAAAAUAAAAAGUAAAAAAAUAAAAUGUGUGUGCAUGAAUAAAAAUAUUAUAAAUUUAUUAGUUUAUUCACUAACGCCAGAGUCAGGAAUAAAAAUACCGGUUUAAAUUUAUAUUUUUCAUUGUAUUUUAUUUUUAUUUAGCAUAAAAAUAAAAAAUUAUGCAUGCGUAAAAAUAAAUUUAUUUUAUUUAUUUAUUCACUGACGCUAGAGUCAGGAAUAAAAAAUACUGAUUUAAAUUUAUGUUGUUUUUAUAGCUACGUAAUAUUUACCAACCCCAGAGUUGGAAGUAUCCGUAGUUGAAUAUUCACUGGCGCCAGAGUCAGGAAUAUUACACGCAAACCAUUAUAGCAUAAACCAACAAAAUGUUAGCAAUUUAUGACAAAACUAGCAAUGCAGCCUGCCUUAGGCAGGACGUUUAAGGGGUGAUAAUAUCUUCCCUUUUGUGUAACCAGUUACGUACCAUAGAAUCUCUACUGACCAGUCAGGGUUCCUAGUGACUAUAAUACUAGGUGGCGACUCCUUAAACAAGACCAUUCCCCAUUAAAAAACAAGAUGCCAGAAAUUCAUUUUUUCUAUGAAAUUUUAUUUUUAAGGCCGCUGCGAUGUUGGGUGCGACACUGAUCAUCGUGAAUUAUGGAGACUGCAUCACAUUAAUCCGAUGCGAUGUACCUGAUUAAGUUUUCCAUGAACAAAACAGCAAUGAUCAUUUUUCUUAAAAUAGAGAAAAAGAAUCCAUAUUUUCAACAUUUAUCUCCACUGUCCUCUGGCCUUUUUUGACAAGAGAUUGUAAUAUGCACAUUUAACACAAUUAUAAGCACACCAUUAUUAUCCCACUAGCUUUCCCUUCUUGUACGCAGCAGCUUUGGAAUCAAACGGUGCUGGCAUGUAAAUGAAACGGCAGAGAAUUUCAUUUUAACAUAAAUAUCUUAAAUAUAGAUUUGAUUAAUUUUAAGAAAGGACAAAAGUAGAAACAACUCCUUUUUGGAAAAAGCUGAGUGUGGUUGCGGUUUUUUUAAAAAAUAUUUUUCGUGUUAAAAUAUAUUAAAAUAAUAUUUUUUUUAUUUUUUAAAAAUUAUUUUUUAAGAUUAGUGCAUCAAAACGAUUCAAAACAUACAAAAAAUAUUAAUUUUUCAGAAAACAAAAUUAAAUUUGUUAGAAACACGGGUUGGUUCGCUUUUCCAAACACAGCCUCAACACUCGUAAAGUAUUAUUUAAAUGUAUUUAUUAAGCUUUAUUUAUUAUUGAAUUAUGUUUAAAAAAUAAAAGAGAUCAAAUAUUCAUACAAACGAUAGUGAUAUUAACAAAUACAUUAAGAAAUUAUUAUUUUAUAUAGUAAUGGUUUUAAGUGUUUAAAAUAAAGAAAACAUGUGAAUUGAUUAAAAAUAGUAAAUGAUUUAUAACUAGUAGCUACACUUUUUGUUUUUAUAUUUUAAAAGUAUCUUUGAAAAAAUUUGAAUUUGUUUUAUUUUUUUUUCAAAUUAAUAUUUUUUGGUGUUUUCAGAUCAUUUUGAUGUGCUGAUGUCAAAAAUAAUUUUUUAAAAAUAAAAAAAAUAUAUUAUUUUAAUACAUUUUCGAGUGAAAAACACUUUAAAAAACAACCGCAACCACAUUACCAAAUACGCUAAGAAAGCCAAACUUAUUUUAUAGUGAUAAAUGGAAAAGGAUGCUAUUAAAUUAAAUUUAUUAUAGAUCAAAUUAUAUAUGGGUAAUGUACUAUUAAAUUGAUAUAUUUUAAAUAAAUUUUAUUUUUUCUUAAUUCAUUUUUUUAUAUAAUUAAACCAUAAUAAUAACAUUAAUGGUAAAAGAAAAAAACAAUUAUGACAGAUGGGGUAAUAUCGACUUUACAAAGGGUGCAGCCGCCUUCACGUGGCAUCCAGAAGGUGAGCACGAGUCUGAUUCAGUGAGGAACGCAUAAAGAUUUUCUCAUCACGUGGCAGGUUGUGCUGUGCAUCUGUCACGGUUUCUUUCAUCCCUGCAACUUCAAACACAUUAACAUUAACUAACAAACAAACAAAGGCAGAUCAGAUUUCUCUUUAAUAUUAAAAUAAUAUAUUUUUUUUAAUUUUUAAAUAUUAUUUUUAAUAGAAAAUUCUAUUUUUUUAUUCCAAUUAUUCGAAGAGUAUUACCUUGUUUUUAUUAACAUCUUUGGAUUUUUGAAAGACAUAUCAUUUCAAUUCCAAUUCCAUUUAUAUAUUAAUUGUUAAUAAUUAUUAUUUCUAUACUAGUGGUUUGUUAAGAUGAGACAUGUCUGGAAAUGUGUAAAAAGGCGUGAUUAGUAAUUUAGUUAGAUCACAGUUUUAAUAGUAAUAAUUUAUUAAAACAAAAUUUGUUGUCCGUGAUAGGUGUUCUGCCGGUUUUGUGGAGUAUUUCAACAUGUAAUAAAUGUUAUUUUUUAAAAUAUUUUUUAAAAAAUAUAUAUUAAAAUAAUAUUUUUUUUUAUUUAUUUUUUAUAUUAAAACAAUUCAAAAACAAUAAAAAAAAUUAAAUAAAAAAAAUAUUCAAAUUUUAACAACAAACAAGUUUAACCUUGAUUCCAAACCAAGAUUCAAGCCAACAAUUUCAAUCCAGUAAAUUAUAAAAAGAAAAAAAAUACGUACCACAAAGCAAAGCACGAUGAAAUAACUACGACUCUAUUAUUAUAAGAUCUGACUCAAAAUCCGAGGUAUUUUAAAUUUUAAAAUAAAAAUAUUUUAAUUAAAAAAUCAAGUUUUUUCUUACUAACUUAGUCAAGGCUAAACUUUAAAUCAGUGAAUCAUUAAAUUAAUACAUUAAGUUAAUGAAGUUAUAUAACAUAAACAAAUUUGCUUUGAAUUAUAAGAUAAGGUUUAGUUUGAAGCAUUAAUUUGGUGGUUGUGAUGCACUUUGAGAAGAAAGGGAAGCGGGCAUUUCUCAGUUUCUUACGAGCAGCAGCCUUUCUUUUGCAUUCCAAGGGGCAGGAGGUCAAAACCACACGUAAUAUAAUUUAAAUUGCAUGUAGUUCGGCGUUAAUAAUAAAGUAAACAAACUAAAGCGGAAGGGUGUGAUUCAACACUGAAAAACACUCAUAUAUACUAUGGACUUUGAGCAGUAUUAUUUUUAAUUUUCUUAAUUUUAACCUUUAACCUUAUUAUUAUUAUUAUUGUGUGCUUUGAUGGCAAGUUUAGCACCCAAUUGCUUCAAAUUUAUGGGCUAGGUGCAAAAUUAAAAAAAAACAAAUAAAAAAAUAGCAUCGAAAAUAGAUGGGCUAAUUUUGAAUAGACAAACAACAUGUCAUCUGCUCCAGCAAGCUAUAUGUUGCUUGAUUUAUUUAUUUUAAAUAAAAAAGGUGAAUGACUUAAAAAAAAUAAGGACUAGAUGUGCGGGCCUAGGCUACCAAGCCCAAAAGCAUGGGCUCUGUUUUAAUAGGUUUGUGCACUUCUGAAACCUUUUUUUUUUCAUUUCUUUUUAGUCUUUAUUAAAGGGUAACAUAAAUCUAUUAAAAAAAAUAUUAGAUUGGUUGAGUCAUUGGCGCAGAUCGUUGAUUCGACGGGUUAUGACUUAACAUCUAGGGAUUGUUUUAUGAAUUUUUCCCUUAAAGUUUUUUUAAAAAAUAUAAUUUGACCCUUUAUUAUCAUUGAUUUUUUUUAUUUAACAUAAAAUAGAACAAAAAUGCAAUUUUAUUAUUUUUUUCACUUACCUUAAAAAAAUUAUGCCUAAUUGGGAUCAUUUUUUGACCUAGGUUCUAUAUUUUAUUUGUUAAUUAAAAUUAACUGAGAUCAAUACAAUAUGAUAUAUUUUAAAAGUUUUAGUUGAAAUUCUUUUAUAACUCUCUGAUUUACUUCUAAAUUUAAUCCGAUUUGUGGUCAAUUAAGACCCAAUAAAGGUCCAGUUAUUAAGAGAAUAAGUGAAGGAAAAAUAAAAAAAAUUAUCUAGAUAAAUUAACUCAUUAUGGUUGUGUCUAUUAUUCAGGUUGUAAAUUUUACGACUUAAUCCUAGUCGAUAAAGUUUGUUAUUGUAUUUUCAUUUCACUCCCUCAUGUUUUUUUUUAUUUAAUCCUUUGUCAGUUUUUUGUUUCUGCAUUUAAGUUAGGAUAAAUAGAAUUAUGCGAAGUGAAAAUGAUAGUAUUUAAAUAUUAUAUAGACUUCUACUGCACGUGGAUGUAAAAUUAUUUUUUCAAUUCAAUAAUGAAUCAAAUUAGCUUUGAACUAAUUAUUAGUAAUUAAAUAGUAGAUUGUUUCUAGUCUAUAAUAUUAUAUAUUAGUGUGCAUGUUUUUAUUUUUCUAUUUGAAUGCCUCUACUUUUUUAUAUUUAAAUGUAGGAAUCUUUAAUAUUUUUUAAUUAAGCAUUAAUUUAAUAAUUAUAUUAACAUAUAUUUAAAUAAAGAAAUAUUUAAGAAUUCAUGCACUGAAUAAAAAAUAACAUUAAGGAUAUUUGAACAGGAAAAAAAAGUAAAUGUAUGAUAAACUAUUCAAUUUAUACAAGCUACAUUAGCUCCAAAACUAUGGUCGUUCUUAGCAUCUUAACAUGAAAUGUUAGGGGUAUUUUAGACAUUUCUUAACCGUUUAACUUUUGUUCUUAACAUCCUCUUACCAUUGAUUCUAUUAUUGUCUCCAUCUUUUUUAACAAAAUAUCUCUCAUUUACCCCUAGUGUUAAGAACAAAAGUUUCUUCCUUUUGAAAUGAAUUUAAAAUAAAAUUAGUUUGGUUAUUAUAAAAAAAAUAUAUGUUUUGAUGAUAUCUUAUAAAUAUAUAAUAUCAUAUGAUAUUUUCAUAACGAUUGAAAUGAAUUUAAAAUAAAAUUUGAUAGAAUUUUAAUUUUUUGAUUAAUGCAUCAUGCAAGAGGAGCGACAUCAAGAAAAAUGUUCUGUUAGUGGGAAAACAUAGAAAAAGUCUCAGAUUGAACAAUUUGAACAAUUUGUUAAAAUACAAAAAGAGGGGGGAAAAAGAUAAAAGAAAAGAAAAGAAAAGAAAAGAUGAGAUUGUGAUUAUAGGAAGCCAAAACAAGCACCUGCCGGCUACCAUAUAAGAAGAGAUAUUUAAUAUUUAUAGUUUAUCAAAACUAUUUAAUUAAUAUUUAUAGUAUAAAAAAUAACUAAAUAACUCAUUUAAUAAUGUUGAUCAUCUUUAAUUUAGCAAUUUUUUUAAUUAAAAAAUUGCCUUGUUUUCUUACAAAAACUUCCCCCCUUACUUUAUUUUUAAUUUUUUUUCUUAAAAAACAAAAACAAAAUGAAACGAACAUAUGAAAGAACUAAAUUAUAAAUGAAUUAAGAAUCCAAGGAUUAUUAUAAAUAAUUUCUGAAGUUACAAGGACUAAUUUGUAUACUAAUUAACUACAUAGCAUAUAAUAAAAAAAGAGGUGGGAAAAAGAUGGGCCCAAACAAGCAUCCCUCCAACAUCAUCGUAUUUGAAUUUGAGAUGAAACACGGAUCAUGUCACUCCAUCUUCUAGUUCAAAACCCUAACUCACCACCCCUCUCUCUCUCUCAAACCCAAGUAAAAGUAUUCAACACAGAUACCCUUUUGAAAGAAACCAAGAUUGGGCCAAAGGGUUAGUGAAUCUUGUGUGCCUGUUUCUUUAAUUUUGCCUUUUGGUUCAAGCCUUCAUUUUUAUGGGGUUUCAAGAAUUUUUCCUUUUUGAAGUUUUGUUUUUUGGAUUUGGUGCUAGAGUUGUUAAUCAAAUUGGGUUAUAAUCUUUUUUAUAAAAGUUCGGCUAAUAGGUUUGUUGCUAAAGUUCAAUUUUUUUUUCCUUUUCCUUUGGGUUCUUGAAUUUGCUACUCAAAUUCUUAAAUUUUAAAUUAGGUUCAAGGUAAUGGAAGAUCGAGGUGACGCGGGGAGACCUAGAUCUGAUUCCAAGGUUGGUUUCUCGCUUUCUUGGGUGCUUUUGAGAAGUUUUAUGUUUGUGUUUUUGGUUUUCCUGAUUUCGGGUUGUUUUUAGUUGGCUGGUGAGAAGCGAACAGGUGGUGAAUUGAGAGAGAAAUCAGAAGUUGCUCGAAAAAAGAUGAAUAUGCGUGAUCUUGAAUCUCUGCUGGGGUCUGAAGGUAAUAUUUUUAAAUAUGUUAAUUGUUUGCUGUUGCUGUUAGGUUUUUUUUUUUUGGACACUGAAUUUGGGUGUAUCUGGUAUGUUAGAAUGCAGUUAAGUGGAAGUGCAACAGACAAUCUAUUACUCCUAGUAAUAUGUCUGGUUUUUCAUUUUCAAAAUUGGAGCUUUUCUGCGUUCCUUCUUUUGAAGAUUGCACUUAUCUUCUUCUGUAGUUUUUUUGUUUGCACUUUUCAAAUUGGAGCAGAACUUCUUAAUGAAAUAGUAAAAUGCUUGUUGGCUCAAUAAUGUGAGGACAAGACCAACAAGAAACAUUUAAUUAAAAAUAAAUUACGAUGCCUAUUGAACUUCCGACUCAAACAUAUGUUAAAGCCCUUUCUUAUGUACUUUAUAAUGCCACAUAAGCAAGCUCCAGUCGCUUGAAAAACAAAGAAGAUAGUGACCACUUAAUUUUUAUUUCCAUAGCCCUGAUCUAGUGAACAUGCUGCAGGGGCUAUUCUCUUAUGUUGUUCGUAUGCUAAUUUUAUUGUGGUAUUAUGCAACCAAACUAGGUUCUGGUUGCAUGUUAUCUGGUCUUUGUUGAUAACUUUGCACUUUUGUAGUUUGAUAUUUCAUUGGAAAUGCAAUAUGUUGCGACUUUUUUGCUGUUUUUAAAGGCCCAGGCCAUUAAUUGCACACCUUUUGUUUUCUGCAGCUGCUUUCCACUGAUGUUUCUGCAAACAAAAACACAUAUCCAGCUCUUGUGAUCUUGCUCAAGGUAACCAAAGCUUCUCUAACUAUUUUGGAAUGGUUUCUUAAUUGAAAUCAAUAGACCAUGAUUUGCAUAAAUUGCUAUAGUCCUGCCUGUUUGUGUUCUGAUACUCAGCAUUCCUACUAUGAACAUGUUUCUUAUACCGAGUCCAAUUUUUCCAUGGCAUUUUCUUAUAUUGCUGCUUCAGAGGAGGCAAUGGAGAAUUCAUUGGUUUCUGGGUUUGCAGAAGCUUGUGGGCAGGAUUUUGGAAUCAGUAAUGUUGCUUUUUCAGAGUCAUGUUCUGUAGAGGGUGAAAACUUUCAAAAGCUUGCAAACCUGCACGCCAUCAAUGUAAAUGAAAUUGAAAUGUUUGAUGACUAGUUAUGGAAUUUUGGUGGUGUAUGAUAGACCUCUUACUUUCUUGACCAUUAAAAAUGUGCAAGACUAUUUGGCUUCAAGGAUCGAGAAGAGGCCUAGUGGCCAUACUGACCUGGUUGUAUUAUGUUAAUAGCAUAUUAGUGAUAUUUUAAUGCUUUUCUAAAACCAGAUGAAAAUGGCAAACAAAAUCAAAGGGAUCCAGAUAAGCACUUGAACAAAUAAAAAACAAAGACAAACAGUAAAAGAAUUAUAUAUAUAAAUAUAGAAACAAUUGCACUUUUACAUCUCCAUUGAACCCAUUACAGUUUUUCAUCUCUGUUGAAAUGCGUUGCUGCAAGUAGUGCAGGGGUGUUGUCGGGGAAAAUAGUGUUGGAGUACGUUGUGGGUGGAGGUUGCAUUGUUGGUGGCAUGACUGGUAGUGGCUAUAGAUCUUGCUUAAAGAGAUAGCAGAUUUGUUGUUUUUGGUUAUAGAUUGAAAGCACGAGAAAAGAACCGGAUUUUGUUAGAAAAAAAGGCUCUUUUGUGUCUAGUACUAAAACCAUCGAGUUAUUCAAUGACCUGCAUUUCUUUUUUAAAAAGAAAAGAAAAGGAUGUUUUUAGAGUAGUUUUCACUUGUUUGUUGGUUAAAAAGAGGUUUUGGUAUGGGCAAUGAAAUAGAUUUUGUUGGAUCAGUCUGAAUAGUAAAGAGGUUGGAGAUUGGGAUUUCUAUCCCAUGCGAGGAAGAAGAAAUUGGACUUUGGGGACUUCCCAUGAUUUUUCAAUUUUAGAUUUUCAGAUCUGCAGUUGUGCAAAUCACUAGGAGAUUAAGCUCUUCCCAUGUGUCAAGUUGAAUAAAGAAAUGCAGCCUCAACCAGAUAAAUCAAUUUGCACCACCGCUGAUGGCUUAGAAUGUGCUAAUCCGCGAGCAGCAAGUAUUUCCAAACUGCAUAAAAUUCUUACUUAAAUACUAAACUUAGAAGAAAAAAAAAGAUUAAAUUUAAAGAAGAAUACGAGCCACUGGAUCAUAAUCUUAAUGGGGAACCCAAAUAGUGGGCCCACUAAUCCACUGGCUCGUGUAUUCUUGAAUUUUUUUAUUCAUAUUCAGCAUUACUCUAACAGAGAAUAAAUAAGAAUAGUAUAGAUUUUUGAUUUUUUCUUUUUAAAAUCUUUUUUCUAUUUUAAAAACUGUUGUGUGUGUGUGUGUGUGUGUGUGUGUGUUGUGUAUAUAUAUAUAUAUAUAUUUUGUUUCUUCUUUUCAGAAUAUACUAACACUCAAACAAACUGACUUUAAUAAUUUGGCUUUGACUGGCCAUUUUAUUUAUGUAGGGGCUUAUUGAAAUUGAUGAAUUUAAGGUUUGAUGGAAAAUGAUGCAUGUCAUAGGGGCAUAAUUGACGCUAGAUUUUAUCGAUUGAAAUUGAUGAAUUUAAAGUUUGAUUGACCAGGUUAUUUAUAUAGGGGCUUAAUUCAUGAAUUUUGGAUAACGCAAGGACAUACUUGUGAAUUCAGCCAACUUUAAAACAUCCUACUUUGCAUGGAAUUUAUUGCAAUGGGUUACCAUGAAAUGUUGUGACUGUCUGAUUAUGUACUUAUCUUUAUUACAAUCCUAAAUCAUACAAUGAACUGAGUGUCGAUUAUUAGAUCCUCUUUCUUAUAUGUAUUUAGAUGUGAUUAUUAGGUCCUCCUCUCACUAAGUUUUGAACAAAAUAGUUUUAAUAUGAUCAAGUGAAGUUCAGAUAGUACAAUUUGUGUGUAUGCUCAUUUGCCAUGUUACAGAUUUCAUAGGCUGAAUUUUUUACUAUGAUUUGUCACUGGCUUCAAUGUUCAGGAUGACGAGACAACCUUGUUGGAGGAGGAAGAGCUGGCAAAAGCAGAUUCAAAGAAUCCCAUAGAAGAGGUAAAGAACUAGUAGGAUGUAUCAUAUUUCUUUGUGUUCCAUAACCUUGCGUUUUGGUGAAGAAAUCCAUGGUUUUUCAACAAAAUUUUAUUAUAACUCCUGAUUGUCUUUGCUAGUUUAAUUGUUUUAUUUUUAAUCACUCUACCUGAGAUAGCUGCUAAUUCACAAAUCUCAUUGCUGCAAAAGGAGAGUGAAAUCCCUUUGGAAAUAAUUUCUUUCGUUUGAUCAUCUUUUGUAUUUGACAAUGUGCUACGCCUUAUGCACACUAGGCUUGACAGUAAGCCAAGCCCCUGGCAUGCCAAUGGAAAUGCACAUCCUCCCUUGGCACGCCCAAGGGAAUGAGGUAAUGUGGGUCGGGAAAAAAUAUCAGACUAAAAGCACUUGGACUUGGUAGUCAGCCAAGUCCAAGGUAAUGUGGGUCUGACAAACAUGUCAAGCCCAAGGCAUUUGGACAUGGCAUUCUGCCAAGUCCAAGGUAAUGUAGGUCUGCAAAACAUGUCAGACCCAAGACACUUAGACUUAGCGGGUGACCAAAUCCAAGACAACGUGGGACUAGCAAACAUGCCAAACCCAAGACACUUGGACUUGACAUUUUGCCAAGUCCAAGUUAAUGACCAUUAUCCUUUAGGCACACCCAAAAGAAAUAACCAUCCUCUCUUGACACACCCAAUGAAAUGAGCAUCCUCCAUUGAUACGCCUAAGGAAAUGACCAACCUCUAUUGGGUCUAACCUUGGGAAAGAACUCAGUCUCCAUGGGUUUAGCUACAUUUGACAUCUUAGUUUCUAAUCUUCCUACACCUUUUAGGUGUAUAAAAGUCCUUCAAGGACCCACCAUAUUCCCAUAGAGCAUUAGUACAGAUGUAGCAUUAGUACAGAUGUAAGGGAUAUUUAUCCCUCAUUAAAUGUUUUUAGGGUAAGAUUACAUAUUUUAGGUGUUUAAAAGUCUAAGGACCCACCAUAUUCCUAUCAAACAUUAAUGCAGAUGUAAGGGAUAUUUAUCCCUCAUUAAAUGCUAUCAGAGUAAUUACAUUGCAGGCUCUCCUCUUCAUAAAAUAACAAGACUCAUGGGUUAUAAAUACAUCAUGAGACCUUCAGAACAAAGGUUCACAAUCUUCAUUCUUUACUGCAUAUAUAUUUUCAGAGCACCUAUCUCUAGAAUAUAAUUGUAUUUUCUCUUUCUAAAAGAUAUUUAUUGAAGAAUCGGAGAGUCCCCACCUCCACUAAAAAGGAUAUUUUGUAGGUAUUAGCCACAAGCCACCUUGACCUACCAAGCACCAAGUAUAAGAUAUCAUACUCAAGUACUGUCAUACCUUCCUGCUGCAUCACUCUCAUGUUUAUGAUUAUAGUUUGUGCUUAACUCACCAAACCCAUGACCCGAGUCAUGAACUCUACCGGGUUUAAUAAAUUUUUUAAAAAAUAUUUUUUAUUUAAUUAUAUGAUAACAAAAAUAGAUGUUUGUAAAAUUAAGCAUUGUUCAAUGCCAAGACUUUUGUUUGGGACCGCAAUAACCUUGUAGAAAACAAAACAAAACAAAUUAUGAAAUUCAAUUCUCAAUUAACUCAAGUCAACCCAUCAAACUAUAUUACUCGGAGUAACCAUACCAAUGUUAGUAAUCUUUAAUAACAUCAUUAGUUACUUAAUUACUCGGGAUUGACUAAUCAAUUUAAGAAAUGUCGGCACCAAUGGAACCCCAUCAAUACCAUUAGCUAUCCAAACCCGGAUAGCUAAUCAAUGUCAUCUGAAAUGCUGGUAUAAAUGGAACCUCAUUGAUACCAUUAGCUAUCCAAACCCGAAUAACUAAUCAAUGUCUUCUCAACCUCUCAUUCGUACUGAUCCCUUUCAUUUUUCUUAUUAACACAACCUUAAUUACCGACACUACGGUCACUAAGCAUCAUUCACAUAACCUUGGUCACCCUUAUCAUAGUGCUAAGUAUCAUUGUGAUGUAUCCUUAGCCACCGACACUACGGUAAUCAAUUAUCUAUCAUUUCUCCUUCAAUAUCCAAGUCAUUGUGUAUACCCCAUCCAUACCGAGGUAUGUAAAAUCCCGAGAUAAAAAAAUGAUGAUGUAAUGAAAUGAAAUAAAGAAAUUAAAUAAGAAGAAUAUAAAAGACAUAAGAAGUGUGACUUUAAUUGUAAAGAAGAGAAAAGGGGCUGAUACAUAAUUAGGAAGAAUGGGGCUAUAAAUACCCCAUUUCUUCCUCUUGUAUGGCUGGCUACACCUAGUGGAAAAGAGGGGAGAGAUUGUAGAAUUUUCUUCAUCAAAAGAGAGGAAGAAACACCAAAUUUUCUAGGACUAUGCAAACCUAAGACCCUUAAGCAAAGAAGACGCCCAUUAACAAGGAUUUUAACAAGGAAAACAAGUGAAGAAAUUGGAGAAAAGGGGGGAAGAGGGUUGGCUGUAUGCAAGAGAGAAGAGAACAAAAAUAUUCAACUAAAUUGAGCUGAAAUUCUGAAAUUUCUUAAGGUAUGGACACUAGACCUAAUUGUGAAAAACAAUUUGAAAAUUGAUUAGGAAUUAUGCACCGAUUUCAAAUUUCAUAAAUUAGGGUUCUUGAAUGAAAAUUAAGGGAAGUGCAGAAAUUAUUAGAAUGAAGUAAGUUGAGCUAUCAUAAGUUGUUUUGAACAUGAAAAACAUGCAAAAUUGUUAAGGAAAAAUCAAUAACUUAAGGGCUUGAAUGGUCGACCAUGUGAGGGUUAAAUGGGGAAAAUUGAAUUCUAAAAUUGUGUUGAUAAACUCUUAUAGCAUGUGUAUUGUCAUAACUCAUUUUUGGGUCACUUCCAAAUUCAUUUUCCUUUUCUUCAAAAAAAAAAAACAAACAAACUGCACAGUGCUGCUUUAAACAACACUGUGCAGCUUCUUCUCCCUUGCAAAUGCAGAGACAGGGGAGAAAAGGAUUUUUGAAAUGUUUUUCCCGCUCUCUCUUUACAUCCCACUUGCAUAAAACUGACAACAGCCCAUGCUCCCACAUACCCUGCCAACGUGAUAAAUAAAAGAGAGGGACACCAUGCCCUGCAAACGGCCGACCACCUUACCCUGCAGAGGUAAGGUAACCCGCUUCCCCCCUGCACCAUGAUGGGACAGAGCAGGGGGGCCUCCCUCUUUUCCUGCUUAUAAAUAGAAGGGAAGGAGAACGAACUGAGAGGGCCGGGUGAUUUUUUGGGCAGAGAGAAAGACAAGAAGAGGGAGGAGAAAUUUUUUGGAGAGAAGAGGGAAGCAAGCUGCAGAAACGGGGAAGAAAAGGAAAAAAGGAAACAGAGAGGGGAGCUAAAUAAACAGACACGGGGCAACAGAGAUAAAAAACCCAGACAAAACAGAGCAGAAAGAGGAAAAGCAGAAGAGAGGAGAGGAAGACCACCACAACAAACACCGUCGCUCCGCCAUCGUCAUCACCGCCGGCUGCCAUCUUCCUCCCCCUGCUGUAACACUGUGAAGAAGAAGGAAAACAACAGCACUGGUCGCCACAACCACGGUGCCGUGACUCCGCCAUUGCUAUUCCUCCCCAUCGCCACCACCUUGAGCCACAAAAAAAAACAGAGAAAGGGAAGCCCUCAAAGAAGCGGGGAAGAACAGGAAGUGACAGAGGAAGAAAAAAAAUACCAGAGAAGAAGAACAACCACAGCUGCCACCGUGCUUCCUCUCCACCGCCACAGCACACCACCUGACCGCCGCUGACGACCCCGAAGAGACAGAGGAGAAAAAGAGAAGACAAUGAAAAAAAACAGAGGAGAGGGGGUUGAGAAGAGAAACAAAGGAGACAGGAGAGAAGGAAGGAAAACGCCGCCAGCAGUCGCCACCACCCUUGCGGCCUCCGCUGCCGCCAGCGUCGCCACUGCUCCAGGUAACUUUCUCCCCUCCCCUGUCAUUUUUUAGUUGCUCAUCUUCAUUUGCAUGCAGAACGUGAGCAAUUCACGUUCUGCAGCAAAUGAAGAUUAAUUAGCUAGUUACUGUGCUGUGCACAGUAACUAGCUAAUUAUAUUUGGUUGGUUACUGUGCGCAGCACAGUACAGUAACCAGCCCUUUCAUUGGUUAUGGGCUGGAACAUUAGCCCAGCCCACUCGGCUGGGCUGAGUCCAGCCCACAGUAUAUGGGCCAGGUCAGGCCCAGCCCAGGAUGGGUGGGCCAUGUCCGACCCAGUUUUUUUUUUUGUUAAAAGAAAAAUUAAAAAAUAUUUUUGGAAUUUUACAAUUUUCCCGCGUAUUUUUAUGUUAUUUUGAUUAAUAUCAAGCAGUAUUUUUUAUGUUGCUAAAAAUGCAAAAUCCGAUAUUAAAAUAUCCGGUUUUCGUCAAAACUUCAAAAAUACAAAAAAAAUAAAAUUGUUUUAUGCAUAUGGCCAAGUGUCUCAAAACUAAAAAAUCAUAUUGUGUUUUUCAUAUACCAAAAAGCAAUGUUUUAGCAUGCAAUUUUGACUUUAAUAACCAGUUUAUUAAAGUCAAGAGAACAUUGGCCAAAAUUUCAAAAACAACAAAAAUUUUAUUUUGUUUGUCUUUUAGUAUCCGGGGUAUGAUAUUACAUGUAAUACGUAUUUCGGAUAUUAAAUUUUUUUUUCCAACGUUAGAACGGUUAGGUUCUACCCUAUUAAGAUAAGAACCUCCUUAUUGAGGAGGGCUUUUCUUGAAUCUUAGAUAGAUAGGACCAACAAUUAGAAAAUACGACCAAACCUUAGAUUUGGAUUAGACAAAUAAAAGAAUGCAGCUUACCUUAGGUAGGAUAUAUUUGGGGUAGGACAUAUUUGGGGUACUAAUACCUUCCCUUUACGCAACCAGUCUCCGUACCCGAUCUCUGAGACCAGUUAGGGUUCCUAGUGACCAUAAUACUAGGUGACGACUCCCAUUCCAUUUUUUUCCACUGAUAAGAGACAAGAAUUCCUUGUCUCCCUAUAUUCACCGGAAUAGAUAUCAUACCACACUUGAUGAUGAGGGUGGUGGGCGAUCGCCGCGACGCUGCACACGUGCGACAUGUAUGAUGUAAAUAAUGGGUAAAUGCGGCAAGCAAAUUUUACUAGAAAGAAAAGGGGAACCCUUAGUUCCCUUAGGCCAAGUUCGGUCAAAAGCCAAUUGAGAGGAGGGAAGAGGAAUUCUGGUAUAUUGUGUGCUCUUGAUGCAUGAAUUAAUUGUAGAGGAAAGCUCACUAAUAGGGAAAAAGCAUGAAAACUUAAUAAUAUGGGACUUCACAAGUUUAAUGUGUGUUAAGUAAAGCGGAAACAAAAUUAUUUAACUAUGGGUAUAGCUUAUGAUUUUGGCAUAGAAGGAAUCAUAAAAUGUAGGGAAAACAUAGAAUAUAAUUGUUGUAGAAGAAAAAGGGAAGUGAGGAUAACAGAAAACUUAUUUAGAAAUCGUCAAUGAAAUUUGGGCAGAUUCAUCGCCCCUCUUCUAGAGAAGAUUCGGGCCUCAGAACGAUAAAAUUUGGGGAAAAUAUCUUAUAUAAAUUGUAGCUAGGGAUGUUAGCUUUCCAACAAAUCCAACCUCGCUUGAUUUGGAAUUCUAGAACACCAGAUAUAGAUAAAUGUAUAACGAGAGGUCGAGUUGCUACCUCUAUUGGCAGAUUCAGAAUUGAUAAUCAUUUCCUCUGUCUAUUAGAAGCAUCUCGUACAAGGUUUUCUUUGAAACACUCCAACCUUCUUCUACAUGGUUUUCUUUCUUUUUGAUCAAUGUUUCCCUUUCCUGUAGGAAAUUCUGCUUCUUCUAUCUUUGCUAUUACAUUGUUAACAUCAAACCAAUAAAGUUAUUUGACCAUACCAUACCUAAAUAAAUUGAGUAAGAGUGACUUCAAGUAAGAACUGCUCACCAAAAGCUAAGGGAACAUAAUUAACAUAUCAUGUGCUUUAUAAUGGAAGACAGAAAAACAAACUUCAACAAAUUAAAAGAUAAGCCAUUUCGGCUUAUAUCCAUCAUUAAUUGGUCAAAAAAAGCUAACCUUUUAUUUUAGCCCUGACCCACAACACUUCAAUUUUCAACUAGUUUGCACCUUCCACACUUCCGAUUGAUAUAAAAAUCCAAUUCUUUCAUUACUAGGUAAAGCAUUAUAACUAGGCAUCAAAUCAUGCAAAGCUGCACAAAAAAGAAAGAAUACAUUGUAAUAAUUUCCAUUUCCUUUAUAAGAUAAAGAAAAAUGUGGUGGGGGGGUCGAUGCCCCCAACUUGAUACAGUUUACACAUAAUGAUUCGUGUAAUAAUAAAUAUGCAAGCUUUGGUUAGCUGUGUAUCCCAAAUAAAAAGCUAAACUCCAAGUAAAACAAUAUAUUCAUAUAGUUCAAGACAAUACUCCAAUCAUUUAUUAGAUAAGAGAGCAUAAAAGUUUGAGAGCCACAUGUGACUGCAAAGAAAACCUAUUGGGAAGAAGCAAUAAUAUACUUCCCAACAUAAGAAUACUAACAGAAAUUUAAGGAAGCAAUCCUCUUCUUGAAAACCUUUGAUAUUUUAUAUGAUGAAAGAAGAAUCAAAUGAAAAAUAUCAUGUACUGAUAUAACUAAUUACAACAAAAUGUUUCGUCCACUGUCAUACAUAUGUAAAAGGGUGAUCAACAUAUUAACUUAAAAAGUUUACAAAGAGCAAAGAAAUAAUCAAAUAUUUAGCAUUCCAGUUUGGCAUAGCCCUCACUCUCUUCACGAAGAAGGUUAAAUUUUGUUUGCUGAUAAAGAAGACGAGUAUUUACCCUGACAUGAAAGCAAUAGAAAAAAUAUCAAUUGCAAGCAUGAUGAAGUAUCUAACGAAAAUGUAAUUUAAAUUACAGCAAGUAAAUAUCACGGUCAAAGAAAAAAUAAAGUUGCUGGUUGAUCUAGCUAUAUCAGUUGAACAAGCAGAAUCACAAUGUUUUCCUCGAAUUUCAUUUGAUCAAGUGCAAGAUCAAGUAAUCAUCUAAACAUUGACAUAAUUUCUUGUUCUAUCAUAGGUGCAAUACUACAACAAAAUCCAGAGGAUGUGCAUGAAAACUAAAAUUAUUGAAAAUACAAGGAUAGAUAUACCCAAAUUUAAUUAUAGUAAUAGCUCCAAAUUCAAAACUAUAGUUUGUGCUUGUUAACAUUUUAAUCUAUUUUACCUCUUUGCCCUUCAAGUCUUAAGCCUUUAUCUUUAUCAUUUUAGCUUCCCAUAAAAAUUCCUCCUGCAAAUAGAAAACCAAGUAAAAACUCACUUUAGUUUUGUCAAUUUUUUUUUGUGAAAAAAAUGAACAAAGUUAACCCGAAAUAUCUCGGUUGAAAUUUAUACAAGAAACCUGAAAUGACUCAAGAUCCUGAGCAAGAUGAAAUUCAUUUCAUUUAGUUUUUUUUUUGAAAUAGUAUGAAAUAUACCAUCCAUUCCGAGUGAAACAAAACUAAAUUUACAAUCUUAAUUGAGAUUUAGAUAUACCGUUUCUUAAAAAAAUGAUGGAUUUCAAAGCAUCUUGACUCCUUUUUUUUUUAAUAUUUUGCUUUGAAUUAAAAUAACUAAAAAUAUAAAAAAUGUUAAUUAAGGAUAUUAAAUAUUAAGUACUUAUUGAAAUUUGAUUUUUAUAAAAAAAAAGUUAUAUGCAUGAUAGCUAUCAUUUAAAGUAAUAUUUUUUAAGAUAAAAAACUACUUAUUUUAUUUAAAAAAAUAAUUAUUUACUAUCUUAAAAUUAUAAAAAUAUCUAAAAUACAGUUCACCUUAAUUUUUCAAACAAUAGUUUAGUUUCUUAAGCAUUUAAUUACAAGAAUUAAUAUAUGAAGUAAUUUAUUCACGCUUUUUUUUUAAUAUUUAAUUUAAAUUAUAUUUUAAUUCGAACAUCAUAACAACAUGUUAACAAAUAUUUAAAUAGGGUAGUGUUUGGUAUGCUGGACAAUGAUGGAUAGGACAUGAUAAUAUUUUAUGAAAUUGUUUGGUGCACCUUUGGACAAUAUAAAAAUCAAUUUUUGUCUUGUCCAAGGCUGUUCUAGUGAAGAAAUUUUUGUCUCACUAAAAAGGGCAGGACAAGCUUGUCCAAUGCUCUAAACAAGGGUUAAUGUAAUUGAUUUAGGUCAACAUAAGAAUAAAAAUAGUUAUUGUCAUAGUUUUAAAACCAGAUUCGUGGGUCAACUCGGGGCCAAUAUAUUCAUAUAGUUGGGUUGACCAUUGACACGAGUCAAUAUAAGGAUAACAAUAAUUAUUAUCACAGUUUUAAAACCUGACUCGGGAGUCAACCCAAGGCUAGGCUCAUGUCACAAGUUGGGUCAUCAAUUGGCUUGGAUGAAUAUAAGGAUAGAAGUAGUUAUUAUCAUAAUUUUAAAACCCUACUCAGGGGUUGACUCGGGAUCAAACACAAGUUAUGGGCGGAGUUGACCAUUGAUCGAGUCAAUGUAAAGAUAAAAAGGAUUAUUAUCACAUUUUUAAAACCUAACCAAGGAGGGGUCGACGUGAGACAAGGCUCGAGUCAUGGGUCAAGAUGGUCAACCCGGUUUGACUUAAAGUAACGCAAAAAUAAAAUGGUUAUUAGACAAACUUCCAUAAAAAACUUAUAGUACUAUAUUAGUAUAUAUUAAAUUAUGAUAAAGGAAGUUUAUAUACUAAUAAGUUUAUAGAUAAUACUCAGAACCAUAUAUAGUAUUGUGUUUAAUACCUGAUGGUGUACUUUAUCAAAAGAAUAGAGAAAACCCAUAAACCAAUUUCUCUCUUCUAAAUAGAGAUUUAAAAGAUUUCUCAUCGAUGAUUCACGUGGAUUACCAUUGGAAGCUAGACAAUUGGACAGCUUGUGGUUUGCAACAACUUGGCCUCUAAAGAAUUAUUCAAAGCUAGAGAAGAUUAGAUCUUCGGGUAAUAAAUUUCUAAACAACUUUAGAUUUGUCUAAUGAGAUCCUAAAGACUCCAGAAUAUUAUUUUAAAUUUAUUAUUUUCUCUGCGUGUAUGAGUUUUGGGAACCCAACAGGUUUUUGAGAAAGCACAUUAGUGACAACUUUUGUUUCACCUAUUCUGUUGAAUAUGGAGAAUAUUAAUUACAUCAAUACAUAUCAUAAUUGAAGAUAUAUAUUUUCAUGUUAUAGUUAAACAUUUAACAUAAAUUUUCUACAGUAUCUUAUUCAUUUAUUUAUUUUAUAAUAACAUUUUAUAUUAUAAAAAAAAUAAUUAUUGAUAUUACUAUAUAUAAAAAAAUCUCUCAUUCUGUUUGGAAACCAUGGCAUUAUCAGAUAAUGUUUUUAAAUACUAUUUUAAUAAUUUUAUUUGAAGAAUAUUUUAUUCUAAAAUGUAAAAAAAAGAAGAAGAAGCUGACGAGCCAUUAAAAAAAAGAAAAGAACAUGCACUUGACUUUGAUGCUUUUUUGGAAGUCGCGAGAUUCAACAAAGUGUUUUAUGAUGCUUUGGUAAAUUAUAUUGCUAAACAACGAAAAGUUUAAGGCUAAUGACGAUUAUUAUUUGAAAAUAAAUAAUUAAAUUUCAAUUUGUAUUUUUCUUUUAUUUCCUAAUUUUUUAGAGGGAGCCUGUAACAGUGUCAAAUGUGCACGAGGUGCACACUUCGACAGGCUGUCCAAAACAGUGUCUAGGGGUGCUGGCAGCCAUGCCAACAGGGGCAUAAAUCAGCAGCGCAGAUUUGUGCAGCUGUAGGUUCGUCAAAGGAAAAUCGGCAGCGCAUAUUGUUGACGAACAUGGGCUGGACGAUGGAAUGUCCAAGCCAGGCAGCAAAACGCGUUAGGGGGAUAGGCUGAUGAGAACUAGGGCUGUUGCGGAAUUCGACAGCGAAGACAUUGGCAGCUUGCACGCAGAUGCGAAUUCGGCAGCGCAGGAAUUGGCAGCCUGCACGCAGAUGCGAAUUCGGCAUCGCGCAACGGCUUGUGCAAGUCGUUGGUUCGACUUGGCACGAUCUGAAACUUGGACGAAGGACUGUCCAAGGCAUGUGAGUGACUCAAUAGAUGACGCAGCAAGAGCUGGUAGAAGGGGCUGCCAGGUGGGCAUGCAGAACGUGGGUAGUGGCAGUUAUGGAUAUCCAAGAUCAUGGGAUCAUGGGGGCUGAACAUGGGGGCUGACCAGGGGUUGCUCUCAACCCACUAAAGAUCAUAGGGGAUCAUGGUGGGGAAACUUCCCACUACUUGGUAGAUAAUGGGGCCACUAUGUUCAUGGGUGCACAUGGGUGAGAUAGUGUCCCACUACUUCCUUAAAAGUAGGAAUGGGGGGUGUACCUUGUAAAUGCUUGUCUAUAAAUACUUGUUGUAGCUUUUGGUUGAGGGGGCGGCAUGUAUGUGCAUGUAGCAGCAUGCGUGGGGAAUGUUCAACAUGUAGGGGCAUGCAAGAAUAUAUAGAACACUAGUUAGAGAUAGCUUGGUGUAGCAUGCAAUCUUUGUGCAUUGCACACAUACGGAUUUGUGUAUAUUUGCUUUGUGUACGAGAUCAAUAAAGGUUGGGAAAUAGUUCCUGUAAAGCUUGUUGUGCACUUUGAUUCUUAUUCUUACUUGUGUAUUCCGCUUGCUUAGUUACUAAGCAAACACGAGUGGAAUUGGCGAGGGACUAGACCGUCGCAUAGGUUUAUUCGCGUAGCGAAAAAUUACCCCGUGACAGAGCCCAUGAGCAUAUGAAACGUACAAUUAAGCCCCACAUUAGAAAUAACAUUUGCUUUAAAUAAAAGGUAAAGAAAACAACAAGAUCAAAAUUGCACAUUAGGCGGCCAUGUCUAACUAUAAUAAUUGGACAUAUUCUAUAGAAAAAAUAUAUAAUGUAAUAUUUAAGAAUAAUAAAAUAUAAAUCACAAAUUAUAUUAAAUUAAGUUCUUUAAAGGCUUGAUGAUGAAUUGCACUGGCCAAUAAUCAAAUUGGUAUUUGCACGCUACAUUGUCGAAACGGCAUGCAUGUUGCUGCCAAUGCUCCGAAUCCAGGCAUGUUAUCGAUCGAUACUAUUCCACAGGAUGCAUGUUUUAGCAAUGCACACUGUAAUUUGCACGUUACAGACUGUUUAUUUUUGUAUUUAAAAGUAUUUUUUUUUAAAAAGUAAAUUUUUUUUAUUUUUUUAUUUUAAAUUAAUAUUUUUUAUGUUUUCAGAUUAUUUUGAUUUGCUGAUAUCAAAAAUAUUUUUAAAAAAAACAUUACUUUAAUACAUUUCCAAACGAAAAACACUUUGAAAAGCAACCGCUACCACACUCUCAAACACCUUUAACCAAUAUAAGUCAGAGAUUAUUAUUUUUUAAAAAAAUUUGAUCCCCCGUUUGAUUUUUUAUCAAGUUGGUUGUUUUUUUUAAUUAAAUACAAUAAAAUAACUCAAAAAUACGUUUGUGCUAGAAACACAGGUAUUAUCAUUAUAAUAGUUUUUAUUCAUAGUUAAAAAGAAAGUAGUUAUCUUUUGCCAGGAAAUUUAAAACAUCCCUUUAAAUAAUUAAAGACAGUUUAAAUAAUACUAUAAUAAAUAAUAUAAUAUAGACACACACACACUUAAAGUUUACUUCUAAUUCUAAAUUUGAUACGAAGGAUUUAGAGGGUUAAAGUAUUUUUUAGGUAUUGAAAUUUAUUAGUUCUAAACAAGGUAUUUCUCCAUCAUAAAAAAAAAAUAUUCUGAAUUUAUCGAAAGAAACAAGAAUGCUGACUUUUUUUUUAAGAUACAUAUAACAAUUGGUUGAAUGAGAGAUACGGGGAUAAUCCUUUGACCCGUCAGGAUCUUGAUCCAGAUUUGUGGUUGGAGACAAGAUCGUCCAAACCUGAUAGAAAUCGGGUGUGCUGUCUCUCUAAUACUACGAUUGAGGACUUACGAAUGGCUCACAGUGUUUUAACUAUUGGAUACUCGCAAUUAGUUUUGAGCACUCAAACUCCAGAAUUUGAAGUGAUUUUAAACAAACGAGUUGAAGCUCGGGCAGCCCAUAUUGUUGCUCAAACAGAAUGACUCACUGCUAAGAUGCUCAAACUCCACCGAUUUUCCUUUGAUGGAGCUUGAAAUCAAAAGAACUUAAGCAUUAGUGCUUAAAAAUGAAAAAUUUGUGUGCUUUGAUGGGAUAUCUUGUUUUAAAAGAAUUUUUUUUUAAUGCUCUGCUUCCUUUGGUUUUAGCCUUUUCCUUUCCUUUCAUUCACCUCACCUUAACCUUAGCCCCAUUACAACAAAAAGUAAGACCUCUUGAUUCAUGCAUUGCUUGUAAUAUUUUAGUAAUGGAAAUGAGAUUGAAAAGCAAGUUUAUGAUAGAACAUAUUCAUUGAAUGAAUUUGAGAAAUUUAAAUACCUAAGCCUUAAACACGUGAGUGUUGGAGUGUAUAUCAAUGAGAGGACCUAUCACUUUGGCAUGACAUAGAUUUCAUUCCCAAUAAUUAAUUGAGUUUUGAAGUGCGCAUGUAAAUAAAUUCAUAAAAAUUUAUAUUUUUUAUCCUUCUUGAUUGUAUUCUUGUUUAUAAUGCUUGUACUCUUGGACAUUGAUGGGAGAUUAAGAGAUUAGUCAUAGUUAUUUUACUUAUUUAAUUUAAGUUUGAUUUCAUCUCUCAUUUCUUGAGGACGAGCAAGAGCUAAGUGUGGGCGUAUUUGAUACAACCUUAUUAUUUGAUAGUUUUACCCACAUUUACCCAGUAUUUUGCCUAUGUUUUAUAUAUAAAAUUUCUUGAUAUUCUUUGUUUUAUGUUUUGAAGACACUUUUGGAUGUAAGAUUCAAAAAGAAGUAAAUUGGAGAUAAUUGACAGAUUUUACCUUUGAUCGAUGUUUUGUGCAGAGCUUGAGCUCUAGAGGUCGAAACGAAGUGAUUCCAAUGGCAUUAGGAAGAUAAUAUCCAUACCUUUCUAUAUAUACAUGGAAAAAAAAAGCAUGGAAAUCGCAGCUUUCAAAGUCAAAUCUCAUAUUCUGUCACUAUUGACCUUCGGCCAUUUCGACUUGAAUACUUGAGCUACAGAAGUCCAUUUGAUGCAAACUCAAUUGUAUUAUAUUCCUGACUCAAAGACCUAAAUUUGUUCUUCAUGUUUAGAAUCAAACUUAAAUUCUCACCAAGAAGAAAUGUCUACUUGUUUCUGUUGUCUGCCUCUUGACCAAGAAACUACAAGUCUAGUUUUACAGAUUUGAAAACUUUGUUCGCUCGGCAUAUGCUUUCAUGUCAAAUACCAUAUGGCCUGGGGGUUGAGAAGUUGCUAUUUAUGGUUUUUAAUGGAUGGUUUUUAAGGAAAUAUUUAUUUUUAAAUGCUAGUGUAGUCUACCAAUUAUUGAUAGCAUCUCCUAUUGCUGGAGUUGAAAUAUCUUGGUGAAUCAACCGUGUCUUUUAUGUUAUGUCAUGCUGAAUGACAUGGUUGGAAAACAUAACUGCUUCUUGAAACUGUGAUGUUUUUCAUGAUCAUGGACUAGAAAAACGCAGGUGAGGCAGUGGCUCAGAAAUCAGGCAUCUUAAAUUCAACCCCCCUGGCUAGUUGUGGGGUUGGGUGGGUCUCAUGCGUUCAUGGGAAUCAGUUUUGGAUUUGAUUCAAAAGUGAGCCAGGUUGAUGUAAUACCCUUACUUUGAGAAGGUCAUCUGAACUUUCUAUUCCUUACCAAAAACACAUAUUACGCUUUUCCAUCUUUUGAUACUCUUGAGCAAAAUAAACUCCCUUUUCAAAAGGGGAUAAUGAUGUGUUAUGGACAUUAGGUAGGUAGGUUGGGAGAGUGAGAAAUCUUCUUAUGCACAUUUUGAACACCAUAAUGAUGUCCCCCUUCUAUUCUUUUGGUCUUCCUUCUGUUUCAAACGUAAGAUUCCUCCAUAUGGAUUACUAAAAUGUUUAUGGAACCUUCCUUUACCAGAUGAUAAUACCUUUUCAACCUCCGUUACCACCACUGGUUAUUGUUUACGUCAACACAAUACAUGUAGAUGUAUAAUGGAUUGGUCUUAUUUUUCCUUUGAUUAUAUUAAAGAUGUAAUAAUCUGCUGUGUUUUUGCCAAUGAGUUCCUCUCAAUCUCUCACCAAUUAAUUUUUUUUUUUCUGGUUCAGGUAUUGCCAUCGUUGAGGGAGAAGCAUGAUGAAUUUAUGUUAAGAGAGCUAGUUAAAAGGUGGGCAAACCAUAAAGUCAUGGUUAGGUGGCUUUCUCGUUUCUUCCAUUACCUUGACCGCUAUUUCAUUGCCCGGAGGUCACUUCCACCAUUUAAUGAAGUUGGACUUACUUGCUUCCGUGAUCUGGUAUGUCAUGGCUGAGUGCUAUUGUAUGUUUUUUUCUGUAUUCUGUGUUGACAAAGGAAAUGUUUUCUUUCCAUUGCUUCUUGAGCCAUUGUCCCAAUUGAAACUACAUUUUAUUAUGUUUGCUAACUUGAUGAUCCCCUUUCAAAAAGAUACAUCAUAAUGUAACUUUAUGGAUCAUGUCCUUUGACUCCAGGUGUACCAGGAACUGAAUGGGAAAGUGAGGGAUGCUGUAAUUUCUCUGGUAGGGUCAUAUUGUUUCUCCUAAAUGUAUAGUUUGCUUUUUUUUUAACCCAGGGACAAGUUAGUUAGCAUGAUUUUCCUAAUCAGAUUGAUCAAGAGCGUGAAGGAGAGCAGAUUGACCGAGCUUUAUUGAAGAAUGUUUUAGAUAUAUUUGUUGAAAUUGGAAUGGGACAGAUGGAUUACUAUGAAAAUGACUUUGAAGCAGCGAUGCUUAAAGAUAUAGCUGCUUAUUAUUCUCGGAAGGCAUCAAACUGGAAGGCAUCAAAAGCUUUCUGAUUUUGGGCUUGCAAAGCUUGGCCCCACUGGGGACAAGUCACAUGUUUCCACUAGGGUUAUGGGCACUUAUGGUUACUGUGCUCCUGAGUAUGCCAUGACGGGACAAUUGACUGUAAAAUCUGACGUCUACAGUUUUGGGGGUAGUGUUCUUAGAGCUGAUAACUGGUCGUAAAGCAAUUGACAGCACUCAACCACACGGAGAACAGAACUUUGUCGCAUGGGCACGGCCAUUAUUCAAUGAUCGCAGGAAAUUCUCAAAAUUGGCAGAUCCACAACUGCAGGGACGUUAUCCAAUGAGAGGACUCUACCAGGCUCUAGCUGUGGCAUCCAUGUGCAUCCAGGAGCAGGCUGCUGCGCGUCCUCUCAUUGGGGAUGUGGUCACCGCACUUUCUUAUUUAGCGAACCAGGCUUAUGAACCUAAUGGUCAUGGCCACAGAGGUUCAGGGGACAGGGAUUAAAAAAGACAGAGAGAUGAGAGAGGUGGACAGUUAUCAAGGAAUGAGGAAGGUGGAGGAUCGGGACGCAGAUGGGACUUGGAUGGGUCCGAGAAAGAGGACUCACCAAGAGAAACUGCUAAGAUGUUAAACAGGGAUUUAGAUAGAGAACGAGCAGUUGUUGAGGCCAAGAUGUGGGGAGAAAAAAUCAAGGAGCAGAAAAAAGGAAACCCAGAAAAACAGAAAAAAAGAGAGCACACAGAGAAAAACAGAGACAAACUCAAGCAGAAAACCCAGAAGACCAACGUUAAUGUCACCGUCUUCUUGAUCGCCUCCUGCAAAUCAGAAAAAGAAGAACCUAAACAGAAAGCCGUCACCUUCAUCAUCACAGAAACAAAAGGAAAACAGAAGGGAAAGUCAUACGCAGACGAGAGUAAAACCACUGCGCUGUAAGCCUCCUCGCCAUCUCCAGAAGCAGGUAAGCCGUUCUCUUCCAUUCACUGUUGUUUUAAAUUGUUCAGUUGCAAGAACUGUGCGAAGGUAAUUUACCUUCGCACAGUUGAUGCACGCGUGAAAUUGCUUCACGCGUGCAUAUGAAUUACCCCAGCCGGGCCUAGCCCUGGGCUGAACUGAGCAGCCCAAAAAAAAUAAAAAAAUAAAAAUAAAAAAAUAAAAAGUGUAGAAUUUAUAUGUAUUAGAAAAAAUAUAUUUUUAUCAAUUUAUUAAUUGAUAUCAGAAUCGGAAAUAAAAAAAAAUAUACUGAUUUUUUUGUAUUUAUGAAUUUUACGCCAGAGUUGAAAUUAUUCAUGGUGGAAUCUUUACCAACGCCAGAGUUGAAAAUAUUCGAGAUCGAAUAUUCAUUGACACCAGAGUCAGGAAUAUUAUAAACAAAUCAUCAUAGUAUAAGCGAAUAAAUGUUUAGCAAUUUACGACAAAAUCAGCAAUGCAGUCUGCCUCAGGCAAAACGUUUAAGAGGUGAUAAUAUCUUUCUUUUUACGUAACCAGUCUUGUACCAUAUAAUCUCUAUUGACCAGUCAGGUUUUCUAGUGACCAUAAUACUAGGUGGCGACUCCUUAAACAAGACAUUUUUCCUAAAAAAACAAGCCAGAAAUCUGUUUUUUUUUCCAUAAUCAAGAAAAAUUUUAAGGCCACCGCGAUGUCGGGUGCGACAGAAUGACGACUCCACUAGAGACCUUAGGAUUAAGCUUUGUCUUUUGUCUUAUUAUUGCUAUUUUGUUUGUUGUGUUUAUUUGUUUAUUUUUCCUGCAUGUACUGUUUUAGCAUGCAUCCUUGUUUAUGUUGUCAUGCAUCACUUUUAGAGCACACACUUUACAACCUAGGAUAAGUGGGGGAGUAACGGUAACCCAAUGACUUUAGCUUGGGUAAGACUCGUGAAACUAUCCAACUCUCGCUUGAUUGUUUACUUGGAAGUGAUUGAUAUGCCAAACUGAUAUUACUCAGGGCCUCUAUCUUUACACUACUUGUAAGCCUCAUAUCGACCUUUCAAGGACGAUCACUGAGCAUGUGAGAGACCUUUUGAAACUAGAUAAUGACCAACCCCUUGAUGCACUCAACAAUUAGGAUCUUCCUACUAGGUUGUCACCCCGUGAAGGGAAAGUUUGCAUUUCAUACGCAUUUUUUUAAUCAACAUUUUUGCAUAAAUUGCAUGAUUUACAUUUAGCACGUUGAAAUAUAGGUUCCCCAUUGAAACCCACCUAUAACAAUCAUUUGAGAAAAGACAAAUGGAAAACGAAGAAAAAGCCUAGUUGGAAGCCCAACACCAAAAAGAGGUGGACAAUCUUAAAGAAGAAGUUGCAAGGCUUACUAGUCUACUCGAAUAGGUCUUGAGAGACAAAUCCGGAAAAGCAACACAUAUAGCUCAGCGUGAAUCUAUGCUCGUAGUAUAGGAUGUCUGUUUACAUCAGGGUUCAGAGACAGAUAGAGACCAGUUAAGCUCAGGGAUCAAGAAGGAGCAAAACCACGUGAAAAUGACAUUUAUUUGUUGAACCCCAUUUAUAUCUAUCUAGUUGAAGCUAAAUACGAUAUGCUUAGAAUCCGACAGAGCACGCACACGUGUAUGCGAGUCUUUCAUACUACCUUAUGUGGUACUGGUUAAAGUGUUUGACACUGUAAUUCAAAUUUUUAUAUAUAUAUAUUUUUUAGGAAUUUUUUAUAUAAUUUUUAUAUGUUAAUAUUAAAAAUUAAAAAAAUAUUAAUUUUUUUAAUUAAUUUUUUUAUAUAAAAAUAUCUUGCAAUGCAUUAUCAAAUACAUAAAACAAUAUCACAACCUUUUAUUUUAUAUAAUUUUUUAUAUUUAUUAAUUUGCAUUCCAUCACUUCUAUUUUACUGUAGUUAUCACUAUCUUUCUAGCUUUUCCAUUAGCAGCCUUCUCCCACCUUCUCCCUUGACUAUGUAUUAUUUUAUAUAUUAUUUUCCAUUUUUUAUUCACAAUAACAUUAAGAGAGCACUAAUUAAUAACCUACCUAUAUUAAUAACAUCUCUACCUGUUCCCUCCAUCACCUCUCUGCAGCUUCUAUCUCAUCCACUCUCUCUAUGCAUCUUUUAAUUUUUCUCCAAAUAAAUUUCAUAUUAUUCCCCCAUUUUUCACAAAUUAAUAACAAACAAAACACUAACAAUAAGAGACGAUCAGUAGUGAUCAUAGGAAAUCGAGGACGACGAGCAAGGUAAUUUCUUCUGGAUGGUGAGAGGGUUAUAAAGAGGGUGGUGAGCUUUUGUUUUGUCUUGUUAAUCUUUCCUUCUGGAUGUUAUCGUUUGUGUUUCUUUGUGUGUACCUGCAGAUAUUAACAAAUAUAUUAACAAAUAUAUAUGCUUAAUAGCCAUUGGUAAGGAAACUUCUGUUACGAGCUUUAAAGUCAAAGAGACCCAGACCUCCUUCAACUUUAGGCAGGCAGAGAAAUUUCCAUGCAACCAGGGCUGAGCCAUUUCUCCCUAUGUUCCCCGCCCAUAAAAAAUUCCUGCAGAUACUGGUGAGGCGAUGAAGAACCACCUCAGGCAUAGGAAAAAUGUUGAGCCAUAAUUGAACUUUCCCAAAUAGCACUGAUCGAACAAGUUCAAGACGACCUGCAUAUGAGAGAUGUUUGCCAAUCCAGCCUUGAACUGUUAAUUCCAAGGCAUUCAGAAGAGGAGAAAACUGACUAGCCAAUAGCCGGUGAGGACUCAAGGGAACCCCUAAGUAAGUGAAAGGGAAAAUCCCUUCCUUGAAUCCUGAUUCAGUGAGGAUGGUAUGUUUGUGAGCAUCCCUGACUCCACCAAAGAAGAUUACCAGCCCUGAAGUUUGUCCAAAGAGGUGAAGCUGCUGAAGAAGCCAUCUAACCGAAGUUGCAUCACCACGUGAGAGAAGGAGGAUGUCAUCAACAAAAGCAAGGUGAGUAAGCCGAUGAGACUGGCAUUUGGGAUGAAACCGAAAUCCAGGCUGUUGAGAGGCUAGUGUUAGCAUUCUGGAAAAGUAUUCCAUACAACAGAUGAAAAGAUAAGGGGAUAAAGGAUCUCCCUGUCUAACACCACUUUUACCCAUAAAGAAUCCAUGAAGAUCACCAUUCACAGCAACAGAAUAAGAGACUGUGGAGACACAUUGCAUGAGAAGAGAAACAAACCGGCCUGGAAACCCAAGCUGCAGGAGGAGCUGCUCUAGAAAAACCCAGUGAACAGAAUCAAAUGCUUUCCUGAAGUCCACUUUCAACAGGCAGCGCGGGGAGGAACGUUUUCUGCCAUAUUGUCUGAGAAGCUCCUGUACAAGAUUAAUGUUAUCACUCAUAAACUGUCCACCCAGGAAGGCAUUUUGUAAAGGGCUGAUAAUGGUUGGGAGUGUACAAGCCAGACGACCAGCCAAAAGUUUUGCAAUGACCUUAUAAAUGACAUUGCAGCAAGAGAUGGGCCUGAAAUCAGAUGGAGAUGUAACAUUAGCCGAUUUAGGGACCAAAGUGAUAAUGGAGUGAUUAACCUGCCGAAGAAGUCGACCAGAAGUGAAGAAAUCUUGGACAGCAGCACAAAAGUCAUCCCCAACAAUGUGCCAAGCACGCUUAAAAAAAGCAGAAGAAUAGCCAUCUGGUCCAGGAGCUUUGUCAUCCCCUAUGCUGAAGACCACCUUGCGGAUAUCAUCUGGGGUGACCGGAGAAAGCAAGAGAGCAUGAGAGCUUGAGGGGAGACAAGGACCACUGUUAAUAACCUCACUAUCAAGAGGAAUGGUGGGGGUGGACGUUCCAAGCUGUUGCUGAAAGUAAUUGACAAAGACCCUGCCAACUUCCUCCAAGGAGGAGCUUGGACAACCUUGGUCGUUCAUAAUUGCUGGAAUGAAGUUCUUUCUGUGAGUAUGAUUCAGCAAGGCAUGAAAGAACUUGGUGCCUCUAUCACUUUCUUGAAGGAAAUUGCAUUUGAUCUUUUGGCUGAAAAAUUGUUUCUCUACAAACUUCAGUUGAGAAAGCUUAGAUCGGAGAAGCUUUUCCUGGUCCAGUAAGCUGUGAUUGUCUCUAUCCUGGUGGAGAGAUAAUUGAUGAGCUGCCAACUCAUUCUCAAGACGAGAAACACGUUCUGAAAUGUGGCUGAAGUGGGCCCGAUUGAGCUCUUUUAGAGGCUUCUUAAGAAACUUUAGGCGACGACACAAGAGGUAUAUGGGGGUGCCAUACAGAUCCGAAAACCAAUGAGAAGAGACAACAUCAAGGAAUUGAUCAUGGGAAGCCCACAUGUUGAAGAAUUUGAAGUUCCGUCUGCCUGAGACAUGAUGAUCCAGACUAACUUUAGCCGGAGAGUGAUCAGUAAAAGCUCCAGGAGGAGCAAAGUGAACCUGCGUCAAUCGCUGUAGGGAAGCCCAAUAUGGAUUUGUCAUAACCCUAUCAAGUUUGCUCCACACCAAACCAUUGGUCCAGCUGUAGUGACAGCCAGUAUAAUUCACAUCCUGGAGGCCAAGGUCUAAACAACAUUGACAAAAAUAAGAGGAUUCAUAAGAGGAGACUGGUUCACCAUUGUGUUUGUCUGCCGAAGAAAGAACUGAGUUAAAAUCUCCAAGAAUCAUCCAGGGGUUUGAUGAGUGCCAGCUUCGUAAAUCCGCCUAUAGAGGUCGCCGAGCAGAAAUAGAGUGAAAGCCAUAGACAAAGGUUAUAUGGAAGCGGUAGUGAGAGAUAAGACUAUGCACAGAGAGAUGUAAAGCUUGAGCAGUAGAAGAGAUCAUAUCAACAGAAACCGUGGAAGGAUUCCAGAAAACAACAAUACGAGCAAUAGAAGCCGUAUCUACAUUGGAAAUAUAUUUCCAAUCCCGAAGUCUCAACCGGUGAAGGCUGGCAACCCGAGAGAUAGUCAACUUAGUUUCAAGCAGGCCGCAAAUAUCCAUACGAUAUUUCUUCAUGAGGCCAACCACCUCAUGUUGUUUCAGGGGAUUAUUAAGACCCCUGACAUUCCAGCUGUAUAUAAUCAUGGAGAUGCAGGAGAAGGGAUGACCCUUCUACUACCAGGGGUGGUCCUCUUGCUAUGACGCUGCAUAGUGGUGUUAACUGAAGUCCCCAAUAGAGGAAGUGCAAAAGGCCUAGGGGCCAGAAUACCAUCACCCAACUGGGGAGGCCGUAAUCUGGGAGAAGCAACUACCAAACCAACCUCUGCACCUACAGGAGAAACCACUUCUACACAGGCAAGUGGAAGAUGUGCUGUGCUGGUAUUGGCAUUAGCAAUGCCUAAAGACGGUGGAGGAACAAUAAAAUCUGUACAGGCAGGAAGUAAAGCAGGAGAAGGAGUAUUACCAGAAACUGCUUCCACGGCCGCCCCUUUGAGAGGGGAUUUGACACGGUUGUGGGACUUUCGUCUAGACUCCACCAUUGUCCAGCCCUCCUCCGGGGCAACACAGGGUUCAACUGGUUGAGGAUCCACUGCAGGGGAGUUCGAUGUAGCCAAAAGAGGAGCCGGAGCUGACGACCGACUCUGUUCUGGUAAAUCUGUGGUUGAGUCCUGCACCGGGUGUGAAAUGUGGGGGCCCAGCCUACUAAAGACCCCCACUUUGCUGGCAUGGGGAGCCGAAGCAACUCCACCCUCUUUACUACUGGAAGCAGCUUUGGAACAGAGGAGACGAGUAUGGCCUAUAGAAUUACAGAAAUUGCAGAAUUUUGGUAAUGAUUCAUAAACUACUUUUUGGUGAAGCACCUGACCUGAUGGUAGAGGCACAGUUACAGAUGCAGGAAGGUCUUCACGAAGAUCAAGCUCAAUAAGCACUCUUGCAUAUGACAGACGAGAGAGAGUAGAAGUCAUAUGGUCACAUUGAAUGUGCUUGCCUAUAACACUUGCAAUUUUGGAGAGACACACAGGGGACCAGCAGCAAAGGGGGAGGUUGGGGAAUCUCACCCAUACAGGCACCCUCGUCAUCUCCUCAUUGGAGAAGUCAAAGAACUUCGUCAUCGGCUUCAAAAUGAGUGGUUUGCCAUACACGAGAUACGGUCCUCCCCGAAGAGCAGAAAUCUUGUCUUCCUCCCGAGUAAAUCUAUAUAUCAGCCAUCCAGAGGCAUGGAUAGUGAGAGAAGCUUCACAUUUCCAAACAGAGGAAAUGAUGCCAUUCAAGGCCCUAUAACCAGGGCUUUUUUCCUGAGACAUAACCCACAGCGCAUAAAUUCCAGACCUCAAACUGAGGUUGAAAAUCUUCCGGAGAAAUGGCACACGAUUUGGUAAGGUGAUUAAGGGGAAAAUUACGUAGCUUUGUGCAGAGAGAAGGUGGUCAAUCUGAAGAAAAAAGGUCACACCAGUUGCGACCACUAGAGGCUGAGGGAGGGGGGGAUGAGCUGUAUCUGCCAAAGGAACAUUCACCUCCGCAGGAGCAACAGGAGGGGACGAGGCACGCACUGGGGAAGCAACAGGAUCUGGAAAGGGGCAUGCAGGGGAAGCAACAGGGGAAGCCCCAGGAUCUGGAAAUGGGCAUGCAGUGGAAGCAACAGGGACUGAAUGAGCACCUAUAAGAGAAGCAGCAGGGACGGAGGGGGCCUCAAAUACUGAGGAGGUGAAGAAUUGAGACCCCCCAGCAUAGUCAUCUCCAGAAGAGGCAUAAUCCACUUCCUCGUCAUCAAGAGCAUCAUCGUCAGAAUCCACAAACACAUGGUUGAUAUUGGGGGAUGGAGCAACAUGGAACUGAGGUUGUAAACCGUGAGAAGCGGAGGGGACAUGGGGAUUAGGCUUGGGAAUCUCUGAAAUGAGGACAGUAGGCGGGGAAGGAUUUGAAUUUGAAAUGGGGGGAACAGUGGCAUGAACAGUACGAGACGGGGCCUCUAAAGCAAGAACAGUGUGUUCAUUCAAAUCAGCCAAAGAUUGUUGUUUAAGCUUAGAUUUAUGGGACCCAACCUUCUUCUUUUUGUUCGCCAUAGACAGAAAAUCAACAGAACAAAGGAAGGACAAGAGCAAACAAUGGCAGUAGCUCAAUCCCAAGGGAAAAGCGUCAUACAGAAGGAGAGCAUCUCUCUCUAAAUUCUCUCUCAAGAUUUUUACUUAACUUAACUGAGAGCUCUUUUUUUUUUUUUGAUCAAAUGUAAGAAGUAUAUUAAAUCAAAAACGAGCAAGACAAGCUUGCAAUACAAGCUGGAAGCCAGCAAAGAACAGAGUAAAUACAUAAGCUCAAAUAGAGAAUAAAAUCCCUAAAAGAAACAGAAACGAAAAGCCAGCAAAAUACAAGCUGAAAACACAAGCCAAAAGCUAAGAAAAAACCAAGAGACAACCAAACCAAGCAUCCAGCCAGCCAAGCCAGCACAGGGGAGAGCCGAAGCCACCCGCACAUCCAACAAGCAAACUGCCAAAAAGCCAAGAUGGACAGCUCCACAACCCCAUGAAGAGACAACCCGACAUAAAUUAACCAACCAAAAGCCUUUGCCAAAAACACUCAAUUACCUCCUGCACGCGAAGGGAAAAGAGCUCACCAAGAAGGAGCACUAAAAGCCGAAAGCAACAAAAGCACACCGAUAGAGACUGCAGCCAUAAAGAUUGAAGAGCCAAGCUUCCAAGGGGAACCCCCCACGUGGAAAGGAACCACAAGCAUCCACUGAAGAAGGGGAAAGAAACCAGCCAAUGAGGAGCCUUACACAUCAUGCAGAGCAUGCACAGACAAUGAAGGACUGCACCGAAAAACCCAAUUAGCAAGCCCCCGGCCCCACCAACAACCAACCUCACGUUAAGACCCAUGCAAGCAAAGCUUCUCCAUGCAUUCAUGUCAAGAGAUGAGGAGAAGCCGAAGACAACGAGGCAACAUUCCCAUAAGUUGGAAUCCACGAGAACACCAACUGCAUGCGACAUGCAACCAACGCAACAGAGAAGCCAAUAUUAUCAAGGAGACAUGGGCACCACAGGAGUGAAGUGGAAAGCCCGGCAACAAAGCAUGCAAAAUUAGCUAUCGCAAUGCACCCCAAUAAGCCAUGCAGAAUUGCUCAAAGAGCAGGAUAGCCAUAAACACAACAAAAGGAGCAUCCUGAGAAACCAGAAAAUCACCCUACCGCCAAUUGGAGGUGGUCCUGUUCAUGGAAAUGAAACACCGUAUAAAACAGAAUUUGAAAUCUCCUGAACAUGACAUCAACCUCUCUGGAUUUUGCAUCAAAGACCCGCUUGUUUCUUUCUUCCCAGAUAAGAUACACCGUGAUACCCAAUGAGACUCUGCGCAUCCGAGCCACAAGAUUGGACCUCUUAGGGAAUAAUCCACGAAGUGCACUAUUGAUGGACAUCAUCCAUCUAUCAAUUCAAAGCCAAUCUUUUAUCCUACCCCACAACCUGCCCGUCCAGCUACAUGCGAAAAACAAAUGAGCAUGGGUCUCAGAUUCACACCUACAGAAGGCACAAGAGGGGUCAGACGGGAUGAACCACAACCGGUCCCGAGUUUUGAGUUUACCCAAGACCGCCAGCCAUAAUAUAAAGCUAUAUUUUGGAAGGGACCACUGCUCCCAGACAACCCGAUCCCAUGAGACAAUUGAACCAACCGGCCUGAAGAAAUCAUAUGCAUGAGCAAGAAAGGGACCAGCAGUAUUAGACCAGGCUCUCAUCAAGGAUACACACUCCACCUCUGAGCCCCCACAAUGUUGAGAGAUAACAUCCCGAACAGUGGUGAUGGCCUUCCACAAAGGGGAAGAAGAGUGAUGCACCUGGACAGACCAGAUGGAGCCACUACUCAAAUAAAAAUGAUGUAUCCAACGAAUCCAAACCGAAUCCGUUUUAAGAUGAAUAUGCCACAGCUGCUUGCUGAGAAAACUACGGUUACGGGCAUAGAGAUCAUACAAACCCAGACCACCCUCAUUUUUAGGAAAACAAACAGUCUUCCAAGCAACAAUGGCAGAAGAACCACGGCAGGCAUCACCAGUCCAAAGAAAAUUUCUGCAAAUGCUAAUUAUUUGCUUGAGCACAAUUGCAGGGACAGGGAAUAUGUUCAACCAGAACUGGACCUUCCCAAAUAAAACUGAUCGGAGGAGCUCCAAGCGCCCUGCAUAUGUAAGAUAUCUUCCCAUCCAGCCUUGGAUAGACGAUUUCAGAUCCUGUAGAAGUGGAGUGAAUUGGCUAGCGAGCAGCCUAUGAGGGCUGAGAGGGACUCCACGGUAAGUAAAAGGAAACUGCCCUUCACUGAAACCAGUUGCUGAGAGAAUAGAAUGCUUUUGCACAGACCCCACGCCCCCAAAGAAAAUGAAGGAUUUCUGAGGGUUAAUGUGUAAACCCGAAGUCUGGCUAAAGAGAGUUAGUUGCUGGAGAAAGCAAGAGACUGAUGAGAGGUCCCCACGAGAAAGAAGAAGGACAUCGUCUGCAAAGGCAAGGUGAGUGAUACCUUGAACCGCACAUUUGGGAUGAUAACUGAAACCAUCCUGCUGAGAGGCUAGAGAAAGCAUCCUUGAAAAAUAUUCCAUGCAACAUAUGAAAAUAUACGGAGACAAUGGAUCUCCUUGACGAACUCCACUCUUACCCGGAAAGAAACCAUGAAUAUCACCAUUAACAGCCACUGAAUAAGAGGCAGAGGAAAUACACUGCAUAACAAGCAAGACAAAGUGAGCAGGGAAGCCAAGUUGACAGAGAAGACUUUCCAAGAAAUCCCAUUGCACAGAAUCGAAAGUCUUCUUGAAAUCCACUUUCAACAAGCAACGGGGAGAAGAGCGUUUCCUACAAUACUGGCGGAGGAGUUCCUGGACCAGAUUUAUAUUGUCACUCAUAUGCCUCCCCCCCAAGAAAGCAUUCUGCAUGGGGCUGACAAUAUCAUGAAGAGCUAGAGCAAGCCGACCAGCUAAGAUCUUGGACAAAACUUUGUAUAUUACAUUACUACAGGAGAUAGGCCUGUAAUCUGAGGGGGAGGAUGCAUUCUCAGAUUUGGGAACCAAGGCAAUUAUGGAGUGGCUAACUUGUUUGAGCAGCCUACCCGAAACAAAGAAAUCCUGAAUGGCAGCACAUAAGUCCCCACCAACUAUAGACCAUGCUUGCUUGAAGAAGAAUGAGGAAUACCCGUCAGGACCAGGGGCUCUUUCAUUAGCAAUGCUGAAGACCGCUUGACGAAUUUCAUCAUGAGAAACCGGGGAUAAGAGAGAGCCCUGUGAAGUAGAGGAGAGGCACGACCCACACUGAAUUAUAUCACUGUCAAGUUGGAUGGUAGACUUCGAAGAACCCAGCAACCGUUGAUAGUAGGCCACAAAGACGUCCCCCACUUCCUUAAGAGAGUUAGUUAUCCGACCAUGGCUGCAUGUGAUGGCAGGAAUGAAGUUCCUCCUGUGAUUCUGCCCCCAUGAGUGCGUGGAAAAACUUGGACCCUCUAUCACUAUCCUUGAGAAAGUUGCAUUUUAUUUUUUGGCUGAAAAACUGGUUCUCCGCAAGCUUUAGAGAAGAAAGCUUUGAACGAAGAACCUUGUCCUGCUCAAACAAGAACCGGUUGUCCCUAUCUUGCUGGAAAGCAGAUUGGAGCUGAUCCAGUUGGGAUUCAAGCCUAGAAACCCUCUCAGAAAUAUGGUUAAAAUGAAGCCGGUUAAGCUCUUUCAAGGGACCCUUUAGAAGCUUCAGCUUGCGGCAUAAUAUAUACAUUGGGGUACCAUACACCUGAGUCGACCAAUAAGAAGAAACCACACCCAGAAACUGAUCAUGAGCAGCCCACAUAUUAAAAAAUUUGAAAUUACGCCUACCCUGCACAUAAGGGUCCAACCUCACUGCAGCUGGGGAAUGGUCUGAAAAUGCACCGGGAGUGUCAAAGUGUACAUGAGUAGAGCGUUGCAGAGAUGACCAUGAGGGAUUAAUUAGAACCCUGUCCAGCUUACUCCAAACAAUACCGUUUGACCAAGAGUAAUGGCAGCCAGUAUAGUUAGCAUCCCGAAGACCAAUAUCAAAGCAACAAUCGCUAAAAUCAGAAACUUUAUAAGGGGAGACGGCCUCUCCAUUGUGCUUGUCUGAAGAGGAAAGCAAGGAGUUAAAAUCUCCAAGAACCAGCCAGGGGUGAUUGGAAUUCCAUCUCCUUAACUCCUCCCAAAGAGGACGCCUUGCAGUGAUAGUGUUAAAGCCAUAUACAAAGGUAGCCUUAAAUUGAAACUGGGAAAUUAAGCAAGUGAUGGAAAGAUGAAGAGCUUGCGCAGAGGAGGCUAGCAAAUCAACAUGCACUGUAUCCGGAUUCCAAAAGACAACAAUUCUAGCCGUGUGAGCCAUAUCUGCAUUGGAAAUAUACUGCCAAUGCUUCAGCCUAAGUUUGUGCAUGGAAGCAACCAUGGCGGGGAGCAUUUUGGAUUCAAGUAACCCACAAACAUCAAUCUUGUUCUUCUUCAUGAGGCUAACAACCUCAUGCUGCUUCAGGGGAUUGUUCAUUCCCCUGAUAUUCCAGCUAUAGAUUAUCAUCGAUUGGAGGGAAUUUCCUUCCACUGCGACUACGCUACUUUUGGUUACGAGUCCUGACCCCACACUGGUCAUCCACAUUAAUUAAGGGAACCUUCACCGAAUUACCAACCACAACAAUGUCACCAGUAGUAGUUGCCGGUGGUAAGGAGCUGUGAGCCUCACCAUCACAAGAAUGCAUUAUCAGCGGAGCAAUGGGAGGGGGUUGAACAUCACCUAUGCAAACGGGAGGAACAUUCACAGGAUUACUAACCAAAACCGUAUCUCUUGCAGUGGUUGCCCCAAUAUUUGUUCUGGUGGGAGAGGAAUUGUGAGCCGCUCCAUCACAAUAAUUCACUUCCAGCGGUGCAGUGGGAGUGGUGGAAGGACACUGAACUUGUCCAACACAAGAGGCUGUCACCGAUGGGUCUGUUUGAGAGGAGAUCUGAACGGCUCCUGUGCAAGUAAAAAGAGAGGGGGGAGCCGGGGAAGUAAGCACUGGCUCAGAAUCAGCCACAACCUUCCCCUUUUGCUGCUUGCUAGAUUUGCGAGAGACAACGGUAACCCAACCAGCAGAAUUGUCAAGAGCAGCGACUGGCCUAGUGGUGUCCUCAAGAGCUUCUUGAAUGCUAUUGAGAUGGCCUUGCACCGUUGGAGGAAAAAUCUGGGGAAUGCCUUCAGGAGCCACUUGAAUGUUAUUGUCUUGGGGAUGGCCUUGCACCGUUGGAGGAGGAGGAGGCUGGGGACCCAACCUGCCAAAAGCAGUACCUUUAUCUACGCCAGCCUGAGGUUGGGGCUGAGGGCAAGGCACCUUGCUGGUAGUGGCAGCAGCCUUGGAACAAAGGAGACGAGUGUGGCCAAGGACAUGGCAGAAGUUGCAAUACUUGGGCAAAGUCUCGUAUACAAUUUUUUGCAGCAAAGUGGACCCUUCAGGCAAAGAAAUCUUCACAUUAUGAGGAAGUUCCUCAAGGAGAUCAAUUUCCACCAGUACUCUGGCAUAGGACAUACGGCCUAAGUUUGAAGUAAGCUGAUCACAUUGGAUGGGUUUUCCAAUAACACUAGCUAUUUUUGAUAGACAAACUGGGGACCAACAACACAAUGGAAGACUUGGAAAUUUUACCCAGACUGGCACCCGUGACAUCUCUGCACUGGAAAAAUCAAAAAAUCUUGUCAUUUGCCUAAGAACAAGUGGCCGGCCAUAGACUAAAUAAGGUCCUCCACGAAGGACUGCAAGUUUGUCCUCCUCUGAUUUGAAAUGGUAAAUCAACCAGCCAGUCUCAUGGAUAGUGAGCGUGGCCUCACACUUCCAGUUAGUGGCGAUAAUUCUUUGAAGCGCUUUGAAGCCAGGAUUUUUCCCAGAAACAUAACCCACAGCACAAAGAUUCCAAAUGUCAAAUCGCGGCUGGAUAUCCUCUGGGGAUAUAGCACAGGUUUUGGAAAGGUGAUUAAGUGAGAAAUUUUGAAGUUUGGUGCAGGGGUUAGUAGAUUUAUUUGAACUGAAAAGGUCUCGCCAUUUGUUGAUGCUGGGAGCAGGGAUAGGUUUACCUGCAACGGAGGGGGGAGCAAACUCUUUACUGCCAGAAAUGGGGGCUGAAGACAUCACUUUCUUUGGCAGCAGGGGGGUUGCUCGGCAGAGAGCAAUGGAGGAGGGGGAGACAAAUGGGGAGCAGGGAGCAUAGAAGGAGCUUGAGGGGAGUCUUCACACUCUUCAUCCGAGAAGUUGAAAUCCAGCUGAUCCUCAUCAAGGAUCUCAUCGUCAGAGCAAUCUUCAACCAGAACCACAUCCAAAUGUUUGGAGCUAGAAGCAGCAGCCGUUGCUGAAGCAUGUUGGGGAAGACCCACCUCAUGGGGUGAAGAUGGAGGCGAGGGGGGAGGGGCUGGACAAGGGGGGCAAGAAACGGCCUCAGCUUCAAGUUCUGCGUCAAGCUCUUCAUUGUUAUAAUGGUUAGCUUCAAGGGACCCAACAAGGGGUCCAUUUGCGCCAGCAGCGCUGGGUGAAUGUGGGCGCUGGACAGCAGAUAUUGGUCCAUUUGUGCCAUCAACGCUGGAUGAGUUGACGGGGAGAGGGGAGACGUCCAGCCUAUCAAGAGCUGGCUGGAUUCCAAGGUCGGUAGUGGAUGGUGGGGCUGGGACAUAUGGGCGCCGGACUAUGGCUGCUUGUUUCCUUUUGUUUUUGGCCAUUUUAGAAACGGACAGAAAGGAAAAAAUUGAAAGGAACGGGCAUUAAUUACUUGAGAAAGGGACGGGUGCAGUAGGCAGCCAUGAUCGAAGGAGGAAACAGCUUCGGGUGGAAGGAGAGCAUCUCUCUCUAUUUUUUUUUUUUUUUAACUGAGAGCUCUUUCUUUUUUUUGAUCAAAUGUAAGUAUUGUAUAGAUCAAAAAGGAGCUGGAGACCAGCAAUACAAGGAAAAGGAUCAAAGACCCUUGACUAAGACAAAAUCAAGACAGGGAUGCUGGGAACAGAAAGCAACGGGAACAGACUCCCUUGAACUGCCCAUACGCAUGCCAAGCUUGAAGAAAAGAAAACCAAAGGAACAGACUCCCUUGGACAACCAAAAAGCAAUGGGAACAGACUCCCUUGAACAAGCAAAACAAAGCUAAGAGGCAAGCACCAAUCAAUUGACUAGACCUACCCAGCAGCCGAAAGACUCCUUUUGUCAAAGGAGAGACUAGCUGAAACAUGAGUUGCCGAAACAUGAGACCUUCCAAACCAGCAGAUCGGAACAAAGCCUAGUGGAUAGGAAGGUGGCAGGUAGUUAAGAAUUAAUUCACUCCGUUGAAACAAAGAACCGAAUUCUAUGGUGGAGAGCCAUGCAAGACAAGCAGCGGAGCCAUGACUAAAAGAAAGACUGAGACAGCUGAGCAAAUAAAGGUAACCAAAGGCAACCCUCCACGCUGUCCAUGGAAGGACCCUCCACGUUGUCCAGUGAAGGACCACAAACAGCAAUCAAAAGGAAGAAGGAAAUGGUGCAGCCAAUCAGAGCAGCACAUAGCAUUAGAUCACGAGAAAAUGCAUGCAAAGCCAUGCAUAAUCCAGAGAAACAUAUUAGAAACCGAUCUGAAACAAGAGGGGAGACCACGCCAUUCGAGAGCUGCCCACACGUCCAAACCAUCCAAAACAGAGAUACACGGUCAUCACCCAAAUUGAAAAGAGAAGUGGUCAUCCUCAUGGAAAUGUAAGAUCGUGUAGAACCGGGUCUGAAAAUUUCUGAAAAGGGCAGCAAUGGUGGAGCAGGAGCCAUAAAAAAUUCUUUUGUUCCUCUCCUCCCAAAUUAUAUAGACUGUAAUUGCAAGAGAGACACGUUUCAUUCUGCCAUCAGCACCACUCCCACUUUUACAAAGGCCCCUAACAGCUCUGUCCAAUGUAGACAUAUUUCUGGUGAUAUGCAGCCAAUGCUUGACCCGAUUCCAGAGAAGAGAAGUCCAUUGGCACCCAAAGAAGAGGUGACUAUGAGACUCAUCAUCCACAUGGCAGAAAAUACAAGUGGAAUCAGUUUGGAGGAAGUGAAGCCUAUCUCUUGUACGCAGCCUACCCAAGAUUGCCAACC